UCAAUCCUGGGGGCAUCAUCAUCACCCCUCAACACAAUAGUAGCCAAGUAGGCCACACAGCCUCUACUAAUCAACUGCCGAGUUCGAGAAGAGCUAAUCGUCAUCGCAAACAGCGAACUCUGGCAUCCUCGGUACACAACCUCCGCCUGCCCCGGCUCUCUAAAUGUCACCGUUCGAUUCUUGCAAUCAAUGGUGGCAAAGUACUUGGUCAACCAAUCCAUGCCCAACACAACAUCAAACUCCCCGAGUUUAUGUAACACUAGCAAGUCCGCGGCAUGAUCCAAUCUCCAACCCGAACAGGGCAACUGGGGCAAAACUCCUGAAUGUCCAAAGAAUGGUCGGUUACAACAACUCGGCCCGGGUGCAACAAAGAUAUAAGUGGGAUGCCAUGCAACUCGGCAAACAGCCGGUCUAUAAAUGAAUACGAUGCACCGGUAUCAAACAAUGCUCUAACUCGAAUACCAUAAAGUAAAAUGAUACCUGCGACCACAUUCUCGGCUGCCGCCGCCUCCUCAGUCUGGGCCGCGUACAUGCGCCCGCUCGGGGCCUGUCGUGACCCCUCCGUCAGCCGCUGGACAGGUGGCCGACCGGCCUGGUGAUGCGCAGAAGACGUCCCCUGGCUGGGACCGGGAGAUGCUGGUGCGGAUGCCGAAGAUGGCGCUGGCGCUGGGCCCCUCGGACAGUCCGACUGGAAGUGGCCCUCCUGGCCACACAAGAAGCACCUACCCCGGCUGCGUGAACACUGCCGCGGGUAAUGAGGACCGCCACAGAUCACGCAGCGGGGGGCCUGACGACGCUCGGGUCCUCCUCGCUGAGUAGACUGGCCACGUCCUCGCGACUGGCUCCUGCUCCUGGGAUGCCUCGGCGGCCUCCGUGAGUGCGUCUGGCUCGCACCCUCAGCCGCGGGUCUCUUGCCCUUCCCUUUCUCCAAGCUCUCGCGACGCUCCUGCAGAUCCGCCGCUCCUGCCUCCACAAUCAAGGCUCGAUCCACAACCUCCCGGUAAGUCUGGAGGUUGGAAGACUGCACCAACCGAAAAAUAGAAGGCCGCAAGCCGCGCUCAAAGAUGCGGGCCUUGUCCUCGUCGUCCCUCACAACGAACGGUACACAGUGUAGUAUCCGGGAGAACUCCCUCUCGUACUCAGCCACUGACCGAUCAUCCUGGCGCAAGCUGCGCAAAUCCUGCUCCAUCUUCCUCUUGACGCUGGUAGGAAAGUGGUGCGCCAGAAGAAGCUCCUUGAACCUAGUCCAAGUAAUCGCUGCCAAGUCGGUGUUGGGGUUGUCCUGGAUAUCCAACCACCAACGGUAGGCCUCGCCGUCCAGAAAGUGUGUGGCGAGCCAAACUCUGUCCCGCUCCUCCACAAAGGUAUCUCGAAACAGCUUCUCCAUGUGUAGCAACCACUUCUCAACAAUCCAGUGGUCGACGUUCUCGCCAUCGAAUGUCCUCGGGCUGCACCUCCUAAACUCGCUGAGGCGCUCCAUAAGUCGAUCCCGCUCUGCUCCCUCGGCCAUCACGGGGAAUGCUGCCCCUGUCACCGGUCUCUGAACAGGUAGUGCCGCAGCCACCUCCUCCCGAGGUGCGGUCGCCGGUGCCGCACGUGAAGAACUGGGCGCGAGGGACUACGCCCUCGGUGUGACGUACACCACGGGUGCUGGCGGUGUGGGAACCUGGGUCUCCCUCGAAGCUGCAGCUUGCUGAAGUAGGAGGUCCUCAAGAUGCUUCAUCCGCGCCUCCUGACGCUGAGCCACCUCAGCCUGCCACUGCGCCACUGCCGUCUGCUGCGCCAACAGAUCAGUGAGGACCGCGAGCUGGGUCCUCAAGUCACGGACUUCGCUAGAUCCGGAAGUAGCGGAGGUCUCGACCUCCUCGGGGUGUGCCGCAUCAUCCGCCCCGGCCGACUGGGAGCGUGUAAUCGGCAUCGUCACUACAAAACAUAAAAGCGCAAGUUAAUAACUCACGCUACCGCAUCCCUACUCAAAUAGAUAAAACCCAAAUCAUGCGAAAGUAAGAAAGUGUCCUCCACUACUAACUCCCGAUGUUACGUUGUCGGCCGCCAACGUAACCCUCCGCGAAGUUAGUAGCCAUACACUCCGAUCAAACUCUAACUUUUUAGAGUUGUCAUAAAACCUAAUCAUAAUACUUUCGCUCACAAGUCAAUUAGACCUCGUCUCUCACGAGCCUAAUUCCUAUAGUCCAACCGGCCUAAGGUUUGCUAGGUCCACUAAGACUCAACUCUAGGCUCUGAUACCAAACUAAUCUAUCACGCCCCGGGACCGGCAGAGGCCCUCCCGGUAGCGUGCCCAGACCUGCCAUAUGUCAACACAUAUAAGGCGUCUACAUCAACAGCGAAAAUAAACCGAAGAAAAAUAAUAUUUAGAGAUAUCAUAGAAUAAAUAGAUCUAUCAUCUACGACAAGGUAAAAGGAUAAUACUAUGACAAUAAAAGUAAAAUAUAAGGUAAUACAAUAUCUGUCCCAAAAAGGUACACAAAAUGGUGGUCUCUAGUACACUGGUACAGCUCUCAACCUCUUAAAAAUAAAAUACAUCGAGAGGUAGACCACCUAGAACUCGUCACUCGCUGAAGAGCUAGCUCGAAGCAACGCCCUUCCCACGGUCCCUAACUUCUCUCGGCGUGGAAGGCCCUGAAAGAAAACAUAAAACAGAGGGCGUGAGAACUAUAAUUUAUAGUUCCUAGUGGGCAAUUACUAACCUCAGCUCAAUGCACCACUAGGCCCCAAAAGAAAAGGGUAAGUCAGAAAGAGCAAUAAUAACGAAUAAACUGUAUUUAUGAGAGCAUAAUUAAAAUGCUAAGCUACUAUAUUGCAAUUAAACAUGGUUUUAAAAAAUAAUGCACCUUUACUUUGUCAUAACCAAUAUGUCUCUACAUGGCUAUAAGUAAGUAUCACAGUUCACUUAUGAAGUUAUAAGGAUCAUGCUUUAUCAUGGCAACAAUGUAUAUAAGAAUGCAAUAAGCAACAUCUCCUAGCAUACUACAUGUAAGUAUGUGUACUCAAGUGUCCAAAACUAUGCUAGAAGCAAGUCCAAGUAAUCCAACUACUAAUCUCUAUCUAGUAGUGAUUAUAACACACUCAACACUGUGUCGAUUUUCAUUUCCAAUUAAGGGCCUACCCAAGGUAGUCCAGCUUGUGCCGCCUAAGUGCCUGUGGUAGCCCGACAUUCCUACUCUUGGAAUGUGUCUGUCCCACUCGACCCCGUAGGCUUCUCAAUACCGCACGAGCGAACAUAAGUCGCGUAGGCUAACUCCGGAGUGCCGGCUUGUAGGGAGCGACCCUCACAAGCAUGUGCGAAUGAGCACAAAUGGCAAGCAAGCAUAGUUAACGUCUCACGUAUCCACUCAUCAUGUCUCUAACAUGGUAUAGUCACUAGCAUCCCGAAGAUCUAGUUCUAAAUCACAAAAUGAAGUUCCAAUGUUCUCUAGGUCUAGUGCCCCUUUAUGACACUUAGACUUAUGACACUUAGACAUUCAAUAUUUAAGCAUGUUCCACAUUCCUCAAUGACCCUAUCCACUAGGUUCACCCAUGUCCCGAGUUCAAUGCCGCUUGAUGACAUUAGCUCUCUAAAUCACAUAACAUUCAAGUUCGGUGCCUCUUUAUGGCAUAUUAGUUAUCUUUCAUGACUCAAUUAAACUUAGGUUUAAAUGCAUGAAUCAAAGCUCUUUUUACACUAAGGAACAUGAUCCAACAUAAGAAUGCCAAAAAAAUCCCGCAUAAGCUUCAUAUGCUAUUCUCUACUACAUAGAGAUCCAAAAUUUCAUUACAUGUAACGUAAGCAUUUUAAGCAUUCUAAAAAGGCUAAAUUACAGAAAACCUCCCUGUAAUAACCCGCUUUUUCACUUUCCCCCCCAGACAUUUAAAAACCUACACUUUGCCCCCUUGUAAAAUAAAAAAUGUUCACAGGGAGGUCACGGUGUGUAAAAUGACCAUUUUGCCCCUCGCCAUUGUUGUCUUCUUCCUGAGCUUCCUCAGCCGCCCCUUCGAUCCGCCGCUAUUUCCACCUCAAUCGGCCAUGAUUCCUCUCCAAUUUCUUCUCCACCUGCUCCCCUUCUCCUCCUACACCGUCGCCGCCCAUCGAUUUCGGCGACAGUAGGGAGGAUACUAAGAUGGGUGUUGAUGGAGAGGUAGGUAGGGACAACGAGGGCGAAGGCGAGGUGGCGGAGGAGGACGAAAGGGAUGUGGGCGAGGGCGAAGCAGUGGAGGACGGCGAGGUGGCGAGGCGGCGAAGCGGCGAGCCGGAGGGAGCGAAGCAUCAGAGAAGAGGCAGAGGGGUAUUUUCGGUAUAAAAAAAUAUUUUUUAACAGAACCCCUAACGGAACCCUAACGGUAGGGGUGAAGUGCACAUUUUUCAUUUUACAAGGGGGCAAAGUGUAGGUUUUUAAAUGUCAGGGUGGGAAAGUGAAAAAGCGGGUUAUUACAGGGAGGUUUUCUGUAAUUUAGCCUUCUAAAAAUCAUAAUAAAUACAUUUAGUAUGAACAUGCAUCCUUUUCCAAUUUACGAAACAUAUAUCACCACAUAUGAGAAUUUCUCAUAUUAUAGGCUAGGUCAAACCCACCGAACUGUCGCGUAGUGCCUCGUUUCGCUGAACGAAGUUGUUCCCGAGUCUCAAAAUACCCCAAAAGUAUUGAGCGAAGAGAUACACGGGCAUUACGAUCAACUAUAAAAUCAAACAUUAACCAACAAGGCAAAAGGGCUAAAACUCACCUAAUGUGUAGAAAAUCUCCCUCAAGCACCUAAAGAGAGCUAGAAUCCUUCCAAUCCAACCCAAAGGAAGAUUCUAAUCCAAUUAAUUUAGCUCCAAAAGCCUUAGAUUCAAAAUGCCCAAAAUAAGCCCUAAAAUCUCAUUUUAGGGUUUCAUCUCAAAACCAUCAAUAAAAUUCAAUUCUAGAGGGAGAGAAUAAGUUGUUUACAUCUUAAAAGCUUCAAUAUAUGUUCUAAACUCUCCAAGUCCCAAGAUCUUCCCUCAACAAUCCACCAAGACCAAGCUCCAAGCUUCAACAAUGGUGGAAAAGCCAAAAAAAGGAAAAGAGAAGGAUCAAUCCACCAAAAUCCAUCCAAAAUGGAGAUCAAAACAAAGGAGGGGAAGAGAGGGCCUCACUUACCUUGUUCUCCACCCUUCUCAGCUCAGAGGAGAGCCCUAGGGGCGUGGGUGCUGAUAUAAGAGACCCACAAUCGCAAAACAUGCAGUUCAAACUGCUCAAAUUCUGCCACCUUGUACCGAUACACAGGCCCUUGUACCGGUACAAGCCCUACGAAAAGCUUCAACCCGAGGCUCGGGUUGGGGGGGUUCCGCAGCUCUGUACCGGUACAAGCACGGUAGCUGUACCGGUACAACCAUCAACCUUGUACCGUUACAACCACCAACCUUGUACCGAUACAAGACCCCCUGAAAGCUACCCGAGAGUUGGCCAAGAAUCUGAUUUUUCGGAUUUUGGUACACAGCUUUAAACCACAAUUCUCGAGAUACGAGCCAUAGGUCGGAACACUGUCAACGACCCAGCAGAAAGUCUGGAAAAGCUCAGGACACUGUCCAAACACUCGAACCUCGCAAUUUGCAAAGGUACAGUGUGCUAUAGUACCUAUCACCGGUAUAAUUAGUUCCUACUAAUUCCCGAACCAAACGAAGCCUAGGGAUUAAUAUAUGUUUAUAGAUUGUACCACCUUAACCAAAAAUAUUGGAGAUUAAUCUAUGUUUAUAGAUGUUUAUAGAUUUAUAGAUAGAUAUUUUAUAAAUAUAAAAUAGUAAUUUUGUAAUAAUAAUGGAUAAUGGAUAAUGGAUAAUAUUAUCAAGUUAUAUGUAAUUAACAACAUCAACUACAGAAAUCAAAGAUACCAAUCAUAAUUUACAAAAAAGUUAAAAAAUUUUAAAUACGUGUACAUUAAAAUAAAAGUCUACUAGAAUUACAACACCAACUUGAGAAGUGGGAGCACCAACUUAUUUAUAGUUUUUUUACAAAUAUAUUAUUUUUUAGGGAUAAAUUUUUUAAACAUAAAUAAUUUUUGAGAUAGAGUCGGAACGAAUUAUGGCGGGACGGAUUUAGAACAAAUUAUGAUUAUGAUGGGACGAAUUCGGAGCAUAUCAAAAUUUUUUUCCUUUCAUAUCCAGAAUAUGCCUCAAAUGGGUUUUUUACCCAACUAGUCUCCUCCAACACUUUUAUUUUAAAAAUAGGCCUCUGAAAUUUGUAUUGCGAAAAUAGGCUCAAAACUGCCACGUGGGCAGUGACCUGGCGAGAGACUUUAAAAGCGGUGAACCAUAUACCGCUUUCGUGUGAAAGCGGUAAAUGGUUCACUGCUUUCAUAAGAUUUAAAAAUCCUAUGAAGGCGAUGAACCAUUCACCACCUUCAUGGUGUUCCCCCGCCUGCGAGAAAGCUGAGAAAUCACUUUUAAAAGCGGUGAACGAUUCACCGCAUUUAUAAGCGGUGAACGAUUCACCGCAUUUAUAUGCGGUGAAUGGUUUACCGCAUUCAAGCUGUACUACAACAAGGCAGCAGCAACUUUGCAAAAUUUCCAUAUUAUACAAAGAAGUAAUUUUUUCAAGCACUUUAAUUACAGAAAUAAAUACAUAAAAUCAUCUAUACCAACUUCAACCACACUUUAAGCAUAUAAAAUGAGCUAUACCAAUAUCAACACAUUUCAAUAUGAAUAAAUUUAGAUAAUACUAUAAAAAAUCAAUGUAGAAAGAUCUGAAAUAUCAAAUAUACAUAAGAAUCUCAAAAAUAAUAAAAAACAUCAAGUCCCCUCCAUCCCCCUCCUAUGCUCUCGCCCUCGUUCCCUGCCACGUCCACGUCCGCGUCCACGACCGCAUCCUCGACUCCGUCCUUGAAUAUGUAUGUCAUGCUCCAUCUCAGGCUGCACGGACUCAAUGACAUGCAUCUGAUCAAUAUGCUCUGUCACGCCCCAAUCCCCGCCAAUUUGGUCGGGUUCGGAUCACGUCAACAGACGCCGAACGGACAGAGCCUCCCCUUUCCGCCCAAGGCUCUAACAACAUAUAUAAAUAGGCAAUCAACAAGAGAUUUGCAUAUAUAAUACAAGGCUUGCACGAGGGCAAGCAACAAUGAAAGCGAAAGCUCUAAGCUAAUUAAGCAACAUACAUGAUAUUUGAUUAGUAUUUAAACCAAAUUCAAGUAAAUCUAUUACAUUCUUGCAUCAUAUCUUUUUACAUUUAGUCAUCCACCAAAUACAUGAUUGUUUACACUUUUCAUUCCUAAAUCAACAAAAUAAAGUUGAUACAUGUAUAACAAGAGGGAAUGACUACAAAAUGUAUAAAGUCCCGGUGGCCGCUACCUACGGCGCCAAACCCUUGCCUCGGUCCUCCGUCGCCCCGCUCGUGCUAGGACCUGUAGGGUUAGUGGUGUGAGAACUAAACAAAGUUCCCAGUGGGCUCGGCAACCGACCUCGCCGACUUACCCACUAGGUCCAUCCAGGCAUAAGUAUUACAAAGGAAAAGAGAGGUAACCAAUGCUAAUGCAUCUAAUACCAUGCCUGCAAAAGAAUGUCAGUGGAUAUAUAUAUACUCGAUGCAAUAAUAGAAAAUGCAUGCAUGCUCAAAUCUCAAAGAAGCAUCGGCUCUUACCCAAUCUUACCGGUUAACCUUGUUAACCCCAAUAACUCACCAUUCAAAAUCCCUUAAUAGCGGGGGACUCGAACCUCCCUAGGGACCGUCAACUGGUGGGACUUUACCACGCCCAGUGGUGACCAACUCCGGAGCGCACCGCUCGAGGGGGAGCGACCUCCCUCAAGCCAAGACGAAAUGUGAGUAUCGAUCUAAUCCUCAACUUGAGGACUCAUAGCCACUAGUCACAAUGCCAAUGUCACGAUAGGUCUCUACCUAUUCAUUCUUGCCACUCUCAAGGCUUUACCUUUGACGAUGUCAUAAUUGGUUAAACUAUGUUUAACGGUUCAUCUCUCAAUGCCAAUCUUGUUUCUAUGUCAAUGUCACCAUUGUUUUCUAUUGUCCAAGUCCAACCUCACAUUCACACAACUUGAGGGUCCGAUCACACAUGUCCAAUUUGGUUCUAUCAUCCGCUAUGUUCAACUACGUUAGAAGCAUUUAAAUGAAGUCAAACCAAGUUCCACAUGUAUCUACCCUACUAUGCAUGAAUGGGUAUAUAAAUAAACAUGUAUGCUCAAGAAUAGAGAUAACAGACAUAGAAGGGAAUCCAACGAUUCCGGCGUGCACCCCCCACCUCUAUUGGUCGUGUGGGUGUAGAAUAUUAAGGCCCCCGCACUUUACGAAAGCCGAUUCCGCGCCCUAUAAUCAAAAUAGUGCCAUAUUAGGCCUUUUUGUACGUGAACUAUACUCUAUCAUUUUCGCAAUGUUAAACGAAGUUGUCCCACGCGUUUAGGACACCCCCAAAUAGGUUUCUACGGGGUCAAUUUGUCCCCGAAAAAUCCUAGGGCAAAAGCCCCAAAUCCAAGCCCUAAUAUUGUCAUUUAGGGUUUUCCAGGACUUAGCCAAAUUUUCGAGUUUUUCAGCUGUUGCGCAACGAGGGACCGGUCUGCCCGUCAGGGACCGGUCUCCCGAGGACCGGUCUCACCACCAGGGACCGGAUGCCUCAGGAUUUCCUGGCAGGCUACGCGCACGGGGACCGGUCUCUCCUUCAGGGACCGGUCCCCGAGAGCUUAAAAUCUGGGACUUAGCCAGAUUUCCAAAUUUGCUCUCCGGGUCCCUUUUUGCUCCGUUUAUGAACUCCAAUGCACUUAGGGUCCACUUUAACUCGUUCAAUUUCGCGUUCCGCUCGUUUUGACGGGACUCGGUACGAUUUACGAGGGAUGUGGUAUGUUAUAUGCUCGAUAGCGAUGCCCUCGACAAUCGGCUCCAUCCCUUGCUCAAUAGCUAAUGGUAGUAUUCCUUCCUGUGUCUCAAUAUGACCCUGUUGUCGUCGCCUACGUCGAUAUACAACAUCAUCGUGACGAACCUACAACGUGGAUGGAACAUCAGAAAGAUGGAUAGACGUGAAUGGAAUAUAAAAUAUAAUAUCUCUGACGUAGAUGGAAUAUCAAAUGGAGGGAUGGAUGCCGACGGAAUAUCAAACUGCACUUCCGAUGUCGAAGGGACAUCAGAUGGAUGAAUUGGGACGGAUGUCGAUGGAAAAUCAUACGCAGGCAUCGCAGUGGAGGGAAUAUCACCGAAAUCAUAUGCAGGCGCGGAGGUAGAGGGAAUAUCACCGAAAUCAUAUGCAAGUGUGAAGGUGGAGGGAAUAUCACCGUAAGCACCAAAAGUCGGAGAAGAAACAUCCGAAUGCCCUGUCACAAGUAAUGUUGAAAAGCUCUCUAACACACUCUCGAGAUCCCACCUCACAUGUGCUAGAGCAUCCAUCAUUCUAGAGGGCUCCGUAGGAUCAUCUAUCAAAUGACUGAUACUGCUAACAGCAUGCCACAUAGCAUACACCUGUAUAAACAUACAUAAUUAUAUAUAAUGAAUAUUCUUAUAUUAAAAUAAACUAUAAAAUAAAAUAAUCUUACCAAUCGUCGCUCGACAUUCCCAAGCGGCAAAAAAGUAAGUGGAGGUCGCUGUACAGGACGAGAAAUACACCUUUGUGUGAUCCACCAAUACCACUGCAUGUACACAGAGGUAGCUCGUAUUGGAUCUGAAUCGACGAAAGGACUCUUCUCCACAAUAUGCUCCAGACGAUCUGCCCAACGCUGAAUAUAUGUAGCAUGAAACGCUGCCCAGUCCUCGCCUGAUCUACCCUGCGAGGUGAUCCUCUGUAUAGCUUCUACGGGCUCUGGUAUAUGCUGCAGCAAUCCAAACUGACGCAGAACUUUAUCAGGUAAAUGUAGCUCGACAAUAUGAAAACAUAUCAAACUAGUUCUCGAACACCAGAUUGCAGAGCCCUCAAGACAAAAUGCAGCAAGACCGAUCAAAACAUCCUCCGUAUAGGGCAUCCAUGUAAUCUGUACAAGUGUAUUAAAAAAAAUGAAUGUAAAAUUUUAGAAUGUAUAUGCAUGUAUUUAAUUUAUGAAAUCUAUAUGUACUUGUGACUCUCUCUACCGAUCUAGCAUCGCGAUAAAACUCAAUGUCAGUUAUCCUGACAUUUCCACGAAAUCGCAAUCCCAUUUUCCACCUGCAGAAGUGAUUAAUAAUAUAUUAAAUUAUUUUAUAAUAUAUCAAUACAAUAUCAAUAUUUUUUAUUUUAUUAUAUUAUAUUUUAAAUACAUAGCAUAUCGACAACCCAAUGGACAAUCAUGGAGAUCCGGUGGAGCUCCAACUCGAUCGAGACGUCCAAUAUGUAUAUGGUCCCAUGCCCAUAUCUAAGAACAAAAAAAAGUUAACUAUAAAAUUAGUAAAAGAAACUAAGUUAUAAGUUAUUAGUAAAAAAAAAAUAAGUUAUAGUGAUUUGACCUAUAGUAGUGUACCAAAAGCACAACACUCGGCCUUUCCUUUUAUAGAGGCAUUCCCUAAUGCCCGAUAGAGAUGGGCCAAGAUAGCUGCGGCCCAAGCUAGGCCUCCGCAGAGCUUGAUCUAGCUGUACUCGUUUGAGGCGAGAGACGUAGAAAAAGCCAGCAUGUCGUAAGUGCUCUAUCACUCCCGGAUGCUCGACUGUCCAUGUGUUCAGUUUACGGCCAUGCUUCAUAAACUGAACUGGCGCGUACCCCUGUAAAGUUUAUUCACUUUUUAAAUUACAAACUUUUUUGUAAAUGCAUAACUUAACAUACCUCUGAUCGCACAUAGCUCGACCGAUGCCUAUUCUGGUCUGAUAGAACUAAUAGAUCAACUGACCCGGGAUCCUCGUGAUCGUCCAUCUGCAAAAUAAAAUAUACAAAUUAGUGACUAUUAAUUGAACGUUAAAAGAUAAAUCUAGAAAUAAAAAUACCGUAGAUAGUCAAACAUAAGUCAUCAACCUAAAGCUCUACGUCUACGGCCUUCAUUUGUUCUAUCUUGAUUAUUUGGACAUGUAGUCCUAUAAUGUCCCUGUUGUUUACAAAUAGUGCACAUAGUUCUUCGCAUUCCUUCUCUCUCGUCCAUGGCAUUUUGAAUAUGAGUUGAUCUCGGACGGCCUUUCUUUCUCCUUAUAGGUGGUGGUGCUAGUGGUGGUCUUGAGGGCGUGGCCAGCUUCUUUUGUCUGGGACGGUGAAAUUGCGGGAAGUAAGCACGACGAUAAUUCUCACAUGUAUACCAUUCAGAACACAGACUAUAGUAGUCAAUGUUCAUUUGACCAUUACUGCAUACAGCUAGAAGAUAUGAGCAUGGCAACCUAGUGAGCUCAAACUGAUGGCAUGAACAAGUCGAGCUUCUCCCGUCAAGAACCACCUCAAAUUGUCCAUUUCCGGUAGUAAUUUGAAACUCGUUUACUCCGAAAUGAUCCAUACGGUGUCCUCUUGCGAUUAUCAUACAAUUCUUAAUUAACGCCUCCUGUUUUGGUGCCAAUACUGUAGAGUAUAUCUCACCUUUAUCACGGCGCUUAACAAAAUAAUUGUUCACCUUAUAAAAUGUAGUAGCCACAAAUGUUGUGAUAGGUAAACCACGUACACCUUUAAGCACUCUAUUUAAACUCUCCGACCAAUUUGUCGUCAUUGUUCUAAAACGCCGUCCUCCAUCAAAUGCUCUCGCCCAAUAUUCCAUUUCCCUUUGGAGCUCGUGCACCCAAAGCCAUGUCGCCGGAUCCAUUUCUUUCAACUGAUCCUUAUGCUUGUUGCAGUUGCAGCACAUCCUAUGUCCGUAUAAAAUUUAUUGGGCAAAUUUGCAUUUUUGAAACUAGCUUUUUUCAUAUUAGCCUUCAUAUGGCGGAGGCACCAACGGUGAGCAUGUCCCUCGCUUCUCGAAAACUCCUCCGCAACAAUCUCCUUUAAUCCAGGAAAGCGGUCUGAAAUUAAACAAAUAGAUCGAUCACGUGUCACUAAAACCUUUAAAUGUUCUAAAAACCAACGCCAACUAGCCGCAUUUUCUCCCUCACAAAUAGCAAACGCCAAUGUAUAUAACCUAUUAUUGGCAUCUACACCCGUCGCAAUCAACGCAUGCCCUUGAUACUUUCCAUACAUAUGAGUUCCAUUAAUGCUCAACAAUGGUCGACAAUAAGAAAACCCAUUAAUUGACGGCCCGAAUGCCCAAAAUACUUGUCCAAACUGCCUAACGUGAUUUGGCAGGAUUUUAGGAUUAAGACGCUAUUGAGUCCCGGGAUUCACGCGCUGUAGUAUAGAUAGGAAGUAACCAAGAUCGGUGUAUAACUCCUUCCAACCACCAUAAAUGAUCUAUAGUGCUUUACUUCUAACCUGCCACGCUUUCGAAUAAGGUAUGUCUACAUGCAAUUCAUUACGCACCUUUUCUUUAAUUUUCGCCGGUGUCAAAGUAAGCUUUACCCUCAAUGAUGGGAGAAUAUAUCAACAUAUAAGAGAUGAAGUACAGUUUCGAUGUGCAGUGUUAAGCACCGGCACUAAACAUGUAUGUUGGCCAGCAUAUGUUUUAACUCUAAAGUAACUCACAUCCUUUGGUACCGAUGCAUGUAAUCUCCAAGGAGAUGAGUCUACCAUGCAUCUAACUGUAUACGCCUUUGUCGUCGACUUUAUUACUUUCAUUUGCACGUUGUGAGCAAUAUGCCAUUCCCCAAGAGUGUGUAAUAAACUUGCUUUAUCAUGAAAUACCCGACCAAUCCAUAAGUCAUCAAUGGUAGGAGGGGGCUGUUCAAUCUGCGGACGAUCAAAUUCACCGUUAUCGACCACAUACUGGUCAAUCCAAUCGUUAUCUUCCACAAAUUGCUUUGGGUGAUCUAUGAACUCUGCACCUUCAUUUGGAUCAUUAACAUAUUCAUUAUUGGCAAUUGGAUCAUCACCCUCAGUAUAUAUGAUAUCCGCGAGGACCCCCAGUCCGCCAUCAUGAUCUGCAUCAUAGUGAUGACCUUCUGCCACAAUGUUCUCAUUUACGGCCAAAUGUGAAGGUUCAUAUUCAACACCCUCAUGAUCAGUAGUGUAAUUGUCUUCAGCUACUUAUUGUUGCACUUCCGCCCGAUUUCCUAUGCCGUCAUUUUCGGUUCCCAAUAGAUACGAUCCAAAGUCAUGCACAUAAUGAGAGUUAUGAAAUCUGCAAUUAUUUCGUAAUUAAUCACUUUCUAACUAAAUAAAACAGUGAAUGAUUAAAUUAAUUCUAGCGUAUUAUAAUCCUUCUUCACAUGAGACGCCUUGCUCUCUAUGAAGUGGGGCAUGAGAACUAGAAGCCGUGGCAUGAUAAAUAGUACGUGGGAGGGGAGGAGGAUCACCAACAACUAUAUUUGAAAAUUCGUACUCCCUACAAUUGAUGGAAGAAGGAAAUAUAAAUAUUUGUUAUAUUAAAAUAAUUAUAUAAAAUUCAUAUUUUGCAAUACUAACCUAGGUGCAUUUGCUCCUCCUCUGAUAUCAGUAUGAAAAGGUUCUCUUUCAGGGCUAGGGGAUAAUACAUUGUAACAUAUUGGACCUUUGCAAAUUGCAAGGUUCGAGUGUUUGAUUUGGAUUCUGAACCUUUCCACGUUUUCUGGAGGGUCGUUAACAGUGUUCCGACCCAUGGCUCGCAUUCCUAGAUUUUUUUGGUUUUGUCCUGAGAGUUUAGCUCUCGGGGACCGGUCCUUGGUAGGAGAGACCGGUCCCUCGUAGCUAAGGUUGCGGCUGACAGCUAAUGCAACCGGUCCCCUGGCCAAGGAGUACGGUUCCCGAAUGCGUGACUGUGGGAGGGUCCUGAGGGACCGAUCCUAGGGAGGGAGAGACCGAUCUCUCUGCCCGAAAACUGCCCAGUCCAGGCAGUGCGUAGGUUGAUGAGUUGAGGGGGCUGGUUAGAUAUUGUUGCUUGAGAGGGGGUUAUAUGGUAUUUUUCCUCUCUUUUUCCCUCAUUCCUCUCUUACACUCUCUCUGACACCCUCUAGAAAGAGAAGAAGAAGGAAAAUAAGGAGGAGAGGAAGGAGAGCAAGCAUUGGAGGAUUUUGGACAUCUCCCUCUCCCUCUCUUCUCACCAUUGGAAGCUUGGAGCUAGUGGUUGGAGCUUGCUUGAGGGAAGAUCUUGGGAGCUUGUGGACUUUGAGCUUGGUUUGAAGCAUCCUAGAGGUUAGUGGUUAGUUUCCUCCCUUUAGAUUAGAGCUUUAUGCUUUUUGUUUGUAGAAACCCUAGAUUUUGAAUUUUAGGGUUAGGUUUGGGGAUUUUUGAUUUGGGAGCUUUGGAACCAAAUUGAUGGGUUUUGAACCUUUGUAUAGGUUGGAUUGGAAGGACUCUUACUCCCAUUUGGAGAUCGAGAGAGGUAUCUUCGCACUUGGUGAGUUUUCCCCCUUUUCUUGUAUUGGUUUAUGAUCGACCCCAUAGUUGUUCGUUUGCUUCUUUGGUCUCACUUUUUGAUGCUUCUAGGAUACUAGGAGGCUAGUGGGCACCUUCGUCGGAGCAAACGAAGGGUUGCGGUAACCUCGGUGGGUUUGGCUUCAUGAGAUCGGGGCAAAAUGGCCCCUAUGCGUUAUAUGCUUGUCGUAACGUCAAAAUAAUUUCAAAUCCAUGCUAAAUAGGAUUUAUGUGAAUUUUAGAACACUUAAAAUGCAUGUGUUAUGUAUAAUAAAAAUUUCACUCUAUAUAGUAGAGCUAUGUGUGUAGGCUGCAUGCAUGUGGAAGUGUUUAUCUUUGCGAGUUGAUUACAUGUCUCGUGCGAGGGAAAUGAUUAGAAUUAUGUAUUCAUGAACAUAAUUAUCAUACUUUGACUUAGUGAACAAAAGUAUCAUGAAGGGGCACAUGAACUAGCAAAUUAGAAAACUGCAAUAUAGAGACAUAGUGAUAGGCCAUUGACAUCUACUAUAUUCCAUGUUUUAGACAUGAUAACAUAGAGAUAGGCCAUUGAGACAUUUGAUACAUUCUAUGUUUUAGACAUGACGACUUGAGACUCGAGACUUGAGACAGAUCUUAUGCUUACUUGCCUUUGUGCUCAUUCGCACAUGCUUGUGAGGGUCGCUGCCUACAAGCCGGCACUCCGGAGAUAAUCAUCGCGUCAUCUGCUCGCUCGUGCGGGAUUGGGCGCCGAGGUGGAUUGCCAUGGGCAAGGCUCAUUCCUAGAGUGGGGAUGUUGACUACCACGGGGCCAUUAGGCACGGCACAGGCCAGACAGCCUACGGGUGGGUCUUCAGGCCAGACAGCCUUUGGGCGGGUCUUACAGAAUUGGAACUAUAUGUAGUUGACAUGCCAUGUGGAUAUUGACUAGAAUAGUAGACAUUGACAUUUUACUAUUACAUUGUGGGCAUUAUGUUGGUUGUAUACUCGCGCAUAUUCAUGAUAGAAUAGCUUUCUUACUUAUGCGAAUUCAUGCUAAGUAGAGACCUCAUGUGUUAGCAAGUAUUUAUGUUCAUUUACUCGCCGUACAUGUCGCUUUUACUCAUCUACUCACUUGCUUAGUUUUGAGCCUAGUGGCGCUUUUCACUGAAGUCAGUAAUUGCCCACUGGGAACUAUUAAUUAAUAGUUCUCACACCCUCUGUUUGAUGUAUUUUUUCAGAACCUUCAGCACCGGCGGAGGCACGGGAUCGCGGUAAGGGAGUCGCAUAGCUAGUUAGCGCGGAGCUUGCUUUUGCUCCUAGGUGGUCUACUCUCUUUUUGGGUCUUUUGGCGAGAGAGAGUUUUGUUACCAUGUAUAGAGACCACCAUUGUACCACUUAUAGCACUUGUAUUCGAAUUUUUGUUAUUCUACUUUAUAUUUUAUUUUAGUGGAUAUUAGCUUUUGUUGUAUUCUCCUGUUGUAGAAUCCAGUAGUACUUUGCUCUGAUAUCGAUAGAUCUCUUUGUAUUAUUGUUUUAUUUAUUGCUUAUUUAUCAUUUCAUUUUAGACGCCUCGUAUGUUCUAGACAUAUGGCGGGUCUGGGCACAUGCUGGGCGGGCUUCCGCUGGGUCCCGGGGCGUGACAUACAUCCACAUUAAAGUCACUAUUUAACAUUCUAGAAUAAUACCCCUGAGAUAAAAUCAUCUGUUUUUCAAUGAAAAUUAUCAAACACGGAGGGUUUCCCAACAAUGCCAUCGCACCACACAGUGAGUCAUCGUCCGUAACUUCAACCAUAUCGAAUUGAUUCAUCUCGGUCGAAUAUCGGACUUUGAUAAUUAGACGAUACUCAUCUCUCGGAGUAUCGGUUAAUCUAUAUAUUUUUCUUUUGAAUUCUGUAAAUGUAAUAUCCACUGGAAUACCACUUAAUUUCUUACGACCGCCAAUGCAUUUUGGAUUAUUAUCGUGCUCCAAUAUUUCUCCAUUCCAACGAAUAACAAUAGCCACAUUACUACGCGCCAUCCUAACUUAAACAAAAUAUAAAAUUUGUAAGAAAUUUUGAUACCUAAGUUUUAUAGAGGCCAUAGUAUGAAUGCAAAUUUGAUACAAAGUUUGAAAUUUUGAUACAAAUUUGUAAGAAUUUUGUAAGAAAUUUCCUCUAUUACAAGUACGAGAUUUUGAUACCUAAGUUUUAUAGAGGCCAUAGUAUGAAUGCAAUUUAAAUGUCCCAAAAAUACUAUCCUUCACAAAAGAAACCAACUACGACAUUAUUACAUCUCACAUCUCGGUGUUGGGCUCUACCAUUAACCUAAUAUGAUUUAAAAUGUGAUCUAAAAGUGUACAUACCAUAAAAUAUAGACAAAAUAUAGUGAAAUAACACAAUAAUUUACAAAUAAUCAACUCUAUUUUAAAAACAAUUACAUUUUUUCCAAACUUCUCACCACUAACCUAAUGGAACAAUGUCCUUACAAUGCUGAGGAGAGAGGGCACGGCAGAAGGAGUACAGUCGGCGCCGGCGACGGUGGCAGCGACGGCGGCGUCGGACUCGGGUCGGAGUGAGUGAGAUAGAUAGGAGCGAGGGAGCGUGCGGGAGAUAGAGAGGAGGAGCUCGGGAGACGAGCUCGCGCCGGUGAGUGAGAGAGAAAGGAAAGGGGUUCGGGCGGGGGCUUAGGGUUUACCGCAUUUAAAAGCGGUGAAUGGUUUACUGCAUUUAAAUACGGUAAAUAGUUACCGCAUUUAAGAAUGCGGUAAACCAUUUACGGUAUUUUUUAUUUUUUAAUCCUUGUUCCGUAAACCCACAUAUGCGGUGAAUGGUUCACCGCAUAAUGAUACGGUAAAUCAUUCACCGCAUUUAAUCCACUGUACCUACCCGGAGCUGACCUAGUCUAUUUGAGGACUAUUUUUACAAUAAAUAUUUUAGGAGGUCUAUUUUUAUAAAUAAAAUUUUCAAUAAAAUUAUUUAAAAAAAAAAUUUGCCUCAAAUCAUAAAAAUCUCCCUAUUUUCCGUCCCGUUUUAGUUUUUUUACCUCGAUUUUCUGCCCUCAAUGAAGGCGGAUUAGGGCAAAACCUCCCACCAACCCGCAUCCAUUCGCAUCCCUAGCCGGCUGGCCCCUGCAGUGCAUCUGCGGCGUAGAGUCACCUCUUAUAUUCCCCUUCUCUCUCAGCCCUCUCUCUCUCUCUCCUCUUUGUGGUUGUAGGAGUAAAUUAUACCAUUCACACGUUCUUACGCAACCGUCGUCGGCGCGUGCGGGUGCGCGGCGUGAAGCAGAAGAAGUAGAUCAGGUCAGGGGAUCGGAGAUCGGAGAUGGGGCGGCUGUUCUUGAUAAGCCUUGAAGGGAAGAUCUACAGCUGCAAGCACUGCCAAACCCACCUCGCCCUCGCCGACAACAUCGUCUCGAAGGUCCUCUCUCCCCUCCCUUCAACGUACCGCCCCCCCCUCUCUCUCUCUCUCUGUAUCUGGAUGAAAUCCUUUCUUUAUCGUCGAUUGGAAUUCCUGAGGCAUCAGAUGUCAAUUUCUCGCGGUCGAUCCCGGUGAUGCUGAAGAACAAAUUGUGAAAUUUUGUGAUAUUCGUUGCGAUUCUUUUCUCGAUGAUUCUUUUCCUUUGCUUUUACACUUUUUUUUUUUCCCUAAUUAGCCGUAGGCCGCCAACCUUCAUCUGCAUCUGGCUGUUCAAGUUAUGCUGUUCCCUGAUUGAGUUUUUCUCUUAUUUUGAUCUGUUAUCUAAUUAAAUUGGAUUUUUAAUGUAAUUUUGCAGCAGUUGUGUUGGAUCUUUUCACUUUCUUUUUGUUAUUACUGCUUUGUUUGAGAUGAUUUCUCCGUCUGAGACUGGAUGCCCAAUUCGCGUCCAAAUGUAGUAUUGAUCGAUUGCACAGGAAGAAGAGCCUAGCUGUAGCUUAAAAAAGCCCAUCUGAAAAUGUACACUCCACAAAUAGCCUAGAGGGUUGCCAUGGAAAUCGACAAUCAGAGCAUGUAUUCGUGCUGCUGGUUUUCCACAGUCCAUACUCUUGCAUCUAUGGUUUGAAAAUGAAAAGGAAAUAGAAUUUAUAAACUAUGAUUUAUAAACUAUGGUCUUUGGUGGGUUGCUGUACAUAAAUAUCAAUGUUUUGACCAAAAGUUAAAAUGUUUUGUUGGCUGAACAUUUUGCUCUAGUGCGGAACGAUUAUUGAUAACCUCUUGCAAGAUUGUUUUCACUCUCAGGAGAUCACGAAUUCAACUGCUUGUAGUAAGUAGCAUAAACCCUGUUAAUUGCGCAGACCAAUUAGCUUUUUGAUGUUGCUUGUUACUGGUAGAGUCUAUACAGAACAAUUUUUUAUUUUGUAAGUCAAGACACUUUGAAACUAGAUUAAUAGAAGCCCUUUAAUUGUGAGUAAAUUGAUGCUUUGUAGUCUUAGAUAAGCUUAAUGGUGGUCCAGAAGAUGUUCAACUUUUUUUUAUACGCGUUCGAGUUUUAGCCGUAUCCGCUUCUUUCGCCCACUUUAAUUGCUAGGGAGAAGUUUCUUUAAUGUUAGAUACUCACUUUGGAAGUUUUUUCCCUCCGAAGGCAUGCCAAUAAUUAUUGCGUCAAUGAAGGUAUCAAUAUAUAAUUCUGAAUCUUAUUGAUGAAUUGUUUUCAUUAACAAGCAGUCCUUGGACUUUCCAAAAUGAAGCUAAACCUUCAUUGCUUAGUUCAAGCCUACUUGCUAAAUAGCGUGUGUGAAAAAUAUUAGGAAAAUUCCAUCAUCAAGGUUUCUAGAGUCUAGUGCCUAGACUCUAAUGUACGCAAGUCUGGUUUCCUUUGGGUCUUGAUUUUUAAAUCCCACCUUACCUUACUUCUCAAAGAAAACAAAAUUAAAUGUUUCUGCCGGGACGCAACAUGUACAUCUGCCUUGAGGAACUGAUUCAAUGCUGCAUUGCGUACUGCUAUACCUGCUAGAUAUGCAAACUACUAAUGUAAUCAAAGACUAGAACAUCACAAGCUUUAUUAAAUGUAAAUCUGAGACGAGAAGUGCAUGCUUAAGUACUCCUGUUGCCAAUUUGCCAUUAAGAAAUCUGAGGCACUUGUAGAACUGCAGUCAUUAACUGAGAGAAUUAUAUGGAACACUUAUAUUGUUUCCCUUGAAAUUUUUGUGCUCUAGUUUUAUCUUGAUUAAAUGGCAGUAUAAUAAGCCGUAGUCUAACAUAAUGUUUCUGUGUAAAUUGUGUUUGUACAUAUUUAAUUCAUAAGGUUGCAUCUCAUCUUCCUAUUUGCAUUCUAUCCAGGCAUUUCACUGCCGGCAUGGGAAAGCUUAUCUCUUCAGUAAGGUGUAAGUAGCUUAAUCCUUGCAUAAUUGUCAACAGUAGGGCAUUCUAUAGUCUAUUUACUUGUUUUUUGAUGAAAAGGGAAGUUUUGCUAUACAAUUCCAUUUUUUCUUUUCUACAUGGCUGUUCCUUAUGUAUGAUAAAACUUUUGGUUCGCCAAUACUUAGCUGUAUGUUAUGUUUCUUGCACUACCUAUGAGUUCUUGUAAUUUAUCAAAAUGUUCUCUUUUUUUCAUGAUCACAUUGAAUACCUGACGAAUCCUUCUAUUGUCAAGCCAUUAAACUACAACAUAUGUCAUGGAAAGAAAUUUUAUAAUUCAAGAUUGAUCCACAAUUUGACCCUGUCCAUAUGAUUCACGAUCUAAUUUUGACAUGGACCUCAUUGUUUAAAUUCAAUAUUAAUCAUUGCUCAUGAAUUUCCGUUUGUAAUCUGCUAUCUUUAACUAACCUAGGCUACUUGAUUUGAAAGAGUUCAUAACGAGUCAAUCACUUCUUGACGUAACCAAUGAUAUAAAACCCUGGUCGAGCCGGCCAGUUCGACCGAUCCGAUCGUGACCUAGUCUAUAAUGCAGUUCGGUUCAAUCUGUUAAACAGGAUAAAGCCAAAAAACUAUUUUGAACCGUUUGAACCAGUGGUUCAAUCAUCAAACUGGUGAAUUGGUCCAGUUUUAAUCAAACCGGCCUGAUUUUUUGGUCAAGCCAUAUUAAAAUCUAACGGCUUAAAAUCAACUUAACUAAUUUUAUUUUCUAUUAACAGAUUAAUCUUAUAAAAAGUGAAACUUACAUCUACUUCAUUUGGUCUAGAAAUUAGUAUUUUAUAACUAGGUAUGAUAUUAAAAUAAUAAUAAUAAUAUAUGCAUAUUUUUUCAUAUAAUAAAAUUGAAAAUUAUAAUUAAAUAUUUAUGCUGCUAUGUUGUUGUCAUUGGAACUAGUGACCCUUGAUCUAGUAACAUUUUUGGGUCACUAUUCGACCCAGCUUUUUAAACACUGCAUGUAACCAUGAAAAGUGUAUACUAUUCAUCUUUGCUUGGAAAUUUUGAUUCCUAGUGUAACUUUUGGAGGGCUGCACCAUGUUCUUAUUGAUUUUCAAUUUUUCUGCACAAUGUUCUUUGAGGUCUAGCAGACAACACUUGGAUGAUUAGUUUGUGCAGGACGGUUCUGAAGAUCAUAUUACUUGCAUACUAUUCGUUUUGGAUGGCUAAUCCACUAGCUGACAUUAACUCAGAAGUCGGCCACUUGCAUGUAGUGUUGUGAGCUAUUGAUCAAGUACUUAGGCGUUACUUCUUCCUUGUAACCAUUUUACUUUGUUUGGAGCAUCUGUGAUCUCAUAAGAUACCCUGUACUAUUGAGAUGAUAGCAACGGAAAAUUAUACCGGGGUUUAAAUUGGUUUGCUCUGGAAGACCUUCAGUUCCUCCUUUGGAGCUAAAAAAGGCCUCGCAGGCAAUUGGCCGUAGACGCAGAGUCCAAGUUAUGGCUCUGUGAAUGUGUAUGUUUGCAUUAUCAUAUAUCUAUUUCACUGGUUAGGUCCCUCAACUGUUGAAGAUGUUGAAGCUACUUUCAGAUGCUGACCAGUAAGCAAGCCUUAGAAUAAGCUCAAGUGCAUUCUUGUGCAAAUGGAGAAUUGUCAAGAGAUUAAAUUACCUUUUAUCCUCUUAAUCACCCAGCACCAAAAAGAACAGAAAAACUAUUGCUUGAAUGCACUGGUGAAUCCUUUUCCUGCUGCACUAGAAGGGGCAUUCUGCUCUUUUGCAGGCCUAUAACAGAUAAAGGGGAUGUUAUCAGGUUUUUUUUGAACUAAUCUCAUGUUUGUGGUUAACGGCUAAUUAAUAGUUAGUCAUUUUAUGAAAAAUGUCAUGUAUUUCAGAAAAUUUGGAUUAUCCAGUGCUUGUCCUAUGAGAAAGAUUAACCUUGAGAUCAUACCUCUGCUAUCCUGUUGUGUGACCUUCUGGCAUAUAAGUCAUUCUAUACUUUUUGUGAUGCUCAAUGCAUUGUUAAUCUUCAUCUCAUUAUGAACAGUGUGAAUGUGACUGUUGGAAUCAAAGAGGAGCGCUUGAUGAUGACUGGGAUGCACACUGUUUCUGACAUUUUCUGUGUCGGUUGUGGCUCCAUUGUUGGUUGGAAAUAUGUAAUAUGGCUAUGUUGCAUUUUGAUCUGUACUCUCAGGCUCUUAGGCAUUGUGCAGACGGCUAAAUGUUGACUUUGUUACAGGAAGCUGCUUACGACAAAGCUCAGAAGUACAAGGAGGGGAAAUUUAUCCUUGAAAGGUGUUCUUUGAACAUUUUAGUUCUUGUGCAUGCUUUUUAAUAAAAACUAUCAGUCAAAAUAUAAAUCAAAUUCGGCACAAUGUUUGAUAAUUGUUGCUUAAUGUUACGUGCAUUGCAUAUUAUGGGUAGAGCUACUGAAUAAGCUUUUCUACGAGCAGGUUCAAAGUGUCGGGCCCUGAUGGAAGCCACUACUGGGUGACUCACGACACUCACAUGGGUGGUAGCGACGUCGAUGAUGCAAAUGAAAGUUAGAAAUGCUCCAUCAAUUUCUUUCAACUGUAAAUAAAUCAGUUUGUUGUUACUGUUCUCUGUCAACUUUCUCUCUGCAUGAAGACUUAUUUAUCUGCGUUGUUGAUGUCGUCUUAUGUAUAUAUCAUUCUGAAAGGGGUGCUUCUUCGUCAUCACCUGCUAAAUGUUGGUGUUAGUGCAAAAUAAUCAAUUAGCAGAUAGUUGAAUUGUUUUAUCAUUGCUGCUAAGAGUCUGCCUAUUUCCAAUGCUUUGUUCAUGCACUGGAAUUGUAAACAAAUCCAGAUUCAGCCAAAUUCUUCGGAACAACUGGAAGGGCCUGAUAGUCGGUCGGUUGUUAUUCGUUUGAGGUAGUAGCAAACAAGGUACCAUUACACUCUUAUAUUGCUUCUGCUUACGCUCUAAAAUAUAGAUAGUCGUAGGUCCCGCGUCGUAUAGAAAGUGCUAAAAAAUUCAAACCUUUGGCCGGUAAUAAGAUCGUGUAGAAGGACUAGAAACCGAGUGUAAGGUGUUUUCAAAUAUUCUUUAGAACGCAAAUGAUUUUAAACAAUGAGUGUCAGAGAGCCAAAAAAAACUUUUGUUCCUCGUUUUUGUUGUUGCAUGUCACGUCUUGGAACCCGUUGGAAAAGUAUAUUUGCAAAAUCGUUCAUUUGGAAAUCAGAGUUUAUGAAAAAGUGUUUACUUUUUAAAAAAAAUCUUGUUCGAGGCACGCAUAGAUUUGCCACACGUACAGAUUUUUUUCUAUUCAUAAAGACAGUUUCUUUAUAUGCACGUUGUAGGACAAGUAAUACAAUGGCAAUCAUAACAACAAACUGAAUGGAGGAAUCAUCAUAAUAGCUACAAAGUAUAACUGGUCCACAAACCUUAAUAAAGAAUCCAAAAAUUACCAGAAUAGAAAAUUUUAAAUCAAAUCUAAACUCAAAGCUAAAAGUUCAAGAUCAACAUGAUAAGAGAAAUAAUAAAUAGAAAAUAAAUCAGGAACUAGCAAUCAAAAUUCAUAGCAUAAACUAUCUAAAUGCUAACUAAUCACGUCCUCACGCAGCGCCCAACCCCACCAAGUGAGAAAUAUAGAACUAUGUUUUGCAGUAAGAGCAACUAGCUGCUGAAGGCAAGCCACGCUUGCUGUUGAACAAAAAAGUGGGAUAAAAAGAUAAAUUCAGAUAGUCAACUGAGAUAUAAGAAUAAUUAACUAUAAUAUGAACCGACUAUUCCUAGCGCAAGUGACAAAGGGCUUCGUGGUUGAUACCCGAGGUUCCAAGUACGAAUCCUAGUGGAUUCACAUUUCUAGCUAAGUUUAUUUCUAAAGAAAAUAAACGGAGCCAGUAGCAUGCUAUCUUUCUCUCUCAAAAAAAAAAAAAAAAACUAUAGUAAUAUGAAGAUAAACUGCUAAAGAUCAAUAGAUGAGUAGCACGCCCUGAGUUGUAGCCAAACUCAGGCUCAUCAAUAGAUCUGCCGCAUAUACAGGAAGCUCUGUGCACACGAAGCGAAAGAAGUACCUGUAUACGAUACAAGGUUUUUCUCGUCUCGCCUAGGUGAAUAGCAUGUUUCAAGCUUCUUUGCUUCGAAGAUAGAUUCUUGAUCCAUUCUAGGUGGUUAUGUACAUAAAUUAAAGUACUGAUUUGAGAGGAUUUGAACUUCUAGGAAGUUCCAAAGUAGAUUCGGAGGGAAUUCCGUUAUGAAGUUUAAUCGUUCUAGGUUCAAAAGCAAGGUAGGUGAAUUGGGAGUAGAAUUAAUUUACUCAAUAGUUAAACCACAAUGGUGGAAUAAUAUCCAAAUUUGAUUACGGUACGUGCGUAGUCAAGUUUUGGAAAUAAAACUUUCUUUAAGUGGGGAGUAAUAUAGAAACCGAAAUUUUUUAAAAUUUUUGGAUUUUCGAAAAUUGGGAUAACUGAAUAAUUUCGGAAAGGGGGUAGCCUAUUUAUGCAAAACAAAUAAUUUUCAGUAGAACGAAAACUGUCACCCUCAAGGUCUGACAGUGCUGGAAGUCGUGGUAAGGUCCGUUUUUAGAUUUUGUGUGACAAAAGCACAGUUUAAAGCAAAUUAUGUCAAGCGGUCAAUUUGAAAAAAAUAGGUUUUUCAACAAAAGGUGCGACAUUUUAUUUGUCAAAUUGUAUAAAAAUUCAUAAAAAGGUGCCACUGGGCAAAAUACAUGCAUUGGUGAGUUUUCGAUAAGAAACACAAGGGUUGGAGGGAUUAAUUGCAACUUUUACAAAGUGUGAAAAAGAAGUACUUUGCGAAGGAGUUAUUAUUUUAUGUAAAAACUUUUACAAUUUUGGUGAGCGGAAGGAUCUACUUGAAAAAGUAGAUCAGUUUGGGAAUGCGCGACACAAAUUUCAUGCUAUCUAUGAAAGUGGUGCUGAGAUGAAGUCAGAGAGAGAGUUUGAUUGGUGGGCGUUUUCAUAAAAGACGCGAUUGUUUAUGAAUAAAAUGAUGCGGAAUUUCAGGAAAUGGUACUAAUGUGCAAGUGUUGUGUGCUGGUAUGGGCUAGGACUGAAUAUUUGAGUCUUAGGGGAUAUAUAUAUAUAUAUAUGUAUAUAUAUAUAUAUAUGUAUAUAUAUAUAUAUAUAUAUAUAUAUCUAUAUAUAUAUAUAUAGUAUAUUCUAUAUGUAUAUAUAUAUAUAUAUGUAUAUAUAUAUAUAAUAUAUAUAUAUAUAUAUAUAUAUAUAGGCUAUAUAUAUUAUAUAUAUAUAUAUAUGUAUAAGGGGAGCAAACCCUAACCCUAGGGAUUUCCAUAUGAGCCCUGUACUGCCGCCGCGCCGCUGACCUCCCCAGCAAGUUUUAUCUAUCUUCUUUCUUUCCCUCUUUUUCUCUCUUCUCUUUCUCUCUUUCUAUCUCUAGCUCUCUCUUGGGGCUGGAUGCGGCUACCACCGUGGCGGCAAUGACGGCUGGCUUUAGGGUGCAAGCGACCCUCUAUGUGGCUGUUGCCACCACCCCUGCCCUCUCAAGGCUCUAUUGUAGGCAGACUUCCUUGGAUGAAAUGCUUGGCCACAGCCCUCUCCGCCGCCUGCUCGCCACAGGCCACCUCACCUAUGGGCCCCCUCUUCUCAAAAUAAUAAAUGGCUUGAUUUGCACUUUGUCAAUUUAGCCAAAGUUCGGUAUUUUACAAUCCAAAGAAAAACACUUUCGAAUCCUACUUCCGGGGCCUAGUCCAGAGCCUGAAACUACUAAUUGCUGAGAUUUUGUUUUGAAUUGAUUUAAAUGCCUUUGGAUUUUGAAAAUAGAGUUUUUAGCAUUUUCUUUUUGUGCACAUUAGAUAAUAUUCCAUUUAGGUCCAUGUGUGCUUUUAGGUGAUUAAAGUAUUCAAUUUUAUCUCAAUAAUUUCAUCUCUAAUCAAAAGUAAACUAAAUAUUUAAGCUCUAGAAGAUCGAAAGUUGUCCUUUUGACCUUGGAAGCGUAGAUAGUUUUAAUAGGGCUUUUUUAUCAAAUGACCCUCCAGAAACUCAAAAUUGGCAAAAUGACCCUGCCAAAAUUUUAUUUGUAAAAUUAACCCUCCUUUUGCCACAUGGGUGCCACGUUAGGGUUUUGGUACAAAGACGGUGAAUCGUUCACCGUCUUUGUAAUAUUUGCUCUGAAGGCGGUGAAUGGUUCACCGCCUUCAGAAGACGGUGAAUCAUUCACCGCCUUUAGUGCUCCCCACCCCCAUGCGCAAAUCUUUCAAAGUCGACGGUAUAGUGUCCUUCAUACGGUGGUGAACGAUUCACCGCGUUUAGUUUAAAUCAAACCCAAUGCAGUUGUGCCCUAGAGAAGACGGUGAAUCGUUAACCGUCUUCAUAAGGCGGUGAGCGAUUCACCGCCUUUAGUUCAAAUCCAACCCAACGAGUUGUGCCCUAGAGAAGACGGUGAAUUGUUCACCGUCUUAAUAAGGCGGUGAACGAUUCACCGCCUUUAGUGCAAAAGCACCCCCCUGCGCUGCCUAUGAUAAGACGGCGAAUCGUUCACCGCCUUAUAAAGACGGUGAAUGAUUCACCGUCUUCAUUAGGUAUAAUCGAGCCCCGCCCCGACCCCGACACCUCUUCCUCCCUCUUCGCUCUCUCUCUCUCUUUAUCUCUCUGUCUCUCUCUCUCUCUGCCCAUCCCUCUCUAGGAGCCCCCCCCGGUCGCCGUCGCCCUUGCCGAUGUCGCCCCUGCCGGCAAUGCCGUCGACCCCCGCCCGUGCUAACCUUCCCUCACCAACCCACAUUGCAGGUAGCAACCCACAUUGCUAGCAUUGCCAGUAUUGUUAGUUUAGACUAGGUUUAAACUAGGUUUAAAUUUAGUUAACACUAGGUUUAAACUAGCCAUUAGCCUAUUUAGGUUUAAACUUGUAGUUUAAACUUGUUUAAACUUGUUUUGACAAGCUUGUAGUUCAAACUUAUUUUAAACUAGGUUUAAACUAGCCAUUAGCCUAUUUAGAUUUAAAGUUGUAGUUUAAACUUGUUUAAACUUGUUUUGACAAAGCUUGUAGUUCAUAAUGUUACAAAACUUGCGUCAUUAUGUUACAUAAUGAANUAGUUUAAACUAGGUUUAAACCUAGUGUUUAAACUGUUUAAACCUAGUUUAAACUAGGUUUAAACCUAGUGUUACUAGUGUUUAAACCUAGUGUUACUAGGUUUAAACCUAGUUUAAACUAGGUUUAAGGGUUUAGUUUAAACCUAGUGUUACUAGGUUUAAACCUAGUUUAAACUAGAAACCUAGUUUAAACUAGGCUUAAACCUAGUUUAAACUAGGUUUAAACCUAGUAACACUUUAAAUAAACACUAGUCUAAAUAUCUAGUGAAUGUAAUACAAAAGUUUAAACUUCCCUAAACCCUAAAUACUAAACUUGUUUUAAACUAGGUUUAAACCUAGUUUAAACCUACUUGAAACUAGCCAUUAUCUUUGUUUAGGUUUAAACUUUUGUAUUACAUUCACUAGAUAUUUUGAGAAGAGAUUUGAAAGUUUUUUCUGUAUAGUUAAAAUGGCUAGUCGUCGGAUGUCUCUUAGUGUUCAUUGGGAUGGACAGUUAAUUAUAGAUGAAAAUGGUCUCCGAUAUGUCGGCGGUUGAAAGAAAUUGAUCGCGAUUCGUUCAGAUACGACAUAUACUCAUUUUGAGAUGAGAAUGUAUUGUUUAGUAAAUUGUAAUAGAGAAGAAUUUCGUCUUAAAUUCACUAUUCGAUGCCCUGUAGGAGCAAAUGAAUAUAUUGCUCACGAUAUAGUAAAUGAUGAAUCAUUGGAGGGAUUAAUUGGGUUGUUUGAAUAUUAUGGAUGUGUGUCGGUAUACAUCGAGAAAGAUAUAUAUCCGUCAGAGACACAAUAUCAGUCGCAAAGCUAUUACACAAGACUGCUUCAUAAUGAUAUCGAUGUGGGUUUUCCGGAUAAUCCAAUUGGUGACAGUGAAGUUGGUAAUGAACCAGGCGGAAGGAUGACAAGGUAAGUGAUAUAUCUAGAUUGCGGUGAAUAUUUUCUUUACUUAUUAAAUAUUUUGAUAAAUUUAAAUUAUAAAUACUGUAGACAGAGUCAGUCUCCACGUGCGCAACCCUCGACCUCACAUGAGGAACCCAUGAUAUUUCAUGUACCUAAUGAAAAAUAUGAUUGAGGGUAAAGAAAAUUUUAAUUUUUUAAAAUUAAUAGUAAGUGAAAAUGUACCUAAUAUUGUAACACACUGGACCUUUGCAAAUUGUGAGGUUCGAGUGUUUGAACUGUGUUCUGAGUUUUUUCAAAUUUUCUGGUGGGUCGUUGACAGUGUUCCGACCUAUGGCUCGUAUCCCGAGAUUUGUAGUAUUUUAUGUAGCGCUAAAGUCACCAAAGAGAUGGACUUAGGCUACCCUCGGAUUGCACUCUGCACACUAUGUAACCGAUGACAUGUCGAUGGCUGUAUUUUGUACUGGUACACGUUGAUGGCUGUACGGGUACACUUGUGCCGAAUUUCAAACCCGAGGCUCGGGUUUGCCAUUUCGUGGGAUUUGUACCAGUACACUUUCCCGUGUACCGGUACACUUUGGCAGAAUCUGAACAGGUCAAACUGUAGGGGUGUUUUUGCGAUUGUGGCAUUCUAUAUCAUCACCCACGCCCCUAGGGCUGUUCCUUGAGCUUGGAACAGUAGGAAAAAAGGUGAGGGAGCUCUCCACACCUUCCGAUUCCAUUUCUUUGAUUUUUUCUUGGAUUUUAAGAGAUUAAACAUCUCUUUUGCUCUUUUUGCUUGUUGGAGGCUUUUCCACCAUUGGAGAGAACUUAGAGCUUUGUUGGAGACUUGUUGGAGGAGAGAUCUUCCACCCCACUUGAUUUUGAGCCCAAGUUGAGACUUCUCUUGAGGUUAGUAGCAUGAUUCCAUCUUUUGAUUCAUGUUUUAGAGGUUUUCUUGAGAUGAAACCCUGGAGAUGGAAACUUAUGAUUUAUUUGGGGCUUUUUGAUUAGAAGCUUUUAGAGCUCAUCUAAUUGAAUUAGAACCUUGAUUUAGAUUUCUUUGGAAAGGAUUUAGCUUCUAUUUGGGAUUUUAAAAGGGAUUCUACACUAUAGGUGAGUUUUUGCCCCUUUGCUAGAAUUGGUUAAUGUUUGAGUCUAGAGCUUUUCAUAACGUAUGUAUAUCUCUUCUCUUGUGACCUUUAGGGUACUAAGAGAAUUGUGGACAACUCCGUUCGGCGAAACGAAGGAGUUUUAGCGGUGCUUGGUGGGUUUAUGUAUCAUAAAAUGGAAAAGUAUGCAUUUUCAUGUUAAAUGUAUUAUUUAUGAAUUUUAGAAUGCUUAAAAUGCUUAUGUUAUAUACAACGCAUUUUUGGACCUCUAUGUAGUAGAGAGCUUGCAUGUGAGACUUAUACAUGAUUUUAGCAUUCGUAUUUAGGACUUAGAAUUGUGUUUCAUAUAGUGAAAUGACAAUGAUUAUAUAUACCUUUGUCAUAUGAGGAAACAUUAGGCCAUGAAGUGGCUUGGGACUUGAAUAUUAUGUGUACCUAGUAAGCUAAUGUCAUAAAGAGACAUUGAGCUUGGGCUAUAUGUGAACCUAAUAGAUAAUGUCAUAAAAGGGGCAUUAGACUAGAGUGGCUUGUGAAUUAGUAAGCUAAUGUUAUAAAGGGGCAUUAGGCUUGGAAUAUGUGUGGACUUAGUAAACCUAAUGUCAUGAAGUGGCAUUAGUGUUGGAUCGAGAUUUGGGCAUAGUGAGUUGUAAUGCCAUAAAGGGGCAUUGGACAUAAUGAACGGUUAAACCUUCACGUUGGAUAUUGGACUAGACCGAUGGGUUGCUAGUGACUGUUACCAUGUUAGAGACAUGAUGAUUGGACAUUUUAGACGAUGACUACGCUUGUUUGCCACUUGUGCUCAUUCGCACAUGCUUGUGAGGGUCGCUUCCUACAAGCUGGCACUCCGGAGUUAGUUUAUGCGACUUAUGUUCGCUUGUGCGGUAUUGAGAAGCCUACGGGGCUGGGUGGGACAGACUCAUUCCUCGAGUGGGAAUGUUGGGCUACCACAGGCACUUAGGCGGCAUAAGCCGGACUAUCUUGGGUAGGUCCUUAAUGGAAAAUAGAAAUCGACACGGUGUCGCAUAAGUAAAAAUCACUACUAAAUAGAUUAUAGUAGUUGGGUUUCUUGGACCUGCUUAUAGCAUAAGUUUGGACUUAUAGUAUACUUGAUUAUAGCACUCUUUAUACUUUAGUAUACUUGCUUGCCAUGUGGGAUCACACUAGUUCUGUGUUGGUCAUAUUUGAGCAUGAUAGAAUCUGUGUACGACACAUUGCCAUCAUAUUGCUUAUAGCACAGUAGUUUAUUUUAGCAUUCAAUACAUGCUUUCAUAUCUGCAGUUUAAUUCCAGUUGUUUAUCAUAUCUACCGUACUCUUUGGGCCUAGUGGCACAAUGUGCUGAGGUUAGUACUUGCUCACUGGGAACUAUAAAUUAUAGUUCUCACGCUCCUUGUUUCUUGUUUCAUUACAGAGCCUUCCACACCGGGCGAGGCUAGGGACCGCAGAAAGGGUAUCGCCUCGAGCUAGGUCUUUUGCGAGGGUCGUCUCGAUAGGUGGUCUACUUCUCAUUGGUUUUAUUUUGGAGAGGUUGAGAGUUGUACCAUGUAUAGUGACCACCCAUUUUGUUUUUUGAGACAGAUGUUGUACUUACCUUAUGUUUUAUUAGUAGAUCAGUUUACUGUUCUCUACUUGUUGUUAGUAUGUAGCUGCUAGUUGCUAUGAUAUCUAUAAUUGUCUUACUUUUCCUUACUUUCAUACUUUUAUUGUUGUAGACGCCUUACAUGUGCAGGCAUAUGGCGGGUUUGGGCACGCACCGGGAGGGGCUAUGCCGGGUCUCGGGGCGUGAUAGAUUAAUUUGGUAUCAGAGCCUAGGGUUGAGUAUUAGUGGACCUAGUAAACCUUAGGCUGGUUGGACUAUAGGAAAUAGGCUCGUGAGAGACGAGGUCUAUUUGACUAUUGAGCGAAAGUAUCAUAAUUGGGUUUUAUGAUAACUCUAAAAAGUUAGAGUUUAAUUGGAGUGUUUAGCUUCUAACUUUACGGAGGGUUACGUUGGCGGCCGACAACGUAACAUCGGGAGUUAGUAGUAGAGAACACUUCCUUACUUUCGUAUGAUUUGGGUACUUAUUGUUGAGCGGGGUUGCGUUUGCGUGGGUUUUACUAACUUGCGCUUUUAUGAUGUUGUAGUGAUAAUGCCGACGACACGCUCUAAGUCUGUUGGAGCGGACAACGCGACGAACUUUGAGGAGGUCGAGACCUCCGUUACCUCCGGAUCCGGUGAGGUCCGUGAGUUGAGGAGCCAACUUGCAGCCCUCACUGACUUGGUCGCGCAGCAGGCAGCGGCGGCUCAGCAGCAGGCGGAUGCAGCGCGCCGGCAGGAAGCGCGGAUGGAGCGCCUAGAGGAGUUACUCAUGCAGCAGGCAGCUGCUAGGGAGACACAGGUGCCCGCACCCCCACCCACGCCGGCAAUGGUUGUGACACCGAGGGCGCCAUCUCCACGGCCCGGUACUUCGAGGACAGCACUGGUUGUUGCGCCCCGAGAGGAGUUUGUGGCACCACCAGCUCAGCUGUCUUUGGCGGGGGCAAUUUUUCCCGUGAUGGUUGAGGGAGCUGAGCAAGAUCGACUUAUGGAGCGCCUUAGUGAGUUCAGGAGGUGUAGUCCGCGGACCUUUGACGGGGAGAACGCAGACCACUGGAUUAUGGAAAAGUGGCUCAUGCAUAUGGAGAAGCUUUUCCGUGAUACCUUCGUGGAGGAGAGGGAUAGAGUUUGGCUCGCCACACACCACUUAGACGGCGAGGCCUAUUGCUGGUGGUUGGAUCUUCAGGAAAAUCCCAACACCAACCUUGCAGCGAUCACAUGGAAGAAGUUCAAGGAGCUUCUGCUGGCACAUUACUUCCCUGACAGUGUCAAGAGGAAGAUGGAGCAAGACUUGCGUGGGAUGCGCUAGGGAGACAGGACCUUGGCCGAGUAUGAGAAGGAGUUCUCCCGGCUUCUUCAUUGUGUGCCCUUUGUUGUGCGGGACGACGAGGACAAGGCCCGCAUUUUCGAGCAUGGAUUGCGACCCUCGAUCUUUCAGUUGGUGCAGUCCUCCAACCUCCAGACCUUUAGAGAUGUGGUGAACCGCGCGCUCAUCGUGGAGAGCGGCGCGGUGGAGUUGCAAGAGCGUCGCGAGGGCAUGGACAAAGGGAAGGGCAAGCGGCCCACGGCUGAGAGUGCGAGUCACACGCACUCGCGGAGGCCGCCGAGGCAUCCCAGGAGCCGGAGCUAGUCGCGAGGGCGUGGCUCGUCUACUUAGCGAGGAGGACCUGAUCGUUGCCAGGCUCCAUGCUGCGUGAUCUGCGGUGGACCUUAUUUCCCACGGCAGUGUUCACGCAGUCGGGGCAGGUGCUACCUGUGUGGCCAGGAGGGCCACUUCCAGUCGGAUUGCCCGAGGGGCCCAGCGCCAGCGCCAUCAUCGGCAUCUGCACCAGCUUCACCGGGUCCCAGCGAGGGGACGCCUUCUGCUCACUACCAGGCCGGGCGGCUAUCAGUUCAGAGGCAGAUGGAGGGGUCACGACAGGCCCCGAGCGGGCGCAUGUACGCGGCCCAGACUGAGGAGGCGGCAGCGGCCAAGAAUGUAGUUGUAGGUAUCAUUUAAUUAAAUGGCAUUCGAAUUCGUGCAUUAUUUGAUACCGGUGCAUCGCAUUUAUUCAUUGAUCGGCUGUUUGCCGAGUUGCAUGACAUCCCCUUUGUUUCCUUGUUGCAUCCGAGACGUGUCGUCGUCCCCGACCACUCCUUGGACAUUAGAGAGUUUUGCCCCAGUUGCCCGAUUCGGGUAGGAGAUUGGAUUAUGCCCGUGGAUUUGCUAAUUUUGCAUAAACUCGGAGAGUUUGAUGUUGUCUUGGGCAUGGAUUGGUUGACCAAGUAUUUCACCACUAUCGAUUGCAAGAAUCGAACGGUGACUUUUAGAGAGCCGGGGCAGGCGGAGGUUGUGUACCGUGAAUGCCAGAGUUCGCUGUUUGCGAUGACGAUUAGCUCCUCUCGAGCUAGGCAGUUGAUUAGCAGAGGCUGUGUAGCCUACUUGGCUACUGUGGUGUUGAGGGGUGACGUCGACGCUCCUAGGAUUGAGGAUAUCCCCGUAGUGCAGGAGUUUGGAGAUGUGUUUCCAGCGAAGCUUCCAGGAAUGCCACCUGAUAGGGAGAUUGAGUUUAUGGUAGAUCUCGUCCCCGGGACUACUCCAAUCUCAAAAGCGCCCUAUAGGAUGGCACCAACGGAAUUGAAGGCACAGUUGCAAGAUCUUCUGGAUAAGGGUUUUGUGCGACCGAGUGUGUCACCUUGGGGAGCACCGAUUUUGUUUGUUAAAAAGAAAGACAGAUCACUUCACUUGUGCGUGGACUAUCGUGAACUUAAUAAAGUCACGAUCAAGAAUAAGUAUCGGUUACCGAGGAUAGAUGAUCUUUUUGAUCAGCUUCAAGGAUCUAGUGUGUAUUAUAAGAUCGACUUGCAGUCGGGAUACCACCAAUUGAAGAUCACGCCUGAGGAUGUGUUGAAGACGGCUUUUAGAAUACGGUAUGGACAUUAUGAGUUUACAGUUAUACCGUUUGGGCUUACUAAUGCCCCGGUAGCUUUUAUGAAUCUAAUAAACCGUGUUUUCAAGCCUUAGAUAGGUUCAUCGUGGUGUUCAUCGACGAUAUUUUGGUUUAUUCCCGAAGUGAUACGGAUCACGAGGAACAUUUGAGGCUAGUACUUCAAGUGCUUCGGGAAAGGAAACUCUAUGCCAAAUUGAAAAAGUGUGAGUUUUGGCUUAGAGAGUGGCAUUUUUGGGCCAUUUGAUUUCAGGAUCGGGUAUAGCUGUGGAUCCGAGGAAAAUCAAAGCGAUCAAGGAUUGGCCGAGGCUGACGAGUGUUACCGAGAUACGGAGCUUUAUUGGUUUGGCCGGCUACUACCGACGGUUUGUUGAGGGAUUUGCAAAGUUAUCUACUCCCCUCACGAGGCUCACGCAUAAAGGCGUUAAGUUCAUCUGGAAUGAUGCAUGCGAAAGAAGCUUUCAAGAGCUGAAGCAGAGAUUGACGACCGCCCCGAUCCUAACCUUGCCAAUUGCUGGAGUAGGGUAUGUGAUUUAUAGUGAUGCUUCCUUUAAUAGAUUCGGUUGUGUCUUGAUGCAGGAUGAGAAAGUGAUCGCGUAUGCUUCUCGCAAGUUAAAGGAGUAUGAAAGGAAUUACCCUACUCAUGACUUGGAGUUUGCGGCCGUAGUCUUUGCAUUAAAGCUAUGGCGCCAUUAUCUUUCUGGCGAGCGGUGUGAAGUAUAUACGGAUCACAAGAGCUUAAGUAUUUAUUCACUCAGAAGGAGUUGAACUUGAGGUAGCGCAGAUGGUUGGAGCUACUCAAGGAUUAUGAUUUGACUAUCUUUUACCACCCGGGUAAGGCUAGCAUGGUGGCGGAUGCGCUAAGUCGGAAAUCGACGGACAACUUAGCGAUGCUUGUGGUUACUCAACCGCCGUUGAUCGAGCAAAUGAAGCGGUUGGAAUUGGAGGUGGUGGCUCCUGAUACACCUUUGAAACUGAUGGCUUUGGUGGUGCAACCUACCCUUUUGGAUAGAAUUCAAGAAAAGCAAGCUCAUGAUGUGGAGUUGCAAAGGCUUAGAGCUAAAAUGGUUGACGGUUGCACUGGUGACUUUACUGUAGACGAUGUUGGAUUGAUGCGUUUCCGCGAGCGGUUGUGUGUACCGGCGGAUUUGGAGGACAUUUUUCAAGAAGCACACCGUGCACCUUAUGCGAUACAUCCGGGAGGCACCAAAAUGUAUAAGGACUUGAAGUUGCUUUAUUGGUGGCCCGGGAUGAAGAAAGAUGUUGGUGAGUUUGUUGCUAGAUGUCUAACUUGCCAACAGGUGAAAGCUGAGCAUCGAGUUCCCGCGAAAAAAUUGCAGAGCUUACCUAUUCCAGUGUGGAAGUGGGAGAAGAUCACCAUGGACUUCGUGAUGGGAUUGCCUCGCUCACAGGCCGGGCAUGAUGCUAUUUGGGUGAUCGUGGAUAGGUUGACGAAAUCAGCUCAUUUCAUACCUAUUCACACUACUUGGACUGGUGAGAGACUCGCACAAGUAUAUCUUGAUGAGAUUGUGCGAUUGCACCGAGUACCUACUUCCAUAGUUUCGGAUCGAGAUCCCUGUUUUGUAUCCCAUUUUUGAAGGAGCUUACAAGAUGCCUUGGGCACGCGCUUGGAUUUCAGUACAGCAUUCCACCCUCAGAGUGACAGGCAGUUAGAGCGCACUAUACAGACUCUUGAGGAUAUGCUUCGAGCCUGUGUGAUCGACUUUCAGAGAGGAUGGUCGCAGCAUCUACCGAUGGCGGAGUUUACUUAUAACAAUGGUUAUCAAGCAAGCAUCAAGAUGGCACCGUUCGAGGCACUCUAUGGACGGAAGUGUAGAUCGCCACUUCAUUGGAGUGAAGUUGGCGAGAGAUUGGCUUUAGGCCCUGAUGUGCUCCAGGAAGUAGAGGAUAAGGUUCGUAUUGCUCGGGAGCGAUUGUUGAUAGCCCAGAGUAGGCAAAAGAAUUACGCUUACAAGCGUCGACGAGACUUGGAGUUUCAGAUUGGAGAUCAUGUCUUCUUAAAAGUCUCGCCGACCGGAGGGAUUAGAAGAUUUGGUAUCUGGGGUAAGUUGAGCCCCCGAUACAUCGGACUGUAUGAGGUUUUGGAGCAUGUAGGCCCGGUAGUGUAUCGACUUGCUCUACUAUCGAACCUAUCGAGUGUACACAAUGUUUUUCAUGUAUCGGUCCUCCGGAAGUACAUUCACAAUCCGGCUCAUGUGUUGGAUGCUACACCUUUGGAGCUGAGGGACGAUUUGAGCUUUGAAGAGCAACCUUUGAGGAUUUUGGCUCGGGAGGUGAAGAGGUUGCGGAACCGUGAGAUUCCCUACGUGAAGGUGCUUUGGAACAACCACGAUGAACGCGAGGCCAUUUGGGAGUUGGAGAGAGCGCUGCGGGAGCGCUAUCCCCAACUUUUUCAGAUGGAGGCUUGAGGUAUUUUAUCUUUUGAGUUUUGCGAACGAAACUUCUUUUUAGGAGGGGUGAAUGUAACACACUGGACCUUUGCAAAUUAUGAGGUUCGAGUGUUUGAACUGUGCUCUGAGUUUUUCCAGAUUUUCUGGUGGGUCGUUGACAAUGUUCCGACCUAUGGCUCGUAUCCCAAGAUUUAUAGUAUUUUAUGUAGCGCUAAGGUCACCAAAGAGAUGGACUUAGGCUACCCUCGGAUUGCAUCUGCACACUGUGUAACCCGUGACAUGUCGAUGGCUGUACCGAUAUAGAUUUUGUUCCGGUACACGUUGAUGGUUGUACCGGUACACUUGUGCCAAAUUUCAAACCCGAGGCUCGGGUUUGCAUUUUCGUGGGAUUUGUACCGGUACACUUUCCCGUGUACCGGUACACUUUGGCAGAAUCUGAACAGGUGAAACUGCAGGGGUGUUUUUGCGAUUGUGGCCUUAUAUAUCAUCACCCACUCCCCUAGGGUUGUUCCUUGAGCUUGGAACAGCAGGGAGAAAGGUGAGGGAGCUCUCCACACCUUCCCAUUCCAUUUCUUUGAUUUUUGCUUGGAUUUUAAGAGAUUAAACAUCUCUUUUGCUCCUUUUGCUUGUUGGAGGCUUUUCCACCAUUGGAGAGGACUUGGAGCUUUGUUGGAGGCUUGUUGAAGGAGAGAUCUUCCACCCCACUUGAUUUUGAGCCCAAGUUGAGACUUCUCUUGAGGUUAGUAGCAUGAUUCCAUCUUUUGAUUCAUAUUUUAAAGGUUUUCUUGAGAUGAAAAUCCUAGAGAUGGAAACUUAGGGUUUAUUUGGGGUUUUUGAUUAGAAGCUUUUAGAGCUCAUCUAAUUGGAUUAGAACCUUAAUUUAGGUUGCUUUGGAAAGGAUUUAGCUUCUAUUUGGGAUUUUAAAGGAAAUUUCUACACUAUAGGUGAGUUUUUGCCCCUUUGCUAGAAUUGGUUAAUGUUUGAGCCUAGAGCUUUUCGUAACGUAUGUGUAUCCCUUCUCUUGUGACCUUUAGGGUACUAAGAGAAUUGUGGACAACUCCGUUCGGCGAAACGAAGGAGUUUUAGAGGUGCUCGGUGGGUUUGACCUCACCUAAGAAUGAGAAUAUCUCAUUUUUAUGGAUUUAUGUAUCAUAAAAUGAAAAAGCAUGCAUUUUCAUGUUAGAUGUAUUAUUUAUGAAUUUUAGAAUGCUUAAAAUUGGCAUAUGUAAUCUAUAUGCCAUAAAAGGCAUUGACAUAAAACAUUAAACCUUCAUUUUGACAUGGCUAGACCGAUGUUCUCCACAUGACUGUUCACAUUAUGACAUGAUAAUUGCGACAUUGAGACAUACUACCUUUCUGCAUUUGUGCUCAAUUCGACAUGCUUGUGAGGUCCGCUCCCACAAGCCGGCACCCCAUUAGCCAUCAACUUAUUUCUGUUCGUAUGAGAACCUAAGGCCAUGGACAGACCAUUCCUCGCAUGAAGUUGACUACCACACACUAGUGGCACAAGCGACUACUUGGUAGGUCUAACAUAAGAAAAAUCACCACGGUGUUCAUAAGUAAAUCACUACUAAAUAGAUUAAGUAUGGUUCCUUGACAUGUUAUAUAAAUAGUUUGGACUAUAUAUACCGAUAACGCGCCUUUGCACUUUAGUAACUACUGCCAUGUGAUCACACUAUUUUGUGUUACAUAUUUACUAUCAGCCCAGGAUGGCAGAGGCCUCCCGUACCGCGCGCGCGAUGGCCCUCCCGGAGACGGUAGGGGCCCCGCACUAUCGAGUUUAUACAGGUUGUGUUUUGAUCACACUAGGGUGUACCGUUCAUUCAUAUGAUUUCACGUUUCUCGCGAUAUUAGCUCAUAUGAUAUUCAGGUUUGGAUACGAUAUUGGUACAGGUUCUUUGGGUGAUGAUAUUAGAUAAAUCAUCACUAAAAUGAAUACGUUGUGGCACAGCUAAAAGUAAAGUCUAAUUCCUGGAUGGGUUCCAUCAGGCCGAACACGGUGGAUUCACGGACACCAUCGGGUUGUAAGGGUGAGCUCCUUACUCAGACAGGGUGAGCCGGGGAAUCCGAAGAGUUAUGGCGUGUUCGCUUGUAUUCAGCGUAUCCGAUUGAGGCCUCACGGCCGAACAUCCCUCGCUGGGAGUGUUCGUACACGCUUACUCGUGUUUACCGUUCGUUCGCGAGACCCGCCAUAUGUCUGCACACAUAAGGCGUCUACAACAACAGCGAAAAAAGAAGCAAGAGAUAAUCUACAACUAGAGAUAUCAGAGCAAGUGUAACAACUAAAUACUAACAGCAAGGGAAGGAAGGUAAAGUAAUCCACUAAAAGUAAGCAUAAAGUAAUACAAUAAUCAUCUCCGAAAGGUACAAAAAGGGGUGGUCUCUAUACAUGGGUGAAACUCUCAACCUCCCCAAAAAGGAAACAACGAGAGGUAGAUCACCUAUCGACGCGUCCCUCGAAGCAGCUAACUCCAGGCAAUACCUUUUCCGCGGUCCCUAGUCGCUCCUCGCGUGGAAGGCUUUGAAAUAAAACAUAAAACAAAAGGGCGUGAGAACUAUAAUUUAUAGUUCCCAGUGGGCAAUUACUAAUCUCAGCUCAAUGCACCACUAGGCUCCAAAAGAAAGGGUAAGUACGAUAAGCAACAAUAGUAGUAAUAGACGAUAAUAAACUGCAGAAUUGAAAACAUGAGUAAAAUGCAAUGCCACAAGUAAACGUGAUGUAUGCCAAUGCUAUCAUGUUUGAAUAUGUCAAUGUCGAGUGAAAAUUCUCAUCAACUGCCAAGUAUACUAAGAUGCGAUGAGUAAUUCUAUCAAGUAUACUACAUGUCCCAAUAUCUAAACUACUAUGAUCUAUUUAGCAGUGAUUCAAAUUUAAGAGGUUAUGUCCAAGUUUAAUCUUAUUUUGGGACCUACACGAGUGUAGUCCGGCUUGCGCCGCCUAAGUAUCAGUGGUAGCUCCAGCAUUUCCACUAUGAAAAUGAGUCUAUCCCUCCCGACCUCGUAGGCUUCUCGAUACCGCACGAGCGAUCAUAAGUCGCGUAGGCCAACUCCGGAGUGCCGGCUUGUAGGGAGUGACCCUCACAAGCAUGUGUGAAUGAGCACAAAUGGCAAAUAAGCAUAAUCAUUGUCUCAAGUACCCAAUCAUCAUAUCUCUAACAUGGUAAAAGUCACUAGUAACCCGAAGGUCUAGUUCUAUGUCUCAAUAUGAGGUUUAAUCGUUCAAUAAUUUCUAUAUCAAUGACCAUAGCUUUACUACGUUAAAUCCAAGCCCAAUGCCCCUUUUAUGACAUUAGCUUACUAAAUCAUGCAUCAUGUACAUCUAUGUUCUAUGAUGGCAUUACAUUAUGCUAAGUCCAAAUUUGUCCCAACACUAGUGUCGCUUUAUGACACUAGGUUUCACUUGUCCCAUCUACUUUACAAGCCCAAUGCCCCUUUAUGACAUUGGCUCAAUAGCGAGCUAAUAGUGUACGUUUCCGGCCUCUUCAUGGCAUUAUGUAUGGUUCUACGUCCCACACGAGAGUUAUGUCUAAAGGCACAUUAUUCUUCUCAUUCCCACUAUAUAAAACAUGCUCUUGAGUCAUAUCUAGAAUGCUAAGCACAUGCAUAAGUCUCACAUGCCACUCUCUACUACAUAGAGGUCCAAAAAUACAUUAUAUAUAAUGUAGGCAUUUUAAGCAUUCUAAAAUUCACAAUAAAUACAUUUAUCAUGGAAAUGCAUGAAUUUCUACUUUACGAAGCAAAAAUAUCGGAUAUGAGAAUUUCUCAUAUGCUAGGCUAGGUCAAACCCACCGAACUUCGCGCAACCCUUCGAUUGCUCCAACGAAGAUGUCCACUAAUCUCCUAGCACCCUAGAAGCAUAAAAAAGUGAGCUACAAGAAGUAAACGAACAACUAUUAGCUCAAUCAUUAACCUACAAAGCAAAAGGGCCAAAAUCUCACCUAUAGUGUAGAAAUCUCUUCCCAAAGCUCAAAUGGAAGCUAGAUCCCUUCCAAAGCAACCUAAACCAAGGUUCUAAUCCAUUUAGAUUAGCUCAAAAAGCCCUAAAUCAAAAAGCCCCAAAUAAAUCCUAGAUUUCCCACUCUAGGGUUUCAUCUCCCAAAAUCCAUCAAAACUAGGUUUAGAGGGAAGGAACAAGCAACAAACCUCAUAAGAAGCUCCAAUCCAAGCUCCAAGAGUGAAGAUCUCCUCUUUAGCAAGCUCCAAGUCCAAGCCUUCAAGCACCCAAGGGAAAAAGAGAGGGAGAGAAAGAUGCUCCAAGUCCUCUUGGUAGGGCUGACAAAUGAGUGAGCCGGCUCGCUUUCGACUCGUGUUUGACUCAAUAUUUGGCUCGCUCGAGUUCGACUCGAAAUUAAAUGAGCCGAGCUUGAACAAAAAAAAAGGCUCGAAAUUCAUUUCAAGCCGAGCUUGAGUANAUAUAUAUAUAUAUAUAUAUAUAUAUAUAUAUAUAUAUAUAUAUAUAUAUAUAUAGUAGAGCUACUAUGCUAUUGAAAGUAUAGAGAUAUGGUGCUUUCGAUUUUUUAAUUCUUAGAUCAAUCCCUUUAAUCGUUUCUUAUCUUUGGAUUAAUAUUAUUAUUACCUUGUAGGGACCACUCAAUCCUAAGACAGCGUUUGGUUAGGGGAUAGGGAUAGGAAUAGGCCCUUAUCCCCCCUUUAUACCCAAACGCUAAUUUUUUAUCCGAUAAUAGUAGUUCUCGGUUAUCCUCACCAACACCUCCAAUUUUUAUAUAAAACUAUCUAAAAUUAUUCUUAUCUCCGGGAACAACCCAAUUUUCAUCCAAACACUAUUUUUCUUAUCCCCAUAUUUGUACCUAUCCCUGUAAUAGCUAGUUCUUACUUAUACCCGAACCAAACAGUACCUACGAGUAUUAUUUAAUCCUAGGGAAGACUGCAAUCAUCCAAACCAUACAAUUUUUAAUCAAAGGGUCAAAAAUUCAAAAACAUCAAAUCUUCCAUAUUUUCGAUAGCAUAGUAGUUCUACACUAUGCUACAUAAAUAUAAUAUAUUUUAAUUAUAUAUAGGCUGAGUGAAUAAUGUGAGUUUAGUUAAAAUUGCGCCAAUGCUGUUGGCCCAUAAAAACAAACCCAAUAGACAAAUAAAAGAGCAAACUUUUACUAAAUUUAUAUAUUUUUUCUUUCUUUUUUCUUUCUUUCUUUCACAGAGCUCUAAAUUUUCAAUAUGUUUCUCUCUUUCUCUUUUUCUGUCUCUCACCCUAAGUGGCCAAGUUUAAAAUAUACUUAUUAUUAAAAAAUGAAAUUUUUAUAAGACAUAUAAAAGAGUUCGUAUGUUAAUUAUCGUUCCAUCCGUUGCCGCCCGUAUAUUACAAUGAACUAUUGAAUCUCCCAAAGGCCNUACCUUGCUAUUAAUUGUAUGCUUGAGAAAAUAUACAGAAUAUUUUUAAAGUAAAAAAUUAUUAUUCAUAUAAAAUUUUAAUUUUAGUUAUAUAUGAUUGGAUAGUUUAAUCCAAUAUUUAUCUAUAUAAUUUAUUUAUUUUUGACUGCAUAAAUGAAAAUGAAUAAUAUAGAGAUUGAUGGCGGAAGAAAAAGACAUGUAAAGCUGAAAAAAUUAGAUAUUCAACUCAUAAAUUAUAUUUUUUCAUAUUAUAAUACUAUAUUUCAUAUAAUUAUUUUGUACUUUGAACUAUUAGACAUAUUUUUUAAUUAAAUUAUAGAUAAUGUUCUAUACAAAUUAAACUAUUGAUCGUAUAAUGUUGAGAAUUUCAAGCGGCUCGUUUAGGGCUUGAGCUCGCUCGACUUGAAAUUAGGCUCGCUCGAGCUUGGCUCGAAUUAAUUUCAAUCCAAGCUUGAACUUAAAUUUAGACUCGAAAUUAAUUUCAAGCUGAAUUUGAGCCGAGGUAAGCUCGCUCGAGCUCGGCUCGUUUGCACCCCUACCUCUUGGUGGUCUUCUUUUUCUCCUCCCUUCCUUCUUCUCCUUCUCCUUCUUCUUCUCCUUCUUUAUCAAGGUGUUGGGAGAGUGAGAGAAAGAGAAAUGAGGAAGAGAGAGGGUGGAAUGGCCAUAUAGGCCAUCUAAUGUAACAAAAUCCAGAGAAGCCCCUCAAUUUUCUAAUAUUGCAUCAGCCCGGACUGGGCAGUUUUCGGACAAAGGGACCGGUCUCCCCGACCUGGGACCGGUCUCUCGGCCUGCCCCGAAAAUCCAACGUUGGGGAACCGGUCUCUCCCCGCACGGGACCGGUCUCUCCCCGCGUGGACGCGCUCGGGGACCGAUCUUAUCCGCCUGGAACCGGUUGCCUCAAGGCUGCCGCAAUACUGUUCCGGUGGGACCGGUCUCUCCCAGCCAGGGACCGGUCCCCGAGAGUAACAACUCUCAGGACUCGUCCAGAACUCCGAUUUUCGGACUUUUUAGGUCGGAAAACAUUCUACGACCCUCCACCAAGUGUGGAAAAGCUCGGAACACAUCCAAUCACUCGAACCUCACAAUUUGCACAGGUCCAGUGUGCUACAUUUGAGCAUGAUAGAAUCUAUGUACUACACAUUGCCAUCAUAUUGCUUAUAGCACAGUAGUUUAUUUUAGCAUUCAAUACAUGCUUUCAUAUCUGCAGUUUAAUUCCAGUUGUUUAUCAUAUCUACCGUACUCUUUGGGCCUAGUGGCGCAAUGUGCUGAAGUCGGUAAUUGCCCACUGGGAACUAUAAAUUAUAGUUCUCACGCCCCCUGUUUCUUGUUUCCUUAUAGAGCCUUCCACACCGGACGAGGCUAGGGACCGCGGAAAGGGCAUCGCCUCGAGCUAGCUCUUUUGCGAGGGUCGUAUCGAUAGGUGGUUUUACCUCUCAUUGGUUUUAUUUUGGAGAGGUUGAGAGUUGUACCAUGUAUAGAGACCACCCAUUUCGUAUUUUGAGACAGAUGUUGUACGUCCCUUAUGUUUUAUUAGUGGAUCAGUUUACUGUUCUCUACUUGUUGUUAGUAUGUAGCUGCUAGUUGCUCUGACAUCUAUAGUUGUCUUACUUUUCCUUACUUUCAUACUUCUAUUGUUGUAGACGCCUUAUAUGUGCAGACAUAUGGCGGGUCUGGGCACGCACCGGGCGGGCCUAUGCCGGGUCCCGGGGUGUGACAAAUAUAGUAAAAAUUCGGGACCUAUUGCAAGUUAUCUACGUCCUAUGAAAAUUGGAAUGAAGUUCUUAAUAAUAUUGUCGAUGAAAGAGAUGAUAAUGACGGUAAUCAGGAGGAUGCACCCAUUCAUAAUGAUGAUCAUUAUAACGGUGAGGACGACGAUUGGAACGAUCUAGCUGCUAACGUUGAAGAUGAUCACAAUGGUGGAUUAAAUUACCUUGCGAAUGCCAUUUACAGUGUGAAUAACGACCCACAUGUAAACAACGAAUAUGUAGACAAUCCUGACGAGGAACUUGAUUUUAUUGAUCAUCCGCUAUAAUUUCCUAUAGAUAACAAUUGGAUACAUCAGUAUGUUGUGAAUUCGACUAAAUUCGAUAUUUGACGUACCAAUACCGAUCUACCUAGCAUUGACGGGACUUGACUUCAUCAAAUCUUUUAUGAUAAGGCAUCUUUAGUGGACGCUCUAGAUCGAUGGCACAUUGUUCACAAUGUUCAGAUGAAGGUUUUGAAAUCCACCAAAACAACUUAUACAGUAAAAUGCACGGUUGAGGGAUGUCCUUAGAGAUUACACGCUUCGGUUCCUAAAGAUGUAACAUAUUUCAGAGUUAAGACAUAUGCGUGUCAACACACUUGUGUUAGUCCAAUAGCUCUUACUAGCGUUAGAGCUAUUGCUGAUAUAGCUGAUUGCCUUUUGGGUUACCGGUAUGACAUAUAAAUUUGAUACAUAUUACAUUUCUAUAUAUAAAUUUGCAACUAACACGUAUAUAUACUUUUCAAAUUUUAGACGGUCGAACGCCGGCGGGUUACGUUUUGCAGCAAAUGUUAGGACAAUGGAUAUUGAGUUCUAUCGAGAUGAGUUAGAUCAGCAGAGAGAGUCCCAGGAAUGUAUUAAUACAACCAUCUUUUUCAAUAUACGAACGUAUUAAUGCAUUCAGCUGACUAUUAUUGGCUUUUUCACAGAUUAUAUGGAGGCCGUACAUAGAUACUAUUAUAGCCGCGCUAUUGGCAUUCUGUGUACAGGGUAGUGAGGUCUGGCGGUCGAGGACGACGCUGAUUUUUUUUCAUAUUGUUGAGUUUCAUGUACCGAAUCGAGUCCUACGACAGUUUGGUCUCCUCCAGCAUAUACCCAUUAACGUGGAGACCAUCCGCCGUGUCACUUCUCAGGGGCGGUCAGAUAAGGAUUGGGCAAUCUUUCAUGCUGCACAUAUCGAGAGAUGUGGACAGAGAUUACAUGCCAUUUUUGACCAGCUGCCGAAUGUCGGUGAUGACCCUAUACAUGCGACCUCCAUUUAUAUGCAGUAGUAUUGGCAGAUCACGAGAAGAUGGAUUUCUCGUCCAGUACAGCGUCCACUGUUGACUUACCAGUCUCGCGGUCAGACCGAGAGAGCUUUGAUACGAUCACUCAUAUGUUAAUUAUUUUUUUAAUCUUAUAUUUAAUAUAAAUUGGAAAAGGUAAGUUUUUAUCUAUAAUGCAAGUGGACGCAUUACGACAAACUCACUACAUAUCAGAGGGCUAAUUGAUGAUCCGCCUGAGAUCCAUCCGAUGCUGGAGUCUUUGACAGGCAUCUGUGCCCAUAUUGAGUCUGUACUGGAGUACGUUCCUGCCAUACCUGUUGUCGCUGAUAUUGAAGGUCGAGAUUUUGGUCAUGCCUCGACAUCGGGUCAUCACAGGAGACAGUCAUCGACUCCUGGAUCAUACUCGACAUCGAGCUAGCAGGUGUCGCGAUCUCUAUCUCCGACUGACGCUGCUCCUUCGACAUUUCCUUUCUUGACAUUCGACUUGCUUCCGCCGCCAGUCUCUCGAGCGUACUUUAGAUCUAUCUAUUCUCAACGUCAUGGCGCGUCAUCAUCAUAGCAUCGCCCAACAUCUACACCAGCCAAUGUCGAGGGUGAUCAACCUGAGCCAGAGGAGACUCAGGCGAUUCCGGAGCAUCCCGAGGGCAUCAUCAUUAUGGAUCUCGAUCAAAUGGCCGGUAUCGAGCCACUUGAUGACGUACCUAUUGCUGAGCUCGAUGUGGAUCGUGGCCGUAGACGUGGCCGUGGCCAUGGCCGUGCACGAGGACGUCGAGGGAGAGGAAGAUCGAGAGACUGAUUGUAUCCUGUUGAUUUAGAUCGCAUACAUUGUAUAAUAUUAUAUAUCACUUUAUUUAGUUCAUAUUUGUAUAUUUUUUUUGUGUUUUUGUUGGUAUUUUUAUCCGGUUGAUUGUAUCUUGUUGUUCCACUUGUCUUAUUGUGUUUCUUGUUGAAAUAUUUGUUCUCGUGAAAAUUCUUGCCUCAAACUUGUUCAAAUUGUUUUUAAAAUCUAACUGAAAAAAGGAGCUGGUGCUGUUUGCACUAAAGGCGGUGAAUGGUUCACCGCCUUUAGUGCAAACAACCUCCAAUCUAGGACUUAGCCAAAUUUUUUUGGCUUUUGGGGAUUUUGCACUAAAGUCCUAGACUGGAGGUUGUUUGCACUAAAGGCGGUGAACCAUUCACCGCCUUUAGUGCAAACCCCAGAGCGCAGCGAAGCACUGAUAAGACGUGAACUAUGCACCGUCUUCAUGAAGACGGUGAACCAUUCACUGUCUUAUCUGUGUUUUAACCCCGACUCUAGGACUUAGCCAAAUUUUGCUGAGUCCUGGUUUUACACUAAAGACGGCGAAUGGUUCACCGUCUUAGUUAAGACGGUGAACCAUUCCCCAUCUUCUCAAGGCCACAGGAAAGGCGGACUUGUAAGGGUGCAGUGUGGGGCUUUUCUGUGAAGGCGGUGAACCAUUCACCGCCUUCAGAGCAAAUAUUACAAAGAUGGCAAACGAUUCACCGUUUUUGGAAGGAAACCCUGACGUGGCCUCCACGUGGCGAAAGGAGGGUUAGUUUUACAAAUAAAAUUUUGGCAGGGUCAUUUCGCCAAUUUCGAGUUUCUGGAGGGUCAUUUUAUAAAAAAAGCCCGCUUUAAUACUUGAAGGUCUUUUCCUUACAAUUUGCCCUUCUUGAGUUCUUUCAAAUUUGCAAUAUCUCAAUACAAAACUCAAAGAAAAAUGUUAGUCCAAAUUUCACUAAAUUAGGAGCAUAGGCCAACAACUAUAUAUGCCAAACAACACCCUUUUGAUCAAUUGAAAUAAAUGGAAAAUGCCAAGAUGGGACAGAAACUGAGAAAUUUUGAUAGUUUAAUUUGGGAAUGUCUAGCAUGUAAACUGAUAAUGUCAUGCCCGGGCUCCAGUGGAAGCCUACCCGACGCAUGCACAGAUCCGCCGUGUACAUCAAGUACCCAUGAUGCACAGAAGGCAUCUACAACAACACGGAAAAAGUAGGAAUAAUUCCUAACAUGGUGAUCAGAGCAAAUACAAAAAUCUACUAUAUAAAAGUUUAAAACAAUUACACCUUUUCAAGAAUUACAAUAGAAGAAUAAAGGUGCAUUUAUACAUAAUUCAAACUAAACCAAAAAAAGAUGUCUACAGGUCCUUCUAUAGCGACACUGAGGAGGCUCUAGCUAGUCGUUAACUCCUUUGCCACGAUCCCUAGACUCUCCCACUGUUGAAGGCUCUGAAACAAAAACCAACAACCAAUGGGGGUAAGAACUAUUAAACAAUAGUUCCCAGUGGGUAAGCCGCCGAGAGUGGGGAAAUACACUACUAGGUCAACUGAGGUAUGAUAAUAUGCAGAAGUAUAAGCAUAAAGGUAACAGUAACUGAGCAAAUUCAAGUAUAGUCAUGUCUCAACGGGAUAAAGUGUACUAACAUGUAGAUGAUUUAUCAACUACCAUAUGCACAAGUAUUGGUACAUGCGAAUUGACAUGCUUGUCUAUCUUUAAGCUACAAGCAAUAGUUAAAAGAAACCUUUCUUUAUCAUCUUGUAACUACCCUUUUUUUAUACUAAUCAACGUGUGUAUAGAUUUGCUACCACUAAGGGCGUCCAUGCAAACAAUAACUAUUAUGAAUGUCCAACUACUACGAAUGUAUCUGUUUGAAGUAAAAUAAUUCUUAUACUAUUUAUAUAGGAUGAAACAAUCCUAAUCAUAAUCAAAAAAUCAAAUCGGACUCACACAAUCCUAAUAGGUCUCAUGUUGACCAUAAAAUUUUGGGGCCAAUAAUUAUAAUCCAUAAUAGGCCCAUUCAUAAAUGUGAAUUAAUGGGCCUCAUGAAAGCUGUCACGCCCCGGGACUGAUACCAAUUUGGCCCGACCCGAGCACGUCAAACAGACGCCGAACGGACAGAGUUUCCCCUAUCCGCCCAAGGCUCAUCACAUGUACAUUUUCAUCAUUAGAGAAAAGCACUAGCGGAAACAUACACAAACGGCUUACAUGAGGGUAAGCAAUAGCUAUUAGUGAAAGAAAGGAAAACUAAACAUUUACACAAGUAAUAUGAUUCNUGAUUCUUUAGCUCUCGAAAACCUUCCACAACGCACUUUUAGUCAUUUUAACACCUUCGGACUUUCCGAAGUGUUCCGUCCUCGCACUUUGGUCAAUUUGACUAAAGUUCGAUAUUUUUAUUUUUCGAAUUUUCGGCAUAUUACAAAAGCCCUUUAAGAUUUUAGGUCUAUACAAAAAUUCGGGCCUCAUCUCAGCCCAAUGAAUAUUCGUGCCCAACAAGUUUUAUCAAAAUGGACCCAAUUUAAGCCCAAUUCAUGGGAUCACGGUCCACAUUUUCACCCAUGUUUGAAAAUUUAAUUUCGAAUAUCAUAUUCAAAUUCAAUUUUUAAUUUUUAAACCCCCAACCAACUAGAAAAUAUCUGUUAUCCUAAUAACCCUAUUCGAAAUUCGAUUUCGAAUUUCGAACCAACACCCAAAAUAUCUCUCAUUCGAAUUUUGAAUACCUAACCAUCCAACAACCCAUUCAAAAUUCGAUCUCGAAUUUCGAAUUCCCAAUAAAUUUCCAAAAUACCCUCCAACCGUCCAACAACUCAUUCAAAAUUCGAUUUCGAAUUCGAAUUCCCAACCAACUCCCAAAAUAUCUUCCAACCACCCCACAACCUAUUCAAAAUUCGAUUUCGAGUUUCGAAUCCCUAACCAAUUCCCAAAAUACUUCCAACCAUCCAACAACCCAUUCAAAAUUCGAUUUUGAAUUUCGAAUUUCCAACCAACUCCCAAAAUAUUUUCCACAAUCCAUUCAAAAUUCGAUUUCGAAUUUCGAAUCAAUUCCCAAAAUAUCCUCCAACCAUCCAAAAACCCAUUCAAAAUUCGAUUUCGAAUUUCGAAUUUCCAAGUAACUUCCAAAAUAUCUUCCACAACCCAUUCAAAAUUCGAUUUCGAAUUUCGAAUCAAUCCUCAAAAUAUCCUCCAACCAUCCAACAACCCAUUCAAAAUUCGAUUUCGAAUUUUGAAUUUCCAACCAAUCCUAAAUAUCUUUCAACCAACCACAACAACCUAUUAAAAAUUCAAUUUCGACUUUCAAAUCCCUCAAAAUAUCUCUCACCACCCCUCCCAUUAUAAAUAUAAGAAUCGAGAUUAAUACGGGGGACAAGACGAUAGACGAAGAAGAGAAAAAAAAAAAGAAGAUUGUUACACACGUUCCGACGUACAAAAAAAUUCAAAGGAGGAAAGAUCGCCAAGCCGCGGAAAAGAGGAAAGAUCGCCGAGCUGCAGAAAGGAGGAGAGAUCGCCAAGCCGCGGAAAGAAGGAGAGAUCGCCGAACUGCGGAAAGGAGGAGAGAUCGCCAAGCCGCUUCAUUCGAUCCGUCAUCUGAUCAAAUUGCAAAAUCAAACGGGAAUUUCUUCGGACCCCGAAUCAAAUUGCAAAAUCAGAAGGGAAUUUCUUCGAACCCCGAAUCAAAUUGCAAAAUUAAGAGGGAAUUUCUUCGGACCCCAAAUCGAAUUGCAAAAUCAAAAGAGGAUUUCCUCGGACCUGAAAUAGAAUUGAAAAGAAAACCAAAUCCACAUACGAACCCAAAGCGAAUCAAGUUCACAUACGAACCCAAAAAAACCAAGCUCACAUACGAACCCAAAGAAAACCAAGUCCACAUACGAACCCAAACCGAAUCAAGUUCACAUACGAACCCAAAGAAAACCAAGUCCACAUACGAACCCAAAGAAAACCAAGUCCACAUACGAACCCAAACUGAAUCAAGUUCACAUACAAACCCAAAGAAAACGAAGUCCACAUACGAACCCAAACCAAAUCAAGUUCACAUAUGAACCCAAAGAAAACCAAGUCCACAUUCGAACCAAAACCGAAUCAAGUUCACAUACGAACCCAAAGAAAACCAAGUCCACAAAUAAACCCAAACCCAAAACCCAAAUCAAAUCCAAACCCAAAUCAAAUCAAGUCCACAAAUAAACCCAAACCUAAACCCAAAUCCAAACCAAAUCAAGUCCACAAAUAAACUCAAACCCAAAACCCAAAUUAAAUCAAGUCCACAUAUAAACCCAAACUUAAAUCCAAACCAAAUCAAGUCCACAAAUAAACUCAAAUCCAAAAUCCAAAUCAAAUCAAGUCCACAAAUAAAUCCAAACUUAAACCCAAACCAAAUCAAGUCCACAAAUAAAGUCAAACCCUAAACCCAAACCUGAACCUAAACCCAAAUCAAACCAAGUCUACAAAUAAAACUCAAACUUGAACCCAAAUCAAAUCCAAACCCAAACCAGAUCAAGUCCACAAAUAAACCCAAACCCAAAACCCAAAUCCAAACCUGAACCUAAACCCAAAUCAAAUCAAAUCCACAAAUAAAACCCAAACCCAAAACCCAAUCAAAUCCAAACUCAAACUAAACCAAAUCCACAAAUAAAACCCAAAACCCAAAACCCAAAUAAAACUUAAACCCAAAACACAAAUAAAAUCCAAAUCCAAACCAAAUCAAGUCUACCCUAAAUCCAAAUCCAAUCAUAAAUAGAACCCAUACCCGACUUCCAACUUGGAUUCAUGAACCAAGUUCAUGACCUAAAUCCAAUGAAUCAAGAACCAAGAACCAAGUUCAUGAACCCAAAUUUCUUGAAUCAUGAACCAAAUCCUAUAAUCAAGUUCGUGAACCAAGUCCAUACACCAUAUCCCAUGAACCAUGUCCAAGUUCAUGAACCAUACACCAUGAACCAUGAACCAUAAACCAUACACCAAAUUCAUGAACCAUAAACCAAGCCCUAUAAACCAUACACAAGUUCAUGAACCAAAUCUCAUGAACCAUAAACCAAAUGCCAUAAACUAUAUCCAAGUUCAUGAACCAAAUCCUAUGAACCAUAUCAAAUGCCAUAAACCAUAUCCAAGUUCAGGAACCAAAUCUCAUAAACCGUGAACCAAAUACUAUUAACCGAACCAUGAACCAAAUCCCAUAAACCAUGAACCAAGUUCGUGAACCAAACACCACGAACCAUACCCAAGUUCAUGAACCAAGUUUCAUGAACCAUAAACGAAAUCCCAUAAGCCAAGUUCAUGAACCAAACAUCACGAACCAUACCCAAAUUCAUGAACCAAACCUCAUGAACUAUACACCAUACCCAUGAACCAAAUCCCAUGAGUCAUAUACCAAGCUCAUGAACCAUACCCCAUACCCAUGAGUCAUAUACCAAGCUCAUGAACCAUGAACCUUACCCAUGAACCAUAAACCAAAUCUAAUGAACCAUGAAUUAUAUCCAAGUUCAUGAAUCAAACCCCAUACAUCAAACCCUCAUGAACUAUGAACCAAGUUCAUGAACUAUGAACCAAGUCCAUAAACCAAGUUCAUGAACCAAAUGAAUCAAGCCCAUGAACCAUAAACCAAGUUCAUAUACCUAAUCCAUGAACCAUAUCCAAGUUCAUGAACCAAAUCCCAUAUACCCAACCUCAUGAACCAUGAACCAAGUUUAUGAACCAUAAACCAAGUCCAUGAACCAUAUCCAAGUUCAUGAACCAAAUCCCAUAUACCCAACCUCAUGAACCACGACCCAAGUUCAUGAACCAUGAACCAAGUCCAUAAACCAAGUUCAUACACCAAACCUCAUAAACUAUAUCCAAGUUCAUGAAACAAAUCCCAUAACCAAAUCUCAUGGACCAAAUCCAAUGGACCAUAUACCAAAUCUCGUGAACCAUACACUUAUGAGCUAUACACCAAACCAUAUCCAAAUCUCAUGAACCAAAUCCAUAAACCAAAUCUCACGAACCAAUGAACCAUGUAUCAAGCUCAUACCAAGUUCAUCAUGAACCUUUUUACUCUAGCAUAUAUACCUAGAGUAAAAAUCAAAUAUCGACUACCCCUAAUACAUGUACCUAGGGUUAAGUCAACCCCACCCGCCUUAGCACAUAUACUAAGUCAAAACCAUCUCCAAACCGACAGAGUUCUAAAUUAUAUAUUUAGAAUUCAGUCAAAUGAUAUCAAGUUCAUUCGAACUCUAAGACAUAUACUUAGAGUUCAUCCGACUAACCCUAACACAUAUCCUUGGGAUCUAGUCAAUCUUUCACUCUAGCACAUAUACCUAGAGCGGAAGUCAAACCAAGCUUGACUAGUCCUAACACAUACACUUAGGGCCUAGUCAGCUUUUUGCUCUAGCACAUCUACCUAGAGUGAAAUCCAUACCCGAUCGAGCUCUAAUACAUAUACUUAGAGCUUAUGUAAAUCAAACCCGACGAAGCCUAACAUAAUACCUCAGGGCUUAGUCAGAUCCUCACUCUAGCACAUAUAACUAGAGUGAAAAAUAUAUUAAACUCGGUUAAUCUUGAUACAUUCACUCAGGAAUUAGCCAUUCUCAACUUUCGGGUAAUAUCAAAUCUGACAUACUUCAAUACAUAUACUUGGGGUAUGGUCACAUCUCCACCUUGGAAUAUACGACCAAGGUGAAUAUAAUCGGACUCUAAGACAUAUACUUAGAACCAAUUAGACUCUAAUACAUAGAGUUUAAUAUCGACUAGGUCUUAACACAUAUACUUAGGACCUAGUCAAUCUCAAAUCCAACUGAAUCCUAAUACACAUACUUAGGAUUUAAUAAAUCAAGACAUGAUUCAUCCUAUCCUCUCUAUGAAGGUCUCUUAAUCGAAGGUGCCCCAACGCCACGGGGGUAAUUAACAAUAGAUGCUUGCAUCUAUUGAAAGUCAUGGACUCGCAAUACCUGAUACUCAUAUACAUAUACAUACUCACCUGAAUCAUGAAUACUACCCCACGCGGCAAAAUCGAUCGACCAUGCGAGGUGCGUCAUUCUUGGUGGCAGACAGUAUCAAGUAGUGUCACAAGGUAAUAACCCACUAGUAUGUUCUUCUACUAUAUGUGCAUCAUCUAGUGUGAUGUACUAUGUCAAGUUUUUUACUUUUACCCAAUUAAUGAGGGACUUACACAAGGUAACGUCCCGGCUUGUGCCAUGCCUAAUGGCCCCAUGUUAGUCAACAUUUUUUCGCUAGGAAUGAGCUUUUUCCACGGUAAUCCACUUCUGUGUCCAAUCCCGCACGGGCGAUCAGUCGUCGCGAAGGCUAACUCCGGAGUGCUGGCUUGUAGGGAGCGACUCUCACAAGCUUGUGCGAAUGAGCACAAUGGCAAGCAAGUAUAAUCAUAAGCAUCAGGUCCAAAGACUGCAUAUCCCAAUCAUCAUGUCUAAAACAUGGAAUCACAAUCAUCGACUCAAAGGUCGGGUACUAUAUCAUAUAUGUCAUGUUUCAUUCUCAAUUAACUAAGUGGUAUGUCUCUACCGAUACAUAACACGCCUUAAGCAUGUAUUGGUUUAUAUCUCAUUUAUCUUAUCAAGGACGUUUCUCUAUUUCAUUCAUGACCCAAAAGGGGUUUCAUAAAUAUACUAUUUUCACUAUAGUGUAAGGUGAACAACUUACCAAUGUCAUAUUCAAUGAACUACGAGGAUGUCAACUAGAUCAUGAUUCAGGUCAUGCACAUGUCUUGCUACACAAGCCUCCAUUACAUGGAGUAUGAUGGUCAUCAUGCAAGCAAUUUUCAUUCAACUAAGCAAUUAUAGGCAAUUGCCCUGUAUACGCCCAAAAGCGUAGAAAUCUCUUUUGUCAUGUCUAGAAUGGAAUGCAACUAACGACCUAGAGGUCGAGUACAAUGUCAUAAUGCCCACUUAGUUGUUCAAAUAAAUUAAGUGCAACAUGCGUAACUUUACAUCUUGUCAUUAACAUGUAAUAUGUCCUGUUUUUUUACUAACGAUAGCAAAUAAAGCUUUACUAUAUUCAAGUUCAAUCCUACUAGUAGAACUAGUCAUGUUGUGUUCCAAAUGAUACUACCACACAUCUCUACAUGCAUAUCUAUAAUUGCAUAGGAGAAGUUCGAUGUCGUCGUACACUUACAUUGGUAUAAUAUGCUAGUUAUCAUCACAUCUCUCUACUAUGUAGAGUAUGCCUACGCGACAGUUGGUAUAAUAUGUACAUUGGUAUAAUAUGUACAUUGGUAUAAUAUGCAUAUCUAUAAUUGCAUAGGAGGAGUUGGCCUACGCGACAGUUGCUCGCCCGUGCGGGAUUGGGUGCCGAAGUGGAUUGCCGUGGGGAGUGUAUACUACCACGGGGCCAUUAGGCGCGGCGCAAGCUGGACUACCUUGGGUAGGUCCCUGUGAAUGAAAGGAAAUUGGACAGUAAUGAAUGAUUACCAGUUACAGUGUACAGUAAUUACUUACACAUUUAUGCUUUUGUUCAUGUUUAUAGUAGUUGCUAUGCUUCUAUUAAUCAGUUGAUUCAUUACUGUUGAGACUAUGAUUACAUGUUGCUUACAUAUUCAUUAAUUGUUAGCAUUGAAAAUAUAUCAUGCAAAUUACUGCUUUUAUUUCCAUUUAGUACAUCAUGAGCCUAGUGGUGUAAUUCGCCGAGGCUGGCGGCUUACCCACUGGGAACUAUUGUUAAUAGUUCUCACGCCCUUUUGGUGGUUGUUUUUACAGAGCCUGUUACAGNCUUACCCACUGGGAACUAUUGUUUAUAGUUCUCACGCCCUUUUGGUGGUUGUUUUUACAGAGCCUGUUACAGGAGAGGCUAGGGAUCGUGGCAAGGGAGUCGCGCCUAGCUAGGGACUACUAGGAGCGUGCUAGUCGAUCACCUUGCUACUCGGGCUACGGCCGAGGGUGAUGUCCCUAUGUAUAGAGAGACCACCGUUGUAUCUAUUCUUUUGUUAACCCAGUGGUGUAUUUGUACUUUUGGACAGUCACUAUAGUUGUGAGACUUCGUUGAUGGUUGAGAUUUUGGGUUUAUACUAUUGUUCUCUUAUUGAUAGUCUUUGUGGCUUUUACUAUGCUCUGAUAUCAGGAUAGGCUUAUUAUAUGUUUUUACUCCUAUCGACUUGUUGCUUGUAGACGCCUUAUAUACUGCAGGUGUAUGGCGGGUCUGUACACGUGCCGGAUAUGCUUCCGCUGGUACCCGGGCGUGACAGCUCCGGUUGAAGACCUAUGAUGACGUGUUGGAUUGCGCGCUAUGGGUAGAGCACGACAACACCAUUGUGCGUGAGGAACGCGAGGCUUUUGAAAGGGACAAGGACAAGGAGAAGUCCAAGAAGCGACCGGCUCGUGGUUUCGCAGGGCAGUCGAGUUCUAAGCGACCCCCUCGGUACCCUAAACCGCAGUGGCGGGAAGGCAGAAGCCAGUCGAGGAGUCAGGCGACUUCCUUCCCGUGUGUGAUUUGCAGCGGGAAUCAUAGGCCCAAUGAAUGUUCUCAACGUGACGGGAGGUGUUUCCGAUGCGGCCAAACGGGACACUUGAGUUAGGAUUGCCCGGGCGGCGCGUCACCUGCUCCAUCAGCUGCUUCGGCUUAGUAUGCUCCACGACAGCUUGCAGGAUUGCCACCUGCUAUGUCUGCUGGGCGCGCUUCAGCACCGCGUCAGUCGGAGGCAUCACGUGCACCGAGUGGACGGAUUUUCGCCACUCAGGUGGAGGAACAUCCUGCCGUAUUAUUUUGAUUAAUGGCAUUAGAGAAGAGCAUUGCUUAACAUGGGUGCAUCGUAUUCGUUUAUUGGUGCAUCGUUUGCUAAGACUCAUGGCGUGGAGAUAGUGCAUAAUUAUGACUAUUGGUGGGUUAACGCACCAGAGCAUUCGUUUAGAGUUCACGAGGAGUGCUUAGCUUGCCCUGUUCAGAUCGGCGAGUGGAUCAUGCCGGCGGACUUGCUAGUGUUGAAGCAGAUGUGGGGAUUUGAUGUCAUCUUGGGAGUUAAUUGGCUCUCCAAGUACUAUGCCAGCAUCGACUGUGACAGUAAGGUGAUCACUUUUCUUGAGUCUGGUCAAGAGGAGUUGGUGUAGCAAGCGUGCAAAAGCUUAUGUUUCGUUGCCACUGUGUCGGCGGCGAGGGCGAGAAAGAUGAUCAAAGGCGGAUGUGUGGCCUAUUUGGCGACCAUGAUAUAGGCUCAGAAGGAACACCCUGAACUUGGGAAUAUCCGAGUUGCAUGUGAAUUUCCGGAUGUGUUUCCGGCGGAGUUACCGGGAUUGCUACCGAAUCAGGAGAUCAAGUUCGUGAUUGACUUGAUUCCUGGAGCGGCGCUAGUUUCGAAGGCCCCGUAUAGAAUGGCACCAGCAGAGCUUAAGGAGUUAAAGGCCCAGUUACAGGACUUGCUCGACAAAGGCUUUGUUAGGCCGAGCGUGUCACCGUGGGGAGCUCCGGUGCUAUUUGUGAAGAAGAAGGACGGUACACUUCGACUCUGCGUUGAUUAUCGCGAGUUGAACAAAGUGACGGUCAAGAAUAAAUAUCCGUUGCCGAUGAUAGACAACCUGUUUGAUCAGUUGCAGAGGUCACAGGUAUACUCGAAGAUAGACCUUCAGUCGGGAUAUCACCAGUUGAGGAUCCGACAGGAGGAUGUGCACAAAACAGCGUACCGUACACGGUAUGGCCAUUAUGAGUUUACGGUAAUGCCGUUUGGGCUUACGAAUGCCCCAGCAGCAUUUAUGGACCUAAUGAAUCAGGUCUUUCGACCAUUAUUGGACAAGUGCGUCGUGAUAUUUAUCGACGACGUAUUGGUGUACUCGUGGAGUGAAGAAGAGCACAAGGAACUUCUAAGAACCGUGUUGCAAAUACUCCGGAACGAGAAGCUUUAUGCUAAGCUUAAGAAGUGCAAGUUUUUUCUUUCAGAGGUAACCUUCUUAGGCCAUAUGAUUUUCGGGAGCAGAAUCUCGGUGGAUCCAAGGAAGAUUGAGGUGAUUAGAGAUUGGCCUCAUCCGACGAGUGUGGCGGAAGUCCGCAGUUUCCUCGGAUUGGCAGGCUACUAUCGGCAUUUUGUUGAGGGGUUUGCAAAGUUAACUACUCCUCUCACACGCCUUACGCACAAAGGAGUAAGAUUUGUGUGGAGCGACGGUUGCGACCAAAGCUUCCAAGAGUUGAAAGAGAAGUUGACGACUACCCCAGUACUUGCUUUGCCAACACCGGGAGAGAGUUUCGUAGUGUAUAGUGAUGCUUCCUAUAGUGGUCUCGGGUGUGUUCUUAUGCAAAAUGGGCGAGUCAUUGCGUAUGCUUCGCGCCAGUUGAAGAGCUAUAAGAAGAACUACCCGAUACAUGAUCUCGAAUUAGCGACGAUCAUUUUCGCACUAAAGCUAUGGAGGCAUUAUCUCUAUGGUGAGCAUUGUGAGGUAUAUAUCGAUCACAAGAGCCUCAAGUACUUGUUCACCCAGAAAGAGUUAAACAUGCGCCAGCGGCGAUAGUUGGAGCUGUUGAAGGAUUAUGACCUUACUAUCCUAUACCACCCCGGGAAAGCUAAUGUUGUUGCCGAUGCGCUGAGUCAAAAGUCAGUUGAAAACUUGGCGACGGCAAUUACUAGUCAACCAUUGUUGCAGAAAGAAAUGCAGUGGUUUGGAUUUGAAGUAGUGGCGCUGGAGGUUCUGACCAUUUUGGCGGCACUAGUGGUUCGACCGGCCUUAUUAGAGCAGAUUAAAGAGCGGCAAGCUGAUGAUCCGUAUCUCCAAAAGGUGCGGAAUGACGUUGAUGGCGGGCACGCCGGUGACUUCGACGUGGGAUCCGACGGUGUACUUCGGUUCAGAAACCGGUUGUGUGUGCCUAAGGACGAUGAAAUCCGCAAGAUAGUGUUGCAAGAGGCGCAUCAUUCCCCAUAUAGUAUUCACCCGGGUGGCACUAAGAUGUAUAAGGAUCUAAAACUACAUUAUUGGUGGCCGGGUAUGAAGAAAGACAUUAGAGAGAUCGUGGCGUAGUGUUUAACGUGCCAACAAGUCAAGGUCGAGCGUCGAUUUUCCGCGGGAAAGUUGCAGCGUUUACCAAUCCCCGUGUGAAAAUGGGAGGACAUAGCAAUGGACUUUGUGGUCGGAUUACCCCGAUCGCAAGCCAGACAUGAUGCAAUAUCGGUGGUUGUGGACCGUUUUAUGAAGUUGGCUCAUUUCUUGCCGAUCCACACCACGUGGUCAGGAGACUAGUUAGCACAAGUCUACUUGGAUGAGGUAGUGAGAUUGCAUGGGGUUCCAUUAUCGAUUGUGUCAGAUCGAGACCCCCGGUUCACUUCUCAUUUCUAGAAGAGCUUGCAGGAUGCUCUAAGCACGCGACUCGAUUUCAGUACAGCGUUUCAUCCUCAGAGUGAUGGCCAAUCAGAGAGGACAAUUCAAAUACUCGAGGAUAUGUUGCGAGCGUGUGUACUCGACUAUAGUGGAGGGUGGCAUGAGUAUUUGCCGAUGGCGGAGUUCGCUUACAAUAAUAGUUAUCAAGAAAGUAUAGCGAUAGCGCCGUUUGAGGCACAUUAUGGGCGUAAGUGUCGCUCUCCUAUCCAUUGGAGCGAAGUGGGUGAAAGAGUCACCCUCGGUCCGGAUGUGGUGCGAGAGGCGGAAGAGAAAGUCCGUCUUGCUCGCCAACGGUUGAUGACAGCACAAUCUCGGCAACGAAGCUAUGCGAAUAAGCGCCGAAAGGAUUUGGAAUUCGUGAUUGGCGACCGUGUGUUUCUCAAGGUGUCGCCAAUGCGCGGGGUGAAGCAAUUUGGCAUUCGGGGGAAGCUUAGUCCCCGGUACAUUGGCCCUUAUGAGAUCCUUGAGCGGAUUGGGCCGGUGGCGUACAAGUUAGCAUUGCCGUCGAAGCUUGCGGGAGUGCAUAAUGUAUUCCACGUUUCGAAUCUUCGCAAGUAUUUCUGAAACUCCGCACAUGUGUUGGAGUAUGAGCCGGUAGAGUUACAGGAGGAUGUCACUUAUGACGAGUUUCCUGUGAGCAUUCUUGCUCGAGAGGAGCGGAAGCUACGGAAUCCGACUAUUCCGUAUGUAAAGAUGCAGUGGAGUAAUCACUCGAGGCGUAAAUCCACGUAGGAGAUCGAGGAGAAGAUGCGCGAGGUCUACCCUCACUUGUUUGAGCAAGAGGACUAAGGUACGUGUUUAUGUUUCGCGGCUGAAACUGUUUUUAAGGGGUGGGGAAUGUAACGUAUCACUUGCCCGUAAGUCGUGCCGAGUUCUGUCGAAAUGUGAGGAACGCGGAGUGGAACGAGUUGGUAUAGGUUCAAAGUGCAUUGGAACCUAUAUAAACAUUAAAGGGACCCGAGAGAGUGAAAUUAGAAAAUCUGGCCAAGUCCCAGAUUUUGGACUCUCGGGGACCGGUCCCUGCGGGGAGAGACCGGUCCCCGUAUGCGUAGCCUGCCCAGAAAGCUGGAAAAUUGGCUAAGUCCUGGAAAACCAGGCUACGAGAACCGGUCCCUGCGGGGAGAGACCGGUCCCCGUAGGUGAAAAAGUUGGGAAAUGGCUUAGUGGAAAAAAUGUUGCUCUCGCGAACCGAUCCCUGGAGGAGAGACCGGUCCCCGUGCGCGUGGUCAACCCAAAAAGAUGAAAAUUUGGCUAAGUCCUGAGAGGUGUACUCUCGGGGACCGGUCCCUGCGGGGAGAGACCGGUCCCCGUAUGCGAAAAAUGCCCAGGUUGGGCUAUUGCAAAAAUGGAAAGUUGAGGGAUUUAAGUGCAAAAGUGGCAUGUGAUAGGUCUAUAUGUGAGAGGGGAUUGUAUUAGGGCUCAUUACUCUCACACCUGCCAACAAAACAUCCCUCUUUCUUUCUCUAAAAACCUCUCCUCUCCCUCUCCUUCUCUCUAGAGCUUGGAUCAAGGAGGGCUUUUGGAUGAGAAAAGCUUGGAGUAGAAGCUUCCCAAGGUGGUGGCUAGCUUGUGAAGAGCUUUUGGAGGAAAACUUGAGACUCCAAGGUGAGUUUCCAUGAUUUUGAGUUAGGGUUUUGGUAGUAGCUUCUUGUAUGAGUAUCUAGGAGCUUCUAUGGUGUUUUCCCCCAUGAUUAUCCAUGUUAGGGACUAGAUUGGGGAAGAUGAUAUUGUAUAAGGGCCCAAAGUUGGGGUUUUGUAAUUAUAAGGUUGAAGCUCAGGUUUGAUCUCAUUUUAACCUAAUUGGUAGGUGAAUGAACGCGUUGGUGCGCUCGGUUCGGCGAUACGACCAGCGUACGCGAAGAUAUCAAGAAAAAAGGCUAAAUUGGUACAGAUUGCCGCAGCUCGCGGCAUAGAGUUCUAAAUAUUGGGGAAAAUUGGAUUUCGGCAUCCUAGUAUCACUGAAAUGUGGGGGGUGCUGUCCGGAAACACCGGAUCUCUUUUUAUGUCUAUGUCACUUUACUUGAGCAUAUUGAUAUUGAAGCACAUAUAGGGUAGUGUGAAUAUGUUCCUGGUUGAAAUGCAUUUAGAUGCUAAAGAAUAUAUGAAAUGGUAAUUAACCAAGUGAACCAUGUAUGAAACGAACCCUAUGUGCAUGUGAAUGUGUAACAGACUAUGACAAUAGUAAACAAUGGUGACAUUGACUAUAGUGACUUGAUUGGCAUCAAAAAGUGAAUAGUUAAACAAAGUUUAACCCAGAAUGACAUUAUGAGUAGUGUGGCAUCAGGACCAUUAUGACUCAGAUUUGGUGGUAUAUAUGAUAUAGUAGAACCUAUCGUUGACAUUGAGAUAUUGUGGCAUGAGACAGGUUUGGCUAUAUUUUCUCAAAUUGAGGAAUGGAUCGUACUCACAUGUAUCGAUUCCGGCUUGUGAGAGGUAGCUCCUCCACAAGCGGUGUACUCCGGAGUGUAGACACCACUGGUGAGAGUGCCCGGCGAAGAUCCCUCGAGCGACAGUGCCAUGUGCCUUCCCCAGUAGACGGGAUGGAUCCCUCCGGGGUAUUUUCAAAUGCUAAUCCCGGUAGAUGGGACAUGUGAGAUGUGAGUUGGGGUGAACUUGAUGAACCCCGAUAUGAUUGGGUAAAGGCCAAGUAAAAUGAGAAAUGGACAUGCAUGCAUCAGAUUCAUGUAUUUGAUUACCUAUCUAUCUGUUGACAGUUGUUUUGCAGGCAUUGUAUUAGUAAUUGCAUUAGAUGGUUCGGUAUCUAUCUUUAUUGAAAUACAUAUGCCUGAGAUAGACCUAGUGGGCGAAUCGAUGCGGUCGGCGGCCGAACCCACUGGGAACUUCGUUCUAGUUCUAAUUACCACUAACCCUGCAGAUCCGUGCGCGAGCGGGGCGGCGGAGGAUCGAGGCAAGGAUAUUGCGCCGUAGCUAGCGGCCCUCAGAGUAUAGGCAUACCCUACAUUUUGUGUACUCAACUUUUGUAUGUUGAACUAGUGAUGUAAAAGAUGUAAAUCCUAUUUUUUGGGUUAAAGGCCAAUGUGAUGUAAAUGGAUGGAUAAAAAUGAAUGUAAAUGUAAUAGUUUACUGUGUUUGAUUCAAAGGUAAUCAAAUGACAUGUAUGUGGAUAAAAGUUUAAUUAGUUUCGAUGCUUUCACAUGUGGUUAUGUUUUUAUAAGGAAGUGAAUUCUCGAAAUCCGAGGAUUGUACUUCAUCCAGGAUCGACUAACUGGCGAGAGAAUACCCAUUGGGGGAGUUGAAAAUGUCCAAAACACAAAAAGUGCUUUGGAGUUGAGUCCGCGAGAGCAAAUGGUGCAAACUGCAUUUUUGGGCUGAUGUUGCUCUCGGGGACCGGUCUCUGGAGGUGAGAGACUGGUUCCCUCGGCUGGGUGUAGCGGGGUUGCUUGGUGCAACCGGUCCCUGGCAGGGAGGGACCGGUUCCCGAACGUGGUCCCAGCGAGAAAUGCCAAAAUUGGCUAAGUCCUGAAAAUCGAGCUCUCGGGGACCGGUCUCUCAGGCGAGGACCAGUCUCCCGAGGACCGGUCUCCCGGGGAGAGACCGGUUCCCGAACGCGUGCGCCCGAGGGAAGCUCGCGGGGACCGGUCCCAAGUCGGGGAGACCGGUCCCUCCGCGCGAAAACUGCGCAGUAAGGGUUGUGCAAUGGAUGAAAAGUUGAGGAGUUUUUAUGCAAAAUGACCUUUAUUAGAGUGGGCUGAGCUCUCUCUCUCCCUCAUACUCAUCUCAUUUCCCUCUCUCACACUCUCUUUCUCUCUUGCUCUCUCUCUCUGGAAAAGAAAGGAGAAGGAGAAGAACAAGAAGGAGAGGAAGGAAAAGAAGAGGAAGAACAAGAAGGAGAAGAAGAAGGAGAUCAAGAGGAAGGCCUUGAACACCUUCAUCUCCUUCUCCUCUUCUCUUUGGUGUAGCUCUUGAGGUAAGCUACUAAACCCUAGCUUCUAAACUUUGGAGUUUUGGGUUUUUAUGCUUUGGAAUGGGUCAAAUGGACCCUAAGCAUGCUUCUACAUAGAUCAAUCCCAAGAAUCGAGAGAUUUAUUGGGUGGUUUGCUAUAGGUGCAAACCUAGGGCUCCAAAACGGGGUUUUCGUGAAAGUAUGAGGUUGAUCUCAUUUGAAGCCUUGGAAACCCUAUUGUUAGGUCACAAAACGCGGGGGCAAAGUCGAUUUUAGCAUUCGGCGAGCCGACGUGAAGUUCUCGGCAAAAUAGGGCCGGGAUAGUUUGGAUUUGGGCAAGGAAGGCUAAAGCCCUUUUCGUAAAGUUCGCCGAUGAGCGUUUCCAAAGCCUCUACAUCGGUAAAAGGUGGGGGGUGCCAUCCCAAAGCUUUCGAACUCCUUUCUAUGUCUUAGAUUGCAUUUAAUCUCAUCUCUUCAUGUUGCAUUGUAGGAUUGCAUAGUAGCUCCAUUCCUUAUGCUUUCUAAAUGAUAACCUAGUGUACUUGGAACGCUUGGUAACUUAGAUAGGUGAGGAUUGGGUCGGAACGUGGAUCCUAUGAUGCGAAAGGUAGAGAUGAACCCGAUGGGGGUGUUGAUGACAUAGAAAGUAGUGUUAUUGUUAAAGAACAAACGAGUGGCAUCCAAACAUUGAAUGAUGACGAGUGGCAUCCAAACAUUGAAUGAUGACGAGUGGCAUUAAUGUAGUGUAAAUGACACUAGAGGUUUGAGAACCUAGGGAUAGGUGGAUCCCUUAGAAAAUGCCUUGUGAACAAUGAAUUUAGAAAAGCUAAAUAGCAUUGCAUGAAUGUCGGGAACCUAUGAUCCCGCGAGAAUUGUUGACUCUAGUUGUAGAGCAUUCUCACUUGGAAAGGAUUUGAUUGGGUUGUGGACCCUAGUUAUAGUGCUUCCUCACUUGGAGAUGAUUUGAUUGGGUUGUGGACCCUAGUUAUAGUGCUUCCUCACUUGGAGAGGAUUGGAUUGGGUAGUUGACCCUAGUGAUAGUGUAUCCUCACUUGAAGAGGAUAGAUCUAGCUCAUAGUCUGCGUUUGGGGUGGUAUAGCCAUCCAAUCCCCACAUGGAGGGGAUUGUCGUCGAGUACUCCGGAGUGUCGCGCGACUAUGACCACUUGGAGGUCCGGACCACAUGGAGGUCCGCAGACGGUCCCGGGCUUGGGAGCACAUGGAGCUCCCUCCCUACUUUGGGAUUGAAAGAUGAGUUAUGGGCGAGCCCUAGGGCCUCACCACAAAUUGGGUAAAUGGAAAGAGUAAAGGUUUGAGAAUGUCAUUGAACAUUGCUAUUCGAACAUGGAUCGAAUUUGUUAGCAUGGUAGCAAACCUUUAUUAUAUGAUGCAUGCAUUCAUAUUCAUGAUUAUGGGCAUAGUAGCAUAGUUUUCUUAUUAUCGCAUUUACAGCUUUCAGAUACAUAUCUAUUUAUCUAUCUAUCUGUUGUUGCUUGCGCCCACUUGGACCUAGUGGGGAGAUCGGCAGAGUCGGCGACCGAGCCCACUGGGAACUAUGGAAGAUAGUUCUCACCCCACUCUAUUUCCAGUGGUAGGUUCGGGGCUGCAGAGAGAGGACCGCGGCAAGGGCAUCGCGCCCGACCAGUGAGACCGUGGUAGUAUAGUAGCUUUUCUUUUUGCAUUAGUCACCUUUGUAUUGAGAGAGAGAUUUAUUGUAGGUGAGGAUUUGGAGAGCUAUGUAUUUUGGAUAAAAAAUGUAUUCGUUAAAGAAAAUGAAAAUGAUGGAACUAUUGUAAUAGUUAGCAAAGUACUCUCUCUAUUUCACUUGUUUUAUCUUGUGGAUUGCUUGCUCUUUGUAUUAUUGGCACUGUUUGUGCCCUUGUGAAUGUGUAUGCUUAGAAUUUAAUUUUCUGGGUAAAUUCUUGUACACAUUCCUGUUGUUGAGCCUUGGGCGGACAGGGGAGGUGCUGUCCGUUCGGCGGCCCGCAGCCGCGGCCGAACCGUGCCAAAUUGGUAGUGGUUUCGGGGCGGGGCGUGACAGUUGUUGUUUGCCCUCGUGCAAAUCUUGUGUAUCUUGCAAUCUUCUUGUUGACUUGCUUAUAAUAUACAUGUUGAUAGAGCCUUGGGCGGACGGGGGAGGUGCUGUCCGUUCGGCUUCUGUUCGCGUGCCCGAACCGACCAAAUUGGCGGCUCCGGGGCGUGACACCAGGGGUUCAGUAUCGCAAAACCUGAACAUUGGAAAAUUCUGUUUCCACUGCGUUCCGGAACUUGCCCGAUGUAGUACAGGUACUCACCACUUGGUUCCGCAGAAUCUGAGAGCUACCCAAUUUGGCACUCAACUAAGUUCCGCUACUUCAAAUCCAGUACCGGUACUCAACAAAAAUACUACACUUUUGCAGAAUUUGAUCUCCGGAGUCCGUUUUCGCGAUUAUUAAGCCUCGAAAACACUCCUGAGCUCUCUAAACUCAGUCAAGUCCUUCAAAAUAGUAUGAAACACUAUUCUCUCACUGGAACUCCGCAAUUUGCAUAAGUUCAGUGCACUACAGAUAACCUUCUUUAAACAUAAUCACAGAUUAUUGAACGAUAAAUAUUUACUGUGAUAUCUUCAACUAUAGGCCGUUUUAAAUAGCGCAUUAAAAGUUAUUCUUUGGUUAUAGCAACGUUACUUCUAAUUUUAUUUGUCAAGUUAUUUUAGAAAGUUUAAUUAAUGAUUUUGUUAAAUUUGAUAGCUCUACAAGCUAACUGUCAGUUAAUUUUUGCAAUUUUAUUUACUAAAGUAUUAAGAGCCAUUAAAUUUAAAAGAAUCAUUCUUAAACAUAUUAAAUUCUUAUUUUAUUUGAAUAAAUCACCUACCUCACAAAAGUUAACAAUUGAAAGGAUUUAAAUAAAUAAAUAAAGUUUGCUUUUUUUGUUUUCGGGAGCACAACAGUGUUGUGGGGGGAAGGAGCAGCGAGGCGGCAGGGUAGGUGGUGGGUGGUGGGUGGGCCCCUCUCCUCCCCCAUCCUUUAUCCUACACAAUAAACCUUCUCUUCUCUAUAUUUUCUCCUCCAUCUUUUCUCCUUUAUCUGAGCUGCUGCUCCUAUGUUUCAUAUUUUUACCUACUAAUGAUAGCGACCGAUCAAGUCUACCCCUCUCCUCUCUCUUCAUCCUUGCCGAUAGAACGCGUAGUUUAGGGGGCUGUACUUCUCUACUACCUACUCUUUCACUUUUAGGCAGUAGUGAUAGUUUCCUUUGUUGAUGGGUCGCGUUGUUUAGGGGGCACUAUUUUCUCUUGCUUUCUCCAACACUUUCCUACCUUACCCUCCCUCCAUCCGCUCUUCUUAUUGAUGAUGGCCUCGGUAUAGGGCCGUACACAACUUCUCUUGGCUGGCGUGUGCAACUGGCUUGGUAAUAAAUGCUCCAGUGGAGAACAUACACAACUGGAAGGACAAUCAUAACAAAAAGUUCUACCGAUGGGCUACGUCUUUUUGUGGAUGGUACUUCUCUACUGCCUGCUCUGAUAUUCUCUAACCUCACCUUUACCUUUCUCUCCGAUUUCCUUUGAUUGCUAAUGAUGGGCUAGUUGUGAGGCCAUAUGCACCCUCCCUUCUCCUGCCUCGUCUGUGCAACUGGGGGCCUUUAUUGCUGAUGAGUGCCCUCACGUACAGCACGCACAGCUGGAAGGGUAGUUGUACGGCUUUGUGCCGAUUUGCCUCCUUAACUUACUACCUUCCUUCCGGCACUCUCUUGGCUCACUCUCUGUCUCUAUGCCCUAUGCUAAACCUUCUUGCGUUUUUUGUGGGUGUGCAAUUGUCCAUAAGCACCUGGUGGUUAGCAAGUACCUGAAUUGGAUCCAUGGGUUUGCCGGUUGUGGCUAUACUUCAUAUGUGACUAGUGUACAGUUGGGCCCUCUCUCUGUUCUACGCAGCCGAUUCUACUUCUAGUCAUGCUUCCCUUGAACUUUUGUUGGUUUGCUUUGUAUUGCUUUGUUCUGUUUGUUGCGGCAGUCUCGAUAUAACAAACAAUCUAGAUAUAGCUGCUCUGACCUGAUCUUUAUAUUGAUUCUCCCUACUAUGCUGUUUUAGUUUAUGCUUUUGUUUUUUGUGCUCGGUUUGGUUUAAGAUUUAGUUAUGCUUUUUCAUGUUUCCGAUUUUUUGGCAAGUGUUUAUCUUACUUUGCAGUUUAGAGGGGAAAAAAAAAACACUCGAGUUUCCUGUGAUUAGAAUAGGGAGUUGGAAAGUCGAUAAUACUUGAAGCUUAUUUAGCUAUCUGAACUACACCUCUUAGAACGUUGUACCACUUUAGUGUUGUUUAGAAGAGUCUGAUUUGUAAUUUUGUGGUUUGUGCAGUCCACACAAUUUCGGUGAAGCAAAAAAUAAAAUUAUUUUUUUCUUUUUUAGGUGUGCUAUCAAAUAAACAUGUUAGAUGCAAACUAGCAAGUAAUCUAUCAUCAUCUCCACUCUUUUAAAUAAAUUUUUUAUUUAAAGAAAAGCUAGUAGCUGUGCCAAUUGCCAAAUAAGGCCCUGUUGAUCAAUUAAGAUAUGUGAGUAAUGCUAAGACAGGAUAGUAACUAGGAAAUUUGAUAGUUCAAUUUGGGAAUGUAGAUUAUAAGACUGAUAACCUUCCAUAAACACAAUACCAAAUUGUUGAAAAGUAAAAUUACUGAGACACCUUGCCAUAUUAAACAGGUCCCUCUUAACUUUAUUUUUUGAUUGAUAACUCCUUUCCUUCUAAUUUUAUUUAUCAAGUUAUUUUAGAAAGUUAAGUUAAUGAUUUUGUUAAAUUUGAUAGCUCUAGUAGCUAUUAUCUGUUAAUUUUUACAAUGUUAUUUACAAAAAAGAAAGCCUUUAGAUUUAGAAGGAAUCAUUCCUAAAUUUAUUACACUUAUUUUAUUUGACCAAAAUCACCUACCUCAUAAAAGUCAGCAAUCGAGAGGAUUUAAAUAAAUAAAUAAAUAAAUAAAGUUCUCUCUUUUUUUGUUUUCCUUUUUUUCUUUUUUUCUUUUUUUUUUUUUAUGUUGUUUGGGAUGCACGGACCAAUUAGAGGUAUCCAUGUUAUGCCACUCUUUAUAGAAAAGAAGUACAAACCAUUAUCCCUGCACUCGUGACAAGCUACAGUAAGCUGCAGUUACAGUUUUCCAGUUACGGUUUUCCUCGGCCAAUUCGUCAGAUCAACACAUCAAAUCCUGUCCUUUUCAGAAAGUUAAUAUUUUCAUACGCUCAAAUAAGAAAAACCGGCGCUUUAUUACAAGUAAAUCUAACCAAUUACGAUCAAAAUGAAAGGUCUACUCGUAUUAAGCCCAGGUAUUUGCAUUAAACAAUUAGAAAAUUAACGUCCAUAUAAAUUUCGACAAGCUACAUCAAAAGAACUAAUUUCUCCAAGACUUUCUCCGCUAAGUUGUGCUACAACAACAACAAUAACGAAGCAGCAGUAGCCGCCGCCGCCUGCUGCUACAACAGCAUUUAUGCAGCUUAUUUGGUUAUAAAACAGCAUUCCCAGGAGGUGAAAGAAAAAAAAGAAAAAAGGCCUACAUAACUCGCACAAUUAAAACAAAAAAAUGAUGCUCAAAAUUCAUACUCAUCAGCUGAUUGUUUUCUUUCUUUCGUCGUGCCAAAGCCUUCAUAGAGGAAGCCCAAGAGAACCCCGGUCACAAACAGCCCUUGUACACACCGGGAUUAUGAAACAUUAUGUUUUGUAAAAAAGAAGGAUUAAAAUAGAUAACAAGGUUUUCCGAUGAAAACAUCAUUCCCUACCUACGUUAAUUCCUGUUCACCUUCUCUUCCUGAUCUGGCUCAUGUCUGCAUCAUUGAGAUCAAAAAAAAAAAAAAAAAAAAAAAAAAAAUGUAGAUACAGAAGAUUAUAAACUAUCAUAGUAGCCUACGAGGAUAAAUUAACGCGCCUGCACCAUCCAUACAGUUGAGUAAUAAAUCCACAGAAUUGGUAGCUGUUACUCCCCAACUGUGAGCUUGAUCAUUUUUCAUCCUCUGAAUCUGUAAUAUAAAGUCAUCAAUAAAAUCACACCAUGGACCUAAUGUUUGGAUACAACAGUACAGUUUCCAAGGAAAAGAAUCACAGAAAUUCCCCUAUUCAUCUGACCAAAGUUUCCAAGUUACAAGCUGAGAAGAAGAAUGGACAAGUCAACAAUUUAUUUUGAUUUCUUCUACAAGAAAACAGGUAGAGCCCUAUGUUGUUCUUAAUGAACAAAAGAAAAAAGCCUUAGAGAAACCUAGCAAAGAUGUGUGUAUGUCGGUUAACAACUCGAGCAAUUUAAUUCAAAAUGCACUUUGGGUGGUCAGCACUUCCGACCUAGCUACAUUUGAUUAGUCAGUAAGACAUUCGUUUGCAAUAAAAUAAGAUAUAAUUUAGGGUAGGGCUUUUUUUGCAAAUGGCCCCCCUGAAAAAAAUUUAUUUUAAAACUAGCCCCAACAAAUUUAUAAUUGUAAAAAUGACCCUUGCCCUGCCACGCAUGCGCCAUGCAAGCGCCACGUGGGCGGACUGGAGGCCUGCUUGGCAAGUUGAACAUGGUGAAUCAUUCACUUGAUUCACCGUGUUCAAACACGGUGAAUAGUUCACCGUGUUUCAUAUUUAUAUUCCUCUUCUUCUCUAUUAGGGAUGUCAACGGGUCGGAUUUGGAUCGGAUUUUUAAAAACCCGAAUCCGAAUGCGAAAAUCAAAUUAAAACCCAAACCCGAAUCCAAACCCGGUGGGUUUUAAAAAUCCAUACCCACAUCCAUACCCGACCAAAAACCCGAAACCCGAACCCGGACCCAAACACGGCGGGUUUUAUAUAAAUUAUUAACUAUUUUAUAUAUUGUAUAAAUAAAUAAAAAUAAAUUAUGUAUAUAAAUAAUUUAUUCCGAUUUGGGUUCGGAUAAUAUUUCGGGUAUCCAUAACCAUUGACAUCCCUACUCCCUAUUCCUCUUUUCAAUAUUUAUAUUGCGAAAAAUACAUAUAUUUGUAUUUUCUCUAGACACGGAAAAUUAUUUACCAUAUUUGGACACGAUAAAUGGUUUGCCGUGUUCAACUUAACACCCUGGCCCAGCUCCGCUCGCUUUGGCGCUGACGUGGCAGGGUCAAGGCCAAAAGUGCAAAUUUAAAUUUGCUGGGGCUAUUUUUAAAAUAAAUUUUUUGUAGGGGCCUAGAUGCAAAAAAAGCCUUUUAGGGUAAGCUUCAAUUUCCCAACCUGUGGUUCAGCACAUUUUCAUUUUGACACGUGACCUAUGGUUUAAAAAGUUGCACUUUGAUACCCUCUAAUUUGAUAUUUGUUUCACCAUAAAUAUUUGCCAUGAAACAGGGUAACAGGCUGAUACCCUGCAGAUUACAUGCUAGUAAAAUGUUAUAUAUGCUACCACUCUGGUUUGUAGUGUAGCACUUUGCUAGCUUUUUUUAUGGUAAGUUUUACAGUUUAAUAAAAAAUAACGCCACAAUGCAGUAAAGUGUAACUUCUAAAAUAAGCAGGUGACAAAGUGAAAAUACGCUAAAUCACUAGAAAGCAAAUUGCAGUUUACCCUAAAAUUUAUCAAUAAAAGAAAUUUUCCAGAUGAUUAAAAUCCAAUUGUGUCAAUAAGUAGAAUUCUUCCCUCAGUAGGUCAUCAAGCAAAAAGUAAACAUAAAGUGCUUUGUACCUGAUCGAACAUCUUCUCCCACCUGUCCUCUGUUAUUCAGCUGUCUCAUGAUCAUGGCACAUAUUAGCUUCCACCAGUAGAUGUGGAAUACAAGCAAUGUGAGGAGCAUGGUGUUGAAAAUGUAGUACAGAGAAGUGGGAAAGUUUUCCAGUAUCAUCAAGGCUUCAAUAGACAGGUAGCUGCAAUUUUUCAGCAUCCAAAAUGAUAAGAAACAUACGAUUUGACAAAAAACAAAGAGAAGAAAGGGUUAAUCAGAAAGGCUGCAGAGAAAGUAAUGCAAAACAGACCAUGAGGUUCUAAUUAUCCAGAAGGGAAAGUAAACUAGACGCAACAAAAGCCAUGAGAGUGCAAAGAGUCCAAAGCACAAGCUAGCUGCAAUCUCUUUCUCAGAAUAUUUGAACAAUUUGGCCGCCUCAAGAAAAACAUCACUUGUAUCAUGCAAAGCAAGGAUGAUAGUACCAAUCCGAAAAAAUCUGCACAAUAAGAACAGCUUUGAUUAGUUUUGUCGGACAAACUAAUAUGUCUUAUAAUCAAAGAUCAGCAUGAAUUUCAUUUAAUGUUGUCACUGAUUCAAAUUUUGUAUUUUAGAGCUGUAAGGCAAAUAUCACAAGAAUAUCUAAUUCUCAAACCACGAGAGUAUUGAUUGUUGCUUGUUGUUUAAACUCUGCCACUUUCAGCUUUCCUGUGGUGUAAGAUUAUAUCGCUCCCCGAUAUCCAUUCAAAUGGAAUGUUUCAAAAUGGUUUGCUAUUCACAAUAUUGAAGAAGUAUUAAGAUCAAGCAAGGAUUUAAGUGCCGUGGCACGGGGUCGUGCCAGAAACUUGCCGGCACGGUACAGCACGGUGCAUGCCGAACCGUGCCAAUGCGUGCCUGUCAAAAAAAUUCUUGUGUGCCGACACAUAAUAGCAUGAAAUAUUUAUUUUCUUUAGCAACAAAAUAUUCUAACUAUUUAUUAUGUCUUUUUAUCCCAUCUUUUGAACUUUAUUGAGGAAAUUACUUACUAAUUUAAACAAUUUUAAAGAAUAGAGGGUUUUGACUGACCAAGGAGGAAAAAAAAAGAGUAUAUAUCUUAAGAGAGCGACCUUAAAGGAAAAUUAGUAUAAAAUAGCAAACAACAUGCCCUAUCCUCAGCAUCAGUGACUUGCAUAUUAUGAGGAGGUUUUGCCAAGUUGUUUUUUCAUUGCAUAACAUUUCUCAAACAGAAUUAUCAAUUAAAGACUAUAAUCCUUUAUGCUGUCUCUACAAGAACAUUGCACAUACAUCCAACAUAACUCCUUUUGGCUCUAUUUUUCAGGAGCAAAGGAUGCAAAAGAAAGACAGCCAAACAUCCGAAAAGGAGUUAACACUGGAAAUUGCUUAUGUAAGAUUAUUAGGGUAGAUACUAAGUUUGAAGAAACCAACAAAAGAGUUUGGAAAAUUUAAUGAUUGUGAAGCCAAAAUUUAAGAUUAUUUACCAUCGAAAUAAAGGGAAAAAAAAUUAUAUGAUGAUAAAGAAAAGAAGUAUGGCAUAAAACAGUAUAAAUUGGACAUACACACCCCAACCCAAAAGCUUAGCCAGGUGCAUGACAAGCCCGCCAAACAUAAGGGCUUACAAUUCUCAUGGAUGCAUGGCCUCAGAACAAGACAAUCUGUUUAAUAACCACAUAAUGAAAUUUUACAAAUACUGUGCCUAAAUAAGCAAAAUACCCAAAUAUAGUUUUACUUUAACUAAUAUAUCCCAAAGUAACUUCACAAAUUAAGAUUAUAACUAGUUACAAAUAUUUUUAACUGUUAACUGUCCAAACUUUUUUCUAACAGAACUGAACUCAAGAAUAACCCAUACCCCCAGAAUUUUGGGAUUUAAAUUGCUUGCAUUUAAAUAUGAUUCAAAUAUAAAAUAUUAAGUGGAUAAAAAUUUAAAUUGGGUGUGAUAUGAUUGGCUAGAUAUGUUAUGUGCACAUAAUAUCAGAGUGUGAUAAAAAUGGAUAGGAAUUAAUGGAACCUAGGUUGGUCUUACAAAAAAAAAAUUUAGCUUAACAACAGUAUCAGGUGGAAUCUGAAUAUUGUUAAGAGGAACUCACAAAUUUAUUUCAAAUUUGGGAACUAGGUUCAAGAUGAAAUUUAUUUCAAAUUUGGGAACUAGGUUCAAGAUGACCUUUCAUAUGUGAAAUUAAUACAAAAUGAUACAAAAUUUUAGCACUAAUUUAUUGGCCAUAAUUCAGGCCUAUGCCUGAAAAUUGGGACUAAAUUGACUUAGAGAUGAGUUAAAUAGACACGACCACGAGUUUAAGUCACUACGAGUAUUGGAACCUUCGAGAUAACAAUUUAUGGAAGGAAUUAAACCCAAUAGAAAAAGUAAUUGCACAAUCAUGAUUGGGGGAUCGAGAUGUAAUGAUAUAUGUUUGGGCCAAAUCAGAUUCUUGGAUCAGUCAAAUUUGGUUUCUCUUUAAAGGAGUGGCUUGCUAUGAAAUGACAAGUCCUUCGAAGAAUUUAAUUGUAAGUAUAAGAGUUGGAUGGGAGUAUGCAUGGAUGGGAUUUUAACGUCUCUAAAAGAAAGUUUCAAGUUGUUAAACAUAGAAAGAGGAAUUUAAACACCAGAGAGAUUAGGAUUGCUAAGCAAGGAUGAGAUUGUUUAAUUAAAAACAUAAAUCUUUGGAAUUAAAUUUCCGUAUAUAUAGAGAGAAGGAUAAGAUGAACUCACGCUCUCUGCAAUCCUGAUGUAGGAUAUAAAGAGUAUUAUUAUCUUAGAAAUUGAUGGCAAAUAAUAGUUACAGGCAAAUUGGUUCAAGGUUUGUAAUAUUUUAAGAAUGUUGUAUAUUUUAUAUUUGGAAUGGCAAGUCUGUCAUUAACUUAUCAAGCUACUAGGGUUGGGUGGUUGCUAAAAACUAGUAAAUUCUUAUUAAUGGACUACUAAUAAUUCCCAUCUAGAAUGGAAAUGAGAAUAUCUCAACGCAUAAUAAUCUAGUAUUCCUGCCACCUACGAAUCUAUAAUGAUUCCACUACUUCAUUAACAACUUUUCCAACUAAACUUGAGUUAAAUGAUAAUAAUUUGAAUAUUUUCAAUACAAAAUACGGAGGAUUACCGAAAUAUUACAAAACCUGAACCAAACGGCCCCUUACUGUUAAAUUAAUGGUUCGAAAUUGGAAUUAGUAUUGCAUGAGACUUGUCCUAGCCUGUAAAUAAGAUACAGAAUGUAACAUUAAAUUAAUCGUUCAAAAUUGGAUUUAGUGUUGCAGGAGACAUGUCCUGGCUUGUAAAUAAGAUACAAAAUGAAGAAGCCAGCCCAUCCCGUUGAAAGGCCUUCUACAAGAUUUGUUUCCCCCUAGGUAUGACCGUAACUAUCCGAACAAGAUCCGCUCCAACUUAUGGUCGAGGUUUGGAUGUAAUUUGGUUGUCUCUAUUCUUGCAAAUAGGAUUAAAAUAAAGGAAGAGGUUGGCCAUGAUGAUCCAUAAUUUGGAGGAGAAGCAAAUAAGUCUCUCCCUCUCUGUUUGGUCUGAUCAUUGUGCCACCACUGUUGGUUGGGGAUAUGUUUGCAAAAUGGACAUAAUGCACACGCCAUCCAAACCAUAGCUGAUGGAGCAAAUAAACGUUUAUUUUAUUUUUGAAUGCAAUUUUCUUUUAUUUUGCAAGUUCGUGUUUGAUUCAGGCUUAAAUCGUUUAGUUUUAAUUGGUGCGGUAAGCUAAACCUCUUUUCUCCAAUAAACAUAGAAAUAAACCCAAAAAGACCUUUUGGCUUCCGAAAAACGCCUCAUCUUCUAUGCAUGACCUUUGGGUGACCGUGUUGUACUGAAGACGAAAGGACAAGAAUUUAUUACAGGAUAGACUCUUAACAUUAUAAAUACUUGGCUAUUGAUGCUUUGAGGAGCAGAUUUGAUGAAGAGAAAUUUCUACUCUUGUUCUUUAACCUCGUAGUGGUGUUCUCUUUCCGGUGUGAUCAUCGCCGCUACUUCCUCGCACUGAGAUCGUCUUCUUUCUCAACUUUAUCAUUGCCGUUUCUUCCUCGUGGCAAAAUCGGCUUUUGCUUCUACCUCUCUUCAUCUAGAUCCCUGCAUCCUCAUCAUCUUCUCCGUUGUCGAAGUUCCACCCAUGAUGUACCACCUUCCUCGUCAAUUGUGGAAUUCCAACAAUCUUGUGAUCGGUGCACUUCUGGCAUCUUAUCUUCUCCCUCAUCUCUUGAUAUUCCACUAUCCCUUUCAAUCUAGCCUUCCACUAUUACCAACCAUCUUUUCAAGACAACUAAAUCUAAAAGCUUCAAGUCCAAUAAAACUGAAUGUAUCUUUUUGGAACUAUCAUAUGUAUUUUCAGUUGAUUAUUUCAUUUCAUAUAUUGAAGGUUUAUCACCAUCCUAGUAUUGCUUCAAUUCGAUUUUAAUUUUCUGUCUUGCUAAAAUUUUUGCUUCUUUGCUUUAAUUUUAGUAAAGUUCGCCAGGAUCGAUAAAUUGAACCUAGUUUAUUUUAAAGAAAUACCUUUAAACGAAAACAAAGUUGAAAAUUCAGAUUUGGCAACCCCUCGGUUCGCAUCAAUUAGCAUCGGAGCAAGUUCUUUUCGUGGGAACGUUUGUUUUGAUCUAGACAACUUUUUGGUGCUGAAGUUUUUUUUUUUUUCUUGUUCUUCUUUUUGGGCCAAAUAUUUUCAAAAAAAAAAUCUCUUCAUUGAUCAAGUUGGAAGCAUUUGGUAACGACAGAUAAUAGUGAAAUUCCUCGUGAUUGGAAAGAAUCGUAUGAGAAACAACAAGAUUGCAUGAGAAACAUACAAAAUCAAAUGAAUAACAUUCAACAACUAUUAGAAAGGUUAACUAUGCAACAACAUAAUGUGGCAGGAGAAGAUUUAGAAAGUGACACUGAUUUUGACAAUCGUACUUUAUUUGCUAGAAGAAAUCCUCUUAUUCAAAAUCAAGAAACAUACUUCGAUAGGAUCAGGGCAUUAAACUAGAUGUGAGUUCGAGAGUAAAUUACAACCUGAAGAAUUUGUGGAGUGGCUAAACAAAAAAGAAUAUUUUUUUUGAAUGAAAAGAAUAACCAGAUGACAAAAGAAGUUAAAUUUGUCUCCCUUCAAUUGAAAGGUUAUGCCUUAGUGUGGUGGAAACAAGUCGAAAUUGGAGUUAGAAAGGGAAAAGAAAAGUUUAUCUUGUGGGAAAGAGUGAAUGAAAAACUUAAAAGGAAAAUUUUUACCAACUGAUUAUUGCCAAACCAUUUUUCAAAAAUUUCACAAUCUUAAGCAAGGGUCUAAGUCGGUAUAAGAAUAUAUUGAAAAACUUACACCCUUCAAGCUCGCAAUGAACUUAAAGAGGAUGAAGAACAGUAGAUAGCUCUCUAUCUAGUCAAUCUUCGAACCCAAAUCCAAGACGACUUAGCCCUUUUAACUUUUCAUAGGAUCGACAUUGUCUAUAAUCAUGUACUUAUGUAGUACACCGGAUUUUUAAAAUAAAAGCAAGUGUAAAUAAAAAUAGUGUGAGAUACUGCAAUUCAUGUAUGUUGAUUGUUUUUCCUGGGCAAAACUCUAUAUACAUGAUGUUGUUGAGUCUUGAACGGACAGGGGAGGCUUUGUCCGUUCAGCAAUCUGUGCGCACGCCCGGACCGACCAAAGUAACGGUCGCGGAGCGUGACAGAUAAAGUGGUAUUAGAGCGUAGAAAUGGUCUAGGUGGAUCUAGAAAAACUUAGGCUUGAAAAGCCGCAAGGACCUAGGCUCGUGAGUGGACGAAACUUAUGACGAAAGUGAAAUGAUUGGGUCAAGGUGUGUCUCCAAUGGUAUUUUGGAGGCGGAUUGAAGGUGUUGCAACUGCUCUAUUUAGAUGAUCAUGUUGGCUGCAGACAACAUGAUGUCGAAAGUGAAGUAGGGGUGCCCUUCUAUGACUUUCGCUCGAUUGGGUCAGCUAUUAUGUGCGGCGAAUCAUAUUCUAUCGUUGGGUCACCUAGGUAAGCGUGUUAGCCCUCGAGUGACGAUAGUAAGUUACUUGGCGGGAUGGAUGUUGCAGAGGACUAGAGAGCCCUCCGAUGUUGCGAGCUAGGUCUCACUAAGGGCAUAAGACCUCUCAUUGUAACCGAAAUGCGUGGUCUAUAGAAGUCGAUAUGUGCCCUAACUUAGUGUCAGGAUUGGAAGCUGUCGAGAUCUAAUGAUUCUCAUUUUGGAGGAUAUGGACGUGUUUGCCCCAGCUAAGAUGGGUGUUGGAUGCAAGCGCGGCCGUGAAUGAUGGAUGUGGAGCACAAUCCUUGAUGAUGGGUGCACAGGCACGAUCCAUCGGGUAAUGGCGUAGGUAAGACCGGACUAUUAUAGGAUGACGAGAAUGAAGUGGCCGAGUGGGCUUAUAGAGUGAUUAGCCCAGUUGUUGUGCUAAUGAGAUGUAUUUCUGGCACACCUAAUUUGGGUUAUGUUGAAGAGUGUCGAUGAUCCGAGAAUGAAAUAUGCAGUAUGCUAUUGAUGAUGAAUAAGGCACUAUUGGAAUGUACCUAUGACCAAGGGUAUAGGAUCUAGACAAAGUCACGACGUGGAAAAUCUUGUGUAGAAAUUUAAAGGCUGGAGUGACAUGUUAGUAUGGACCUACGCUUAAUUCAAUCUUAAGGAAGAUCCAAGAAGAGGAGAGGGAAUGCUUUCGACGUGGUUUGAUCUUCCUUUGUCCUUAGAUUCUUGAGAUAUUAGUAUAUGCUGUGGCUAGCAAUUAAGCUAAAUAUGAUUCAGUUGUGUGGCAGGAAGAAUUAGGGUUGUAACCCUCUUGUGUGGAAAUGGAUAAAUGAUUAAGUACAAGUGGUGACAUGUGGGCUUUCGAAGCGGGCUAGAAUACUCGUGGUAUUUAGCCUAGAAUGGAAUCUAACAGGUGAGAGUAGUGGCAUUGUACCCAAGUUGAACCCUAAGGUGGAACUUGGUGAUGUCAGAGCUCAAGGCUGAACAUGAGCUUAGAAGCACUUGAACGUACAAUGGAUGUAUGCAAUAGCCUUGGAGCCAUGGUAACGGAGAUAGGUUAUGGUGGUUGAGAGAAUCCUUCCUUGAGAUGAUAAUCUCAAAUGUUGGUAAAAAGGUAAGUGAACAAGGGAUGUGAACCCUUCAUGGAUACGGUAGUAACCGUGUAUGAAGAAGUAACGACUUUGGGUCGUACUCUAACCUUGGAACCCUUUGACGGGUUGGUGAUGGUAAUAAUUGCGCUGCCAUAGAAUUGGUGCGAUGACUGCAAGAUCUGGAUGAGUUAGCCUUGACGUAUAGUGGCUCACGAUGAGGGAGCACUCAUGGUCGGUAAAGAAUGAUGAAGCAGCAUUGCUUAGUGGUUAUGGCUAACCCGAGACAAGUGGAGGCAAGGUAUGCUCGACUGUAGAGUGGCCGUGGCGCACGAACUGAAAGUUCAACCGAAGAGGGUUCGUUGGCAGUAGCACUCGGGCGUUGGCCAAGUGUGAAGGAUGCCGAGGACCGCUCGAGAGGUUGGUAGUCCCUUAUGGGUGCCUAGUGAUCGGCAGACGUGUGCUCGGUAGAGCAGAGCCUCAGUUAAGGAAGCAUGAACUCGGUAUGCAAGUGUUCGAACCGUGUUGAGAAUCCUCCUUGUGAGGUGAGGUUUCAGUUGAAUACCAAAGUGUUGGAUGGCCAAAGAAUAUUGCGCUUGGAGCGCCUUGGUCAAGUGGCGAUGAUUAGUGGGCACUGCUUGGGGAUUACUCGUGCUAGACCAUGUGGGGACUGUGGGCCUGGGGCCUUAUGGACAGGCGCAGUUGGUAUCAUGUGAUAGCAGCUCUGAACCUGAGGGUAGGGCUUGGCUAAGAUUCAUGGUCGAGACGGUAGUCCAAGCGAUGACCCGAAGACAUGGAAUGCCACGUGUGGAAUUGUGAGUUUGUUAGUGCAUCUAGAGGGUAGAUGCGAACUGGCCAUAGGAUUACGACGUCUUGGAAUAUAAUUACUCCUGGUUGGGGUUUUGAUGCUAAGUCCCUAAUGGGGACUCCAUCAUGUGAUAAUUAGGUCCACACAUAAGAGUGAGAGACGUUGCACGAUGUCGCGUCAGACUUUAAGUUGUAGGCCUAUGAAGGAUUGUCAGUCGGUGGACCUCCCGUGGCAAUCUGGAUUAAACAGGUAAGCCGAGGGCUCUUCUAAAGAGAGCGUUAGUGGCAUGCGAGAAGGUUAAGGGUAUUGACCAAAAGGGCAAAGGCUCGGUCAUGCCGCUCACCUCAUUGGUAGAGUCACCAAAUCGUAGAGCCUAGCGUUAUUGCGGAAGUAGAAUCAGAAUUACAAACUUGGGGUUCAAAUGGGCUCGUCAUAAGAAUGACAUGAUGCCAACCUGUGGCAUGUGGAAGUGGUGCAAUGUGCUCUGUGUGAGAUGUUGGGAUAGUAGAAGCCACGUGUGAAAUGGGGUCUAUGUCCUGGAAUGGAUAAGGGCUCAAGGAUGUGCUAUCUCAUUGUUGGAGCUAGAGGGCUACGUGUGGUAGGAUCCACUCGUAAUGGAAGGAAACGCCAAAUAGGAUUUGCUUGUAAGCAAUAUCGGAGAACGGACUAGAUGGGCUCCGGAUUAGAUUGGUGGAUGUGAGGAAAGAGUCGUACCGUAUGACGUACACUCUUUAACAGGCCAAAUUGAUGGGCUUGUUACGCAGAAGGAUUUGGAGUUAGUGUAGUUGCGCAUCAAUGGUAAUUAAUAGUGAAAAUUGGAUGGAAAAGUUGUGCAAAUGUUGAUUAGCAAAUAUAAAAAUUUGCAGUAGACAAUAAAACAUGAACUCCUCAAAAUACAACUUCGCUCUUAAUUCCAUUUCCAUUUCCAAAAUACAUUUGCAUUCUUUUACUUGUACAUGGGUGACCUACACUUGGUGACCCUGCUAUCUAGGCGCAACGCCCACGCCUCGUUCCAGUGCCGCUCUGCUAAUGGUUGGCUCUGUAAAACAAGGGGUGAGAACUAAAAGAAGUUCCCAGUGGGUUCAGUCGCCAACCUCGCCGAUUUUUCCACUAAGUCUAUCAAGGCAUAAGUAGAUAAACGAACAAGAAAGUACAACUACACUAUGCUCAACUGGAAUAAACACUACUAUGCCUUUGCGAAAUGAAGCUAGGUAAACAAUAAAUGCUAUUAUGCUCAAGAUGCUUACCACUUUUACCUUUUAACCCAAUCAUACCGGCUCACGCAAAGUCAAGCCCAACUCCCACCUCUAGAUCGUCUACUUGGGAGAAUUCCGCUCAACCCAAUGCAGACUGUCCGCAGAGGAGGCACAAUCGACUCAUCCUGUCAUAUGACGUUACUACAAAACUUCACCAGGUAACCAAAGACAUGAUCUACUAUGCUCAACCAACUUUCUCUUUUACCUCAUGACCCAAUCAUGCCGGCUCACGCAAAGUCAAGCCAAACUCACAAUACCAGGGCCAACAGUUGGGAAGAAUUCCACUUAACCCAUCUAGGGCCGCCUGCUGGAUAGAUACGUUAACCCAUGUGUGACAACUCCGGAGCUCACUGCUUAUGGUGACGCGAACACCAACAAGCCAAACAAACAAUGUGAGUACGAUCCAGUCCUCUCAUCCCGAGGACACCCUACUAACCAGGGUAACAACAUACGGGAAUCCUCCACCAAUCCCUAGCAUGGUCCAGAGGAUCUUUUUCAAUCCCUCGCAUGCUCGUCUCAAAUCCUGUGCAACUACGGCAACAACCCACAAGUACACUCAUGACACACAAUGUUCAUGUUUUCUACUUGCACAACAGGAUAACCAAUCCGUAUUUCUACCACUAGGUUCAUGUUUAGACUCACAAUGACACCUAGUAUUUCACUUUGUUCCAAUGUCCACAGUUUAUUUUCUAUGUCCAAACAACUAGUCAAGAUGCCACCAAUGUUCCACAAUAUUUUCUAAGUUCACAUUCUAGUUCAUUGCAUUCAUAGGAUUUCCAAUGUCCAAUGACCCAAUCCUCACGCAUCCAAGUACCGAGUUCCCAAUCCAAUUUGACCAACCCUACUGUAGGAAGCAUGCAAGGAAAUAAAAGCUCAAACACAAUAAUAACCCUAUAUGCAUGGAAUUUUCACAUUUAUACACAUGAACAAAAUGGCAUUAUAGACAUAGGAAGAAAUCCAACCAUUUCGGAGAGCACCACUCACCGUGCUUAAGUACCAAUUGCUAGGACUUCCAAGCAAUUUGAUUUCCGACAGCGAUUCGACUCAACCCAAGCCUAUCGGAUGAAAUUCGGCAAAAUCUCCCAAUUGGAAGCCGUAACCUCGUCGUAAUCAAAACGAAGUUGUCCCCCGCGUCGAACUACCCUUCAAUUAGAGAGUUAUGAGAUCAAUUUAGUUCCAAAUCCCUUAGGGAGAAAAGCCCCAAAUCCAAGCCCUAGGUUUCAUGAACCUCACGAACAAAAAUCAUGGUGAAUCCUUUGAUUAAACUAGUUUAGAAUCAUCUAGAGAUCUUAAGAACACCAAUCUUAAAGGAUUUAACCCAAAUCCUAACUCGAAUCAUGAAAACUCACCUUGGCCACCAUGCUCUCCAACUUCUUCCACCAUUAGAGAGCUCUUUCAAACUUCUUCUCCAACUUGAAGUUUCCAAAUCUCCAAGUUUUUUCCUCUUUGAUGGAGAAAUUACAAGACUAAGGGAGAAAAAAGUGUUAGAGAGUACAGGGAGUGUGGUCUAGAGAGAAAGAGAACCCUUCUCCAAGAUUCUCUCGUGUUGGGCACAGCCAAGGAGAGAUAUGGUGUAGGUUCACAUAAGGGCCCCCCAAUACUAUUACAAUUUGCAUUUUAGUCCUAUUUUGAUCUGAUACUUUUAGUUGGAGCCCUUUUGAAUGUCCGUUUGCGUUCAAAUUUGAUAGUCGGGCUCAAUUAAAGUCAAUCAGAAGUACGUGAUCUAAACUUUUCAGUUUUGAAUCAUAUUUGGUCAUCGAAAGGUCUACCGACUAAAAUUUUUAUCAAAUUGCAGUCAGACUCUGUUUUCACUGCUCGGGUGUCGGAAUGAUAUGAAACUUUAAAUCUAGCCUCAAAAAAAUCAUUUCAACAUAUUCUCAAAUUUUCAUAAUUUUCUAAUAUUGUGAAUUUUUCAGCUGAAAUAUCAGUCUCAUUUCUUACAAAAAAUUCUAAAUCAUACAUUUUCAUUUCAAUUUUAGUACAAGUCAUUUCCGACUUAUCUUUAACUUUCUAAGUCAAUAAAGUUAGGUUACAUUCUCACUCUUGUGAUAUGCCCUCGUGCAAUUCAUGUAUGUUGAUUGUUUGUUUUUUCUAGGCAAAACUCUAUAUACAUGAUGUUGUUGAGCCUUGAAUGGAUAGGGAAGGCUUUGUCUGUUCGGCAAUUUGUGCGCGCACCCGGACCGACCAAAGUGGCGAUUGCGGGGCGUAACAACUUAAGACUGAGAAUAAACUUAAAAGACAAACUUUUUGUGAGGACAGUGCGAGUGUAAAGAACACCAUAGGAACCAAGCCUAUCCCAAAGAAUAAUAGUCAAACCUCUUCAACACCUGUUCAAGAACUUAAGGGCAAAGAAAUUUGAGAUGCUAAACCUAGUAAUUCUGGCAUCAUUUGUUAUAAAUGUAACAAAUCAAAACAUAAAUCCUCUUAUUGCCCUUUGAGAAAAUUUGAUUCUAGAGCCAAUCCAAUAGAAAAUCAGAAAAAAAUGAAAUUAGGGAAGAAACUGUAGAACAAGAAGAUGUAGAUGAAAUUCCUGAAGAAUCUCCUAAUGCAACUGAAACAAAUCUCAUGAUCCAUCGAGUCCUAUCAACCUCCAAGUCCAUCCAAGGUGAUUGGUAGCGUCGUAGUCUUUUUAGAACCAUCUGUAGCUUGGGGGAUAAGUUUUGCUCUCUUGUCAUUGACAGUGGGAAAACUAAAAACUAUCUCCAGAGAAAUGGUUGAUAAACUCAAACCGAAAACUGAAAAACUCAAACUGAAAAAUGAAAAACUUACUCAACCCUACAAAAUAGCUUAGUUUAAGGACGGGGAUGAGUUUCAGGUAAUAAAGGCGAUGUCUUGUUGAAUUUUCUAUCGAGAAGACUUAUACUGAUAAGGUUUCGUCUAAUGUUGUACCUAUGGAUGUGAUCCCGUUAGGUAGACCUUAGCAAUUUGAUCAUAGCACACUAUAUUCGUGGCAAGAUUGGCUUCUUCUUCUGCCCCUCCUCUUCAUUCGAAUCCCUGGCUCCUCAUCAUCUUCCCCGUUGUCGAAGUUCCACCAAUGGUGUACCACCCUCCUCAUCGAUUGUGUGAUUGGUGCACUUCUUGCAUUUUAUCUUCUCCCUCAUCUCCUGAUAUCCCAUUAUUCCUUUCAAUCUAAUCUUCCACCUUUACCAACCAACUUAGCCAAAUCAACUAAUCUAAAAGCUUUAAGUCCGAUAAAACCAAAUUUACCUUUCUGGAACUACUAUAUGUAUUUUCAGUUAGUUGUUUUUAUCUCAUAUAUUAAAGGUUUAUCACCAUUCUAAUAUUACUUCAAUUCGAUUUUAAUUUUUCAUCUUGCUGAAAUUUUUGCUUCCUUGCUUUAAUUUUAGUAUUAGUGUAGGACCCGCGCUUCGCAGCAGGUAGAUAAUAUUUUAGUUAAUUAAGAUAUAUAAUUAUUAAAAUUUUAAGAUUAAAAACUUAUACUAAGGAAAAAAAAUAUCAAUUAGCCCUAUGUACAUCAUAAAAAAUAAUACUUUUAUUAAUAUUUUUUUUAACUUUCAGAAUUUGAAGAGUUAAAUUAUUCUAACAACUUUAUUUUAAAGUUCACUCAAAUUUAAUAAUUUUCGUAGCUAUUCUAUAAAUAAAUUUUUUUAACUAAAAAGUUCAAAUUGGAGGACUUAUUUUAAAUUACUGGAAAUGCAAAGGUGUCUUUACUUUGUUAAAAUUGAUUGAAAAGAAAAAAAACUAUACGUGAACCUAAAUAUGUUAACAUCGCAUAUACCGCAACUUAUAUUAAAUGACAAAUGUUUCAAUAUUAAAACUUUAUUAAAUAUAUGUGAUCUACGAAGUUUUAUAAUUUAAAUUAUAUUUACUGAAUCAGAUUUUAAAGUCUCAACUAAAAGGCGUAAGUAUGUGAUGUAUGUAUAUACAUACAUCCGGUGCAGAGAAUGUUCAAUAAAAAGCACUCAUAAUUUUAAGAAAGAAAGAGAAUAAGUCUUUACUUGCAUCUAGUGUAUACUAUAUUUUCAUACACCGCACAAUAUAUUAAAUUAGUAUUGUAAAAUAAAAUAAAAUAAGCUAUAUAAUAUAAAAUAAUUUAUUAUAUAAUACAGAUUUAUUUUUAAAGUACUAUAUAAUAUAAAAUAAUUUAUUAUAUAAUAUAAAUUUAUUUUUAAUGUAUAUUUUAAAGUCGGCUUACAGUAGAAUAGGUGCAUCCAAAUUUUUAAGGGACAUUUGGCAAGUUCUCAUUAGUGCAUUGCUUGAUUAGUGACGUGACUAUCAUUUUACUUGGAUGUGACCCAAUUCAACUGGGGAUUCAUAUGAUUCAAUAGAUUCCGACGGAAUCGAUAAAUUGAACUAGUUUAUUUCAAAGAAAUACAUUUAAACGAAAACAAAGCUAAAAAUUCAGAUUUGGCAACCCCUCAGUUUGCAUCAAUAGCCAACCUUACUGUGGCUGCAGCACCACUGCUGCCAUCAGUACCGCCAGAUGGGUCAGCGAUAUUGCUAUGCUCUCUCUUAUUUGUUGCAUCAUGUCUUAAGGCACCGUUCGAUUGACAUAUUUUUUAUUGGGCUUCAAGACAGCUAUUUGAGUUUGAUGUAUUAAGAUCAAGGGUAAACUCUAAUUAUUGAAAGUUUACUCAAGGACCACUGUACCAAAUUGUAAAACAUUUGUAAUAUUUUGUUAUAGCUUGGAUUGAGGCCUUGGAGUAAUUAUGUUUGGUUGGAUUUAUUUGGAAAAUCUGUUUACUAAGAUCAUGAUCCUAGAAAUGGAAAUUGAGUAUUAUUAAUGUUAAACUAAACAUGAUUAAAUAGGAUUUUAACUUAGAUUCACCUUUCUUUUGGAUUUGAAAUGAAACUCAGAAAUCAAAGCACAUUUCGAACUUGCAGGCUUAGUUGCUCUUAACCUUGAGGUGGUUGCUCAAAUUUUGAAGUUGGCAUAUACUUAAACUAGCCUUUUUUUCUUGCAUGCUUUAGGUUUACAAGUUGAAAUUUCUAUUUUGUCGUACCUAGAUAUUUUAUUAUGAAAUGUUGAUAGCAUGCUCAGUCUUUUUGUUCUAUUUUGCUACUUAUGAUGUCCUUAAAUUGUUACAUAUUUGUUCAUAAGUAGUAAGCAUGCUUUGUUGAAGACACUAGUAAAGUACUGCUUUAAAGAUAUUCGUACGCAUAAUACCCAGUUCUAGUUGUUCACGUAUUUGGCAUUCGAAAUUAGUCUUUGUCCUGAUUUGUUAUUGUUGUCGGCCUACUGUGGAUUCAUGAGUCUUCAUAAGAGUCUUAACCAUGAGCAUAGCAAUUCGCUACUUAUCAAAUACACCACAUAGUAUUGCAACUAUGCGGUAGGGUGAGUUCUUCGGAAAGAGUGACCACAAUUGGUCUCCUUUAUGCUCUAACUGCAUAGAUGCAGUUAUAUGCAUGUUUAGCACUGAAUGGGUAGAAUUGGUUAAUAAGUAUGGAUAGCUCCAUUUGGUAGUAUGGGACCGAGACUCGAAAGGAUAUUUCGGUUGGGUUGACCAUAAUUUGAAACUUCAUAGAAAGCUUAAUGCAUAAAUUACUAAAUUGUUAUCAAAUUAAAUACUAUUAAUUAAUAUUCCAUAUUCUUGGAUAUUGGUAGCAUUAGUUGUUCCUACCUACAUGCUCAUUGUUAAUCUCAUGUACUUAUGCCAUUAUUCUUAAUUAGUUAUCCAACUUCCUUUUUUCAGACUAGUAGGUACACCAUACACCUUACCUCUGUCAACUCGUUGUACCCGCUAGAAAACUACUCAGAGUCUAUCAUCGUAUUGUGCUCUUGUAGAUAAUACUUUUUGGAUACAGUUGCCAGUGUGGAUGGGUGAGAUGGGUGAGACAACAUGGGGCCAUAAGCGUUCCAUAGUGCUGAGCUCAGUUUAAGUAGAAUAAAGCUUAAACAAUUAAACAUUUAGAAAUUUGUAACUAGUUAUGAACCUUACUUCAUGAAGUUAAUUCGAGAUUUACUAGUUAAAGUCAUUUUUGUCUAUUUUGUUCACUUAGAUUGGCAUAGUAUUUAUAAGUUUUUAUUAUGUAGUCAUCAACAGGUUACAUUAUUCCACCAUCUCGCAGGCAUAAUGGUCUUGAACCCCUAUGUUUGCGGCAUGUUUAUCAUGAGCCUAGCUAAGCUUCCGAGCCAGGGUGUGACCUCAAUAGCUUGCAUGCACAUUUUCUUGAAGAUAGAUUUUUGUUGUUAUCAGGAGGAUUUAUCAAGUUUUGUUCUUCCAAAACACUUAUCAACAUAACUAUUAAUUUAAAGAUUAUAAUCCUUUAUCUUAUCCCUAUAAGAACAAGCGUGAUAUACAUACAUCCAACAUUUCUUAUUUUGGCCCUAGUUCAUGAGCAGAGGAUGCCAAAGAAACACCACCAAUGAGCUAGAAAAGAGUUUACACUAUAAGUUACUCACGUAAGAUGAUCAGAACAGAAACUAAGUCAGACAGCACCAAGAAAGAAUUUGAAGAAUUUUGAGACUAUGAAACAUGAUUCUUAGAGGACUGACUUUCAAAACCACAUAGAAUGGCAUAAAAUAGUAUUGAUUGGACAAACUCAUUUGACGAAAAAAAAAAAAAAUCUAAAAAGGUUCAUAUGAUUGCUAAUGUGUCUUUUAAGGCAUGCGCAUUGAGGCAUUAGUAACACCAAAAAAUGGAAUAUUUGCCACUUGUAAUGUCUGACCACAUGCAUAUAAAUUGCAUAUAAAUAUCUGCUUGAGAAAAUGUUUGCACGGUCAGAUGUAAAACCAAACAUUUCACUCUUUGAAGCUUCAUUCUGAUAAUCAGAAAACUUUCAACGAGAACAAGUAAAAAAGAAACAAAGUUCGCUUGUAGAUAAUCAGAAUAUCACAAGGUUUAUAAGCUUUUAGUAAAUAUUUACCUUGUUAGAUAUGAGUACCCAAUCAAAAAUGAAGUUAUUAUGUGAUGAGACAUCAUUACAGAGAAAUCUUUCCUGCGGGUUUCCCACGCAACGAGAGCACCAAUGCUAUAAACGUAGAACCCACAUUGGCACAUGUAGAACAGCAUCAGUAAGGACCUAUGUCAGAAGAGAUUAUGAUUAAACAAAGUCAAGCAGGUACUUGCAGAUCCAACAGAGAUGAUCAAAAUAAUAUGCGGAUACAAUCCUCUAAAUCAAGGAUUUCUAAAGUCUAAAUCUUUAAACAAAAAACAUUCUAGAAAUGAAAAUCUAUUGAGAAUGACAGAGUUCGGAAAAUGAGUAAAGCUAGUAAUAUAUAAGGUUUCUCAAGAAAUCAUUGCAGAAAGAAAGCCAUCUGACAAAAAUAGAAUGGAAGCCUAACUCAGAAAAUAUAAAAUCAGCUAGGGCACCACCUGGACCCUCGAAAGGGUUAACAAGCUACAUUAGCCAAGUAAAUAUAGGAAGUAGCAGAGUAGCUCUGUACUGGCUAUUCCAACCACAGUUCUUGUCAUGAUUUCUAAGUUUUCCAAAGUACUCCAUCUACUACUUGUUGAGAAACACUGCUAGAACACAAUAAUCAAACAAAUAUAGGAAGAAACACAAUGCAGGCCCGUGUACGGUACUUUUCUUAUCAUGACGUGCAUAACCAACAAAACAAGUAAAACAUAGGAGUUGUGCGACUGAAACCAACUUACAUAACAUAAAGGAUUAUAACAUUUUAGCCUCAUGUAAUCAUGUGUUUCUUUGCUGAGCUUUUAUGCGUUAAAGAAUAUGAAAAGCUUCCCAAAGAAAGGGAUGAGGAAGGCAUGAGGAAGACAGCACUUACUUCAAUUCUUGAUUUGGCCACCCUUUGAAGUACUCUUUUGUAUCCAACGACCAAGGCUCUUGCGUUAUUAUAGAAAGAACCCACACUUGAACGCUUGCAUAAUAUGUCAGCUUCCACAUUGACUCAGAAAACUUCACAAUCUUUGCCAGUCUAGCCUCCUCAUUCAUCAUUAAAGCACCUUUAGUACUCAACAUUCUGGUAGCCAAUGGCUGAAAUCAAAUACAUUCAUUAAAGGGGUAUGGUCGCCAAAUAUGUUACAGGUCUGGGCAUCCUAAGUGUUGCAAAAUGACAUAAUAUCUCAGAGAAAAUUUUCUCCAAAAUGGAUGGUAAAUAAUUUGAAGAAAAGAAAGCUCUUCUUGGGACUGACAAUAUUCAAAAUGCAGGAAAUGAAUAGGCUAACAGUUAGUAUAGAUAAAUUAUGUGAAGCAUGAAAGCUUAGACAAUUAAUGACUAUAGAAAUCCAAAACUACUGUAUGAUUUUCAUGAUGUAAUCAAGCUCAUGCAUGCAAAAACAAUAUUGUCGAUUGAUCGAACCAUGAUAUAAACCUUUUAAGUAUGAUAUUAUGAAGUCAAUCAGAGUUGUAGCAUCAAUAUUUUAAUAUGCUUCCCAUUAGAUAUUAAAGUUCAAGAGCAAAGAAAGAAAUACCGAUACUCGAAUUUUGUUCCAUACGUCGUUAUGUUGAGGUCUGAAAUAACUGACUCCAAUUUUCAUAUUAGAAUGUCAUGUCAAAUAAAUUAAUAUAGAUAUUAUAGGCAAACAGAUAAAAUGGUACUCACACUUUCUACAAAAAGAUUAAUUUGUCUGUUUAGUCCAGAUGAUUUAUUGACAUGGUUUGUGUAGUAAACUAAAUUUUAGCACAUUUUCCUGCGCUCAAGGCAAAUUGGAUGAAGUAUAGUCAAGAAGUGGAUUUGGUGAGGUCCACGUCGGGUGCUGAGGGUGUCGGAACGAUUAGAAGAAGUAUCGGUGAAACUUAGAAGAAAGUUGGGAGCAAAUGAAAACUUUUGAGAAAUGGUUGUACUUCGAAAUCUAGUUGUGUUUAUAAGGAAAAACUAUAAUUUUCAAAUAUGGGAAGUGUUUCAUAUGUGCAGAGGAGUUUCGAUUGUGUUGGAUUUGAUUUGGACAGAAAACGGAACGAAAAUCGGAGUUUUAGUGCGAAAAUGAGAAGAAAUAAAAAGACUAAAAAUAUUGUUCAUAGUGUUAAGGUUUGGACCCUGCAGGACAAGUCCGGACCUUCGCUGCCAAAAUACCCGAAAUGCCUUUCGGGGUCUGGACCUUGAUAGAGGGUCCGGCCCUCCGCUAUUUGGGGGUUAAAAAGGGAAUCCCAUAGCUCUCUCCUCUCCACCCCACACACAAGAGAGGAAGGGGAAACUCUUCUCUCUUCCACUCUAACACCUCUCUCCUUCUCUCUUGCAACCUCUCCACCAAAGAGGAAAAAUUGGAGAUUUUGGAAGCUUCAAGUUGGAGGAGCUUGGGAGAGCUCUCUAAUGGUGGAUCAAGCUUGGAGAGCACAGUGGCCAUGGUGAGUUUUCAUGAUUCGAGUUAGGAUUUGGGUUAAAUCCUUUAAAAUUGGUGUUUUUAAGAUCCCUAGGUGUUUCGCAACUAAUGUAAACAAAAGAUUCACCAUUAUUUUGGGUGUUCUUGAGGAUUAAGAAACCUAGGGUUUGGAUUUGAGGCUUUUGUCCUUAUGAGGUUUUAGGCCAAAUUGAUCUUGAAAAUCGCUAAUUGGAGGAUAGUUCGACACAAGGGACAACUUCGACUUGGAUUACGACGAGGUUAGGGCAUCCAAUUGGAGAAAUUUAAGGAAUUUCAUUCGUUAGGCUUAAAGCAUACCAAAUCGACGCUAGGAAGCCAAUUGCUUGAAAUCCUAGCAAUUGAUGAUUAACUGAGGUGGGUGGUGCUCUCCGAAACGGUUGGAUUUCUCCCCAUGUCCAAUUCUAAUUUUUGUGCAUGUACGUGUGUGUGUAUAUGUGUAGUUAUGCAUGCUAGGGUUCAAUUAUGUUUAUUGCUAUAUAAAUUGCAUGCUGCUUGAUCUUGGUAGUAGAUAAUCGUUGAUGGAAGUUGCUAACCUAGCAUGUAAGGGUAUAGGCCAUUUGAACAUUGGAAACCCUAGAAAUACAAAAGAAAUAGUAAAACAAGUUAGUGAAUGGAUUUAGACCACAUGUAUGCAUAUACAUGUAUAAUUAUGCAUGUUAGGGUUCAAGUGUGUGUAUUGCCAUGUAAUUUGCAUGCUUCCUAAAUUAGACGUAUACAACUAUUGUUGAGAACUUUGAACUUAGGAUGCAUGAUUCUAGUGCCAUGUGAACCCUAAAGAUGCACUGAACUAGUAGAGUAAAAUAGUUGUAUGGACAUAGAACAUAUAGUGGAACACUAGGCGUCAUCGAGUGUCAAACAUGAACCUAAUGAUGGAUUGAACUAUGGAUUGGGUGUAACCUAAUGUACAAGUAUAGUACUAUGACAUUGUGUGUUGAGAUGGUACAAGUGGCUUGUUCUAAGUGUUUUUGCCAUAGUUGCAUAUACCGUGAGAUGAGCAUGCUAGGGAUUGGUAGAUCUCAGGAUAGUGUCGCCAUGGUUGGUGGUGAGUUCUCUUGGAUAAAGAGAACUAGAUCAUACUUACAUAGUCUGUUAGAGCUUGUGGAGGUCGCGCCUCCACAAGCUGUGAGCUCCGGAGUGUCACGCGUACAAGGAUUGGGUCGCAUUCUCGCCUCCCCGACAAAUGGCCAAGUUAGGUGAUUGGGUCGCUUUCUCGCCUCCCCAUACGGCUUAGAGGUGUGAGUCAGGCUCGACCAUUGGUGAGCCAGUCCGAUUGGGUCAAGAGGUAUAGAAGCAUUGAUUUGAUCAUAUUAGAUCAUGGAUCUUGUUGCAUGUUGUAAAGGCAUAGUAGUGGCUAUUUGCUUUUGUUUAUGCAUUAGGUGGUUAUGAACUACGCAGACAAUCAAGGUGGGUGAUUGGGUCGCUUUAUCGCCUACCCACAUUGCUUAGUGUUGUGAGCUAGGCUCGACCCCAUGGUGAGCCAUCCUAAUCGGGUCAAAUGUAAGUAAGGGGAUACUAUGAGCAUAUUGGGUCUCGAGCCUUAUUUCACUUCAUAAAGGCAUAAUAGUGUUUAUUCCAGUUUAUGCAUAGUAUAGUUGUUUACUACUUUUGGUUAUUGUAUCUACUUAUGUCUUGAUUAGACCUAGUGGGAAAGUCGCCUAGGUCGGCGGCCGAAUCCACUAGAAACUUCUUUUACUUCUCACCCCCUGUUUUGCAGAGUCAACCACUAGCGAAGCCGCACCGGACCCUAAAUAGCAGGGUCACCAAGUGUAGGUCACCCUAUGUACAGCAAAGGAAUGUAAAACUAUUUUGUAAAGAAAAAUGAAAUUGAGAGCAAAAGUUGUAUUUCGAGGAAAUGGCAUGUAUCAUGUAAUAUGUAUUAAAUUUGAGAAAUGUGCGUAAAAUGUUAAUGCUCCAAUGUUGUAAUAGUUAGGUUUACAUACUCGCUCUUAUGAUAUGCCUCGCGUGCAAAAUUAUGUGAUGUUGUUUUUCCUGGGUGGAAUGCAAUGUACAUGUUUUGUUUAUGCCUUGGGCGGACAGGAAAAACUCUGUCUAUUCAGCGCGUUUGUGCACGCGCUCACAUUGCCUCCACUGUGCAACGGGCGGGGCGUGACAGUUUGGCUUCAUGAUUACAGCUCAUACUUCCACAAACAGAAACACAUGCCACAAAGCCGGCGGCUCUACUGUUUGAUGAACUCUAUCGUCCUUUGUCCUCAUUAUUGAUAUUUAACACAACGGUUUUCCAAGAAUAGUUUCAAGGGAAGGAAACAAUUUAUUGUACUGUACUCUUGGUUGAGAAAAAGCUUGGAUGUAAAGGGAUUGACAUGAUUUUUCAAAACUCCAAGGCCAAAAAGAUUAUUCGGAUAUAGAGCGAAUUUCUGACUCCACCGGAAAUCCUUUCAACUAAGUCUUCCGACAAGAUAGGAUUUCCAGAACAUUUUGGUGAUAAAGUAAGCUGCAUAUUUAAUAAGUCAAGCAUAAGGGAAAUCCCACCCAUUAUAUUAAACAAACUGCUCCUUACAGUGCAGGAUAACCAAAGGCCAACAGAAUUGCAAAAUGUGUAUCUAUCUUAUGAGUACAUCAAGUUACCAAUGGUACUAUUACAGGUUUUCUGUCAAUGACAGCUAAAACGAAUUACAUGGCUCAUAUAGGACUAAAUUUGCAAACCAGAACAAUGUGCAUAACACAUUAGGAAGUGAUGAAUCAUGAGAGUUUUAGCAGAAAAGAUAGUGUGAUGCAACAUGGAAGCAUAUUUAGACCGUAUUGAAAUACAAGUGUCGCUGAAAGAAGAAUAAUCUGUUAGAAGUGUACAUUUAUGCAAUUCAAUAUACAACAAAUGGGGAUUAAAGGUGGUUUUUGAUAGCUCAGAAACAACUUGCUCUAGAUUUAUCAUGAUCUCUAACUCUACUAAUAUCAUAAUAAUAAUGGAAACUAAGGAUGUUAAAAACUUCAACAUUUCUUUUCUACCUUCUUGUUUUAUCAUUUAAUAUCACUGGGAACAACAAGAAGAGUGAAACUAUUGAUCCAAUAGACCCAAGAAAGACGCAGCCAUAAGAAACUUGAGAAGGAGAAUGCAUGUAAACUAAUCAGUUCAAAGGCAUCUUCCUUUACAAAUUGAGUAGAUUAAGAACUUUGGGAACCAUAUAUAUUUCUAACCAAAAGAGUGCCAUAGCAUAGCAACGCUAAAAAUAUGAGCAAACUCCUUCUUUGUAGGCAAGAAUAUACUUCAUGUAUCUGUAGAAAUAUAACGGGCUUAUAAGAAUGCAACUCCAUAAUGUUGGAGAUCAUCAUAGAAAAAGGAAGAAUUAGGUUUUCUCUGUAAACAAGAUUAAAUCCAACCGCAUCUGUUCUCCGAAUAUCAUCCUAAACCCACAAGAAGGAUAUUAAAUCAAACGUCAAAUAUUGCUUAAAAUUAAUCAAGAUCUUCCACAUCCACUAAUUCAAGAACUUACUUCUCAAUAUUAGUAAGAUUCUACAAAAUGCGCCACCAAAAUCAUUUUAAAUAAGAUACAAGAAAUGCAUGGAAAUAUAUGCGGUUACAAAAACAUCAAAAAAAAAAGCCGUCGUCAGCUAAUACAUAUUCAUUAAACAAAAACAAAGUGGCUUAAGAACUUUUGAAGACUUUGUGAUUUCAAAACUACUUUCCAUUGUAAGAUGAUCACAAAACUGUUAAUGUCAGUUUUUUUUUUCCAUUUUUUCUCCUUGUUUCUUCUUUUGGUGGGGUUUGGGGGUUGGGGGAUGGGGGGAGGGGUAGGUCUUCUUUAACGAUAUGAUGAGCUAAAUGAACAUUCAGCAAUGUGAGGGACUAAAUGAAUAUUCAGUAAUGUGAGUCCCUAACGCUGCAGAUCAUAGAAGAAUUAGUAAUCCAAGUUUCUUCCCCGAAAAAUAUCAAACCAAAGGAUCAUCAGGCUAAAAAAAAAAAAAAACCAUCCACUAACACCAAAAACUGCUGGACGUCAAUCAAUCAAGAUACACACAUCUACAGAAUCAAGAACUCGCCAUUGUUGGGCGCUGUUAUUACCUGAUAGAUGAGGCGGUCGAGGAUGAAGCGAGCACAAAAGAAGGCGACGGCGAAGAAGACGGCCCAGGAGAAAUGGCGCAGCUCGGGGCCGCCAGCGACAGUGGAGUCCCAGAUAGAUCCCAUUUCCGAGGCUCGAUUGGACGGCGCCGCGUGCACAGAACGAUCCAAACAGCCACCUACAACACCGCCAGGAGCCGAUCCCGAGAAAGCGAAGAAGGCGACGAGGGUCUCGCUCGCAUAGUCACUGGCCUCUAAAAGGGUUGGAGGGGAAGGGGGAGGGAGGGGAGGGAAGGUAGGAAAAGAAUGCGGAUGGUUUUCUUGGUUCGCAUUUGUUUUCUUGGCUCAUACAAGAGAGAGGGGGGUGUUGCGGUUUAGGCAGAGUUAGGGAAGGUUUGAUUAGAAUAAUCUCAAGAGAACGUUGGCAUGCUAUUUUAGGAAGGAGUAGUGCUACUGGUUAGGGGCCGCAAUCCAGUACUCCGCCAUUUCGUGAGCCCGCUCGUGUUCGGCUCGAAACGAGCUCAACAUCGAAUCGCUCAUUUAGUAAACGAGAGCUGAACACGAGCUAAAUUUUUUGGCUCGUUUAAUAAACGAGCCGAACACGAGCUGGGUCAGCUCGCUCAUAUUCAGCUCGAUAACCGCGUCGAUAUAUAUAUUUUUACAUUUUAUAAUUUAUUAAAUUAUAUUUAUUUAUAUAAAUAAAUACUUAUAUAUAUAAUAUAUAUAUUUUUCUUAUUUAAUUUUUAGCAAAAUAAAAACAUGAAGACGAACUCAAUUUUAAAAAAACUCAUUUAUAUAUAAAGUUUCAACUAUUAGAUCAAAAUCUAAUGGAUAAGAUUUAUAAAUUUAUUUUUUAUAUAUAUUCAAUCUAAUCCUUUAUAUUUAUUGUUCGUUUGGCCAGCUUCGUGAGCUAGCUCUCUGUGUUCGGCUCGUUAUUGUUUCGACUCAAAUUACUUUAAUUGGUCAGCUCGUGUUCGGCUCGUUUAUUAAACGAGCUAGCUCGUGUUCGAUUCGUUUAUUAAACGAGCCGAACACGAGCCAACCCCAGUUCGCUCAUGUUCGGCUCAUUGACACCCCUACUACUGGUAUACCCCUAUUAGGAAAGAGUAGUGCUACUAGUACACCUCUAUAGAGGGUGUACAUUAUAGUAUACUAAACUUUAGCAAAUUAUAAGGUUUCUAUUAUAAAAAUAGUAUUUUGAACUAUUCUAGAUGUUUUGAGGGUCGUUUGUAGUGUAUCGACCCAUUACUUGUGCUUUGUGAGCACAAUAAAAGAUUCCUAUUACUAAAAUCUACAAACUGCAAGUUUUUGGUGAUGAGUACCAGUACCUGAGUAGGGUAUCGGAAUCCUAUAGAGUGCCAAAUUAGACAACUCUCGGGUUUUGAGGAAUUGUAUGCUCGGGCUGAGUACCGCACUGCAUCGAGCUGGUACCGGUACGCAGUAUUAAAUCCGAUUGUUCAAUGCUCGGAUUCUGCGAGACUGAGUAUCGGGUACUGGUACUCCAAUUCGAGUACCGGUAUUCAAUGCUGCAAACUGUGUUUUAUGCAGUUUUGGAUUUGUGAGUUGUUGAGGGUCCUUUUGGAGAUUGUUACUAUUGGAAAAUUCUUUCUGAUCUUUUAUUACAAUAUUCUUUAAAAACAAUUCGAAAGUUUAAUUUCAGAUUUAGAAAAAUUCCAAGAAAGAAAUAAGUAACAAAUACUGUAAAGAAAAGGUUUAGAUAAGGCCUGUGGAUCAAGGCGUGCAGAGCACUGUCCUAGAAGCGAAAUUGCCCCUCCACGUGCGAGUCUUCCCGACAAUUACUUCUAGCGAUACAACGACCACGUUCCACCCCGUCGGCACGCUUUCAAGGUGGCGCAAGACGAACCCAACAGGCUUCAGAUCCAGCAAAUAAAACUUGGCGAAAAUCGGCGGAAAAGAUUAAUGGCGAGAAAGUAGGGAAAGACGAGAGGGUUUAGGUAUGCUCGGGUUCUUCUGGAACUCACGCAACCUCCUCCAAUAUAUAUAGGCGAGAAUAUUGCUUCAACGUGUCAAAUCCGUGUAGAACAAAAUAAGCCUCAUAUUAUACGGAUAAGGAUUAGGAUUAGGAUAAAAAUAAAGAUAAAACUGAAAAAUAAAAAUAAAAUAAAAUAAAUCGGGUGUAUGGACCGUGCGCACCGCCGCCCGCUUGGCUCGUGCUCGUGCGUGUGUUUAAACAAGAGUAUAACUCUCAUUUUCUACCAAGUAAAUAACUUGAGAAUAAAAGAAUAUAUAUACACUAUCAACACCCUUUUGGUUUCCAAUGUGGGACUAAACCUCACAUAUAGAAAUUUUAGUUGGGCUCCCAAGCAAAACCCAUUAAUAAUUAUUGUGUUUCCAAGAGGCCUAAAUAAGUUUUAAAUCACAAAAUUCCAAUAAAAUCUAAUAUUCUCCCACAUGAUUUAAAACUGGAAAUAAAAAAAGCAAAUAAACUGAAAUUCAAAAUAAUUCAAAAAAAUGUUGGAUCUCUUAUACCACGUAUUCGGUAAAGGUAUUUUUCGGGUUUGAACCUUUACUUAGCGCUUGUCAAUGCACAUCCAAGAGCAUGAUGGUGGACUGUAAGGACUGAGAUUUUUGCAGUGUAGUUAAACUCUCAGUUAAUGAUGUUUAUAUGUGUAAUUUAAUUACAUAAGCACUCGUCAAGUUUCAGAAGAAAUUGAGCUAAAAUGAAAAAGAUACGCGAUUUUUAGUUUUCACUUAAGUGAAUAGUAACUCCGGUUUUCCGGAGAAGCCACAAAGUAGAGUUGGCUUCUGGUGCGUAUCGGACUCCGUUCAUAGCAGUCUAAUAGCUCGUUUCGACCGGUUCAGCUGUUCUGGAACUACUGGCACUGACGGAUUUUGAGUUUGACGCACGGAUUUCGAGAAAAUCCAAUAAUACGUGUUUUAUAUGUAAUUGUGCGUGAUUUUUGGCCUUUUGGAGAGAGAGUGGAUUUCGUCGCAAAUUUGCGACUGUUUGUGGUGAAACGAAAUUGUAGCUUUGUUGUCUCCGAGGUGCUGAUCGAACUGAUAUGAUCCGUUCGCAAAUCUGACGGACGGAUCUGCGGAGAUCGUACGUUGAUCGAGGAGAGGUCGGUGUUGGCAAAACGGUAAUUUCGCAAAGGUCGCAACAUUUUAUGUACCGUUUUGCGUGAGAUCGCACGUGGAGGGGUAUUCACGCGUUUUACUCAGGCUGGGAAGGAUUCAACUUGUAAUAGUAAGUCUAGGUAGACUUUCUUCAAUUUUGAGCCUUACUUAUAUUGUUUUCUAGGGUUUUCUUGGGAUCCGAGCCCUAGAUCAUCCCUAGUUAACCGUAGCUGCACCCCACCACCUUCAUCCCUCUUCCCUGCCCUAGCCGUGCGCCUCCCGGCCGCCGCCGACUGAUCUCCGGCCAGCCACCACCACCUCAGCCUCUUUCUUUCCCUCUCCAUUUCUCUCUCCACGUACUCUUUUCUUCUUCUCGAGAUAGGGGCAAGCCCGAGGCUGCUCUCCUCUCUGGCACUUCCCCUGGAGCCCCAGUGUCCCUCCCCGUCAGCCGCCGCCGCCCCGAGCCGCCCGGAGCGCCGCCGCAGCCGCUCCAGCCAGCAGCAGCCGCCCCAGCCCGAGCCCAGGCCGAGGCAAGCCUGCGGCCCUUUUCUCUGCACCGCCGCCAUCGUGGACCACCCCGGCCAACUUCCCGGAGCCCCGGCGUCCUUCCCCACCGCCCGCUGCCGUCGCCGAACGCCGCCGUCGCUCUGCAACCGCCAUGCGGCCGCCCUGCAUCAGUUUGGCCGAACUUUGGCCCGCUUCAGCCCCGCGCGCAGCCGCCGCCCAACGACGGCCUAGCUACCCUUCUCCGGCCUCCAGCAACCCUCCGCCGCCGUCCCGUAGCCUCCCGCCGGCUGCCGUGGCCGCCGCUGCACUUGGAACCCGAGCCCGAUCUCGUGCGGGCUUAGCUUGCUCCGCCGACGCCGUCGCCGCACCCCGCCGUCAACCGAGGUAAGCACGGUACUCCUCACCUCCCCCGCACCCAUCCCUGGCCUCCGCGCGCACCGCCGUGCCGCCGGAAGCCGGCCGGAGCAAGCUUGCUCCGGCCAAGCCCGAAAUAGGGCUUAGAUAGGAUGGUUUACUGUUCCGAGCUUCUCGAGCCUCCCUGAUCUCUACGGAAGGGAGCAUGAUGAUCCUGGAAAGUUUAUGAUCAUCAUGCUCACCUUGGUUUCUGUCGGGAAGGCUCCGUUCAGCUGUUUCGGCAUUGUCGACCUUGUAGAGCCUGUUUGGCUGCUGUUUUGGGUUUGCGCACACUUAUCCGGCGAUCCGAGGCUGUCCUGAUGCCUCCGGAGGUGAGCACGGUGAUCGUUGGUCAGUGCUGAUCACAGUGCUCACCUCACUUUGGAUCAGCAGUGUCCGGUUAGCCCUGUUUGGCACGAUCUUCCCCGACUGCGAGCUAUUUGCUGAACCUUCGGGUUGCUCCUGCGCUUCCCACAGCAAGCCGUUGUGCUCCGGAUCAUGAGCAUGGCCUCCGGUACGUCGAGAUCUGUCAGUACGUGUCUCAGCGAAACUUAGAAGUCCUCGGUUUGUGAGAAUGAGUCAUAGAAGUCGCCAGAUUUACAUAAAAUGAUGGAUUUUAUAUAAAUACAAGGGCUUUUGCGCAAUUAUACGCCUUGUGGCUACUGUGGGCAGUGUGUAUGAGCGUGUUUGACCUUUGGAGUGAUUGUCCAUGAUCUUGUAGCUUUCGCGAAAAUCGAAAAGUCGAUUCCGGUGCAUUUUUCGGCGAAAUUCGCCGAAAGAACGCGGUUUCGGUUCGGAUUUCUUCUGACAUGGAUUGGUUAUCCUGUAAAUUGCCGCUGAGCCUUGUUGGCUGGUCACCAUCAUCAUUUUGUGGGUUCGAUGAUGAUGGGUGAGCGACAGUGGGUUCCUGUGUCGAAAUAGACACUUUCGGGAAUCCGGAUUCGUACUAUUAUCCGACAGUAAUGGUGUAGUUGCGCUAUCUUGUGUUUGCUGCCAAAACAUCCAAAUUGGAGUGUUUUAGGGCAGCAGGUGACUCGUGACACGAGUCGGUGAGUUUCGGGACACUUAGUGGGUCCCGACGGCGUCUCGGUGUGGUUUGCGGGACUUCCGGUGAGUUACGAUGAUCGGUUUUGGGAAACCGAUUCGAGGAUCUGUGUGGGGGUUUGUGAGAUAGUGUACUUCAGGUGAGUGGGUUGGUUACUGACCCGUUGGAUCUUCGUAGGUCCGGCCGACUUGUGCGUACCCAGUGUUUCGACGCGACAGUGACAGGUGGGUGCUUCGAGCUGGUAGUCGGUGAGAUCGUUUCACCCUUCCUCUGUUCUUUCAUAUCAGUAUCGUAGUCUCUACAUGUCAGUUGAUUGUUUAUCGCUUGUUUAUCGUAUUCCGUUGAUUGCAUUUGUAUAGUUGUGGAUAGACAUGUAGAGGAGGCUUGCACUCGUAUAUUGUAUCUCUGUGGACCUUGGGUCGAGGCAACACAUCGACUCUCUUGUCAUGUGUUUCGAUCUGAUUGAUCGUGGUUCGGCGUUGUACGCCUUUGCACCUGGCUUUGGCCAUGGCACCGGUCUCUUUUUGCCGGUUUUCAUUUUGAGCAUAUCAGCAUGAUUUAGUCACAGCACUGUAUAUUCUAGAUACCAGGUUGGUUGGCACCAACCAAGGGGUGUACGUAUCCGGAUAGGUCGUCGGGACGCAUGAAUAAGCUCGCAGUGUCUGCUCUGUGACAGGUAACCUUGAGGUCUGCGACCAACAUAGCAGUAUCAGAUUGAUUUGGUUUGGAUAUUCACCUUUGAGGCAUCUGAUCAGUUGAGUUUUUGGUUACAGUAGUAGUUUCAUUCUUGCUCAGUUAUUAUCCUGUUUCUAUUACUACUGUAGUUGCUUUUAUGUCAUAUCAUAUUCAUACUGUUAUAGCUACUGUAGUUCGUUUUCAUAUAUCAGUAUCUAUAUUUGUUUAUCUAUCUUCCUUUGGUUUCCGGUGAUUACGGCUUGCCUUCUGGCUCUGUCGUACCCACUGAGAAAACCAUGGUUGCGGUUUCUCACCCCCAUUCCCCCCCCAGGUGACAUAGACGAGGAGUUGAAUUUUGGGCUCGACGAGAGGACGAUCUAGCUAGUAUGGUUUAUAGCGAUCGCCACCCUGGUUGUAUUUCUUUCCCGCUUUAGUAGUCAUUUAAAUAAUUUCAGUUAGCUGAUUUUUAUGAUUGUUUGAAUGUUGGUGAUCUUUUUGGUAGAUCUUGGAUGCUUUUGUUAUUUAUGCAUGUGAAUGAGGUUUGUGGAUUUGGAUGUUGAUUCUAUGGAUAUCGGAUUUUCUUGUAUUUACAUAUCGUGGUUUUCUACCCUCGAGGUAGUUGAUUUUCAAAAUAGAGUUUCCGUGUGGAAACAGUUUUAAAAAAUUUUUGAAUGGUUUUUCAUGAUGAAUGAAUUAGAGUUCAAAAAUAAAAGCUUCCGUGUGGGGAGCACUUUUAAAUAGGAUGAUUGUUGUACUGUGCAUUGCAUCAUUCAGCGCCUAAGGAGUGCUUAGAGGCAUGCAUCAUCUCUAAGGAUUGUUAGCUGUAUGAAAAUGCAUAUCAUUAUUUGGUUGUGAUUGGUAAUUGUAGGUUGUGGUUGUGAUCCUGUUGUAUAGUUGGUACGCCGUGCAAAUACAAAAGGAGACUCUGUCCGAGUGGACAGAUGAACUUUGUAUUUGUGCGGGUAUGCUACGUCACGUGGGCCAGGUUGGAAAAAAAAAAAAAAAGUACAUCUUCCGCGACUCUGAGUUUUCAAAAUGGUAAUGAAUUUUCAAAAUGGCUUUGAAAAUCGGCCCCGGGGCGUGACAUGGACUACGCCUUGAACCAAGGCCGGUGAAUCAAAUUUCCACGAACAACACACAUGGUACAGCUGUUUAGAUUCUAAGCGAGUGAGCACCUUUAUGGCCAUGCACUAGUAUCGCUUCGUGUGUGUUUUAGGGAACAACCCUCUUUCCAUAGUCGCGGCCUCACAACUCCACACAUAUAAUAGGUCCUCAAAGGGUAUCUGCAAGGUCACACCUUGCCUUAUAGGUCUCGGAGCCAUUCAGGGCCAACGCCCUUCUAUCCACUUAUAGAUAUGAGCACUGUCGCCAUAGGGAUGAGGAUAUAAAAACAAUGCUCCUCACAGCUACCUAUUCGACUUGUUUCUACCCAUUGAACCUGCAACAGGUUGGGUUGCCGUCGCCGGUAACUUCUAUUGUGGGCUAAGCCCCAUCCCCCUCGACGAAUCUAGGAUCACUGUCCUAGAUAAUCCCUUCAUAAGCUGAUCAGCCAAAUUCUUUAUAGAUUUCAUAAAUUCCAAUCCAAUCACAUUUUCCUUCAAAUUCUGUCGAAUGAACUUAUCCCUCACUUUCAUUGAUCUAUUCAUUUUUGUCUCCACAUUCUCUUGAGCACACUUAUCUAUUGCAGAUCUACAAUCACAAUAAAUACAUAUAGUUGCUAAAGGUCGCUCCAUAAGUGGCAAAUCAUAAAGAAACUCUCUAAUCCACUUAGCUUUCGCUACAGUUGUAUCCAAGGCUAUGAGUUCAGAUUCCAUAGUACUUUUAGUAAUCAAAGAUUGUUUAGUUUAUUUCCAAGAAACAGCUGCUCCUCCUAGAAGAAAAACAAAUCCAGUAGUCGACUUUAUAUCGACUGUAUCACUAAUCCAAUUAGCAUCACUAUAUUCUUCCAAUACUGCAGAAAAACCAGUGUAAUGUAAUCCAUAAGAUACAGUCCCCUUCAUAUAUCUCAAAAUUCUUUCUAAGGCAUUCCAAUGCUCUCUAUUUGGAUUAUGGAUAUAUCUUCUCAAUCGGUUCACAGCAUAAGCCAAAUCAGGUCUAGUGUAAUCUACCAAAUAUCACAAAGAUCCAAUAAUCUGUGAAUAUCCAUUUUGACCUAUUGGAUCUCCGCUAUUCUUUUUAAGAUGCACAUUAGAAUCAUAAGGUAUGACUACAGGUUUAACAUCAAAGUAUCCAAACUUUUUCAACUGUAGUGGGAUUGACUCAUAAUAAUUUCUUUCGAUUUUCUAAUGAUCUUUAUGUUGCGAAUAAUAUUUGCUUGCCCAAGAUCUUUCAUAUCAAAAUUUUUAUUUAACAAUUUCUUUACAUCAUAUAUUACAUUCAUAUUAGUACCAAAAAUCAAAAUAUCAUCAACAUAUAAGCAUAAAUCACUAUCUGUCCAUUAUAUUCCUUCGAAUACAGGCAUUCAUUAGACAUGUUCACGUGAAAACCAUUUGAUACAACCAAAGAGUCAAAUUUCAAAUGCCACUGCUUAGGAGCUUGCUUAAGUCCAUAUAAAGAUCUAUUCAAUUUGCACACUUUGUUCUCAUACUCAGAAACUAUAAAACCUUCAGGUUGCUUCAUAUAAAUCUCUUCAUCUAAAUCACCAUUUAGAAAGGUUGUCUUAACAUCCAUUUGAUGAACAAUCAAAUCAUGGAUAGAGGCCAAAGCAAUCAACACUCUAAUAGAAGUAAUCCUAGCAACUGGAGCAUAAACAUCAAACUAAUCUAUUCCAGGAUUCUGUGCAAAUCCUUGUGCCACUAAUCUAGCCUUAUACUUAUCUACAGAUCCAUCGGGUCUCAACUUCUUCUUAAAAAUCCAUCUACAACCUACAGGCUCAGCUGGAAUAGGUCUAUCUACUAUAGUUCUAAAAAAAAAAAUAUCCUCAAAAUACACUGCAUCUCUAGCCUCAAUAAUAGUGUUGUUAGAAAUCUCACUAAUUUCAUAAUUCACUACCAAAAAUCUAUUUGCAUUGCUACCUUGUGUAUAACCCACAAAAACUGUAUCCACAGUCUUAGGUCCAAUCUUUCUCUCCUUAUUCUCAGGUAUCUCCACUUUAGCUAGGCACCCCCACACUUUAAAAUAAUUUAAAUUAUGUUUUCUACCUUUCCAAAGCUCAUAGGGAGAUACAUUAGAAUUCUUGUGGGAAAUUCUAUUUAAAAUCAUAUAUGCAGAAAUCAAAGCUUCCCCCCACAAAUUCUCAGGUGCGCCUGAACUAAUAAUCAUUGAAUUCACUAUAUCCAUCAAAGUUCUAUUCUUACGUUUAGCAACUCCAUUAGAUUGAGGUGUAUAAGGAGCAGUCACUUGAUGCACAAUUCCAAACUCUUGACAGAAAACAGUCAUCUCAUUUGAAGUAUAUUCACCACCUCGAUCAGACGUCAAAAUCUUGAUUUUCUUAUCUAAUUGAUUUUCAACCUCAGUCUUAUAAAUCUUGAAUCUGCUUAAAACCUCAUCUUUUGAUUUGAUCAAAUAAACAUAACAAUACUUUGAAUGAUCAUCUAUAAAUGUCACAAAAUAUUUAUUUCCACCUCUACUAGGUCUACUUCCAUCACAAGCAUUACUGUGCACCAAUUCUAAAAGAUCACAAUCUCUAUCCACAGAUUUAAAUGAUUUCCUAGGCUUCUUAGCUUGCACAAAUAUUUCACAUCUAUGAUUAGAUAAAUCAGAUUUAGGAAUCCAAUUAAGAUGCAUCAAUCUUUUGAUAGUAUUAAAAUUCACGUCCCAAUCUUCCGUGCCAAAUAUUAGGAGAAAUGUAACCUCCGAGGUUUCGGAAGAAUUAUCAAACUUUAGCCAAGUCGACUAAAGUAUGCGAAGAAGAUGGAUGGACAAGUCCCAAUUCACAUUCCAACACGGUUGGAAGGGCUAAAAUGUAAGCUCUAAAAGAGUUGAAAGGGUUUUGGCAUCGAAUGGCGCGAAAGAGAGUGGAAACGAAGUCAAAAAUGACGUUCUGGAUGUCUUGUACCGGUACAAGACCAAUGGUUGUACCGGUACAACCAGCGAAGUUUAAGGCUUGGAGCUGCCAGGCCUUGUACCGGUACAAGGGGUCUUGUACCGGUACAAGCCCUGCGCAACCGAGAGAGCCAGCUCUCGGGUUGGGCUGUCUGCCAGGCCUUGUACCGGUACAAGAAACCGUGUACCGGUACAAGGAGCCCGAACAGCACAGAAUUAGUCUGCUGCAAUUAUAAAUGAUUGGAGGGGUUUAUUAGCAAUUGUUACCUAAUGUAAUAGCCCUAAACCCCUCUCCCUCACAGCAGAUCUCUCCCUCUCUCUCUCUCUCUCGUGUCUCUCCCUCUCUCUCAACCGGUUGCAAGAAAAGAGAAGGAAAAAGAGAAGAGAAGAAAGGAAAAGAAGAAAAGAAGAAGAAGAAAAGAAGGAGAAGAUGGAGGAGAGGAAGAGGAUCAUCACCAUCAUCAUCCUCUUCAUCUUCUUCUCUCCCUUGGAGCUCUAGGAGAGGUAAGCUUCCAAGCCUCUUAUGGUAGAUUUUUGUAGAAUGGGUUUUAAACCCUAGAUCUUUGGUUUUGAUCUACCUACAAGCUUUAGAACUUCGUAGAGGCCAAGAACACAUGAAAUCCAUGGUGUUCUUCAUGAGGCUCUAAUGGUGGAUUUCUAGGGUUUGUUCUAAACACCCUAUGAACGGUUCUAAUGGUCCUAAAUGAGCUCUAAGAACUUGGACAAGCUCUCUUUUGCUUGUUUUAUAGAUCGAUAUCGGAGUAUUGAGCAUAUGUCAUAUUAGGGCAUCCCAAAGAGGGGUUUUGCUCAUAUGGGAUUUUGAUCUAUUUUGACCGCUUGGAAACCUAAUUGGGGACCUAAUGAACGCGUUGAAAUGCUCGGUUCGACGAUCCGACGAGUGUACACGAAGUUAUUGACGAAACGGUCAAUUUUGGUACAGAUAGCCGUAGCACGCGGGAUAAGCGCCUAAAAAUCGUGGGAUCGGAACCGGAGCAUCUUGGAGUCAAGGAAUAAACUCCGGAAAAGACGGAUCGUGAUUCGGAGGUCGUUCGCUAAGUCACGCAAGAGUUCGGGCUUAAACGGGCGCCGAGUGCCGCGGGAGGCCGAUUGCAAGUGUCGACAAGCAAUCGGAACGCGAGUUAAGGUGGGUUGUGCUUACCGAAGCGACUAGGUCGCCCUUUAUGUCUUAGCAAUGUAAUCUCAUGUUGAUGCAUGUGCAUGUAGACAAGACUAAAUGGUGCAUUAAUAAAUAUGCAUAGAGUAAAUGCAAGUAAAGUAAAGAAUGCAUGAUGAGCAUGAUAAAUAAAUAAUGCAAGCAAGUAAUUGGAAUGCAUGAUGAUAAUAAUGCAUAGUGUAAAUGCAUGUUAAAUAAUGAUGCAUAGAGCCAUGCUGAGUAAAUGUUAAGUAGAGAGCAUGGUUAAUAUAAGAUGCAAAUGCUAAAUGGAAAGCAUGCUAUAGUAAUUAUGCUAGUGAUUGUAAAGAAUGCAUGUAUUAAUUAAUGCAUAGAUGGAAAUGCUAAAUAGAGAGCAUAAUGAGCUAUAGCAGUAUAUAAUGCUAGUUAAAGUAGAGAAUGCAAGAUAGCAUCAUGAGAGCUAAGUAAGUGACAUGAUAACUCUAGUGUAAAUAGAGUGAUUGGACAACUAGGUUGUCAGAUAGAUCGAGUGGCAUCUAAACCUAGUGUUAAAGAACAUAGUGUUCGAUUAGUAAACCUAGAAUCGAACAAUCUAGGUGUGUGGCAUUUGACCUAUGUUAGUAAACCUAGGUUAAACUAGUAAACUAGAAGUGGACAUCUAGCGAAGAUGACAAGAACCUAGCAAGUGUAUCUAGGUUAAGUGAUGUGACAUAGAACCUAGAGUAUUGGAACCUAGUUGAUGAGUAUAGUGGUUAUCCACUAGAUGAGCUAUGGUCGACAGUAUAGGGUUGGCGAGGAACCCUGGACCUGUGGUAAGUCGAUUCCGGGAUCCCAGGACUUAUGAUUCGCCCGUACUGGCAGGGUUCGUCGACGACUUCGCCGCCGAGCUUGGUACCUGUGGUCAGAUUGGGGGCGAUCAUAUGGAGAUCACGCGCCGGGGCUUGAACCAUUGUCGGUGCUUCGUGCGACGAUUUCGCCGCCGGAUGGUUAAGCCGUUUGAGGAUCAGACCGGCCAGAGCAGACUGAAGCCAUGCUGUAAGUACGAUGCGGUGUGCCUCCAGUGACUAGGUCUGACAUGAUCGUUGUUGGGUGUGGUGCGACCCGUUCGCCGCAGACGGUAUGUCAUGUCUCGAGCUCUCACCUGGGUUAAGUGCAACGCCGGUCGCACCGAUGUCAAAGUCUUGUGACGCGAUGCCGCUGUUCAGCGUGUGCGACGAUUUUCGCGAGAAGAGUUGAGUCAGGAGAGAAGUGCGGUAGCGCUGGUGAGCCAGAAUGCGCGGGACUAUCCGCCAGGAAUGAUUGACUCGAACGACCGAGUCGGGUGGUUAGCUAAUGAAUAGGGUAGAGAACCGCUUAUGAGCUUAGAAUUAGAGGCUUUGAGCCUAAGGUAUAGAAACCUUACUGAAGCUAGUGGUUGGUGUUUUGACGCUAAGGUAAUAAGAAACCUUAAGAGUAAUUAAUGAGCUUAAAGUAGCAAAGUAAAAGUAGUAAUUGCAAACUGAUCAUACCUAGUUGCUGGGCAGUGAUUUUAAAAUCGCAUAUUGCUGAGGCAUGUCAUGUAUUUUCAUGAAUUAUAUAUAUUUGUGUAUAUUGUUGAAAACUGAACAGUUUGCAGUAGCCUCCUCGGACUAUCAAGGUCGAGGCUUUUCCCUUGGGUGGCCUGUACCCACCUGGGACCAUGAGUGGCUUCUCACCCUACGUGUUUUGGGGUUUUCAGGUCGUUCGGUGUAGCGCGCGGCGGCGCGAGGAGGGCGUAGUCUAGUAGAUAGCGCCCCCCACAGAGACCGAUGGUACAGUACCGCUGAGCACAAGGUCUACGCUAGGGGUCUAGAAGACAAGAAAAGAAAAUGUAUCAACUUGUAAACUCUGAUGUAAUAGUGAGAUUGUAAUUUGGAAGUAAAAAUGUAAACUGAAACUGUGAUGUAAAACGUGGUUGUGAAAUGAAUGCUUGUAAUAGCAAGUAGAUUAUGUAUUUGAUACUUCCUUAUGCAAUCUGGAUUGAUAUCCGUUCCUUGUUGGAACAUUCGUUGAUUGUUUGGAUUGCGACGCCUUGGACGUACUGGGGAGACUCUGUCCGCGUACAGGGGAAUUUCCGGUCCGUUCGGCGGUCUGUCGGCGGCGCCGCGACCCGGUCCAAAUUGGCGGUUGGUCGCGGGGCGUGACAAGAAAUAACAUUCAUCACAAGAGCACUUUCAUUGAUAGAAGGAGAAGAUACAGAUAAUUUAAAUAAGCCAUCACUCAAAAAUUCUUUUCCUACAAAAUUCACUGCUUUUGUUAUAACUACCAUAUUACAUUCAAAAACUAGCUUAAAAUCCCGUUGAACUAAAAAAGAACUACUAAUCAAAUUCUUCCUAAGGUCGGGAACAUGGUGGACUCCGUGCAAAGUUAAGGUCUUCCCAGAGGUCAACUUCAAGUCCACUCGACCUUUCCCUAGCACGUGAGAAGAGGCUGCAUUCUCCAUGUUCACCGAUCCUCCACAUGAGUCCUGAUAGGUGUAAAACCACGAACGAUCAGAAUAAGCAUGAACAUUAGCUCCAGUAUCUAUCCACCAAUUAGAAGAACUAUAGGUAAGGUUAACGUUCGGUAAACUAGAUCCUAACCUGAUAGUGGAGUCAGAAGGGUCAGAUCCAGCAGUCAGCAUAUUCAUCUGGAGCUCAGGUGGAGCUUCCUUCUUCUUCUUUGGUACAGAAGACCGAGUCUUGAGGAAGUAGCAAUCCUUCGCAAAAUAAUUCGUCUUCCCACACACAAAGUAACCAGAGUUGCCUCCACUUUCCUCAGGUUUAGGUUUCUUAAAGUUUGGGUUGAACUUCCUACGGUGGAAAGGCCUCUUCUUAAAGUUCUGGUGAGGCAGAAAAUUUCUACCCUUAUUUUUAGGAUUCUCUACUAGGUUGGCUUGGGUUGUAGGUUCACUAGGCUUCUUAUCUCUAACUCGGUUUGACUCUUCUAUCCUAAUGGAUCUUAGGACUUAAUUCAGAGAUAGCUCUCUUUGAUUGUGGUUAAGAUCGUUUGCAAGGUUCUACCAAGAGGGUGGCAACUUAUCUAUAAGGGCGGCAACUAAAAAACUCUCAUAAGAUCUACACCACUAGAUCUAAGCUGCUCAACUAUAUGCUCAAAAUCAUGAAGCUGGUCAGACAUGGACUUAUUAUCUACCAACUUAAAUUAAUUAAAUCAGACGCCAGGUAUCUCUUCUGGGUAGGAUCAACUAGACCAUACUUAUUUUCUAAGAAUGUCCAAAGUUCCCUAGCUGUUUUAGCACUACAGUAGAUGUCAUACAAUUUAUUAGAUAAGAUACUAAGAAUCCGGUUUAAACAAUGGUAGUUGAUCAUAUUAGGGUCAACAGGAUACAGUUCGAGGUGCAGAAGUAGAUGCAGUUUCAGUGGUGGGAGGAGUGGAUCCAGCCUGGGCUUGGCUUCGAGUAAUCGGUCUAUUGACCACAGCCUGGGUUGCACCUUCAGGUAUAGAUCCAUUGCCGAUCUCGGCAGAAUCUGAGAUAGCAGAAACUAGCCAAGUGUGGUGAGCCAGAACCUCAUUUGGUUCUGCCACCUUUUAAAAUUACGACCAUCAAAAAUAAAAGGUUUCGUUGAAUCCUCCAUAAUAAAAAAAAAUCUGUUAACAAAUUAAAUUCUACUGUUAUGUCACAAAACUGUUUUGAAUUUCAAAAAAAUAACAAUAAAAUAGAUAUUAAUUGGCAGAAAAGAAAUAUUUUAAUUACUAUAAUAAAAGAAACAGAAAGAUUAAAUUAAAGAAUAAUAUUUCGCUUCUAGAUUGUUGGAAAAAUCUUUCUGAUCUUUUAUUACAAUAUUCUUUAAAAAUAAUUCGAAAGUUUAAUUUCAGGUUUAGAAAAAUUCUGAAAAAUAAAAUAAAUAACAAAUACUGUAAAGAAAAGGUUUAGAUAAGGCCUAUGGAUCGAGGCGUGCAGAGCACUGUCCUAGAAGUGAAAUUGCCCCUCUUUGUGCGAGUCUUCCUCGCAAUUACUUCUAACGAUACAAUGGCCACCUUCCACCCCGUCGGCACGCUUUCAAGAUGGCGCAAGACGAACCCAACAAGCUUCAGAUCCAGCAAAUAAAACAUGGCGAAAAUCGGCGGAAAAGAUUAAUGGCGAGAAAGUCGGGAAAGACGAGAGGGUUUAGGUAUCCUUGGGUUUCUCCAAUAUAUAUAUAGGUGAGAAUCUUGCUUGUCAAAUCCAUGUAGAACAAGAUAAGCCUAAGAUUAUACGGAUAAGGAUUAGGAUUAGGAUAAAGAUAAAGAUAAAACCGAAAAAAUAAAAAUAAAAUAAAAUAAACCGGGUGCAUGGACCGCGCGGGCCGUCGCCCGCCCGGCCCGGCUCCUGCUCGUGCCGUGCGUGCGUGUGUUUAAACGAGAGCAUAACUCUUAUUUCCUCCUAAAAAAACUAACUUGAGAAUAAAAGAAUAUAUAUAUACACUAUCAACACCCUUUUGGUUUCCAAUGUGGGACUAAACCUUGUACAUGAAAAUUUUAGUUGAGCUCCUAAGCAAAGCCCAUUAAUAAUUAUUGGGCUUCCAAGAGUCCUAAACAAGUUUUAAAUUACAAAAAUCUAAUAAGAUCCAAUAGUUACAUUAGUAUAUAACCCCCAACACCCUCAUUCAUGGUUCCUUUGUGCUAGAACCAUAGAAAAGGAGAAGGUGAGCUCCCUCUCUUUCUCUCUCUAGAUUUCUUUCCCAAUUCUCUUGUGAAUUUGAGAAUUGAUCUUGUUUUCUUCCUCUUUUCCUUGGAGGCUUACUUCUUAGACCUUGGAGGAGGCUUGGCUAUGAAGAAAGGAGCUUUUUUGAGAAUCUAUCUCCAACCCUAGCUCAAGUUGGCUUGGUUUGGAGCUCUCUUGAAGGUUAGUAAUCUAAUUGCUCAUUUGCAUUGUGUUUUUGGGAGGAAUUGUAGAAUUAAGCCUAGCUUUAGAAAACUAGGGUUUAAUUUGGGAAUUUUUCUUAGUUGAGCCUUUGGAGCCUAAUUGAUUGUUGCAAAACUCUCUUUUAGAUUGGAAUUGAAGCAUCCCAACCUCAAUUGAAAUUUUGGACAAUUUUUUUAUAUUUAAGGUAUUUUCUAUCUAUUUUUGGUACGAUUUUUGGAAAAUUUCGUAUGAAGCUUGUUAGAAACUUUUAAUCCAGUUAGAAUUUUUGUUAGGGUGCUGCGAGGCUAGAGGACAACUUUGUUCGAACAAACGAAGGAGUUCGAGGGGUAUCCGGUAGGUUUGACCUCACCGAAAUGGGUGAACUCCUCAUAUGUCAUUCUCAAUGUUUUAAAAUUGGAAUUCAUGCAUCUUUAUGCUAGAUGUAGCAUAAAUGAAUUUUUGAAUGUGUAGGACAUACAUAUUACAUGUCAAGAUUAUACCCUCUAUAUAGUAAAGAGAGAUGUUUAUUGAACUCGUAUAUUAAAAUGACUUUUCUUUAUGCCAUGAUUGAAAGCAUGUUAGGAAUAAUGAAAUGAGAUGUUUAGUAUACGUAGACAAGUGAACAUGACUUUUGUAUGAUAUAGCUAGCGUGAGCUUAAUGUGGUUGUACUUGACUUAGUUAAAUAACUAAACCUCUACAUUGUGAUAUAACAUCUGACCUUUGGGUCGUUAUUGGACAUACCAUAUUUUAGAUAUGACGAUCAAUAACUCUAUAUUGUGGAUUAUGUUUGCUUGCCAUUGUGCUAAUUCGCACAAGCUUGUGAGGGUCGCUCCCUACAAGCCGGCACUUCGGAGAUAGCUUAUGCAACAACAUGCUCGCCCGUGCGGGAUUGGGCGCUAAAGUGGAUUGUCGUGGGCGAGGCUCAUUCCUAGAGGGAGAAUGUUGACUACCACGGGGCCAUUAGGCACGGCAAAAGCCGGACUAUACUUUGUGUAGGUCCUCGUUAAAUUGGAUAAUGACAAUUAAAUGUAUGAUUUAGCCAUCACUACUCGAUAGUGUAUGCUAGUUGGACAUGUCAUUAGAAUGCUCAUUUAUGAUAAAGUAGUACUUAAACUUGUUAAAUAACAUGUUGAAUUGGAGGCAUAGUAGCAUUAGUAAUUUAUUACUUGCUUAAUAUACAUGCUAUCUCAUUAGUCACUUAUGUUCCUACUUAUACCUCAGUUGAUAUAGUGGUGUAAUUCGCUUUUAUCGGCGACUUAGCUACUGAGAACUAUUGUUCAAUAGUUCUGAUUCCUAUGUUGUUGUUGUUUUUAUUUUCAGGGCCAUCCACAGGGGGAGAGGCUAGUGAUCGCGACAAGGGAGUCGUGUCUAGCUAGAGUUAGCUUGAAGCUUCUGCUAGGUGGCCGCCUUUCUUUUUAUUUUAAUUGAGAGGUGUACUUGUCCUUGAUGUAUAGAGACCACCAUGUAUAUUGGUAUCAGAGCCUAGGGUUUAGUCUUAAUUGACCUAGCAAACCUUAGGCCGGUUGGACUAUAGGAAAUAGGCUCGUAAGAAACGGGGUCUAUAUGUGUCACGCCCCGGGANGGACCGGUCUCGCCUGCCAGGGACCGGUUGCCUCAGGCUGCCUCAACACUGCUCACUGGGGGGACCGGUCUCUCCUUCCAGGGACCGGUCCCCGAGAGUGAAAACUCUCAGGACUUGUCCAGAAUUUCAGUUUUCGAACUUUUUGGGUCGGAAAAUAUUCUACAACCCUCCACCAAGUGUGGACAAGCUCGAAAUACAUCCAAACACUCGAACCUCGCAAUUUGCAAAGGUCCAGUGCGUUACAAUAUGACUUUUGAGCGAAAGUAUUAAGAUUGGGUUAUAUUUAACUCCGAAUGGUUGGGGUAUGAUUGAAGUGUGCAACUUCUAACUCGUGGAAGGUCACGUUCGUGGUCGACAACAGGGCAUCGGGAGUUAGUUGUGAGGCUCACUUCAUUACUUUCACAUUAUUGGGAUGUUAGUUUCUUUGAGCGGGGUUGCGAUGGCGUGGUUUUACUAACUUGUGCUUGUUAUGUUUGUUGUAGCUCGAGAUGCCUUCGACUCGCUCUAGGACUGCCGGGGUGGCUGAGGCAACCGAUGCCGAGGAGAUGGAACCUCCGCUACCUUCGGAUCUAGUAAGAUCCUGAGUUGAUCGAUUCGGCUCUUGUAGUGUUGAUCGAUUUGGUGGCGCAACAGUCGGCGGCAGCUCAAUAACAAGUGAAUGCAGCGCGCCGACAGGAGGCGAGGAUGAAGUGACUGGAGGAUUUGUGUCACGCCCCGCUCCCCGCCAAUUUGGUCGGGUUCGGGCCACGUCAACAGACGCCGAACGGACAGGGCCUCUCCCGCCCGCCCAAGGCUCUAACAACAAGUAUAAUUAAGCAAUCAAACAAGGAGAUUUGCAAUUAUACAAGGCUUGCACGAGGGCAAGUAACAAAGGAAGUGAAAGCUCUAAGCAAAAACAUACAACCAUACAUAAUAUUUGAUUACAUUUAAACAAAAUACUAGUAAACUAAACUAUUACAUCCAUUUGCUUUCAUUCAUAAUAUCUUUUUACAUCAUAAUCAUUCUCCAAAAAUACAUGAAUUAUUUUCAACUUUACAUCUAUAAAUCAACAAAAGAAAGUUGAUACAUGUACACAAAAAGGGAAUGACUAAAUGCAUAAACUCCGGUGGCCACUAGCUAUGGCGGAAUACCCUUGCCGCGAUCCUCUGUCGCGUCGUUUGCGCUCGGAUCUGUAGGGUUAGUGGCGUGAGAACUACAACGAAGUUCCCAGUGGGUUCGACAACCGACCUCGCUGACUUACCCACUAGGUCUAUUCAGGCAUAAGUAUUUCAAGAAAAAAGAAAAGUAGCCAUUACUAAUGCUAAUACUAUGCCUACAAGAAAGUUGUCAGAAGAUAUAUAUAAUCAAAUAAAGAAUGAUUAUGCAUGCAUGCUUUUUUCAUAAGUAUACUUUGGCUUUUACCCAAUCUUACCGGUUAACCUUGUUAACCCCAAUAACUCAAAACCCAAAAUCCCUUAAUAACGGGGGACUCGAACCUCCCUGGGGACCGUCUUCGGGGACCUCCCUCCCCAUGGUGACUAUUCCGGAACGCACCGCUUGAGGGGCAGCUACCACCCUCAAGCCAAGACUUAUCGUGAGUAUCGAUCCAAUUCCCACUUAGGAAAUAUAUAGCCACUAGCCACAAUGCCACUAUCAUAAUAGGUUUCUACCUAUUUGUUCAUGUCACUUUCUAAGUCACUCUUGCCAUAAGGCCACUAAUAGUUAAACCUUGUUUAACGAUUCAUGUCUCGAUGCCAAUCAUGUCUCUAUUGUCAAUAUCACCUUUAUUUACUAUUAUCUUGGUCCAAGUCUCACAUUCAUACAAUCUUUAGGGUUCUACCAUAUAUGUCCAUUAUGGUUCUUGUUGAAUCACUAUGUUUAUCUACGUUAGAAACAUAAUAUUGAAAUUCUAACCACUAACCAUAUGUCAAACACCCUAUCAUGCAUGAAUGGUUCUGUAUAUAAAUAUGCUCAACAAAAGUGAAAUAAACAUAAAGGGGAAUCCGAUUAUUCCGGUGUGCACUCCCUAUCUUGAAUAUUGUAGUAGGGUUGUAGUUCAACUCUCGCGAUUUUAGGACGCUUAUCCCGUGACCUAAACCCAAAAAUAAAGCCAAAUUAGGCUUAAUACAUAGAACUCUUACUUAGUUUUUUCAUAACGUCAAACGGAGUUAUCCCACUCGUCGGAAAUAUCCCUAAUUAGAUUUCCAAGAGGUCAAUUUAUCUCGAAAAAAACCGGAGUCAAAAGCCCCAAAAUCCAUGCCCUAACAAUGCCAUAACGGAAUUUUUCCUAGAUUGAUCUCAUCUCUAAGCAAAACCUAGCUUAGAAUCAACUAGGAAACAUUCUAAUACCAUCACUAAGCCAUUCGUAUUAUUCCUAGGGCAUCUAGCAUGAUUCCUAGUUAACAACCAUAAGAGGACCUUGAAUUUCCAUGGUUUUCAUGGUGCUUAAGCCUCAAAAGGGUUUCUAAAGCUAGAAACAAACUCAAAACUCCCAAAACCUAGGGUGAAAUCCAAACCCUAGAUAGGCUUUACACUAAAACUUACCUUAGCCCAAGCUCCUCCCAAGAUCCUUCUUGUAGGAGAGCUUCUUGACCUUCUAGACCACCAAAAUCUCCUUCAAUGUCUUCUUCUCCUCCAAUUCCUUGCCAUAGAGCAAGAUCUCAAGAGAGAGAAAGAGAGGAAUGACAGUGGGAAAGGGUUGGGGUGUUGGCUGUGAAGGAGAGGGGUGUUGGGUAUUAACAUGUUGUAACAUUUGCAACUAAGCCCCUCAAAAACUCUUAUUUGCAACAGACUUCAAUGUUGCUGCCAGACCAAAGUGUACCGGUACACGGGCUGCUGUCACCGGUAACACCAUUACGCAGAGGCAAACCCGAGAGCAAGGUUCUCGGUUUUUACCAAAGUGUACCGGUACACACCAGAGGUGUACCGGUACAUUUCUGCGAAGAAUCAAACCCGAGAGUAGCUUUCUCUCGGCCUGCUGGUCUGUACCGGUUACAACUCGAUGGUUGUACCGGUACACAUGCACCAGAUUGCAGUUUUAGCUCUGAUUCGAUUCUACUUCACACCGGUCGAUGCUAAAACCUUUCUAAUCUCUCUUAAACUCAUUUUUAACCUUUCCAACAUUGUUGGAAUGCUAAAUGCAACUUGUUCAACUAUUUCUCUCGACAACUAUAACCAAUUUGGGUAAAGUUCGAUAAUUUCUUCCGGGUUUCAAUAUGUUACAUUCUCCACCCCUUAAGAUUAGUUUCGUCCGCGAAACUAACUUGGUUGCAAUCUAGAUUCAUACCUCACUCCAGGUCUUCGAAGAGGUGAGGAUGACGCUCUCUCAUCACGUUCUCAAGUUCCCACGUAUCUUUCCGAUCGUCGUGGUUACUCCAAUGGAUUUUAACAUACGGAAUUUCACGGUUCCGUAGAUUCCUCACUUCUCGAUCGACGAUAAAUGGCGGGAACUCCUCGUAAGUCAUAUCCUCUUGAAGCUCUAUCGGUAUAUACGAGAGAAUAUGAUCCGGAUCAUGGACAUACUUGCGGAGAUUGGAUACAUGAAAUACGUCGUGCACCCCCGCAAGCCUCGGUGGUAAUGCUACUUUGUAAGCCACUGGGCCAACUCGUUCCAAAAUCUCAAAGAGUCCGACAUAUCGGGGACUUAGCUUCCCUCGGACACCGAACCGUUUUACUCCUCGCAUCGGCGAUACCUUCAAGAAUACACGGUCUCCAACCGCGAACUCUUUAUCUUUCCUUCGCCUAUCGACAUAACUCUUGUGCCGAAAUUGCGCCGUCGCAAGUCUUUGGCGGGCAAGACGAACUUUCUCCUCCGCCUCCCGAAUCACCUCGGGGCCAAGAGUCACCUUCUCGCCCACGUCGCUCCAAUGAAUCGGCGAGCGACACAUCUUUUCAUAAAAGGCCUCGAAUGGCGCCAUGGCAAUACUUUCUUGAUAGCUAUUGUUUUAUGCGAAUUCCGCCAUUGGUAAGUGACCAUGCCAUUUGCCCUUAUAGUCGAGUACACACGCUCGACGCAUAUCCUCAAGUAUUUAAAUAGUCCUCUCAGAUUGACCGUCACUUUGAGGAUGGAAUGCCCUACUAAAGUUGAGCAGUGUGCCCAAUGCAUCUUGCAAACUCUUCCAAAAAUGUGAUGUGAAUCUCGGGUCCCGAUCCGAUACAAUAGAUACCGGAAUCCCGUGAAGUCUCACAAUCUCGUCGAGAUAAACUUGAGCUAACUUAUCUCCCGACCAAGUAGUAUGGAUCGGCAAAAAGUGUGCCGAUUUUGUCAACCGGUCCACCACUACCCAAAUCGCAUCAUGUCCACCUUGGGAUCUAGGCAAACCCGUCACAAAGUCCAUUGCGAUAUUUUUUCAUUUCCAAACGGGUAUAGCUAGACUUUGCAACCUUCCUGCCGGAAAUCGACGUUCUGCCUUUACUUGUUGGCACGUGAGACAUUGUGCCACGAACUUCCCUAUGUCCUUUUUCAUUCCCGGCCACCAAUAAUGUAGCUUCAAGUCUUGAUACAUUUUAGUGCCGCCCGGGUGAAUGCUAUAGGGAGAUUGAUGCGCUUCUUGCAUAAUUGCCCUCCGAAGAUCAUCGUCCAUGGGCACACAACAACGAUUCCGAUAUCGUAGUGCACCGUCGGUCCCAAUGCCAAAGCAUCGGCACUACCGCUCUCAACUUUACCCCGCACCUUUUGGAGAAAUGAAUUGGAAACUUGCAGUUCUUUAAUCCUCUUCAACAAGGUCGGUUGUACAAUCAACGUGGCAAGUGUUGCCGGCACUCCCGGCGCCACAACCUCAAGACUAAGCCGUUGCAUCUCCUUUUGCAGUGACGGCUGGGGUUUGAUCGUCGUCGCCAACUUUUCCGCCGACUUUCUACUUAGAGCAUCGGCUACGACAUUUGCCUUCCCGGGGUGGUACAGAAUAGUGACAUCAUAGUCCUUUAGCAACUCUAACCACUGCCGCUGUCGCAUAUUUAACUCUUUUUGGGUGAACAAGUAUUUAAGACUCUUGUGAUCCGUGUAGAUCUCACAAUGCUCACCGUACAAGUAAUGCCUCCACAACUUUAGCGCGAAGAUAACCGCUGCUAGCUCAAGAUCAUGAAUCGGGUAGUUCUUUUCAUAACUCUUCAACUGGCGCGAAGCAUAAGCUAUAACUCGGCCAUUUUGCAUCAAAACACACCCGAGACCGAUGUAAGAAGCAUCACUGUACACUACAUAGCUCCCCCCAGCGUCAGAAAGGCAAGCACCGGGGUCGAUGUCAACCUUGUCUUUAGCUCCUCGAAGCUCCGCUCACAUUCGGGGCUCCAAAUAUACUUCACCCCUUUGUGCGUAAGGCGCGUUAGUGGAGUAGUUAUGUCACGCCCCCGCCCCGAGACCGCUACCAAUUUGGUCCGGUUCGGGCGCGGCGAACGGACGCCGAACGGACAACACCUCCCCUGUCCGCCCAAGGCUAAACAAUGAGAUCAUGUACACAAGUUCCCAGGAAAUACACUUGAUUACAUACAUGAUCAUACAACGAUAGCGAGAGCACAAACAGUGCUAAACAAUCAAGAGCAAGCAUCAUGAGUAACCAACAUACAAGUGAAUAAAAGAGAGAUACAUUCUCCCUAUUACAUUCAUUCAACCAUUAUAUUACAACUUGAUUAUACAUUGAGCUUCCAAAACAUAAUAUAAAGCUUACAUCUUCGAAAGUAUAAACUUUAGUUUACAUUCAUCCCAAAAUAGCUCACAUCCUAUACAUCAUCUACUCUCAAAUAUACAUAGGGUAACUCUAAUGCAAAAUAGGAGAGUAAGCUACUACAACCUCUAGGGCGCUGAGCCCUUACCGCGAUCCUCAGCUGGCGCACACGAACUCGGACCUGAAAAAUGUGGGGUGAGAACUACCUUCCAUAUUUUUCAGUGGGUUCGGCCGCCGACUCCGCCGAUCUCCCCACUAGGUCUAAGUAGGCAUAGAGAGACAAUAGAUAGAUAGAUAGGUAUAGUUGAAGGCAACAAUUGUAAUAAAGCAAGUACGAAUGCAAGUAUCUAACUAUGCCUUAAUCCAAUGUAAUGCAUGCAUGAUAAUCAUAGUAAAGGCUGACUACUAGUCUACUAUGUUCGACAAUGAACUUUUUCAUUAGAUCACCCAAUCUCUCGGCUAAACCGAGGUUCGCUCUCAGUCUCACGUGUGUAAGUCUCAUAGGGGAGGAGUCUAACUGCUUGACUACCCUCGAGACCGCCUGCGGACAGCUACGAUGGUCCAAGGGCAACUACGAUGGCCCCCCUCGAGUGACAAUCUCCGGAGUGCACUACCUGGGUGGAGCGACCACCCAGGCGCAGAUAGGCUGUGUGAGCUCGAUCCAAUCUCAUGAACUGGGAAUAUCCUACCAACUAAGGUUGAUGUCAUCAUAGAAUCAGGUAUUCUAGUACUCAGUCUCAUAGUGCUUCGACUACACUAAGGUUUUCAUGUUCAAUGUUAACUAGAUGCCACUCGUUCUGUGUUCAUUGUUAACUAGAUGCCACUCGUCACAGUUUAAGGUUCUCAAUACUCUACUUGCACAUGUUCACUAGGUUGUCAUCCAACUAGAGUUUAAUCCACAUUAAUCAUGCCAUUAUAGGGUUUCACAACACUAUGUCUCAAUCCCAUGCACACUAGGUACAAGUAUUAAACCAUUAACACUACAAUACCACUAGCAUGACAUAACAUGUAACAAUACCAUCAAGCACCCUAUAAUGCAAUAUCACAAUAUGCAACUUGAUCAAUGACGAUUAGAGUUUCCGAUACAAUAACCAAUGCAUUACAAAGUUCUCAUCCAUACUUAUCAUCUCAUUAUAGGGUUGUACAUCACAUAUAUAUACACCUCAAGCAUGCUAGAUACAAUUGCUAAGCCAAAUACAUUACUUUACCAAGAAGCAUGCAAUACAUAUAUAGAACCAACCAUCAAUUAUCACCCUAUAAUGCAAGACAUCGAUAUGCAAAUUGAUCAAUAUAUAACUUAGACAUAGGGAGCAGUUCAACUGCUUCGGGAUGGUCACCACCCACCUGUUAUAGCGUUCCGAUUGCUCGUCGUCACUUGCAAUCGGCCUCCCGCGGCGCACGCCGCACGGCUCGACCCAAUUCACGCGCAACCACCUUACGACCUCCGAUUCGCGAUCCGGAAAUUAAGGGUCUUCGGUUCUUCGUUACGAUGCUAGGAAUCCGAUCCCACAAAUUAUGGAAGCCGCCUCGGCUCUUUGGGUCAAUACGAACCUACAACACUUGUUUUAGCCGGAACGUCGCACCCGCUCAACGAAUCGACGAACCGUCGCUUCCAACGCGUUCAGUGACCUAUCAAUUAGGUUUAUAGAGGGUCAAUUGAGAUCAAAUCCUUAUAUUUCCAAAAAUUGCAUUUUGAACCCUAGGUUUCAUCUAUUGCAAGAAUUAACUAAAUUGAUCCAAGAUUCUAGCAUUUAUCCUCUAUUUAGCAUGCUAGGAUUCCAAAUAAACCAUUUCUAUUGAUUAUAAAUGAAGCUUUAAAGAUCUACCAUGAGAGGGUUCAAAAAGCUCAUUUCAAGCCCUAGGUUUACAACUAGGCAAUAAAUCAUUAAAUUGAUUCAUGAUUUAAGCAACAAUCAUCUCUUUAGUAUGCUAGAAUAGCUCUAAAUCCAUUCUUGAAGCUUAAAACCCAAACUACAAGGAGAUACCAUUAAAGGGUUUUUGGAGCUUACCUUCAAAGCUUGCUCUCCAAUGGCCAAUGAGGAAGAUGAAGAAGAUGACUUUCCUCCAAGCUUCCUUCUCCACCAAAACCCUCUCUUUUUGGGAGAGAUUUAGAGAGAGAAAGGGAGAGUUCUCUUUCUCCUUCUCCUUGCGUGUGUGUGGCGUGUGUGUGGCGUGUGUGUGUGCAUUCGGCUGAGGAGGAGAAGAAGAAAAGGGAUUAAAUCCCUUUUUACAAAUCAGCCCCUCAACUAUUACACUAUUCACCUCGGGCAGCAGUUUAGCAGUUCGGAGUUGUUGGAGCCCUUCUGAACGUCCGUUUGCGCUCAAAUUUGACAGGCAGGCUCGGUUUAACGUACUAAGUAAGAAUAUAUCUUAAGUUUUCAGUUUCGACCCCGUUUGGUCACCGAAAGUUGUACCGAACUGUAAUCUUUAUCAGAUAACUGUCGGAUUUUAUUUCUCACUCUACGGGUGUCACUGACAUAUCCUCCCGUUUCUCACAGAAAAUUCUAAAUCUUCUGUUUUCGCUCCGAUUUCAGCACAGGUCGUUUCUAACUCAUAUUUCACUUCUCUAAAUCCAAUAAAAAUAGUAUCUCAUACUAUUUUUAUUUAUUUUUAUUUUUUAUAUUAAAAUCCGGUAUAUUACAUUCCACCGCAACUUCAUAACUACAGAAGUUCGGCACCUUACAUUCUCCCCUCCUUAAAAGAGUUUCGUCCCCGCAACUAACUCAUUUCAACUCAAUUCACACUCCAACUCAAUUUAUCGGGCAAUCGGGGACUCCAAUGCACAUUCUCACCUCGGAGUGGCCUUUCUUUCAUCGGAACCAUCCAAAGGCCCACUACGGAGGAUGUGAGACCCAUUUUCACUCACAUUUGCCAUGCGUAAGUCUAAAAGUGCAUUACCACCAUGCAAAGAAUUGCUCUUUGCAUUACACAUCCAACAGGAAAAUUUCACUCUGAUUCGAUCACCGGCAUUGCUUAGAAGCAAUAUCGUUGGUACAUCGACCAAUCGCGAGUGCUCCAAUCCUCAACCGGAUCCUUGCUCUAUUGCGAGAUGGCACAAUUUGGCAUAUCUCUCCUUUCCAUAAAAGAGCAUUAUCCUCAAGCUCCAAUUCACUUAGGAGCAUCAACUUUAGUUCUCUACCUCUCGUGGCUUCCAAUAGCUCAAUGUCUCGCACGAGCAGUAUAUCCUUGAAUACCAUGUGCCACGAUCAUCAUCAACUUGUUCUUGCAACGAAUCCACAUGAACUCCUGUUCGUAAAUCUAGGCCACACCCAUCGCUGAGGCUACUCGCGCAACCACUUUCAUCAAAUCCAUAGGUGAACCACAGGUCACCAAUCCUACGUAGACCUAUCGCUUAAACCAGUCUCAACUACGCGUAGCGUCUCUCGUUCACCAGCGUAGACCCAAACAUAACCGGGAGAAAUUCUCACUUGGGAAUUCACACACACCUGAACCAGAAGUAACUAUGACUCCAAACCACGUCAAAUCCUUGGGUUGGGUCACUACAUACUCUGUGUAUCCUCGAUCUCACAAUACAACACGUGGCAUUCCACGCUCCCGGGUCUAAGCUCGGACUACCGUCCUGACCAAAACUCUGCCCUACAUUGGGCCGCUGUCUCUCACAGCUCACUGUGCCUGCCCAAUGGGCCCAGGCUCCACAGUCCACAAAUGGUCCAGGCACGGGUCGUCCCCAAGCACUACCCGCCGUCGUCAUCCUUUAGGACAUAUUCUAUCGAGUUACAUAUACCACUAUCGGCUCCUAAGCACCUAGUGCGAGCCACCAGCCUUACGAGUGAUCCAUGGUCUGCUUCACACUUAGCAAUGCUACAGUGCUACUGCCAUCUCACUCUUCUGGCUGAUCCACUCCGCACUCCACGAGCACUUACACUCGCAUGUCGUACGCCUCUCUAGCGCCCUAUUCCAAAAUCUAGCCUUAGGCACUUUUGCCUAGGCACGCGAUCACACGAGCAUGACUCAGUCACCUCAGUUCGAGGCCAUAACUCGAUAACCGACCAACCACUCUCUCAACAGUGAUUGUACUUUCACCAUCAACCCACCGGAACGACAUCCGAAACGCUCGAAUUGCUCGGGCAUCCACAAGUAUCACGGCUCAACUCUCGCAACCAACUACCCGUUGUCUUGAGAGUCGCUUCCCCGUUUCGUCUUUACCACGAGUCUCAAUUCCUACCUAGAAUCCACUAUUAGCACUUUGCUAGUACCGUCUAGCCCUCCACCUGCUCCAGCCGGUGCUACACUUUCACGCACAAGCAUGCUCGGGCGUCUACACUUACCCGUCACUUUGGUCCUUACUACAUCGAUGCAUCGACGAUAGCAAGCGACCACACGACUAAUGCAUGCAAGGUCCUUUGACCAAGGUCGCGUACUCACGGACACUCGUUGCCCGCCGCGAACCCUCCGUUGUCACUUCCUCACCACUCACUCUCUAGCACAUUCCGUGGAUGUCACACCCACAAACUGUCUCGGAGAAGAAGAGGCUAUCGCCUACAACACGACCCUGCAAUCGAUCGUACGCACGCCUACCUCGCCACGCUGGGCACACUAUCGUGCCAGGUGAGAACUUACAACCCCGCAUCUUAAAGAUGUUAACAGAAGACACUUCUGAGGUUCGGGAUUGCAUUCGUACUCCAGAACGUGUACUGCCCAAACUGGGCAAUUUCGAGCUACGGGGACCGGUCCUUGCCCGAGAGACCGGUCCUCGAGAGACCGGUUCCUUUCCGAGAGACCGGUUCUCGAGAGUUGCAUUUUCGGGACUUAACCAAUUCUCGCUUCUUGCCAACUUCGCGCACGGGGAGACCGAUCCCUCAGAUCCAGGGACCGGUUGCAUCAAGCAACCCCGCAACCAUUAACCUCGGGGACCGGUCCCCGAGAGCAAACCUCACCAAGUGCAAUUUUGCACUACUUGCUCUCGCGGACCCAACUCCAAAGCACUCUUUGCACUUUGGACAUCUUUAGCCUCUCCGAAGGAUACCCUCUCGUACUCUCGCAUCGUCCGGCUCCCUUACCUUAACUUUCAAAAAUCCUCAAUUUUUCGCUUGUCACUCUCGGAAAAAUACUCCAUCAAUAGCAUCUCCCAAAACGCCUCCCAAGUGACGGAAGCGAGAUCCAACGAGUGACUUUUCUUCGCAUGUGUCCACCAUAGCCGCGCCGACCCCUCGAAGUAAUGGGCCGCAAGGUGAACCUUAUCCUUCUCGAGGGUGUAGAUGUCCUCGAACAACGCUUCCAUCGUGGCCAACCACGACUCCACCAACCACGAAUCCUUCACAUCACCGUUGAAGGUCGGAGGGUUGAAUCGCUUGAAGGCCGUCAACACCACCAACGAUCGCUUCUGCUCGGCCUCAAGUACAUCGGGAAUAGGAGCCGAUGAACCCGAUGUCGUUGGAGGAAUAGUCGUCACCGGUGCCGCUGCCACCGCAGGAGGUGGUGCUACUGGUGCAAUAGGUGAGGGCGAAUCCUGAGGUACAGGUGCAGCCGCCGCUGCCUGCUGAGCCACCAACUCAUGAAGCCGUCCAAUCUGCUCCCCCUGUUGCCGCAUAGCCCCGGCCAAAGCCGCUACUUAGGCUUGCAGCUCGCGUAUUUCAUCCGACCGCGUCUGCACGGGCACCUCAGGGGGCGGUGCCGGUGCAGAUUGCGUACUAGGGCGUCCUCUUGGUGCCAUUACGUCCUGAAACGUAGCACACAUAUUAGUACUCGACACACGGGACACAUACACGUUCCACAUAACUACCCAAUUAAGCAAAAGCAAUCAAGCAUAAUUAUUUUCAACCUCCGGUGUUAUGUGGUCGGCCGCCCCACACAAUUCCCUUAAGUAGAAAAUAAAUUAACACUUGAAUUCAUCUCUAAUUCCUUCUAGAGAAGUACCAAAAUCAACCCAAUUAAUUAGCUUCUGCAAUAAUCCAAGUCCACGUUAAACGUUUCCUAAGUCCCUAAGGUCUCCAAUCCUAAAGUCUCUAAGUCCAUCCUAGACUUUUGCUUUCACCACGCUCUGAUACCAUUAUAUCUGUCACGCCCCGCUCCCCGCCAAUUUGGUCGGGUUCGGGCCACGUCAACAAACGCCAAACGGACAGGGCCUUCCCCGCCCGCCCAAGGCUCUAACAACAAGUAUAAUUAAGCAAUCAAAUAAGGAGAUUUGCAAUUAUACAAGGCUUGCACGAAGGCAAGCAAUAACGAUAGUGAAAGCUCUAAGCUAAAAUAUACAACCAUACAUAAUAUUUGAUUACAUUUAAACCUAAUACUAGUAAACUAAACUAUUACAUCCAUUUGCUUUCAUUCAUAAUAUCUUUUUACAUCAUAAUCAUUCUCCAAAAAUAUAUGAAUUUUUUUCAACUUUACAUCAUAAAUCAACAAAAGAAAGUUGAUACAUGUACACAAAAAGGGAAUGACUAAAUGCAUAAACUCCGGUGGCCACUACCUAUGGCGCAAUACCCUUGCCGCGAUCCUCUGCUGCCCCGCUUGCGCUCGGAUCUGUAGGAUUAGUUGUGUGAGAACUACAACGAAGUUCCCAGUGGGUUCGACAACCGACCUCGCUGACUUACCCACCAGGUCUAUUUAGGCAUAAGUAUUUCAAGGAAAAGAAAAGUAGCAUUACCAAUGCUAAUACUAUACCUGCAAAAAAGCUGUCAGAAGAUAUAUAUAAUCAAAUAAAGAAUGAUUAUGUAUGCAUGCUUUUUUCAUAAGUAUACUUUGGCUUUUACCCAAUCUUACCGGUUAACCUUAUUAACCCAAACAACUCACAACCCAAAAUUCCUUAAUAACGGGGGACUCGAACCUCCCUGGGGACCGUCUUCGAGGACCUCGUUCCCCGUGGUGACUAUUCCGGAACGCACCGCUUGAGAGGGAGCUACCAUCCUCAAGCCAAGACUUAUCGUGAGUAUCGAUCCAAUUCCCACUUAGGAAAUGUAUAGCCACUAGCCACAAUGCCACUAUCAUAAUAGGUUUCUACCUAUUUGUUCAUGUCACUUUCUAAGUCACUCUUGCCAUAAGGCCACUAAUAGUUAAACCUUGUUUAACGAUUCAUGUCUCGAUGCCAAUCAUGUCUCUAAUGUCAAUGUCACCUUUAUUUACUAUUAUCUUGGUCCAAGUCUCACAUUCAUACAAUCUUUAGGGUUCUACCAUACAUGUCCAUUAUGGUUUUUGUUCAAUCACUAUGUUCAUCUACGUUAGAAACAUAAUAUUGAAAUUCUAACCGCUAACCACAUGUCAAACACCCUAUCAUGCAUAAAUGGUUCUGUACAUAAAUAUGCUCAACAAAAGUGAAAUAGACAUAAAGGGGAAUCUGAUUAUUCCGGUGUGCACCCCCUAUCUUGAAUAUUGUAGUAGGGUUGUAGUUCAACUCUCGCGAUUUUAGGACGCCUAUCCCGUGACCUAAACCGAAAAAUAAAGCCAAAUUAGGCUUAAUACAUAGAACUCUUACUUAGUCUUUUCGUAACGUCAAACGGAGUUAUCCCACGCAUCGAAAAUACCCUUAAUUAGAUUUCCAAGAGGUCAAUUUACCUAAAAAACAACCGGAGUCAAAAGCCCCAAAAUCCAUGCCCUAAAUAAUGACAUAACGGGAUUUCUCCUAGAUUGACCUCAUCUCUAAGCAAAAGCUAGCUUAGAAUCAAUUAGGAAGCAUUCUAAUACCAUCACUAAGCCAUUCGUGUCAUUCCUAGGGCAUCUAGCAUGACCCCUAGUUAACCACCAUGAGAGGACCUUGAGUUUCCAUGGUUUUCAUGGUGCUCAAGCCUCAAAAGGGUUUCUAAAGCUAGAAACAAACUCAAAACUCCCAAAACCUAGGGUGAAAUCCAAACCCUAGAUAGGCUUUACACUAAAACUUACCUUAGCCCAAGCUCCUCCCAAGAUCCUUCUUGUAGGAGAGCUUCUUGACCUUCUAGACCACCAAAAUCUCCUUCAAUGUCUUCUUCUCCUCCAAUUCCUUGCCAUAGAGCAAGAUCUCAAGAGAGAGAAAGAGAGGAAUGAGAGAGGGAGAGGGUUGGGGUAUUAACAUGUUGUAAUAUUUGCAACUAAACCCCCCAAAAACUCUUAUUUGCAACAGACUUCAAAGUUGCUGCCAGACCAAAGUGUACCGGUACACGGGCUGCUGUCACCGGUAACACCAUUACGCAGAGGCAAACCCGAGAGCAAGGUUUUCGAUUUUUACCAAAGUGUACCGGUACACACCAGGGGUGUACCGGUACAUUUCUGCAAGAAAUCAAACCCGAGAGCAGCUUUCUCUCGGCCUGCUGGUCUAUAUCGGUUACAACUCGAUGGUUGUACCGGUACACAUGUACCAGAUUGCAGUUUUAGCUCCGAUUCGAUUCUACAUCGCGCCGGUCGAUGCUAAAAUCUUUCUAAUAUCUCUUAAACUCAUUUUUAACCCUUCCAACAUUGUUGGAAUGCUAAAUGCAACUUGUCCAACUAUUUCUCUCGACAACUUUAACCAAUUUGGGUAAAGUUCGAUAAUUUCUUCCGGAUUUCAAUAUGUUACAAUUUGCUACUCUAGCAGGCAGCUACGACGGUGGCUCAGGAUCCUACACCGCCAACGCCGGCAGGAGAUACGACUGUGAGAGCACAGUCACCAGCGCCGGGCACUUCACGUGCAACCCCGAGCACCGAGCCCAGGGAGGAGGCGGUCGUGACACCGCCGAUUCAGAUGCCCCCAACAGGGACAAUUUUUCCUAUGAUGGUAUUAGGAGAGGAGCAGGAUCGACUGAUGGAUCGCCCAAUGAAUUCAAGAAGUGCAAUCCCAUGAUCUUUGACGGGAAAAAGGCAGAUCACUGGAUUGUAGAGAAGUGGCUCAUACAUAUAGAGAAGCUAUUUUAUGACACCUUUGUUGAGGAGCAGGACAAGGUUUGGCUCACCACACACCAUUUGGACGGCGAGGCCUAUCGUUAGUGGACGAAUAUUCGUAAUGACCCCAAUACUGAUCUGGAGGCCAUUAUGUGGAAAUGGUUCAAGGAGUUACUGCUGUCGACAUAUUUUCCCCAGAGUGUUAGGCGACAGAUGGAGAGGGAUCUACGCAGCUUGCGCCAGGGUAACAGGACUGUAGUAGAGUAUGAGCGGGAGUUUUCUUGACUUCUUCAUUGUGUGCCGUUCGUGGUCAUAGAUGAUGAGGAUAAGGCCCGUAUUUUCGAGGUGGGCCUUCGAUCGUCGAUAUUCCGUUUUGUUCAGUCGUCGAAUCUGCUUACAUACCGAAAAAUUGUGAAUCGCGUGCUAAUUGUGGAGAAAGGCGCGGAGAUUACAAAGGAAGAAAGAGAAGCCUUUGAUCGACGAAAAGGCAAGAGGCAAGCAGCUGAGGGUAGCAGCAAGUCAAACUCUAGGAGGUCGCCGAAGCAUCCAAGGAGCUAGUCUCGAGGGAGUAGCUCUACUGCGGCAUGAGGAGCACCGGAUCGUCGUCGGGCACCGCGUUGUGUGAUCUGUGGUGGUCCUCACUUUCCACCACACUGCCCACAGCGUGGGGGCAAGUGCUUUUUGUGCGGCCAGGAUGAGUGCCCGAGGGGUUCAUUUCCGGCAUCGUCAUCUGUGUCAGCACCCGCUUCAUUAGCUCCGAGUUAGGGGACUCCAUCCGCACAUUACCAGACGGGACGUCCACCUGUUUAGUGACAGACUGUGAGAGCAUUAUUUGAUACCGGUGUAUCGCAUUCAUUUAUUGAUCGGCUAUUUGCCGAGUUGCAUAGCAUUAAGCUUGUACCUACCUUGCAUCCGGCAAGAGUUAUUCUACCCGACCAUAUCUUGGACAUUCGAGACUUCUACCCUAGUUGCACUGUUCGAGUAGGGGAUUGGAUUAUGCCUGUUGAUUUAUUGGCGCUCCAUAAGCUUGGAGAGUUUGAGGUGGUGUUGGGCAUGGAUUGGCUCAUAAGGUAUUAUGCCACUAUCGAUUGUAAGAAUCGAACGGUAACCUUUCGGGAAUCGGGAUAGGAUAAAGUAGUGUACAGAGGGUGCAAGAGUUUGCUAUUUGCGAUGACCAUUUCCUCUUCGCGAGCUAAGUAGUUGAUCAAGAGGGGUUGUGUAGCCUUUUUGGCUAGUAUUAUUGUGAGGGAUGGAGAUAUCCUUAAGAUUGAUGAUAUCCUGGUGGUACGAGAGUUUAUUGAUGUGUUUCCAGCAGAGUUGUCGGGUAUGCUACCUGAUAGGGAGAUUAAGUUUGUGGUAGAUCUUGUUCCUGAGAUUACCCAAAUCUCAAAAGCACCCUAUAGGAUGACGCCAGCUGAAUUGAAGGAGCUGAGGGCACAGUUGUAGGAUCUUUUGGAUAAAGGUUUCAUCAGACCGAGCGUAUCACCUUGGGGAGCGCCGGUUUUGUUCGUUAAGAAAAAUGAUGGAUCUCUUCGGUUAUGUGUAGACUACCAAGAGAUUAAUAAAGUCAUAAUUAAGAAUAAGUAUCUAUUGCCAAGGAUUGAUGACUUGUUCGACCAACUACAAGGAUCAAAGGUGUAUUCCAUCGAUUUGCAGUCAGGUUAUCAUCAGCUCAAUGAACAAACCUGAGGACGUGUCAAAGAUUGCUUUUCAAACAUGGUAUGGAGAUUACGAGUUCACUGUUAUGCCAUUCGGGCUCACUAAUGCCCCGACAACCUUUAUGGAUCUAAUGAACCGUAUCUUUAAGCCUUAGACAGGUUUGUUGUGGUGUUCAUCGACGACAUUUUGGUCUAUUCUCGAAGCUACGAGGAGCAUGAAGAUCAUUUGAGAUUGGUGCUAUAAGUGCUCCGAGAGAAGAAGCUCUUCUCUAAGUUGAAGAAGUGUCAGUUUUGGCUCUGUAAAGUCACAUUCUUAGGACGUGAUUUCGGGAGCAAGUAUAGCCGUGGAUCCUAAGAAGAUUGAAGCAAUCAAGGAAUGGCCUAGACCGACUAAUGUUACCGAGAUUCAGAGUUUUCUCGAUCUAGCUGGAUAUUAUCGGAGAUUUGUUGAGUCAAGAGAUUUCGCUAAGCUGUCUACUCCCCUUACGCGGCUCACGCAUAAAGGCACCAAGUUUGUGUGGAAUGACUUGUGCGAAAGAAGCUUCCAAGAGUUGAAGGAAUGGUUGACAACUGCCCCGAUCUUGGCCUUGCCGGUUGCUGGAGUAGGGUAUGUGAUCUAUAGUGAUGCUUCACUUAAGGAUUGGGAUGUGUUUUGAUACAGGAUGGAAAGGUGAGUGCUUAUGCUUCCCACCAAUUGAAGGAUUAUGAUAAAAACUAUCCUACACAUGAUUUGGAAUUGGCGGCCGUAAUUUUUGCAUUAAAGCUAUGGUAUCAUUACCUUUAUGGUGAGCGAUGUGAAGUGUAUACUGAUCAUAAGAGUUUGAAAUACCUUUUCAUGCAGAAGGAACUGAAUUUGAGGCAGCGCAGAUAGUUGGAGCUACUCAAGGAUUAUGAUCUGACUAUCCUCUACCAUCCAGGAAAAGCUAACGUGGUGGCGGACGCUUUAAGUCAUAAAUCGAUGGAAAACUUGGCAAUGCUUGUAGCUUUGCAGCCACCGUUAAUAGAAGAGAUGAAACGAUUAGAAUUGGAAGUAGCGGCUUCCGACACGCCUUUGCGGUUAAUGUCCUUGGUUGUACAACCUAUCUUGAUGGAGAGGAUAAAGUAAAAGCAAGUUCUUGAUGUAGAAUUGCAAAAGAUUCGAUCUAGAAUCGUUGAUGGACACGCCGGCGACUUUCAUGUGGAUGAUCAAGGUUUGCUGCGAUUCCGCACUCGAAUUUUGUGUAUCGGCGGAGUCAGGGAUUAAAGAAAAAAUCUUGUUGGAAGCUCACUGAGCACCUUAUGCAGUGCAUCCGGGCGGUACAAAGAUGUAUAAGUAUUUGAAGUUGCAUUAUUGAUGGCCCGGAAUGAAGAAGGAUGUUGGAGAGUUUGUAGCUCGAUAUUUAACUUGUCAACAGGUAAAAGCUGAGCAUCGACUACCCGCGGGGAAGCUUCAGAGUUUAUCUAUACCCGUAUGAAAAUGGGAAAAGAUCACUAUAGAUUUUGUUGUGGCUUUGCCUCGCUCAUGACGCCAUUUGGGUGAUUGUGGAUAGGUUAAUGAAAUCUGCCCAUUUCAUUUCUAUUCACACUUUUGGACGGGAGAGUGACUCGUACCAGUGUACCUUGAUGAAAUUGUGCGACUUCAUGGAGUGCCUAUAUCUAUAGUAUCGAGUCGAGAUCUCCGGUUUGUAUCCCAUUUUUGGAGGAGUCUUCAUGAGGCACUAGGCACUCGACUGGAUUUCGGUAUGGCUUUCCACCCUUAGAGUGAUGGGCAAUCUAAACAUACUAUCCAGAUCCUUGAGGAUAUGUUUCGGGCUUGUGUUAUGGACUUCCAAGGCGGAUGGCCUCAACAUCUACCUAUGACGGAGUUUACUUAUAACAACAGUUAUCAAGCAAGCAUUAAGAUGGCACUGUUUGAAGCCCUGUAUGGAAGAAAGUGUAGAUCACCUUUUCACUGGAGUGAAGUAGGUGAGAAGCUGAUUUUGGGUCCAGAAGUAGUCCAGGAAGCUGAAAGUAAGGUUCGCCUUGCUCGAGAGCGGUUGAUUGCAGCUCAAAGUAGACAGAAGAGCUAUGCGGAUAAGCGUCAGCCACAAUUGGAAUUCCAAGUAGGAGAUCACGUCUUUUUGAAGGUCUCACCACCGAAAGGAAUUAAGAGAUUCGACAUUCGAGGAAAGUUCAGUCCUUGGUUUAUUGGACCUUAUGAGAUUUUGGAGCGUGUAGGCUCGGUAGCUUAUUGGCUUGCUUUACCGCUGAAUCUUUCGGGAGUACACAAUGUAUUUCAUGUUUUCGCGCUCCGGAAGUAUGUUUUCGAUCCAGCUCAUGUUUUGGGUUCUACGUUGUUGAAGCUAUGGGAAGACUUGAGCUUUGAGGAGCAACUCGUGAGGAUUUUGGCUCCAGAGGUGAAGGCUUCAGAAUCGUGAAAUUCCUUAUGUGAAGGUACUUUGGAGCAACCACGACGAGCACGAAGUUACCUGGGAGAUAGAAAGUGCACUUCAGGAGUGUUAUCCCCAUCUGUGAGGACUGAAAUUUUGACUGUAUAACUAAACUCUGUGUUGAUGAUGUUUUUAUGUGUAAUUUAAUUACAUAAGCACUCUUCAAGUUUCAGGAGAAAACGAGUUAGGAUGGAGAAGUUACGCGACCUGUACUAAUCACUUAAAGUGAAUAGUAACUCCAGUUUUUCGGAGAGUCCAAUCAGUGGAGAUGGCUUCUGGUGCGUAUUGGACUCCGUUCAUAGUGAUCCAAUAGCUUAUUUUCAAUGGUGCAACUAUCUUGGACCCAAUGGCACUGACGGAUUUAGGUUUUGGUGCAUGAUUUUCGAGAAAAAAAAGGUUUUAUUGGAUUAUAUAUAUAUAUGUGUGUGUGGUUUUUGGAAACAGGAGAGUGGAUGGGUUUCGUCGCAAAUCAGCGACCAUAUCGAGUGAAACAAAAUCGUGAGUUCGAUGCCCCAGUCACGCUGAACACGUUGGCGCAGUUAGUUCGCAAAUCCGACAGACGGAUCUCUCGGAAGUUCAAAUUGUUCGCAAAGGGGUCGAUUUUUGGCAAAACGGAAAUUCCGCAAAACACGCUAUAUUUUAUGUGUCGUUUUACGUGAAACCGAAUGACGAGGUGCAUACGCGCAAAAUACACGCUUGGUGAAGGACUCGGCUGAAAAUAUCAAACUUUGGAGGGCUUUCAUGCAAAGUUACAUGUUGGGUACAUGUAGGCAUUAGGGUUUCCAUGCAUGAAACCCUAAUCCUAGCCAUGUCUCCUCCCUUAGCUGAGCCUAGCCGCCUUCCUCAUUAUCCCCUUGCCCUCGCUGCACGCACCCCGGCCACCUGCGCAUGCCGUCGGCCACCGGAGUGGCCGCUCCUCCCUCUCUUCCAUUAUCUUCUCCACCAUCUCUGCCCCGUGGGACCAUACAAGUUGACCCUCACCCUCGGGCACCCUCGCUGGCAGCGGGCCCGACCUCCGGCGACUCCCCUCAUCGGUCGCCGCCGUCCUCGCGCGCUGCGCCGCUGCCCCAGGCAACCUGCAGCUACCCUAGAGUGCUCGGGUCGAGAUCGGGCCUAACCCUUUCCCUAUGCGUUGCCGCCAACCGAGAUCACCGCCGGCGCCUUCCUCCGACCCCGGUGACCCCUCUAGUGAAGUCUCGAUGCCGGCCGUGCCUUGCGAAGCCGCCGAGGCCAGGAGGAUGCUCCCAGACCUUGUGCAGCCGUGGGGGUCCACCCGGCCGCCGCCGCCCCACAAAACCUCCUCUGGCCUUGGCCGGCGAUCCCAGAGGGACCACCGGCGUCGUUCCCGGCGAUCCCCGAGCCACCGGAGAGUUACCAUGCUCAGUCAUAGCCGCGGCAUUGGUUUGAGUCCCAUCAUCGCAGCCGCGCUACCGCCACCGCACCCCGCCGGCCUAGGGUCCCAGCCGGUUACUCUGAGGGUAGGGACCCAUCUCUGGCUGGGGCUCACUCCGCCGCACCGCCUUUGCCAAGAACUCGAUGCCCUAGCUCUUCUACUGCUGCUAGAGCAGUUUUUUUGAACCGAUCUUGGCCUAGCUCCCUUUUCCAGCCGCCUGAGACUUUCGCGAUCAUCCGGAAGGUGAGCACUGCACUCCGGGCACCUUGUGGAUACCCAUGCUCACCUUUUCUGCAAUCAGAGAAGUUCCGGUAUGCGUGCGAGGAUUGGACGUUCCUGGGACUCCUUUGUCGGAGGAUUUUCUUACUGUUUUGAAGCCGUCCAGCCAUCAACUUCGCUCCGGACAGUGAGCACAGGCUUCGUCACACUGAAGCAAGUCAAAUUGACUGGUCAGAUGAAUCUGUUGGGCUGCGUAUCGAGGUAACGACCCUAAUCUCCUCAAUAUGCAUAUAUAUAUAUUGGAAUUGUAUGGUUUAUUAGAGGUGUUUAUGCAAUUGUCUCACUAUGGACUACUGUGGGCUGUUAGUAUAUGUUGUGGGUGACCUCUCGACUGAUCGUCUAAGGUCUGGAACCUUCUGCUAGGAUCGAAUCUCUAUUUUAGUGUGUUUUUCGGCGAAAUUCGCCGGCGGAACGCGGUUUUGGUUCGGAUUUCAUCAGACGGUGUUUGUUUGCCCUGCGGUUUGUCGCUGAGCCUUGUCGGCUGGUCAUCAUCGUCAUAUUGUGAGUUCGGAGAUGAUGGGUGAGCGAUAGUGGGUUCCAGUGUCAAAAUUGACACUUUCGGGAACCCGAAUCGGAACGGUUAUGUCACGCCCCGGGGUCCCUUUUUGGCUUAAAAGUCAUGGCGGAAGUGCCCAAAUUUUUUUUUAAAAAUCUGACACCAGGGUAUGCCAGAUCCGCCACAAAUACAGGGAGUCCACUGUUCACACGGACAGAGUCUCCCUUAUAUUUGCACGGCGUCGCACAAGUACAACAAUCACAACAUAGGAUAGAAUCACCACAUAUGCACAUACACAUAUCCACACACCAUUCACAUCCAGAGUUAUUCAUAAAUCCACAACUAUUAGUUUAAAAUGUUUCCUACCCGGAAACUCGUUUUAAAAUACUAAGUCAUGAAACCAAGAAAACCUUUUAAAAACCGUUUUCCACACGGAAACCUUUUUCUUUUAAAACUCGCUACCACGAGGGGUAGAAAACCAUUUUCAUUUCACAAGAAUCCACAAACUCUUUAUUAUAUUCACGAAAACUCAAAUAUUCAAUUCACAAAUAUUGAACCAUAAGUGCAGUCUAAGUUGUUUAUUCAAAGAAGUUGAGUUUAGAGUUAAACCAAAAGGUGAGACGAUGGCUCUAUCGAUCGCUAAGUACGCUCCUCACGAACCGUCCCACUAGGACCCGCGACAUCAUCUGUAAUGGGGGUGGGGGGUGAGAACAUGUAAACAUGUCUCCCCUCUCAGUGGGUACCGCAAGCCGACGAGGGCGAGAGGCACUCACUAGUCAAGGAGAAUAAACAAGAGUAUGGGUAAGAGAAAUACAGUAGCAACAAUAAUAAAUAAACGAUAUAUAUAUAUAUAUAUAUAUAUAUAUAUAUAUAUAUAUAUAUAUAUAUAUAUAUAUAUAUAUAUGAAUAAACAACUACCGAUACUGUAUGCAUCUAUCAACCGGAUGACAAGUCCAAAAUACCCAAUUUGAAACUGCCAUAUUGGUCCCCACCGCAGACCUCAAGCUGUGCCGCUGUCACUCUACCUACAUAUAACCCAAAAUAGCCUAUGGGCUUACGGGUUGGCGCCUCCAAUCACUUUUCCGGAAAAGAACACCCUCUUGCGGUGUAUCAGACCGCUGGUGUUCGUGAAAUGCGUACGAGUAUCGGACGAUCAAUGCUGAUAUGCUCAAUAGUCAACCGUCAGCAACUAACCGACAAUCCUACCCCUCAGGGUAUAUCGACCCUAUAGGUCGUCAAAUAGUCCAACCGACUAAAUAGGUCAUGAUAAAGCCGACCGAAUGGGUCAUAGAUACGAGAUACACGAACCGACUGGACCAGGUCGUAGUAUGAGAUGCGAGAACCGACUAACCAAGUCACAGAUAUCACAUGUAGAUAAAUCUACUCUACUCCUGCUCAUGAUACUAGACAUGAAAAACAACUGAGUAGAGUAUAACGGGAACAAUAUGGGUGCAAGGCUCAACACUAUAUAUAUAUAUAUAUAUAUAUAUAUAUAUAUAUAUAGUCGAGAGAACAAGGGUAAGAAGAUGUCACCGAACGUGCACCACUGUACUGACUUCGGAUCGAAAUACCCACCUGUACGUAUACGGUACCGAUCUUCCAACUGCGGAUGAAGUAACAACCGGACCUACAAAAGGUCCACUGGGCUAGAAUCCAACCCACGAACGCAAAACACUAACUCACAAUCCCCACCAAUAAACCUACGGGAAUCGGUUUCCCCAAAACCAAUUGCCGAACUAGCCGGAAGUCCCAAAAAUAGCACCGGGACUCCGCCGGUACCCACGAAUUGUCCCGAAACUCACCAACUCGUGCUACGAGUCACCCGCUGUAACUAAACACCAUUACUCUUGGGACUUGGCAGCAAACGCACCGCCUUACAUCGAAACAAUUAUCGUCGGAUAAUCGUUCCGAUCCGGGUUUCCGGAAGUGUCAAAUUCGACACUGGAACCCACCGUCGCUCAUCCAUCGUUUCCAAACCCUCGAAAACGAUGCGGGUGACCAGCCAACAAGGCUCAGCGACAAAACAAUUUAUCACGAGGCACCGUCGGAAGAAUUCCGAACCAAAAUCGCGUUCCGUCAGUGGAUUUCGAUGAAAAACACAUCGGAAAUGCACUUCUAAUUUUCGAAAAGGCCUGGGGUCUUGGACAACCAGUUCAGAGGUUACCCACUACCCGCACACGCUACCAACAGUAACCACAAUUUAAACAAUUGCAUAAAAACCCUCCCGAUUGCAUAAAAUCACAUUAUUUUAUGUGAUUUUCACGGUUUUACGGCCCGACAGCGCAAACCGAGGAUUUUCUGACCUGGUCGAGACACCCGCUGUCAGGUCUCGAUGUGCCGGAGGCCGUGCUCACACUUCGGAGCAUGGCCGGCCACUGUGGCGAGCGCGCGAGCAACGCGAACUUCAGCGAAACAGCAUGCAUAACACUUGAAACGCGUCUAUCACGCAAACCUGGGUAUCGUUGACCCCAACGGAGGUGAGAAUGGUAUUCAGCACGAAGCAGGGAUUAUCGUGCUCACCUCCGGGAGCGUCGUGGUGCCCUUGGAUCGCCGGAAAGGCAACCGGAACCCCAAAAUAGUGCUCAGGAAAAACUAAAAGGCUUACUGGACCAGAGCGAGCACUGGCUGGCCGUCGGCGGCCGGGCGGCGGGCGCGCUUGCCGGGGAAGGCUGCGGCCGGUCGGAGAGGGUCGCGCAGGUGCUGGCCGGCGACGGGAGCCGGCCGGUGGCGCGGCGGCAAAGCACGAGCCCGCACAGCUCGGCUCGCCUUAGGGAGGCAGCGACAGCCAAGCGGUGGUCGGAGAAGCACCGGAGCGGCGGCGGCACGUCACCGAAGGCCGAGGGAGGGCGGUGCACCCGGCGGUAGGCGAUGGCAACGCAGAGAGGCCAAGUGGGCCUCGGCUCAGCCCGCACUGGAACUGGGUGGCUGUAGGGAGCACGAGCGGCGGUUAGCGGCGCUUUGGGACAACGGGACGGCGAGCGUCGAUGCGCGGGAUGUCGCCGGCGGUCCAGGAGGGCAGAGCAGCCCACCACGAAGCGGCAGCAACUAGCAGCCGCGAGCUGACCCGAGCUCGGCCCGAGUUGCUGCAGGUGGCCGCGGGCGGCCCAGGCAGCGCCGGUGGUGCGUGCGGGCAGCAGGGACGGCGUCGGGGAGAGGAUCUCGGCCGAGGGAAAGAAGGUUGAAGUGAGAGAGUGGUUCUUAGCGGUUGUUUGCUGAAGUGGUGGAUGCAAGGUGGAGGGAGAAGGCAAUGUGGGCCUUCUCCGGCGGUCGAAGCUGGUUGACGAUGGCCGGGGUAGGUGCGGUAGGGUGUUGAGAGAUGGUGGAGUCGGCUGGGGGCGCAGCUGAGGUAGGUGGAUCAGCUAGGGUUAGGGUUUCCUGUUAGGAACCCUAAAACUACUAUUUAUAUAGGGUGUAUAAUUGCAAAAAGGUCCCCCGGGGCUGACUAUUUUCAUUCCAGUCCUUCACCAAGCAUGUAUUUCAUGCGUACGCACCACGACAUUCAAAAUCAUGCAAAACGGUACAUAAAAUAUUAUGACUUUUGCGAAGUUUCUGAUUUGCCACUUUCGACCCCUUCCUGAUCAUCAUGCAAUAUCCGGCAAUCCGUUCGUUGGAUUUUCGAACGGAUUGCACCAGUGUAAUCAGCACGACAGAGACAUCAAAACUACGAUUUGUUUCGCCUGAUUUGAUCACAGAUUCACGACGAAACCCAUCCACUCUCCAAAUACCAAAAACCACACAUAUAUAUAUAUAUGUGUGUGUAAAUACAAUAAACCUCCUUUUUCUCGAAAAUCGAGCAUCAGAUCUGAAAUCCGUCAGCGCCAUUGGGUUCAGGAUUGUCGAACCAUUGAAAACGAGCUAUUGGAUCACUAUGAACGGAGUCCAAUACGCACCAAAAGCCAUCUCCAUUAAUUGGCCUCUCCGAAAAAUUGGAGUAACUAUUCACUUUAAGUGAUUGCAUAACUUCUUCAUCUUAACUCGUUUUCUCCUUAAACUUGACGAGUGUUUAUGUAAUUAAAUUACACACAAAAACAUCAUCAAUAAAGAGUUUAGCUACAUUGCAAAAUCUCAGUCCUUACAGGUUAUCCGACGAUAAUAGUUUUUGAUGUGAGCCUAUGUAUUUUGCUAUCAAGACACCUUUAUAAUGGUGUUGUGUGGCAGCUGGUGACUCAUGGCGCGAGUCGUUGAGUCCCGGGACACUUUGUGGGUCCGACGGAGUACCGGUGCGAUUUUUGGGACUUCCGGCGAGUAUGGUAAUCGGUUUUGGGAAAUCGAUUCUCGUGGGAUUAAUUGUGGGGUUAUGGGUUCAGUGUUUCAUAUUUGUGGAUUAGAUACUAACCCGAUGGACCCUCCGUAGGUCCGGUUGACGUCCUUCCACAAUCGGGAGACAGGCACUACAUUCGUACAGGUGGGUACUUCGAUCCGAAGUCGGUACAGUGGUGCACGCUCGGUGACGUUCUCUCUAUCCCUUUCCUUUUAUUACCUUACAUAUCAUGUUAUGAGCCUAGCACCCCUUGACUUCGUACUUAUUGCUCUACUUGGUUACUUUCUGUAUUUAUCGUCAUGAUUUAGAAGUAGAGUGGAUUAUCUGUUGUGACCUACUCGGUCGGUUCUAUGACUCCUGUCGUUUGAUGACCUACGGGGUUGGUAUACCCUGAGGGGUAGGAUUGUCGGCUAGUUGCCGACGGAUGAUUAUAGAUUACACUGCUCCAUGAUUUGACAUUUAUGUGACCUAGUCGGUCAGUUUUGUGACUCUUGUCGUCUGAUGACCUAUGAGGUCGGUGUACCCUGAGGGGUAGGAUUGUCAGCUAGUGGCUGACGGCUAGUUCUGAAUUAUACAGAUGCAUGAUGUGACAUUCUUGUGACCUAUUGUUUGGUUCUUGUGCAUAUAUGUUAGUUGACAUUGAGUGGUCGAUACUUGCAUACCUUCGGAAGGAUGUUAAGUUGUUCCAUCCUAGUUGACUUGAGUGGUCGGUACUUGUAUCCCUUACGGUUUGAUGACCUAUUGGUUGAUAUGCCCCGGAGGGGCUGUGACUGUCGGCUAGUUGUUGAUGGUUGGCUAUUGAGCAUAUCAGCAUCGAUCGCCACAUACUCGUUCGCAUUUCACGAACACAAGCGGUCUGAUCCACCGCGGUCAGGUGUUCUUUUUCGGAAAAGUGGUCGUACAUCUAACCCGUGAGCCCAGCGGCCUAGGCUGGGUUAUAUACAGGUAGAGUGGCAGUGGCACAGACUUGAGGUCUGCGGACCGUCAUGCCAGGUUUCUGAUUGGGUAUUUUUGGGACUGAUCGUCCGGUUGAUGCAUACUUACACUUUGUUCUGUAUUAUAGUAGCGGCUAGUUAUAUUCCUAUGUACUAUUGUUUAUCCAUACAUCAUUGCUACUGUAGUUAUAAUAUCCAUGUAUGCAUUCUCUUCUAUUUAACAGUAGCGGUAGUUACAUGUUCUAUUACUAUUCCCUUUCCUUCCAGCAUUAUAGCUACUGUAUUUGUGAUAUCUACCUAUGACUUUGAUGAUCUCUUUCUGCCGGUGAGUACUCCUCGCCUUCGUCGGCUUGCGGUACCCACUCGGAGGGGAGACAUGUGUACAUGUUCUCACCUCCUACCUCCCUUUCAGGUGACAUUGUUGGUCCGAGUUGGGACAGUGCGUGAGGCAUGUAUGUAGCGGUCGAUAGAGUUUUCGGCCCGGUGACAUUCAUUCUAGUUUUUAUCCUUGCUUAUUCAAAUUAAAUAAUUUAGACACUUUAUGGUUCAGUGGUUUCAUUAAAGGAAAUAUUCAUGGCUUUGUGAAGUUAAUUAAAGCACUUGUGGUUUUCUUAUGAGAUGAAAAUGAUUUUCUACUCCUUGUGGUAGCGUGUUUUAAAGAAAAGGUUUUCAUGUGGGAAACGGUUUUAAAAAAGAUUUCCUGAUUUUCUUAGUUUCUAGUAUUUCAAAAUGAGUUUCAAGGUAGGAAACAUGUUAAACUAAUAGAUGUAAAAUUAUGAAUAUCUCUGAUGAAAUGAAUGGUGAAUGUGAAUGGUGAAUGUAUGCGAAUGUUCAUACUGUUGUGGUUGUAUCUUGUACUUAUGCAACGCCGUGCAAAUACGGGGGAGACUCUGUCCGUGUGAACAGUGGAUUCCCUAUAUUUGUGGCGGAUUUGACACACUCUGGGGUUAAGAUUUUCAAAAAANAUGCUAGUUAAAAUUUAAAAAAAAAAAAAAAAAAAAAAUUUGGGCACUUCCGCAUUGGCUUUUAAUCCAAAGGGAACCCGGGGCGUGACACCAUCUUUUUCAGAUGGAUUCUUAAGGUACUUGAUUCUUAGUUUCGCGGAUGAAACUCCUUUUUAGGAGGGGAGAACGAAGUACACUGAACUUUAGCAAAUUGCAAGGUUCUAGUGUAAGAAUAGUAUUUUAAACUAUUCUAGAUGUUUUGAGGGUCGUUUGUAGUGUAUCGACCCAUUACUUGUGGUUUGUGAGCGCGAGAAAGGGUUCCUAUCACUAAAAUCUGCAAACUGCAGGUUUUUGGUGAAGAGUACCGGUACCUGAGUAGGGUACCGGAACCCUAUAGAGUGCCAAAUUGGAUAGCUCUUGGGUUUUGAGGAAUUGGGUGCUGAGUACCGGUACUGCAUCGGGCUGGUACCGGUACGCAGUAUUAAACCCGAUUGUUCAACGCUUGGGUUCUGCGCGACUGAGUACUGGGUACCGGUACUCCAAUUCGAGUACCGAUACUCAAUGCUGCAAACUGUGUUUUGUGCAGUUUUGAAUUUUUGAGUUGUUGAGGGUCCUUUUGGGGAUUGUUACAUUAGUAUAUAACCCCCAAUAUCCUCAUUCAUGGUUCCUUUGUGCUAGAACCAGAGAAAAGAAGAAGGUGAGCUCCCUCUCUUUCUCUCUCUAGAUUUCUUCCCCAAUUCUCUUGUGAAUUUGAGAAUUGAUCUUGUUUUCUUCCUCUUUUCCUUGGAGGCUUACUUCUUGAACCUUGGAGGAGGCUUGGCUGUGAAGAAAGGAGCUUUUUUGAGUAUCUAUCUCCAACCCUAGCUCAAGUUGGCUUGGUUUGGAGCUCUCUUGAAGGUUAGUAAUUUAAUUAUUUUUUGGAUUGUGUUUUUGGGAGGAAUUGUAGAAUUAAGCCUAGCUUUGGAAUACUAGGGUUUAAUUUGGGAAUUUUUCUUGGUUGAGCCUUUGGAGCCUAAUUGAUUGUUGCAAAACUCUCUUUUAGGUUGGAAUUGAAGCAUCUCAACCUCAAUUAAAGUUUUGGACAAGUUUUCCUCUAUUUAAUAUAUUUUCUACCUAUUUUUGGUAUGAUUUUUGGAGAAUUUCUUGGGAAGCUUGUUAGAAGCUUUUAACCAACUUAGAAUUUUUGUUAGGGUGUGUCACGCCUCGUGGCCGAUUUUAAAAGUCUUUUUAAAAUUCAUUACCAUUUUGAAAACAGAGUUGCAGAAAGUGUGCCCUUUUUUUUCCUCUUUUUUUCUUUUUUUUUUUCAACCUGGCCCACGUAACGUACAGACCCGCCACAAAUACAAAGUUCAUCUGUCCACUCGGACAGAGUCUCCUUUGUAUUUGAACGGCGUACCAACCAUACAACAGGAUCUCAACUAUAACCUACAUUUAUCAAUCAACAACUAAUUCGUGAUAUGCAUUUUCAUACAACUAUCAAUCCUUAGAGAUGAUGCAUGCCUCUAAGCACUCCUUAGGCGUUGGAUGAUGCAAUGCACAGUACAACAAUCAUCCUAUUUAAAAAUGCUUCUUACCCGGAAGCUUUGAUUUUAAACUCUAAUUUAUUCAUUCAUGAAAACCAUUCAAAAAUAUUUUGAAAGCUGUUUCCCACACGGAAACUCUAUUUUGAAAAUCGACUACCUCGAGGGGUAGAAAACCACGAUUCGAAAAUUGAUAAAUACAAUUCCGAGAACCACAAAGUACACAUACGUCCCAAAACUGAAGAUCCAUAAACCAAAUCCACAAAUCCAUAACUCCAGUUGCAUGCAAUAGAAAACCAAUUCAAUCAGCUCAUAAUAUUCAAACAUCAAGUAUGAUCGUCUAACUGAACCAUUUAUUAUUAAAACUACUAAGUGCAGAAAUGAAAGUAACCAGGGUGACGGUCGCUAUACCAAACUAGCUAGAUCGUCCUCUCAUCGCACCCAACACCAACCCACGCCCGAAACACCUCGGGAAAUGGGGGGUAAGAAACUGCAACCAUGGUUUCCAAGUGGGUACAACAGAGCCACGAAGGCAAGCCGUAAUCAUCAGAAACCAAAGGAGAUAGAUAAACAAGAUAUAUAUAUAUACUGUGAUGCGAAAAGGAAACUAUAGUAGCUAUAACAGGUAUAUAAGAAGCAAGAACUAAAACUGCUACUGUAUAGAAAUAAUGCAAGUAUGCCUCAAUGUAAUAAGCCAGAAACUGUACCCAAUCUGUGCCUGCUAUAUUGGUCCGCAGACCUCAAGCGCUGCCUGUCACUAACUGCAUCGACCUGAUCUGUCCGUCCCACAGGACGACCCAUCCAGAUAAGUAUAUCUCCGAUCGGUGGCCAAACUGAUCUGGUGUCAUGAAUACCCCCAAGUGCUAUGACUAAGUCAUGCUGGUAUGCUAAAAUAAAAACCGGCUGAAGCCGGUGCCUAGGCCGAAGCCAACAACAUGGGCAUACAACGCCGAACCAUAAUAGAUACUAGGGCGUACAACGCCGAACCACGAUCAACCAGAUCGAAACACAUGACAAGAGAGUUGAUGUGUUGUCUGGACCCAAGGUCCACAGAGAUGCAAUAUACAAAUAUAAGCCUGCUCUACAUGUCUAUCCACAACUAUCCAAAUGCAAUCAAAGAGAUACGAUAUACGAAUGAUAAGCAAACAGCUGACAUGUAGAGACUACGAUACUGAAUGAAAUAACAGAGGAAGGUGAAACGAUCUCACCGACUGUCACGCCCCGAGCUCCACCAAUUUGGUGGGAUUCGAGCACGUAACAGAUGCCGAACGGACAGCACCUCCCCUGUCUGCCCAAGGCUCCAACCACAUGUAUAUUACAAGCAAGUCAACAAGAAAAUUGCGAGAUAUACAAGGUUUGCACGAGGGCAAACAACAACAACCACAAGUGAAAGCAUCGAAACUAUCUAAGCAUUCAACAUACAAGUCAUUUGAUUACAUUUGUAUCAAACACAAGUAAACUAUUACAUUUACAUUCAUUUACACCACACUAGCCUUUAACCAAAAUGAAGUUUACAUCUUUACCAUUCUUGACAUUUACAUUUACUAGCUCAACAUACAACAGUUGAAUACACCAAAAUAUAGGGUAUGCCUAUGAACUCCGAGGCCGCUAUCUACGGCGCAAUACCCUUGCCUCGAUCCUCCGCCGCCUCGCUCGCGCACGGAUCUGCAAGGUUAGUGGUAAUGAGAACUAGAAGAAGUUUCCAGUGGGUUUGGCCGUCGACCGCGCCGAUUCGCCCACUAGGUCCAUUUCAGGCAUAUGUAUUUCAAUAAGAAUAGAUAUCAAACCAUCUAAUGCAAUUACUAAUACAAUGCCUGCAUAACAACUGUCAACAGAUAGAUAGAUAAUCAAAUACAUGAAUCUUAUGCAUGCAUGUCUAUUCCUCUUUUUACUCGGCUUUUACCCAAUCUUUCCAGGGUUCAUCAUGUUCACCCCAACUCACAUUUCACAUGUCCCAUCUAUCGGGAUUAGCAUUUGGAAACGCCCCUGAGGGAUCCAUCCCAUCUACCGGAGAAGGCACAUAGCACUGUCGCCCAAGGGAUCUUCGCCGGGCACUCUCACCCGUGGUGUCUACACUCCGGAGUACACCGCUUGAGGAGGAGCUACCUCCCUCAAGCCGGAACCAAUACAUGUGAGUAUGAUCCCAUCCUCAAUUUGAGAAGGUAUAGCGAAACCUGUCUCAUGCCACAAUAUCUCAAUGCCAAUGAUAGGAUCUACCAUAUCAUAUAUAUAUAUACCACCAAUCCUGAGUCACAAUGGUCCUGAUGCCCCAUUAAGCUAAACCUUGUUUAGUCAUUACAUUUUCGGUGCCAAUCUAGUCACCAAUGUCAAUGUCACCUUUGUUUACUAUUGUCGUAGUCCGUUCUCGCAUUCAAUACACAUAGGGUUCUUUUAUACAUAGUUCACAUGGUUCUUUAUCAUUUCACAUAUUCUUUAAGCAUCUAAAUGCAUUUCAACCAUGAACACAUAACAAGCUACCCUACAUGCAUGAAUGCUAUCAUCAAUAUGCUCAAAUGGAGUGACAUAGACAUAGAAAGAGAUCUGGUGUUUUCGGAUAGCACCCCCCACCUUUCUGUGAUGCUAGGAUGCCACGGUCUUGUUUUCACGAUUUUUAGAUGCUUCCGCCGCAAGCUGCGACAAUCUGUACCAAUUUAGCCUCCUUUUCCAAUAUCUUCGCGCACGCUCGUCGUAUUCCCGAACCGAGCGCACCGAUGCGUUCAUUGACCUACCAAUUAGGUUAAAAUGAGAUCAAUCCCAUGAUUGAACCUCAAAAUUACAAAACCCUAAAGUUAGGUCCUUAUACAAUAUCAUCUUCCCCAACUAGGUCCUAACAUGGAUAAUCAUGGGGAAAAACACCAUAGAAGCUCCUAGAAGCAUGCUAGAAGGAAUACAAACCCAAACCUAGCUUAAAUCAUGAGAACUCACCUUUGGAGUCCAAGCUUUCCUUGAUCUCUUGCACUCUUGCAAACAACACCCUCAACUUCGCCUUCUUCUACUUCCAAACUCCUCCAAAUCCCCUCCUUGUCCAAGCUUUAGAGAGAGAGGAAGAGAGAAGAAAAGGGUUUUUAGAGAGAGAGGGAGAUAUUUGUGUUGGAGUGAGAGCAAAUGAGCUCUCACUCAAGCCCUAGCCCACAUAACCGUUUACCUUGUCACAUUAGCACUUAAGCCCCUCUCAAUUGCAUUUUUACAAUCAGCCCUCACUGGGCAUUUUUCGCAUGCGGGGUCCGGACCCUGAAGGUAAGGUCCGGACCCCGAGAGCAUCACCUCAGCCAGACAGCCCACUCCGGGCAGAUUUCGUGUACGGGGUCCGGACCCUGCAGCUAGGGUUCGGACCUCGAGAGCAAAACCCCACCAGCCUGCCCGCGCAGGGCAUUUCACGCGUACGGGGUCCGGACCCUACAGCUAGGGUCCGGACCCCGAGAGCACAAAUUUUGGUACUUAGCCAGAUUUUCACAGGCUUGCUCUCAUGGGUCCAUAUACCCUACACAAUGGCCCUAAACUCUUAGAACCCAUUGUAACUUGUUCUAACUUGUCCAACUCCGCGUUCCGCUCGUUUCGACGGAACUCGGCACAUUUUUACGGGGAAGUGAUAUGUUACACCGACUACCAGCUCGAAGCACCCACCUAUCACUGUCGCGUCGGAACACUGGGUACGAACAAGUCGACCGGACCUAAGAAGAUCCACCAAGUCAGUAACCAACCCACUCACCCAAGGUACGAGACUCAUGAAUCCCCACACAAGGCCCCAAAAUCGAUUUCCCAAAACCAAUCACCGUACUCACCGGAAGUCCCGAAAACCACACCGGGACGCCGUCGGGACCCACUAAGUGUCCCGAAACUCACCAACUCGUGUUAUGAGUCACCCGCUACCACAAAACACUCCGAUUUGGAUAUCUUGCCAGCAAACACAAGGUAACACAACUACACAGUUAUCGCCGAAUAAUUGUACGAAUACGGGUUCCUGAAAGUGUCAAUUUCGACACCGGAAUCCACCGUCACUCACCCAUCAUCACCGAACCCACAAUAUGAUGAUGGUGACCAGCCAACAAGGCUCAGCGACAACUCACAGGACAACCAAACCACGUCAGAAGAAAUCCGACCCGAAUCUGUGUUCUUUCGGCAAAUUUCGCCGAAAAACGCACCGAAAUCGACUUUUAGAUUUCCGCAAAAGCUAUCGGAUCAUGGACAAUCAGUCCAAAGGUCACCACACACACAAACGCGCUGCCCACAGUAGCCACACGAUGCACAAUUGCAUAAAAGCCCCUAUAUUUACAUAGAAUCCCAACAUUUUAUGUAAAUCGGGUGAUUAAGUGGCUCGUUUAUGCAAACCGAGGACUUCCAAGGUCCGCCGAGACACGUACCGACAGGUCUCGACGUGCCGGAGGCCGUGCUCAUGAUCCGGAGCACAACGGCUCAUUAUGGGAGGCGCGGGAGCGACCCAAAAUUUCUACAAACAAUGCGCAGUUGGGGAAAAUCGCGCCGAACAGAAUUAACCGAAAUCCGUUGAUCCAACGUGAGGUGAGCACUGUGAUCAGCACUGACCAACGAUCACCGUGCUCACCUCCGGAGGCAUCGGGACAGCCUCAGAUCGCUAGAAAAACACGCGCAAACCUGAAACAGCAGCCAAAAAGGCUCUACAGGGUCGACACCGCCGAAAUAGCAGAACGGAACCUUCCCGACAAAGACCAAAGUGAGCACGAUGAUCAGAAAUUUGCCAUGAUCAUCGUGCUCCCUUCCGUAGAGAUCGGGGAGGCUCAGGAAGAUCGGAACAGCAAACAACACACAAAAACCCUAUUUCGGGCUUGGCCGGAGCAAGCUUGCUCCGGUCGGCUUCCGGCGGCAUGGUGAGGUGUGCAUGGGCCAUAAGUGGGUGCGGGGGAAGGAAGGAGCACAGUGCUCACCUCGGCUAGCGGCGGGGAGCGGCGGCGGCGUCGGCGGAACGAACCAAGCUCGCACGAGCUUGGGCUCCGGCUCCAGGAGGAGGCGGCGGGCGACGGCGGCGGCAGCCCGCGGCUUGAGCACAACCGCGCCGAGCCUGGCUCGGUUUGCAGACCGGGGCGGCGGCGCCCAAGGCGCGCGGCGGCGGCGGCGACCUCUCUGGUCGGGGGUGGGGUGCCGGAAGGUCUCGGGGUCGUCGCCGGUGUAGCACUAGGUGGCUGCGGCAAUGCGAAGUGGAGGCGGUAGCUCGGCUCGGCCUGGGCUCAUCCUAGCAAGCUGCAGGUUGCAAGGCGGCGGCGGCAGCAGCGCUAGGGGCGGUUCGGGGUGGCGACGACCGACCGCCAGAGGUCGGGAAGGUGCCAUGGGAGUGGCCCAAGGUGGCAGCGAUGCGAGGGGGAGGCCGCACGGUCCGCUCGGCCUAGGCUCGGCCAACCCGGUUGCAGGAUGUAGCAGCGGCAGCGGCGACCCGCAGAGGCGACGACGGUCGGAGGAGAGGGACACCGGGGCUUCGGGAUGACACCGGCGAAGGGCCUGGAGGCAAUGAAGCCUCGGCCUGGGCUCAAACCUGAGAAGAGAGAGAGAUAUAUGGAGAGAGAGAUGGAGAAAAAGAUGGAUGAUGGCUGCGGCGGCCAUUGGCUGGCCGGGGCUCGGUUGACGGCGGCCGGGGGUGCAUGGCUAGGGCAGCGGAGCGAGGUAAAGGUGGCUGGGGGGUGCGGCAAGGCUAGGGUUAGGGUUUUCAAUGAGCAAACCCUAGGAUACACAAAAUAUAUAAGCUCCAAAUCGCGCAUAAGUCCCCUAAAACUCGAUAUUUUAAUCCGAGUCCUUCACAGCGCGAGAAAAACGAGUGAAUACCCCUCCACCUGUGAUUUCACGCGAAACGGUACAUAAAAUGUAGCAACUUUUGCAAAAAUACCGUUUUGCCAACACCGACCUCUCCUCGAUCAACGUGCAAUUUUCGUAGAUCUGUCCGUCAGAUUUGCGAACGGAUCACACCAGUGCGAUUAGCACGACGGAGACAACAAAGCUACGAUUUUGGUUCGCCUCGAUCGGUCACGGAUUCGCGACGAAAUCCGCUUUCUCACCAAAAGGCCAAAAUGACACACAAUUACAUAUAGAAUAUGUAUUUUCAGAUUUUCUUGAAAUCCAUGCGUCAAACCCAAAAUCCGUCAGUGCCAUCGGUUCCAGAAUAACCAAACCAUUUGAAACGAGCUAUUGGACUGCUAUGAACGGAGUCCGAUACGAGCCAGCAGCCAACUUCACACCGUGGCUUCUCCGGAAAGCCGAGUUACUAUUCACUUUAAGUGAAACUUGGAAAUCACGUAGAAUCUCCGUUUUAACUCGUUUUCACCCGAAAUUUGAUGAGUGCUUUUGUAAUUAAAUUACACACAAAAACAUCAUCAAUUGAAAGUGUAGCUACACUGCAAAAAUCUCAGUCCUUACACGGUGCUAGGAGGCUAGAGGACAACUUCGUUCGAACAAACGAAGGAGUUCGAGGGGUAUCCGGUGGGGUUUGACCUCACUGAAAUGGGUGAACUCCUCCUAUGUCAUUCUCAAUGUUUUAAAAUUGGAAUUCAUGCAUUUUCAUGCUAGAUAUAGCAUAAAUGAAUUUUUGAAUGUAUAGGACAUACAUAUUACAUGUCAAGAUUAUACCCUCUAUAUAGUAGAGAGAGAUGUUUAUUGAACUCGUAUAUUAAAAUGACUUUCCUUUAUGGCAUAAUUGAAAGCAUGUUAGGAAUAAUGAAAUGAGAUGUUUAGCAUACUUGUUUAGACAAGUGAACAUGACUUUUGUAUGAUAUAGCUAGCAUGAGCUUAAUGUGGUUGUACUUGACUUAGUUAAAUAACUAAACCUCUACAUUGUGAUAUAACAUCCGACCUUGGGUCGUUAUUGGACAUACCAUACUUUAGACAUGACGAUCGAGAACUCUAUAUUGUGGAUUAUGCUUGCCUACCAUUGUGCUCAUUUGCACAAGCUUAUGGGGGUCGCUCCCUACAAGCUGACACUCCGGAGAUAGCCUAUGCGACAACAUGCUCGCUAGUGCGGGAUUGGGCGCCAAAGUGGAUUGCCGUGGACGAAGCUCAUACCUAGAAGGGGAAUGUUGACUACCACGGGGCCAUUGGGCAUGGCACAAGUCGGACUACACUUUGUGUAGGUACUCUUUAAAUUGGAUAAUGACAAUUAAAUGUAUGAUUUAGCCAUCUCUACUAGUUAUUAAACAUAGGUUGAGAGUGUGGCGCUUGCUGGCGCUGGUAGAGAGCCAAGUGGUACUAGCAAAAUGCUAGUAGUGAUUCUUGGACGAGAAAUUAGACUCGUGGUAGAGAUGAAAUGGUGAAGCGACUCUCAAAGCAAUGAGGAGAUAAUUGUGAGAGUUUAGCCAUGGAGUUUUAGGAUACACGAAUAAUCCGAGUGUUUCGGAUGUAGUUUCGGUAGAUCGAAUAGUGCAAGUAGAAUCACUGCUGAGAGGGAAUGGCCGGUUAGUUGUUGAGUACGGGCACGUGGGCCUGGUAGUACCUCGAAUUGAGAUAGGUGAGUCGUGCCGGUGUGGUUAGUGCGCUUAGGCAAAGUUGCCUAAUGCCGGGCUUGUGUAGAGCGCUCGAGUUCAGGUACUCGGAGAGUACGGAUUAGUUCAGCCGAGAGUGAGUUGGCAGUAGCACUUCAGCAUUGCUAGGUGUGAAGCAUGCCUGGGAUCACUCGUAGCGCUGGUGGCUCGCACUAGGUGCUUAGGAGUCGAUAGUGAUACGUGUGACUCGGUAGAGUGUGUCGUGUGAGACGACGGUUGCAGGUGUUGCUUGAGGACGAUCCGUGCCUGGACCACUUGUGGACUGUGGAGCUUGGGCCCUUUGGGCAGGCGCAGUCAGCUGUGUGUGGCAGCGGCUCGGUACCUACUGGUAGGGCAGAGUUUUGGUCAGGGCGGUUGUCCGAGUUGAGACCCGGGAGUGUGGAAUGCCACGUGUUAGAUCAUGUGAUCGAUGAUGCACUAAAAGUGCGGUUGUGACCCAACCCAAUGAUUCGUAGAGGUUUAGGUCAUGGUUGCUCCUGAUUGGAGUGUGUACGAAUUCUCCAAUGAGAAUUUCGCCCAGUGAUGAUUGGGUCUGCGCCGGUGGGCGAGUGACUCUAUGCGUAGUUGAGAUAGGUUUAGGCGAUAGGCCUACGUAGAAUUGGUGGCCCUUGGUCCACCCAUGAAAAUCGAUAAGCGGUACGGCCGAUAACUCUGUUGAUGAGUUUGGCUUAGAAUCACGAACGGAGUGUUCGUGUGAAUUCGUUGCGACAACGAAGCUGAGUUGGUCGUGGCUAAUGUUAUCAAAGGAUGAAGUGCUCUGGUGAGACAUCGAGCUAAUGGAUAGCCACGCGAAGUUGAGGAUAGUGCUCUCUCGAGAAUUGAAAUUUGAGAUGUGCUGAAGUGCGCCAUCUCAUAGUAGAGCGGGAUCUGAUUAAAGUUGGAACACUCGCGAUGAGUCGAUGCACCAAUGAUAUUGCUUCUAUGCAAUGCCGGUGAUCAAAUCGGAGUGUAUUCCCUCUAUUCGGUAGCGAGUAGUGUUGGAGUGUGUGGAGUCGCCGAGUGUCGACUUACACUACCAUCGAGACUCGCGGAGCCGUAAUGCACUUUUGGAGUUGUACUUAGCAAAUGUGAGUGAAUCUAGUCUCACAUCCUCUGUAGUGGACCUCUGGAUAGUUCCGAUAAGUGUGAGGCCACUCCGGAGUAGAAAAGUGUAUUGGAACCCUCGAUUACUCAGUAAAUUGAGUUCAGGUGUGAGUUGAGUUUGAAGUGAGUUAGUUUUGAGGACGAAACUCUUUUAAGGAGGGGAGAGUGUAGCAUACUGAACUUCUAAAGUUAUGAAGUUACAGUAUAUGCUAGUUUGGAAAGCCAUUAGAAUGAUUCCGGUGAAGUUCGGAGGCAUUCGGGUGUUUUCGGUACGCGUAGAGUGCGAAAACGAAACCCGAAAGGCUAUAUUGGACCGUGGACUAAAUCCGACAUAAGCGUGUAUGAAAAGAUGAGGUAAAUACGCUCAAAAACAUGUUUUGGGAGUCUCGGUGCGAUUUGAGACGAAUCGGAGACUCACGGAGCAAAAACGAGCGAAAACGGACCAAAAUUGGCGAAAAGGUUGAAAUUUUGGCUAAGUCUGAAAAUGCUGAUUUUUUGGGCCUACGGUGUCCGGACCCUGAGUGCAAGGUCCGGACCCUGAGCUCGGAAAAUGCACAGGUUGAGUGGCAUUCUUGUAAUAAAAUGGUGGGGGUUUGACUUAAGAAGGAGCUACACCCCUUCUUUUUCUUCCUCAGCUCAAAACGCACACACACGCACACAUGAGGUAGAGAGAGAAGCUCCUCUCUCUCUCUAGCUUUUCCACUUCACCUCUCUAGAUCUCUUGCCCAAAAUUGGAGGGUUGGGGAAGAAGAGGCUUGGGAACGCGUGGGAGGCGAUAGUUCGAGUCUUCGUGCGCCCGGUUGAGCGACGUAAUUCCGUCUCGGCGUUCAGAUUUCGGUAAGCUUUUUGGAUUUGGAUAAAUCCUUAAUGCUUGAUGUUUUAUGGAUCCCUAGAGUAUUCUAAGCAUGUUUCUCCAUGAAUUUCAUAUGGUAUUUGAUGGAAUGGGUGAUCUAGGGCUUAGAAUGGGGAUUUUGUAAAAGUUAAGGGUUUGAUCUAAAUUAACUCUAUAUAAACCAAAUUGCUAGGUAUACGAAUGCGUUGGCGAAGUCGGUUCGGCGAUUCGUCGAGCCUACACGAAGUUAUGGGAAAAAAAGACUAUUAGAGCUUCGUUUCCGCCUGGAGGGCUGAGGCGACGUCCAAAAAUCACAAGAACGGAUCCGGAGUAUCAUGGCAUCAAGUUAUAGACCUUUAAUUUUCGGAUUGCGGAUUGGUGGUCAUUCGGUGGUCGAGCGUGAGAUCGAGCCGAACCGGGCGGCGUGUACCGCAGGAGGCCGAUUGCAAGUGGCUACAAGCGCGGAACGCGAUAUUAGGUGGGUUGUGCUUACCGAAGCGACUAGGUCGCCUGCAUGUCAAAGUGGAAUAUGGAUUCCUGUUGACGCAUAUGUAUGUGCAUGUGGGCAUUGUAAAUGUGCUAGAUGGAAAUAUAGGCAUGUUAGCAUUAUGUAAAUACAUGCUAGUGGAUAAUUGCAUAAUGAUGCAUUGAAGAUAUAUGCUAGUGGAUAGAUUCAUAUUGAUAUACAUGCAUAGUGGAAUAUAUGCUAGAUGUAUUUAGCAUUAUGAAAUCAUGUUAGAUAAGAAGCAUGUUGGCAUUGUGAGCAUGUAACUAUAAACUCGAUGUGGACAAUUAGGAUGUCGGGUAGAUCGAGUGGCAUUAAAACUAGUGUUAUUGAACAUAGGUUGGAAAUAAACCUAGUGUCGUGAACCUAGGAUGAAUACGAGUGACAUUAACCUACUGUCGUGAACAUAGGUUGAAUACGAGUGGGAUUGAACCUAGUGUUAAAGAACAUAGGUUAAGAAUUAAACCUAGAGUGAAGUGAACCUAGGUUAUGCGAUAGAGGCAUCGAACCUAGAGUCAGUUGGACCUAGGGUGUAAAGGACAACGGACCUAGAUAGGUCGAUACAAUAGGGUUUGAGACCAACCCUUGAAAUGCGAAAUGGAUUCCGUAAUCCCUAGUGAUGUGGCCGCAAAAGAGGGGGCAUAAACUUGUUGCAGAAUGCAAGUGAAUCAUAACUGCGGGUAUGUGUGGUUCUCCUCGCCUGACAGUGAUUCAAUGGGUAUGUAUGGUUCUCCUCGCCCGGUAUAAGCUCGAAAUGGGUAUGUCUGGUUCUCCUCGCCCGUUUAGCUUGUUGGAUGAUGCCGUCAGGAUUGACUUGAGUCAUUGUUGGGUGAGAUGUGAUGCGUUUGCCGCUAGAUGGCUAAGUCAAGAGGUGCAGUGGGCUGUGACCGCAGCCAAGCUGAGAUACAGCCAGUGCGCGGUAGUCCGCAGAUGAUUGACUCGAGGCCGAGUCGGGUGGAUAGCUUGAUUAAGGUAGUGGUAACCUUAAAGGCUAGUUGUAACAUAGCAAUUCCCCGUGAGUCGUGCCGAGUUUCGUCGAAAUGUGCGGAGCGCGGAAAGGAACGAGUUACUAUAGGCUAAAAAUGCAUUGUAACCUAUAUUAAUGUUAAAGGGACCCGAAAGAGUGAAAUUUCAAAGUCUGGCUAAGUCCCAAAUUUUGGGCUCUCGCGGACCAGUCCCUGAGGGGAGAGACCGGUCUCCGAAAGCAUAUCAGCCGAGCAGAGGGAAAAAUCGGCUAAGUCCUGGAAAUCGAGCUAUCGGGAACCGGUCCUUGGGUGAGAGACCGGUUCCGAGAGACCGGUUGCAUCGGGGGGAGACCGGUCCCCUUCUGCGAAGGCUGCGGGGUAGCUCUCGGGAACCGGUCCCUUACUAGAGAGACCGGUCCCCGAGCCCGAAAUUUGCCCAGUAAGGGCUGUUUGCAAAAAUAGAAUUGAGAGGGAUUUAAGUGCAAAUGUCGCAUGAGAUGGAUGUAUAGAGGUAAGUGUUAGGGUUAGCUCUCAUUUCCCUCACACUCUAACCCUAAAACUUCUCCCUCUCUCUAAACACCUCUCCUCUCCCUCUCCUUCUCUCUCUAGGGCUUGGACCAAGAGGGCUUUCGGAGGAGCAAGCUUGGAGAAGAAGCUCUCCAAGGUGUAGAGCAAGCUAGAGCAAGGCUUUGAAGGAAAGUUCUGGACUCCAAAGGUGAGUUCUUAUGAUUUUAAGUUAGGUUUUGAGUUUUUGCUUCUAGUUGAAGCAUCUAGAGAUCUCUAUAGUGGAUUUUCUCCAUUUUCUUCAUGUUGAGGACCUAAAAUGGAGAAGAUGAUGUUGUAUAGGGACCCAAAUUUGGGGUUUUGUAAACAUGAGGUCGAAGCUUGGGAUUGAUCUCAUUCUAACCUAAUUGGUAGGUCAACGAACGCAUCGGUGCGCUCGGUUCGGCGAUACGACGAGCGUGCGCGAAGAUAUUGGAAAAAGAAGCUGAAUUGGUACAGAUUGCCGCAGCUCGCGGCAAAAGUGUCUAAAAAUCGUGAAAACCGAACCACGACAUCCUAGUAUCACACAAAGGUGGGGGGUGCUAUCCGAAAACAUUGAGUCUCUUUCUAUGUCUAUGUCACUACUUUUGAGCAUGUUGGUAUUGUAGCAUUCUUGCAUGUAGGGUAAUGAAUGGUAUAUGUUGAUUGCAUCAAUUAUCUGCUUAAGAUUAUUGUGAGUGAUAUAGGCACAUGUGAACAAAGGAAAUGAAUAACCCUAUAUGCAUGUGAAUGUGAGAAAAGACUAUGACCAUAGUAAAUAAUGGUGACAUUGACGAUAGUGACUCGAUUGGCAUUGAAAUGAGUAUAGUUAAACAAGGUUUAAUCCAAAUGACAUUAUGUGUAUUAUGGCAUCAGGACCAUUGUGGCUCAUAUUGGUGGUAUAUAUAUGAUACGGUAGAACCUAUCAUUAGCAUUGAGAUAUUGAGGCAUUAGAUAGAUUUGGCUAUACCUCCUCAAAUUGAGGAUGUGAUCAUACUCACACGUAUUGGUUCCGGCUUGUGGGAGUUCGCUCCUCCACAAGCGGUGUACUUCGGAGUAUAGACACCACGGGUGAGAGUGCCCGGCGAAGAUCCCUCAGGCGGUUGAGCCUUGUGCCUCCCCUGUUAAACGGGAUAUGUGGAUUGUGAGUUUGGAGUAAACCAGGAGCACCCCGGGUUGAUUGGGUAAAGGCCAAAAGAAAUGAGAGAUGGACAUGCAUGCAUAAUCAUCAUGUAUUUGAAUAUAAAUAUCUAUCUGUGGAUUGCUUUCUUGGAGGCAUUGUAUUAGAAGUGCAUUGGUUGGUUUGUUAUCCUUCUUUAUUGAAAUACAUAUGCCUGAAAUAGACCUAGUGGGCGAAUCGGCGUGGUCGGCGGCCGAACCCACUGGGAACUUCGUUCUAGUUCUCAUUACCACUAACCCUGCAGAUCCGUGUGCGAGCGGGGCAGCGGAGGAUCGAGGCAAGGGUAUCGCGCCGUAGCUAGCGGCCCUCGAAAUAUAGGCAUACCCUACAUUUUGGUGUACUCAACUGUAGGUGUUGAACUGUAAAUGAUGUAAAGCAAGAAAUGCAAAUUAUAUUUUGGGUAAUGUAAGAAUGAUGUAAAUCAUGUAUUUUGGUUAAAGGAAAACGUGAUGUAAAUGAAUGGGUAAGUGAAUGUAAAUGUAAUAGACUACUUGUGUUUGAUUCAAAUGAAAUCAAAUGACUUGUAUAUUGGAUGCUUAGAUAGUUUCGAUGCUUUCACUUGUGGUUGUUGUUUGCCUUCGUGCAAACCUUGUAUAUCUCGCAAUUCUCUUUAUUGAUUUGCUUGUAAUAUACUUGAUGUUGGAGCCUUGGGCGGACAGGAGAGGUGUUGUCCGUUCGGCGUCUGUCAUGUGCUCGAAUCCGACCAAAUUGGCGGAGCUCGGGGCGUGACACUAGUGACUUGAGCUAAAGAAUCUAAGGUAGUAGAAACUUUAGAAGCUAGUUGGAUAUGAGCUAGAUAGCCAGAUAGAAGUAGAAUCGUUAGAGCUACUUCUGUUGUUGCAUCGUUGCAUGAUUUUCAUAUAGCAUGACAUUAUUGCGUUCGCGAGGCAAAAGCAUGUAAAUGUUAGUUGCAUAUUUAUGAUUUCAUAUUAUAUCUAUUUGUUGAACUAAUAUGUUGUUUACCUUCUUUGGACCUGUUGGUCGAGCUUUUCCCUUGGGUGGCCGUAUCCACUGGGAACUAUAGAGUUAGUUCUCUCCCGACGUUGUUUCGGGGUGUUACAGGUUCGCACGUGAGCGGUGUGGCGGCGCGAGGCAAGGGCGUAGCUUCGUAGAUAGCGCCCUACCCCAGAGUCCAGAGAUAGCAGUACCCCGAGUCGGCUAGCUAGGGGUAUAGAAAUGAAAGAAAUAAACUUGUAGUAAAUUGUAAUAACUUAAUUGCAUCUGGGAGUUGAAUGUAAAGUAAAAUGAAAACUGAGAUGAAUGCUUGUAAUAGCAGUAGUUGUAUUUAUAUUUUUGAUACUUCCUUAUGCAAUCUUUGCUUCAAUAUUGUUCCUGGUUGGAACCUCUUGUAUUGUAUUGAUUGCGACGCCUUGGACGUACAGGGGAGACACUGUUCGUGGUACAGGGGAAACCCUGUCCGUUCGGCGCUGUCGGCGGCACGACACGGCCAAAUAGGCAUGGUCGCGGGCUGUGACACUUUCAAUCUCAUAGGUGAGGAGAAACUGCACUCGCAACCGAGACCAUCUUCGGGACAACUACGUCUUCCCCUGUCGUGAAGUACUCCGGAGACCACUACUUGGGUGGAGCGACCACGCCAAGUGUAAACAGACAAGUGAGUAUGAUCCAAUCCUCACAACUCGAGGAUACCCUAUCUACAAGGGUCAUAGUGCUUCUACCGCACUGAUUCCAAAUGCACAAUACAACAAUCGGGAACUCUACUAUCCCUAGAAUCAUGUCAUAACGUGUCACUAUGCUAGAUUCGAUGCCACUCGUUCAAAUCAUUAGUUGUAAAUGUUUCAACUAGUUUACAUGCCACUCGUUCAUGUUGUGUUAAGUCUUGUGUAUUGGCAAGUUUCGUGAAGUGAGUCGGAGUCUUGAAGGACCGGUGCGUAUCGUCGAAGAUCGAAAAAUUCAAGAUUUCGAAGAAGUCAGAAAAUAUCUCACGACGUGAAUCACGAUGCUCAGGUAAAGUAUAAAUUCAUGUUAUGGUAAUUCAUACUUAGUUGUAGACAUUAGAAUCAUGUUAUCAAUGUCUAAUGGAUAAGAAAGUGCAUCGGAACUUUGCAAAACCCGAAACGGCGGAAAUUUGCAAAGUGUACCGGUACAGCAUCAGAAGUGUACCGGUACAAAUUGUGUACCGGUACGACCAUCAAGGAUGUAACCGGUUUCACUGUUUCGUCAGGUUUUUCGUUCCGUCAUCGUGUAACCGGUGACAGCUUAAAGUGUACUGGUACACAGUGUAAAAUCGUGAAAUCUUUCUAAUCCGACUCCAAUUGAUUCUAAAGUCUAUAAAUAAGCUAUUGGGCUUCUCUAACAUAUCAAGCAUCACGAAAAUACAUAUUUGAGAAAUCCUAGAGGCUUGGAUUUCAUCAAAAACCUAUUUUCUACAAAAAGCCUCUUUUAGAUCAAAUCGAGAUAUUGAAAUUUGAUAUUAAUAUGUCGAUUUGAUCUCCGUUUCGCUUGGAGUUCUAUUCCCUGGUUUUCUACGAUACUCCAAAGCGAAGGAUCACCAUAUUCAUGAUAUUCUUCAUGGUAGCGUCGUGGAUUCGGCGUAUUUGACGGCGGUUUGUGGAUUCGGAUCGUGGGCUCGUGGAUUCGAGUGGCAUCGUGGAUUCGGCGUGAGUGGAGCUUCGUGGAUUCGAAGUGAAGGCGUUCGUGGACUCGAACGUGAGGGCGUGGACAACCUGGAGGGUAGUGCGAAGAUUCAUAGGAGGUUAAGAGAGGUUGAGUCCGUGGAGUCGGUAAUCACCUUGUAAUCUUUUCUCUUAGUGAAUUGUUUUUUCGUGUGUUGGUCCCGUGGGUUUUUCUCCAAGUUGGAGUUUUCCCACGUAAAUCUCGGUGUGCUUUUUAUUUUCCGCAUUUAUUUUUAUUGCAUCGAGAUUUGUAGUUUUUGGCCGUUCACUUAUUCACCCCCCUCUAGGUGAUAGAUACAAUGUAGAUAGAUCCUUGGGCUCCUCAAAACUUUCAAUUGGUAUCAGAGAGGGAUCUAGAUAAAUUGUUAUCUAAUGGCCGAAGGUGGUAACAUUAAUCGACCUCCGCUCUUCGACGGCACGAAUUAUGCCUAUUGGAAAGUUCGCAUGAGAGCUUUUCUAAUUGCUAUCGAUGAGCGGGUUUGGCAAUCAAUUGAAUUUGGGUGGAAACAUCCGAUAGAAAAGGUCGAUAAUGUUGAAAAGCCAAAACCACGGAACAAAUGGACGAAAGAAGAAAACGAGACAUCUUCGUUUAACGGCAAGGGCAUAAACGCUUUAUUUAAUGCAUUAUCUCAAACGGAGUUUACUCGUGUUUCGGCUUGCGAAACGGCAAAGAAAAUUUGGAAUACUCUACAAGUUACGCAUGAAGGAACGAGCUUAGUAAAGGUCCAAAAAUUGCAAAUGCUAACAAGCAAGUUUGAUUCUAUUUCUAUGGAUGAAAACGAGACCUUUACCGAGUACUAUACACGUCUACAAGACGUUGUGAAUACAUGUGCUAACUUGGGAGAGAAAAUCCCGGAUUCUAAGGUUAUUAGAAAGAUUCUUAUAACUCUUCCAGAACGCUUUUGGGUAAAGGUUGCCGCGAUCGAAACGGUUAAGCAUCCGGACGAGAUGAAGGUCGAAGAAUUAGUAGGUGCUUUGCAAACUUACGAAAUAACCUUUGCUACUAAUCAAUCUUCUUCCAAGUCUUCUUCUAAAAGCACAGGUGUUGCAUUGAAAUCUACAAAGGAGAAGAACGAAGACUCGAGUUCCGACGAUGAUUUAUCAAUUGCGGACUUUGAACAACAAUUGGCGCUUCUUACGAAGAAGUUUCGUCGAAAUUUCCGGAACAAGAAUAGAUAGGACAAGGCUUCAUCGUCUAAGCGACAAUCUUUGUCUAAAUCAUCUUCAUCUUCAAAGUCUAAGGAUAAAAAUCGUGCAAAGUCUUCAAAGAAAAAGGAUGUAUUUGAAGGCGAGAUCCAAUACUUCAAGUGCAAAGGCUACGGCCACAUUACGACGGAUUGUCCUUCAAAGAAGAUGUAUAGACAAAAGGCUAUGCAAGCAAAGACGUGGGAUGAUUCAACAUCAAGUGAAUCAUCGUCAAGUGACGAAGAAAAGAAUGAUCAAAUUGCCUUAUUUGCUAAUACUCCUUCGUCGAAUGUUGUGUGUUUAUCCUCUUUUGCUACUAACUCCAAUAUUUCUCUUUCUUCACAUGAUUCAUCGAGCAACAAUGGCGAAAGUGAGGAGGAAUCAAACGACGACGACAUAGCGGAAGCGUACAAUCAACUUCUCAUUGAAUCUAAGAAGAUGGCUAAACUCAACAAGAAGUUGAGACGUCGUUUGUUGGAACUUGAGGAGGAAAACAACAACGUAAAGAGUUUAAAUAAGGCUCUUGAGGAGGAAAGGGAUUCAAGUUUGAAGAUUAAUUCGGACCUCCAAGAGAGGCUUAGUGAUGCGGAAUCAACGAUCAAAUCUUCUAACGACAAGAUUGGGUUUUUGGAGCAUCAAUUUCAUGAAUCGCACAAGUCCAAUCAAGUCUUGACCAACCAAGUUCGUCAACUCCAAUCCGAUCUUCAACAAUUUUCUUCGGGAUCAAAGAAGUUGGACAAAAUGCUUGGAUUGGGUCAAACGAGCAAAUUGGGCCUUGGAUAUGAACGGACAUAUGUUGAGAAGGAUCAAACGGCGACAUCUAAACUCUCAACAAUUUUGAAAGGCAAAGUGUGUCAUCGAUGUGGCAUCAAAGGACACAUCAAAAGGAAUUGCCCAAACAAAGACAAAAAGAAUCAAUCGGCAACUUCUAAUCGUCAAGUGGCACCCUCUACUACUCGACAUUUCCCACGGAAUCAAAAGCAAAGUCAAGUUAGUCGAGUACCUCAAAAGAAUCGGAUUUCUAAUGCACAACGCCAAGUUCAUGCGAACCGGGUGCAUAAACCUCAACGACAAAUUCAACCUAAGCCUCAACCGAAGAAAACAUCAACGGUUGAUCAAAAGUCUAAACAAACGGCACCUAACGUCAACAAGUUGAGAAAACCAACGAUCAGACAAGUUUGGAUCCGAAAAGGUGAUAUCUUUCCUUGCUCCUCGUCUUAGUCGUUUUUGAUCUUUAGUGUAAUGUUUUGAUUGGUGCUUGUUGUUUAUUUUUAAUCAUUGCAUUACAUGUUUAGACGAUUUUUGGUGCUUUGGCUUUUAUUCGGUUAAAAAAAAAAAUCAUUUUUUGAGGAAAGGUAUUUGGGAAUUUCAAAAUCUUUGAGAAAGGAGAUGAUUGAGAAUUUUUUUUGGGAGAGGAAGUUUUUAAAGAUUGUUUAAACGGGUUUUAUCUUCACAAUCAUAUUAAGUUAAAUUCAUAUUAAUUAUCGUUUUUACUCCACUUUUUAUUAUUUUGACGAUAAUUUGAUAUAUGAUCUCUUAAUGCAUAUAUUCAUCAAAGUUUUGAAAUCAAAUUUGAUCUCUUGGUGAUUAAUUCAUCUUGGUUGUGUGUGUUGGAGAUGAUGGAUGGAUAUUCUCUAAUAGACUAAAAUUUGUCAAAAUAUUUUCAAUUGUGAGAUUGCCUAUUUUAGGGGGUUUUGAAAUUUAAAAAAAAAAGGAGAGAAAGAAACUCCUAUGUUUAAAAGAUGUGGAAAGAGUUACAUCCUUAAAGGAGUGUGAAAACUACCACCACAUGUAGGAAAGAGCUACCACCCCGGUCGUCCGGCAAGUGUGUGAAGCUACCACAUGAAAAUUGAAUUGAUUAAACCGAAAAAAAAUUGAAAAGAAACAAUUGAAUAUUUUAGAAUAUUUCGGAGUAAUAAGGUGUUAGUUUGAAGAAGAUGCUCAAAGAGCCACCUCCGGUAUCAUAUUGGUUAGAUCUCUAUUUUGAACAUAUUGCAAAAAAUUGGUGUCAAUUUUGUUGAAUUUCUAAAAAUCAUUUUACAUCAACUCACAUCUUGAUAAUUUUGAAACUUGAAAUCAGUUUUGAUUAUGAAAUUUUGAUGUUUCGAUGUAUUUUGAAAUCGUAUAAUAUUUUAUCUUCAUCAUACUGAUUUUUGGAGUAAAAUUCCUAAUUUAUAUGAAAUUAAUUUAAGUUUAAAAGGUUUUUAAAUUUAAAUUUUCAAAAUCUGAGUAAGUGUACCGGUACAAAAUCUCGUACCGGUACAAGUUACUGUAGCCGCGGGUUAUAUAACCGGAUACAUGUUUCGAUUCUCUCCGAAAUCUUAAUCAAAACCGCAUCUUCUCCUGAAGCUCCUAGGCGACAAUCUCCUUCAGAUUUGCUGCUUUUCACGUGGAUUUGUAAGUUGUUUGCUCGGAUUUAUGGAUCAAACCUCGUUUUUACAUAUUUUUUCAAAAAAUUUUGAGUUCUUGCUUAGAUCUCUGUUUUUGAUCGUUUUUGAUGCAAUUUCUUGCUGUAGAUCACUGCUUAAGGACAUUAUCUUGCUUCUAGAAUACUUGAAUCACAUCAAAACACAUUAUUUUUCGCUGAUCCAUGUUCUAAGCUUCGUUUUUCAUGUAAUUUCGGGAUUUCUUUUUAAAAUGUCAUUUUUUUUAUAAAAUUGUUGCAUGAUCUUGUUAGAAAUAGCAUUUGUAUGCAUUCUAAUGUUAUUAAAAAAAUUUUUGCUAUUUUUACAGAUUUUUUCAAAAUUUUCUUCAUGAAUGGCUUAUUUUCAUAUAGGAGAAUGGCGUUUUCGCUCGUGAUCCUUCUUCUGGUGCUUAUGGCUGCCGGUCGUGGUCGUGGUGGUGGUCGAGGACGACGUGGACAAUCAAAAAGAACUCGUACUGCCGACGAGUCAUCAGGAUCAGAUCCAGAUUAUCAAGCAAGCUCACUUGAAGCUACUGAAGAAGCGGUUACGAGGGCUGCUAAAGGAAAAGGCCUAGCAGGCGAAUCCUCACGAGGAGGUGAUUCUCGUGCACGUGAAAGGCGCUCCAAACGUGCUGCAGAGGCUUCAUUAGAGCGACAACAGAUUUAUUCGAGCCGAUCAGUUCUAGCUGAGCGCUAUGUCAACUUCACUGAGCUGGUCAAGGAGGUACCAGAGUUUGGCCGAUUGCUGCAGAGGUUCCCUAUUGAGCCUGUUGGACGGGUUCCAGCUCGUGCCCCAUUUUGUGUGGAACUAAUUCGAGAGUUCUAUAUGAACGGGGUAGUACUUGGAGAGGAUGAGGAGACUGGGACUUAUGUGUUUGAGUCUUAUGUGCGUAAACAGAAGAUUCACGUCACUCCUUAUACUAUUGGAGAGCUCUUAGGUAUGCAUAUUGAUACUACCGGCCUUCACUAUACGACAGGGCAUUUUCAGUCUUCAACUCACUGGGAGACUGUUAUUCAAGCUAUAUGCAAAGAAGGUGUUAGGACUAAUCAUUCAUAUGUGGAAUCUAAGGAUUUGCUAUCUGAAUAUCAUCUGCUCUCAUUGGUGAUGAGCUACAACGUUCAACCGACAAUUGGAACAAAAAGAAUUCGGUGGGAUCGUCUUGUGCUUCUGUAUCUUCUUGGACAUCCUGAAGAAGCAAGAGGAUUGAACAUCAAUAUUCCUUUUCUUAUGUGGCAACGAAUGGUUCAUGUUAUACAGUCUCAGGUUCGCCGUGAUCUUCUUCCGUUUCCAUUGUUGAUCACGAGGAUUCUUCAGGAAAAUGGUGUUGACGUGUCAUGUGAGAAGUAUGAUUUUGGACUUGGACCUAUUGAUGCUGUAACUUGGGCAAAGUCAAGGAGCACAUUGAAGACGUUUCAGCAAACCAAAGGGUCCUCCAGAGGAGCUACUAGUUCAGCACCUCCACUUAGAGCAACACGCGAGGGAUCUUCUAGUUCAGGGGGAGUGAUUACUGUAGAAUCACUUCACAUGAGGUACGCUCUACGAAGAAGAAAUUGGCUGAUCUUGCGAGAAAGGUGGAAAUGGGAAUGAAAAGAAUGAUGGAGAAAAUGGGCUGUAGGCAUGAUGACAUUUUCCCUCCUCAGCCUACUUACUCCACGUAUACUAGAUCGACUUCACGACAUCCUCUCAUUCCACUGUCUGGUGAUGCUCCUGAGGCUAGGGGAUCUGGAGCUGGCGCAGAAGAUGAUGAUGAUGAUGAUGACGAGGACACGGAGUGAUGUCUUCCUCGGGCUUCGUUUUAUUAUGCUUACUUUCUAGGACGAUGUUUUAGACUUGCUUGCUUAUCUUUCUUUGGCAUGUUUUUAUUUUAGGCCUGUACCUAUGACUAGACUUCUUUUAUGCUUUCUAGUAUGUUUUCUCUCUAUUUGCUUUCUUUUGGCAAUUUUUGACAAAAAAGGGGAGAGCGUAGAACAGGGGGAGAGCAUGGAUGACAACAGGCAAUGAACUAAGCAGAGGAUGAUGAGUUCAAGAACAAAGGGGAAGAUGUGAUCGAGAUGUGUUGAACAAAGGGGGAGAAGGUAUAAGAAUUUAAGGUUAAUCAUUUUUGAAUGAAUUGUUUUGCAGGAAAUCAAGACUUUAAGACUCCUAGUUGUGUCUAAGUCAUAGAGUCUGUUUUAGGAGUUUUUGAUGUAAGUUUGAGUUUCAAAUUGUAUUUGGAUUACACGCGAGGAGUUCAAUGUUUUGGUGAUGACAAUUGAACUUCAUUUUUCUGUAAAUUGUAAUUUUUGAGUUGGUGUGUGUUUUGUCACGAAAUUGCCAAAGGGGGAGAUUGUUAAGUCUUGUGUAUUGGCAAGUUUCGUGAAGUGAGUCGGAGUCUUGAAGAACCGGUGCGUAUCGUCGAAGAUCGAAAAAUUCAAGAUUUCGAAGAAGUCAGAAAAUAUCCCACGACGUGAAUCACGAUGCUCAGGUAAAGUAUAAAUUCAUGUUAUGGUGAUUCAUACUUAGUUGUAGACAUUAGAAUCAUGUUAUCAAUGUCUAACGGAUUAGAAAGUGCAUCGGAACUUUGCAAAACCCGAAACGGCGGAAAUUUGCAAAGUGUACCGGUACAGCAUCAGAAGUGUACCGGUACAAAAUGUGUACCGGUACGACCAUCAAGGGUGUAACCGGUUUCACUGUUUCGUCAGGUUUUUCGUUCCGUCAUUGUGUAACCGGUGACAGCCUAAAGUGUACCGGUACACAGUGUAAAAUCGUGAAAUCUUUCUAAUCCGACUCCAAUUGAUUCUAAAGUCUAUAAAUAAGCUAUUGGGCUUCUCUAACAGAUCAAGCAUCAUAAGAAUACAUGUUUGAGAAACCCUAGAGGCUUGGAUUUCAUCUAAAACCUAUUUUCUACAUAUUAGCCUCUUUUAGGUCAAAUCGGAAUAUUGUAAUUUGAUAUCUAUAUGCCGAUUUGAUCUCCGCUUUGCUUGGAGUUUCUUUUCCUGGUUUUCUACGAUACUCCUAAGCGAAGGAUCACCAUAAUCAUGAUGCUCUUCAUGAACGGCGUCGUGGAUUCGGCGUGAACAAAGGCGGUUCGUGGAUUCGGAUCGUUGGCUCGUGGAUUCGAGUGGCGUCGUGGAUUCGGCGUGAUUGAAGCUUCGUGGAUUCGAAGUGGAGGCGUUCGUGGAUUCGGACGUGAGGGCGUGGACAACCCGGAGGGUAGCGCGAAGAUUCAUAGGAGGUUAAGAGAGGUUGAGUCCGUGGAGUCAGUAAUCACCUUGUAAUCUUUUCUCUUAGUGAAUUAUUUUUUCGCGUGUUGGUCCCGUGGGUUUUUCUUCAAGUUGGAGUUUUCCCACGCAAAUCUUGGUGUGUUUUUUAUUUUUCGCAUUUAUUUUUAUUGCAUCGAGAUUUGUGGUUUUUGGCCGUUCACCUAUUCACCCCCCUCAAGGUGAUAGAUACAAUCUAGAUAGAUCCUUGGGCUCCUCAAAACUUUCAUGUUGUAGUGCUUCUACUACACUAGUUCAAUGUGAACUAUUAUCAUCAUUUCAAGAUCAAGUUGUCGCUUAUCUUGUCACUAUAAGAUUUCAUGUCACCAAAUUUAAUCCUCAUGUACCCUAAGUCCUGUGUCAAGCCACUAUGCUACACUACUAAGGAACAUGCAAGGAAAAGAAGUGUAUCUGUAGCACACUGGACCUUUGCAAAUUGCGAGGUUCGAGUGUUCGAGCUGUGUUCUGAGUCCUUCCAGACUUUCUGGUAGGUCGUUGACAGUAUUCCGACCUAUGGCCUGUAUCUCGAGAAUUGUGGUUUAAAGCUGUGUACCAAAACCCAAAAAUCGAUUUCUUGGCCAGCUCUCGGGUAGCCUUCAGAGGGUCUUGUACCGGUACAAGGUUGGUGAUUGUACCGGUACAAGGUUGAUGGUUGUAUCGGUACAGCCAUCAGGCUUGUACCGGUACAGAGCUGCGGAACCCCCCAGACCCGAGCCUCGGGUUGAAGCUUUUCGUGAGGCUUGUACCGGUACAAGGGCCCGUGUACCGGUACAAGGUGGCAGAAUUUGAGCAGUUUGAACUGCAGGGGUGUUUUUGCGAUUGUGGGCCUCUUAUAUCAACACCCACGCCCCUAGGGCUUCUUCCUGAGCUUGCCACAGUAGGAAUAGAGGUAAGGGAGCCCUCCUUGAUUUUCCUUUUGUUUUCCUUAGAUUUUGAUUGGAUUUUAGGAGAUUAAACUCCUCUUUUUGCUCGUUGGUGCAACUUCACCAUUGUUGAAGCUUGAAGCUUGGAUUUGGAGCCUUAUUGAGGGAAGAUCUUUGGACUUAGAGAGUUUAGAGUUUGGAUUGAAGCUUCUAAGAGGUAAGCAUCAUAUUCUCUCCCUCUAGAUUUGAUUUUUGUUGAUGGUUUUGAGAUAAAACCCUAAAAUGGAGACUUAGGGCUUAUUUUUGGGCAUUUUUGAUCUAGGGCUUCUGGGGCUAAAUUAAUUGGAUUAGAACCCUCCUUUGGGUUGUAUUGGAAGGAUCCUAGCCUUCUUUUGGAGCUUGUGAGAGUUUUUCUACACAUUAGGUGAGUUUUAGCCCUUUUGCCUUAUUGGUUAAUGUUUGAUUUUAUAGUUGAUCGUAAUACCCGUGUAUCUCUUCGCUCAAUACUUUUAGGGUAUUUUGAGACUCAUGGACGACUUCGUUCGGCGAAACGAGGCACUACGUGAUGGUUCGGUGGGUUUGACCUAGCCACACAACGAGAAAAUCUCAUUUGUGAAGAUUUGAGUAUCGUUAAUUGAAAAAGCAUGUAUAUUCAUGUUAGAUAUAUUUAUUAUGAAUUUUAGAAUGCUUAACAUGCAUAUGUUAUGUAUAGUAAAUUUUUGGACCUCUAUGUGGUAGGGUGCAUGCAUGUGGGACGUAGCAUUCUAGUGGGAACUUGGAACCAUGAAUCCUAUUAUGAAAAUGAACAUUGCUUUCUUGCAUUUAACCUUAUGCCUAAUUGUGACAUUAGGAACUUUGGAAGCCUAGAGAGGUUUGGAGACUUAGGCUAUUUGAGAUUUUGGGCCAAUGUCAUAAAGAGGCAUUAGGCCCCGGGCUAUAGUGAAUAUUGGUAUUAAUGUCAUAUUUGGAACAUAGAACAUGAAUUGAGCUUGAUUAGUUGUGAUGCUUAAGUGUCAUAAAGAGGCACUAAGCAAGUGAGUGUUGAGAUAUCACAUUGUGACAUAGAGCUAGACCGUUGGGUUACUAGUAGCUAUUGCCAUGUUUGAGACAUGAGGGUUGGACACUUGAGCCUUUGACUACGCUUGCUUGCCAUUUGUGCUCAUUCGUACAUGCUUGUGAGGGUCGCUCCCUACAAGCGGGCACUCCGGAGUUAGCCUACGCGACUUAUGUUCGCUCGUGCGGUAUUGAGAAGCCUACGGGGUCGAGUGGGAUAGACACAUUCCAAGAGUAGGAAUGUCGGGCUACCACAGGCACUUAAAUGGCACAAGCUGGAUUACCUUGGGUAGGCCCUUAUUUGGAAAUGAAAAUCGACACAAUGUUGAGUGUGUUAUAAUCACUACUAGAUAGAGAUUAGUAGUUGGAUUACUUGGACUUACUUCUAGCAUAGUUUUGGACACUUGAGUACACAUACGUAAAUGUAGUAUGCUAGGAGAUGUUGCUUAUUGUAUUCAUAUAUACAUUGUUGCCAUGAUAAAGCAUGAUCCCUAUAACUUCAUAAAUGAACUGUGACAUUUACUUGUAGUCAUGUAGAGACAUAUUGGUUAUAACAAAGUAAAGGUGCAUUAUUUUUUAGCACCAUGCUUAAUUGCAAUAUAGUAGUUUAGCAUUUUAAUUAUGCUCUCAUAAAUACAGUUUAUUCGUUAUUAUUGCUGUUUGCCGUACUUACCCUUUUUUUUUGGGGCCUAGUGGUGUAUUGAGCUGAGGUCAGUAAUUGCCCACUGGGAACUAUAAUUUAUAGUUCUCACGCCCUCUGUUCUAUGUUUUCUUUCAGAGCCUUCCACGCCGGAAGAGGCUAGGGACCGUGGGAAAGGCGUUGCUUCGAUCUAGCUCUUCAGCGAGGGACGAGUUGCUAGGUGGUCUAUCUCUCGAUGUAUUUUAUUUUGGGAGAGGUUGAAAGCUGUACCAGUGUACUAGAGACCACCCUUUGUGUACUUUUGGGACAGAUAUUGUACUACCUUAUGGUUUACUUUUAUUGUUUAAUUGUAUCCUUUUACUUUUGUUAUAGAAAGUAGAAUCUUACUGCUCUGAUAUCAUUAGUUUUUGCUCUUUCCUUUCGGCUAUGUUUCUUGCUUUAUUUUCGCUGUUGAUGUAGACGCUUUAUAUGUGUUGGCAUAUGGCGGGUCUGGGCACACUACCGGCAGGGCCUCUGCCGGUCCCGGGGCGUGACAGAUUAGUUUGGUAUCAGAGCCUAGGGUUGAGUCUUAGUGGACCUAGCAAACCUUAGUUGGACUAUAGGCAUUAAGCUCGUGAGAGACGAGGUCUAAUUGACUUGUGAGCGAAAGUAUUAUGAUUGGGUUUUAUGACAACUCUAAAAAGUUAGAGUUUGAUCGAAGUGUAUGGCUUCUAACUUCGCGGAGGGUUACGUUGGCGGCCGACAACGUAACAUCGGGAGUUAGUAGUGGAGAACACUUCCUUACUUUCGCAUGAUUUGGGUUUUAUCUAUUUGAGCGGGGAUGCGGUAGCGUGGGUUACUAACUUGCGCUUUUAUGUUUUGUAGUGACGAUGCCGAUUACACGCUCCCAGUCUGCCGGGGUGGAUGAUGCGGCACACCCCGAGGAGGCCGAGACCUCUGCUACUUCCGGAUCUAGUGAGGUCCGUGACUUGAGGACCCAGCUUGCGGUCCUUACUGAUCUGUUGGCGCAACAGACGGCAGCGGCGCAGCGACAGGCUGAGGUGGCUCAGCGGCAGGAGGCGCGGAUGAAGCAUCUUGAGGACCUCCUACUUCAGCAGGCGGCAGCUUCGAGGUAGACCCAGGUUCCCACACCGCCAGCACCCGUGGUGGACGUCGCGCGGAGGGCACAGCCCCCCGCGCCCAGUUCUUCACGUGCGGCACAGGCGACCACACCUCGUGAGGAGGUGGCUGCGGCACCCCCAGUUCAGAGACCGGCCACGGGGCAGCUUUCCCCGUGAGGGCCGAAGGAGCCGAGCGGGAUCGGCUCGUGGAUCUCCAAAGUGAGUUCAGGAGGUGCAGUCCAAGGACGUUUGAUGGCGAGAACGUCGACCACUGGAUUGUUGAGAAGUGGUUGAUGCACAUGGAGAAGCUUUUUCGAGACACCUUUGUGGAGGAGCGGGACAGAGUUUGGGUCGCCACUCACUUUCUCGAUGGCGUGGCCUACCGUUGGUGGUUGGAUAUCCAGGACAACCCCAACACCGACUUGGCAGCAAUUACUUGGACGAGGUUCAAGGAGCUCCUUCUGGCGCACUGGACGCACUGGACCUUUGAAAUCAAGGUUCGAGUGUUUGGGUUAUUUCGAGCUUUUCCACACUUGGUGGAGGUUGUAGAAUUCUUCACCUAAAAAAGUUCCGACAAAUGCGGGAUUCUGGACGAAGUCCUGAGAAGUUUUCACUCUCGGGACUCGUCCUGGAAGAGACCUGUCCCGCCCCAGUGAGCAGUGUUGAGGCCGGCCGAGCAAACCGGUCCUCUGACAGGCCGAGACCGGUCCCCGAGCAGCUCUCGCAGUGAGAGACCCGUCCCGCGUAGGAGAGACCGGUUCCCGAACGUAGUUUCGGAUUCGCAGGCGAGAGACGGUCCGCCUGCUGGGGAGAGACCGUCCCUCUGGGCGAAAACUGCCAACAACCGGGCUGUUGCAAAUUAAUGGAUUUUUGAGGGGCCUCACUGGAUUUUGUUACAUUAGAUGGGCUUUUAGCCAUUUCCUCCUCUUCCCUCUCUCAUUCUCUCAUUCUCACCCUCUCCCUACAUUUUCUAGAGAGAGAAGAAGAAGAAGAAAAAGGAGGAGAAGAAGAAGAGGAGCUACUCUGAGCGGAGCUUGGAGCUCAACCCCUUUCUCUCUUUCCCACCUUUGCAAGGCUUGAGGCUUGCUUGUAGAGCUUAGUGGUGGACAAACUUCAACCCUAGGGUAUUUUGGGCUUGGUUGAAGCUUCCAAAGGGUUAGUUCAUGUUUCCCUCCUCGAGAUUCUAUUUUUGUGAUUUUGGGAGAUGAAGCCCUAGAAAUGAGAUUUAGGGCUUAUUUUGGCUUUUUGAUCUAGGCUUUGCCAAAUCGAUUGCUUAGAACUUCCUAGGGCUGGAUGGAAGGGUUCUAGCUGCUCUCUGGAGCUUUGGAGAGAUUUCUACUCUUGAGCUAAAUUUUGGCCCUUUUUGCUCUAGGUUUAAUUUUUAAUCUCUCGAUGGUCGUAAUGCCCUCGAUCUCUUCGCUGAUUACUUUUAGGGUAUUGUGAGACUCGUGCGACACUCCGUUCGUGAUUCGAAGGACACGCGACGGUUCGGUGGUUUGACCUAGCUUAUCAUGAGAACAUACUCAUAUAUGAUGAAAUGGGUUUCGUAAAUUGAAAAACAUCGCUCAUGUAGAAUAUAGUUUAUUGUGAAUUUUAGGAUGUUUAAGAUGCCUAGUUAUGUGUAAGGAAAUUUCGGACCCCUAUAUAGUAGAGAACUAGCAUGUGUACUUGCAGCAUAUUUGCAUCCUUUUAGACUGGAAUCAUAAACUCCUAUUUGUGAAAAUGAGCACCUCUUGCAUGCAUUUAGGGACUAUCCUAUUUGAACUUGAAGGUUCUGGUAGCGCAUAAAGAGGCUCGGGGACUUGUGUUAUUGGGAAUAGUUGGCCUAAUGUCAUGAAGGGGCAUUGAGCUCGGUCAUGUGUAAACCUAUGGGAUAGUGCCAUUGAAAGAGUUAGAUAUACUUGUUCAUUAAAAUGUCUAAGUGUCAUAAAGGGGCACAAACUUUUAGUAUAUUGGGACUCAUUGUGAAUUAAACUAGAUCUUGCGGAUGCAAGUGACAUACCAUGUUAGAGACAUGAGGAUUGGAUAUUGAGACGACUACGCUUGCUUGCAUUUUGCUCAUCUGCACAUGCUUGUGAGGGUCGCUCCUACAAGCCGGCACUCCGGAGUUAGCCUACGCGACUACGGUUCGCGUCGUGCGGUAUUGAGAAGCCUACGGGGUCGAGUGGGACAGACACAUUCCAAGAGUAGGAAUGUCGGGCUACCACAGGCACUUAGGCGGCACAAGCUGGACUACCUUGGGUGGGUUCUUAAUUGGAAAUGGGAAUCGACACAGUGUUGAGAAUGAAUAAUCACUACUAGAUAGGUUUAGUAGUUGGAUUACUUUGACAUGCUCAUGAUAUAGCAUUGGUACAUAUAGCACGCUUGCCGGUUUCAUUGUUGCAUUGUAGUAUACUCGGUUGCUUGGUUAGAGCUUACUCUUUAUGCAUUGGACAUAUUAUCUUAUGAUAGCGUAGAUAUACAUCACCAUGACAUCAUGUUUACUUGAGAUAUAGCGGUUAGCUCUUCAAAUAUUCUUUCGUAUUGUUGUUGCUAUUACUCUUAUUAUUGCUUAUAGUACUUACCCUUUUCUCUUGGGGCCUAGUGGUGCAUAGAGCUGAGGUCAGUAAUUGCCCACUGGGAACUAUAAAUUAUAGUUCUCACGCCCUCUUUUUCUCGAUGUUUUUCAGAGCCUUCCACGCAGGGUGAGGCCAGGGAUCGCGGGAAGGGAGUUGCUAGGUGGUCCACAUCUCGAUUUAUGUUUUAUUUUGCGAGAGGUUGAGUGUUUUACCAGCGUACUAGAGACCACCAUUUUUAUACAUUUGAGACAGAUAUUGUACUUCUUAUGACUCCUAUUACUGUCUAACUUUACUUCCUUACCUUGGUGUAGAUGAUAGAACUAUACUCGCUCUGAUAUCAUUAGUCGCUUGUUGUUUCACUUCUUCUACUUGUCUUACUACCUGCUUUUACUUCCGCUUUUAUUCUAGACGCCUUAUAUGUGUAGACAUAUGGCGGGUCUGAGCACGCUACCGGGAGGGCCUCCGCCGGUCCCGGGGCGUGACAGCACUACUUCCCGAUCAGCGUCAAGAGGAAGAUGGAGCAGGACUUGCGCAGCUUGCGUCAGGACGAGCGGUCGGUGGCAGAGUAAUAGAGGAAGUUCUCCCGGCUACUUCAUUGUGUACCAUUUGUUGUGAGGGAUGACGAGGACAAGGCCCGCAUUUUUGAGCGUGGAUUGCGGCCUUCUAUUUUCCGAUUGGUGCAGUCUUCCAACCUCCAGACCUAUCGGGAGGUUGUGGAUCGAGCAUUGAUUGUAGAGGCUGGAGCGGCAGAUCUUCAGGAGCGUCGCGAGAGCUCAGAGAAGGGGAAGGGAAAGAGGCCCGCGGCUGAGCGUGCGAGUCAGACGCACUCACGGAGGCCGUCGAGGCACCCCAGGAGCCGGAGCCAGUCGCGGGGACGUGGCUCGUCAACUCAGCGAGGAGGAUCCGUUCGUCGCCAGGCUCCCCGCUGCGUGAUCUAUGGCGGUUCUCAUUACCCGCGGUAGUGUUCAUGCAGUCGGGGCAGGUGCUUCUUGUGUGGCCAGGAGGGCCACUUCCAGUCGGACUGCCCGAGGAGUCCAUCGCCAGCGCCAUCUUCGGCAUCUGCACCAGCAUUACCAGGUCCCAGUCAGGGGAUAUCUUCUACACAUCACCAGGCCGGGCGGCCGUCAGUUCUACGGCAGGCGGAGGGGUCACGACAGGCCUCGAGCGGGCGCAUGUACGCGGCCCAGACUGAGGAGGCGGCGGCAGCCGAGAAUGUGGUCGCAGGUAUCAUUUUACUUUAUGGUAUUCGAGUUAGAGCAUUGUUUAAUACCGGUGCAUCGCAUUCAUUCAUAGACCGGCUGUUUGCCGAGUUGCAUGGUAUCCCACUUGCAUCUUUGUUGCACCCGGGCUGAGUUGUUGUACCCGACCAUUCCUUGGACAUUCGGGAGUUUUGCCCCAGUUGCCCUGUUCGGGUUGGAGAUUGGAUCAUGCCUGCGCACUUGCUAGUGUUGCAUAAACUCGGGGAGUUUGAUGUUGUGUUGGGCAUGGAUUGGUUGACCAAGUACUUUGCCACCAUCGAUUGCAAGAAUCGAACGGUGACAUUUAGAGAGCCGGGGCAGGCGGAGGUUGUGUACCGAGGAUGCCAGAGUUCGCUGUUUGCGAUGACGAUUAGCUCUUCUCGAGCUCGGCAGUUGAUUAGUAGAGGCUGCGUGACCUACUUGGCUACUGUUGUGCUGCGGGGUGAGGAUGACACCCCCAGGAUUGAGGACAUCCCCGUAGUACGGGAGUUUGGAGAUGUGUUCCCAGCUGAGCUUCUGAGCAUGCCACUGGAUAGGGAGAUUGAGUUUGUAAUGGAUCUCGUUCCCGGGACUACUCCAAUCUCAAAGGCACCCUAUAGGAUGGCACCAGCAGAAUUGAAGGAGCUGAAGGCAAAGUUACAGGAUCUUCCGGACAAGGGUUUUGUGCGACCGAGUGUGUCACCUUGGGGAGCACCAGUUUUGUUUGUGAAGAAAAAGGACAGAUCACUUCACUUAUGCGUGGACUAUCGUGAACUUAACAAAGUCACGAUUAAGAAUAAGUAUCCGUUGCCGAGAAUCGACGAUCUAUUUGAUCAGUUACAGGGAUCCAGUGUGUAUUCCAAGAUUGACUUGCAGUCGGGAUAUCACAAAUUGAAGAUCAAGCCUGAGGAUGUGUCGAAGACAGCUUUUAGAACACGGUAUGGACAUUAUGAGUUUACUGUGAUGCCGUUCGGGCUUACUAAUGCCCCGGCAGCUUUUAUGGAUCUUAUGAACCGUGUGUUUAAGCCUUAUUUAGACAGGUUUGUCGUGGUGUUCAUCGACGACAUUUUGGUCUAUUCCCUAAGUGAUGCGGGCCACGAGGAACACUUGAGACUUAUACUUCAAGUGCUUCGGGAAAAGAAGCUCUAUGCCAAGUUGAAAAAGUGCGAGUUUUUGCUUCGGGAUAGCUGUGGAUCCAAGAAAAAUUGAAGCUAUCAAGGAUUGGCCGAGGCCGACGAGUGUGACCGAGAUACGGAGCUUCAUUGGUUUGGCCGGNAGAAAAAUUGAAGCUAUCAAGGAUUGGCCGAGGCCGACGAGUGUGACCGAGAUACGGAGCUUCAUUGGUUUGGCCGGCUACUAUCGACGGUUUGUUGAGGGAUUUGCAAAGUUGUCUACUCCCCUCACGAGGCUCACGCAUAAAGACAAAAAGUUUAUUUGGAAUGAUGCGUGUGAAAGGAGCUUCCAAGAGUUGAAGCAAAGAUUGACGACCGCCCCGAUCCUAACCUUGCCGACUGCUGGAGUAGGGUAUGUGAUUUAUAGUGAUGCUUCCUUUAAUGGAUUGGGUUGUGUCUUGAUGCAGAACGGGAAAGUGAUUGCUUAUGCAUCCCGCCAAUUGAAGGAUUAUGAAAGGAAUUAUCCCACUCACGACUUGGAGUUGGCAGCCGUGGUCUAUGCAUUGAAGCUAUGGCGCCACUACUUAUACGGCGAGCGAUGUGAAGUGUAUACGGAUCACAAAAGCUUAAAGUAUUUAUUCACUCAGAAGGAGUUGAACUUGAGGCAGCGCAGAUGGUUGGAGCUACUCAAGGAUUAUGAUCUGACGAUUCUCUACCACCCAGGCAAGGCUAACGUAGUGGCUGAUGCGCUAAGUAGGAAAUCGACGGAAAACUUAGCGAUGUUUGUGGUGACUCAACCGCCGUUGAUCGAGCAGAUGAAGAGGUUGGAGUUGGAGGUGACUCCUGACGCACCUUUGAGGCUGAUGACUUUGGUGGUGCAACCUACACUUAUGGAAAGGAUUAAAGAAAAGCAAGCUCCCGAUGUGGAGUUGCAAAGGAUUCAAGCUAAGAUGGUUGAUGGUUGCACCGAUGACUUCACUUUGGACGGUGAUCGAUUGAUGCGAUUCCGCGGACGGUUGUGUGUAUCGGCGGACUUGGGCAUUAAAGAGGACAUUCUUCAUGAAGCACACCGAGCACCGUAUGCUAUACAUCCGGGAGGCACCAAGAUGUACAAGGACUUGAAGUUUCUUUACUGGGGGCCCGGGAUGAAAAAGGAAGUUGGUGAGUUUGUUGCCAGAUGCUUAACUUGCCAACAGGUGAAAGUUCAGCACCGAGUUCCUGCUAGAAAGUUGCAGAGCCUACCGAUUCCAGUGUGGAAGUAGGAGAAGAUCACCGUGGAUUUCGUGAUGGGUUUGCCUUGCUCACAGGCCAGGCAUGAUGCUAUUUGGGUGAUCGUGGAUAGGCUGACGAAAUCGGCCCAUUUCAUACCAAUCCACACUAUUUGGACUGGUGAGAGACUCGCACAGGUUUAUCUGGAUGAGAUUGUGCGAUUGCAUGGGGUACCUACUUCUAUAGUAUCAGAUCGAGAUCCCCGUUUUGUAUCCCACUUUUGGAGGAGCUUACAGGAUGCUUUGGGUACGCGCUUGGAUUUCAGCACUGCUUUCCACCCCCAGAGUGACGGGCAGUCGGAGCGUACUAUACAAACUCUCGAGGACAUGCUUCGAGCCUGCGUGAUUGACUUCCAGGGAGGAUGGUCGCAGCAUCUACCGAUGGCAGAGUUUGUGUCACGCCCCGGGACCGGCGGAGGCCUUCCGGGUAGCGUGCCCAGACACGCCAUAUGUCAACACAUAUAAAGCGUCUACAACAAAAGCGAAAGCAAAAGCAAGUAAUAGAACAAAUAGAAGAAGUGAAAUAACUAGCAGCUAAUGAUAUCAGAGCGAGUAAAGUUCUAACAUCUACACCCAGGUAAAGAAGUAAAGCUAGACAAUAAAAGAAUUCAUAAGUAGUACAAUAUCAGUCUCUAGAACAAAAAUGGUGGUCUCUAGUACACUGGUAAACUCCUUAACCUCUCGCAAAAAGAAAUAUAAAUCGAGAGGUGGACCACCUAGCAACUCGUCCUCGAAGGAAGCUAGCUCGAAGUAACUCCCUUCCCGCGAUCCCUGGCCUCACCCUGCACGGAAGGCUCUGAAAAACAUCGAGAAAAAGAGGGCGUGAGAACUAUAAUUUAUAGUUCCCAGUGGGCAAUUACUGACCUCAGCUCUAUGCACCACUAGGCCCCGAAAGAAAAUGGUAAGUACCAUAAUAAUAGCAAUAAUGACUGCGAUAUGAAAGCAUAAUUAAAAUGCUAAAUUACUAAACUCAAGUAUACACGAUGUCAUGGUGAUGUACAUCUAUGAUAUCAAAUGGUAAAUCAUUAACCUUUAUGAAUACAUUAUGCAUAAGUUCUGUCAUGGCAACCAAGUAUGCUUUAAUGCAAAAGGAGACUAUCAAGUACACUACAUGUCUCAACCCUAUGCUAAAAGCAUAUAAAUGUAAUUCAACUACUAAACCUAUCUAGUAGUGAUUAUCCAUUCCCGGUUCAAUGUCAUUAAUCAAACAUGUUUUAGGAUCUACAAAUUGUAAUCCAGCUUGUGCCGCCUAAGUGUCGGUGGUAGCCCCAACAUUCCCACUCUAGGAAUGAGUCUAUCCCUACCGACCCCGUAGGCCUCUCGAUACCGCACGGCGAAUAUAGGUCGCGUAGGCUAACUCCGGAGUGCCGGCUUGUAGGGAGCGACCCUCACAAGCAUGUGCGAAUGAGCAGAAAUGGCAAGCACGCAUAGUCCAAGUCUAAAGUAUCCAAUCCUCAUGUCUCUAACAUGGUAUAGUCACUAGCAUCCCGAAGAUCUAGUUUAAGUCACAAUAUGAAGUUUCAACAUUUGCUACGCCUAGUGCCCCUUGAUGACACUUAGGCAAUUUGAUGUUCAACAUGUAUUCCAAAUCCCUCAAUGGCCCUAUCCACUAGGUUCUCACAUGUCCUGAGCUCAAUGCCGCUUGAUGACAUUAGCUCUCUAGUUCACAUACCUUCUAAAUGGCAAUCUUGUCAACUUUCAUGUCACAAUAAACUUAGGUUUAAAUGCAUGAGUGCAAUCUUAUUUACAUUAUAGGAGUAUGAAACCACAUCUUGUAUAGAAUGCUAAGUGCAACCAUAGGCCAACCAAGCUACUCUCUACUACAUAGAGGUCCAAAAUUUCAUCAUAUAUAACAUAGGCCUUUUAAGCAUUCUAAAAUUCACAAUAAAUACAUACAAUAAGAAUAUGCAUGCUUUUCCAUUUAACGAUACUUAAUUAAGCACAAAUGAGAAUUUCUCAUUGUGUGGCUAGGUCAAACCCACCGAACCGUCGCGUAGGGCCUCGUUUCGCCGAACAAAGUUGUCCCCGAAUCUCAAAAUACCCUAAAAGUAUUGAGCGACAAGAUACACGGGCAUUACGAUCAUCUUAUAUCAUCAAACAUUAACCUAGAAGCAAAAAGGGACAAAACUCACCUCAAGAGUAGAAAUCUUCUCCUAAGCUCCAAAAGAGAGCUAGAACCCUUCCAAUCCAAGCCCUAGGAAGGUUCUAAACCAACAAAUCAAGCCUCAAAAGCCCUAGGUUCAAAAAGCCCAAAAUAAACCCUAAGUCUCAAAACUAGGGUUUCAUCUCAAAGAAAGCUCUAAAAUCCAAAACUUGAGGAAAGGAUCUUGCCACUUACCUCUUAGAAGCCUCAAAACCAGCUCAAAGUCCUCAAACUUCAAGUGUCUUCCCUGAAUCAAGCUCCAAACCCAAGCUCCAAGCUUCAAAAAUGGUGGAAAUAGCUCCAAUAGGCAAAAGAGAGGGAAAAAUCAUCAAAAUCCAAGCUAGAAUGAGAUCAAAUCCAAAAGGUGGAAAAGAGGGGCUCCUUACCUUGCUCCUCCUCAGGUUCCAGCACCAGGGAGGCCCUAUGGGGCGUGGGUGCUGUUAUAAGAAGCCCACAAUCGCAAAUAAGCCCCUGCAGAACAAACUGUGCAGAAUCUGCCUUCUUGUAUCGGUACACGGGAUCUUGUACCGGUACAAGAGCUACGAAAAUCCAAAACCGAGGCUCGGGUGCGCGGUUCUGCGGCGCUGUACCGGUACAGACCCGAUGGCUGUACCGGUACAACCAUCAACAUUGUACCCGUACAAGACCACCCUUGUACCGGUACAAGCCCGCCAAACAGCCAAUCCGAGAGCUGACCAAAAUCCAAAUUUUUGGGUUUUGGUGCAAGGCUUUGUACCACACUCCUCGGGACACAUGCCAUAGGUCGGAACACAGUCAACGACCUACCAGGAAAUCUAGAAAAGCUCAGAGCACAGCUAAUCACUCGAAUCUCGUAAUUUGCAAAGGUCUAGUGCGUUACAGUUUGCUUAUAACAAUAGUUAUCAAGCAAGCAUCAAGAUGGCACCGUUCGAGGCACUCUAUGGACGGAAGUGUAGAUCGCCACUUCAUUGGAGUGAAGUUGGCGACAGAUUGGCCUUAGGCCCAGAUGUGCUCCAGGAGGUCGAGAACAAGGUUCGCAUUGCUCGAGAGCGACUGUUGACAGCCCAGAGUAGGCAAAAGAGCUAUGUUGAUCGGCGUCGACGAGACUUGGAGUUUCAAGUUGGAGAUCACGUCUUCUUGAAAGUCUCGCCGACUCGAGGGAUUAGAAGAUUUGGAAUCCGGGGUAAGUUGAGCCCCCGAUACAUUGGACCGUAUGAGGUUCUGGAGCGUGUAGGCCCGGUAGCGUAUAGACUUGCUCUACCGCCGAACCUAUCGGGUGUACACAAUGUAUUCCAUGUAUCGGUCCUUCGGAAGUACAUCCACUACCCGGCUCAUGUUUUGGAUGCUACACCAGUGGAGCUGAGGGAUGAUCUGAGCUUUGAAGAGCAACCCUUGAGGAUUUUGGCUCGCGAGGUAAAGAGAUUGCGGAACCGAAAAAUUUCCUACGUGAAGGUGCUUUGGAGCAACCACGACAAGCGCGAGGCCACUUGGGAGUUGGAGAGCGCACUGCGGGAGCGCUAUCCCCAUCUUUUUCAGAUGGAGGCUUGAGGUACUUUGUCUUUUUCGAGUUUUGCGGACGAAACUCUUUUUUAGGAGGAGUGAAUGUAGCACACUGGACCUUUGCAAAUUGCGAGGUUCGAGUGUUCGAGCUGUGUUCUGAGUCCUUCCAGACUUUCUGGUGGGUCGUUGACAGUGUUCCGAUUUAUGGCCCGUAUCCCGAGAAUUGUGGUUUAAAGCUGUGUACCAAAACCCGAAAAAUCGGAUUCUUGGCCAGCUCUCGGGUAGCCUUCAGAGGGUCUUGUACCGGUACAAGGUUGGUGGUUGUACCGGUACAAGGUUGAUGGUUGUAUCAGUACCGCCACCGGGCUUGUACCGGUACAGAGCCGCGGAACCCCCCAGACCCGAGCCUCGGGUUGAAGCUUUUCGUGAGGCUUGUACCGGUACAAGGGCCCGUGUACCAGUACAAGGGCCCGUGUACCGGUACAAGGUGGCAGAAUUUGAGCAGUUUGAACUGCAGGGGUGUUUUUGCGAUUGUGGACCUCUUAUAUCAACACCCACGCCCCUAGGGCUUCCUCCUGAGCUUGCCACAGCAGGAAUAGAGGUAAGGGAGCCCUCCUUGAUUUUCUUUUUGUUUUUCUUGGAUUUUGGUGGGAUUUUAAGAGAUUAAACUCCUCUUUUUGCUCGUUGGUACAACUUCACCAUUGUUGAAGCUUGAAGCUUGGAUUUGGAGCCUUGUUGAGGGAAGAUCUUUGGACUUAGAGAGUUUAGAGCUUGGGUUGAAGCUUCUAAGAGGUAAGCAUCAUAUUCUCUCCCUCUAGAUUUGAUUUUUGUUGAUGGUUUUGAGAUAAAACCCUAAAAUGGAGACUUAGGGCUUAUUUUUGGGCAUUUUUGAUUUAGGGCUUUUGGGGCUAAAUUAAUUGGAUUAGAACCCUCUUUGGGUUGUAUUGGAAGGAUCCUAGCCUUCUUUUGGAGCUUGUGAGAGUUUUUCUACACAUUAGGUGAGUUUUAGCCCUUUUGCCUUGUUGGUUAAUGUUUGAUUUUAUAGUUGAUCGUGAUGCUCGAGUAUCUCUUCGCUCAAUACUUUUAGGGUAUUUUGAGACUCGUGGACAACUUCGUUCGGCGAAACGAGGCACUACGCGACGGUUCGAUAGGUUUGACCUAGCCAUACAAUGAGAAAAUCUCAUUUGUGAAGAUUUGAGUAUCGUUAAUUGAUAAAGCAUGUAUAUUCAUGUUAGAUAUAUUUAUUAUGAAUUUUAGAAUGCUUAACAUGCAUACAUUAUGUAUAGUAAAUUUUUGGACCUCUAUGUGAUAGGGUGCAUGCAUGUGGGACGUAGCAUUCUAGUGGAAACUUAGAACCAUGAUUCCUAUUAUGAAAAUGAACAUUGCUUUCUUGCAUUUAACCUUAUGCCUAAUUGUGACAUUAGGGACUUUGGAAGCCUAGAGAGGUUUGGGGACUUAGGCUAUUUGAGAUUUUGGGCCAAUGUCAUAAAGAGGCAUUGGGCCCCGGGCUAUAGUGAAUAUUGGUAUUAACGUCAUAUUUAGAACAUAGAACAUGAAUUGAGCUUGAUUAGUUGUGAUGCUUAAGUGUCAUAAAGAGGCACUAAGCAAGUGGUGUUGAGAUAUCACAUUGUGACAUAGAGCUAGACCGUUGGGUUACUAGUAGCUAUUGCCAUGUUUGAGACAUGAGGGUUGGAUACUUGAGCCUUUGACUAGGUUGCUUGCCAUUUGUGCUCAUUCGCACAUGUUUGUGAGGGUCGCUCCCUACAAGCUGGCACUCCGGAGUUAGCCUACGCGACUUAUGUUCGCUCGUGCGGUAUUGAGAAACCUACGGGGUCGAGUGGGACAGAUACAUUCCAAGAGUAGGAAUGUCGGGCUACCACAGGCACUUAGGCCGCACAAGCUGGACUACUUUGGGUAGGCCCUUAUUUGGAAAUGGAAAUCGACACAGUGUUGAGUGUGUUAUAAUCACUACUAGAUAGAGAUUAGUAGUUGGAUUACUUGGACUUACUUCUAGCAUAGUAUUGGACACUUGAGUACACAUACGUACAUGUAGUAUGUUAGGAGAUGUUGCUUAUUGCAUUCAUAUAUACAUUGUUGCCAUGAUAAAGCAUGAUCCUUAUAACUUCAUAAGUGAACUGUGACAUUUACUUGUAGCCAUGUAGAGACAUAUUGGUUAUGACAAAGUAAAGGUGCAUUAUUUUUCAACACCAUGCUUAAUUGCAAUAUAGUAGCUUAGCAUUUUAAUUAUGCUCUUAUAAAUACAGUUUAUUCAUUAUUAUUGCUGUUUGCCGUAGUUACCAUUUUCUUUUGGGGCCUAGUGGUGCAUUGAGCUGAGGUUAGUAAUUGCCCACUGGAAACUAUAAUUUAUAGUUCUCACGCCCUCUAUUCUAUGUUUUCUUUCAGAGCCUUCCACGCCGGGAGAGGCUAGGGACCGUGGGAAGUGCGUUGCUUCGAGCUAGCUCUUCAGCGAGGGACGAGUUGCUAGGUGGUUUACCUCUCGAUGUAUUUUAUUUUGGGAGAGGUUGAGAGCUGUACCAGUGUACUAGAGACCACCCUUUGUGUACUUUUGGGACAGAUAUUGUACUACCUUAUGGUUUACUUUUAUUGUUUAGUUGUAUCAUUUUACUUUUGUUAUAGAAAGUAGAAUCUUACUGCUCUGAUAUCAUUAGUUUUUGCUCUUUCCUUUCGGCUAUGUUUCUUGCUUUAUUUCCGCUGUUGACGUAGACACCUUAUAUGUGUUGGCAUAUGGCGGGUCUGGGCACACUACCGGCAGGGCCUCUGCCGGUCCCGGGGCGUGACAGUAUCUACACUAAACAUCCUAUAUGCAUAAGUAACCACAUAUGAGAACAUGAUCAAUAAUACAACUUAGACAUAACCGGAAGCCCAACUGCUUCGAGAUAACACCCCCCACCUUCUGGUGGUGCCACGAAGAUAAGGUUCGAAUUUCGCGAUCUUAGGACGCCGCCUCGGUUCUUUAAGCGAAAACGAAGCCGAAACGCCCUUUUUGCUAAUAUCUUUGCGCAGGCUCGACGGAUCGCCGAACCGUCUUCACCACCGUGUCCGACUACCUAGUAAAUAGGCACAAAAGAGAUCAAUCCCAACCUUGGAUCUCUACUUUACAAAACCUAUUUUAGAACCCUAGGUCGGAACUAUUGCAAGAAUCCGACGUAUAACUUCGCGAUUCAAGCAAUAAUCACCUACUUAGCAUCUAGGGGUUCUAUAAAAACCAUUUCUAAGGUAUAAAACAUCAGACCUAGAAAUCUACCAUUAAAGCUCCAUGAAGCUUACCUCAAAACCUCGCUCCAACAACGAGGAAGAAGAUGAAGAAGACGAAGAUCCGACGUCAACUUCAAUCUCCUUCAAUCCCUUCACUAACUUCCACCCUUGGGGGAGCUUCUAGAGAGAGAAAAGAAGAAAGAAAUGGUGAGGAGAGAGUUCACUGGCUGUGAACAAGAAAGGGGGAGUUGGGGCCCUUUUAUAAGCUGCCACAAUUAUAUAAAAGCCCCUCAAACAAUUCCAAAUUGCAACAGACCCAACCUGCAGUUUUCUGCAGUUGGUACCGGUACACGGGCAAUCUGUCACCGGUUCAACGAUUACGCAGCAGCAACCCGAGAGCAGCCCUUUUCGGUCAGCAGUCUGGUACCGGUACUAUUUUGGUCUAUCACCGAUUAACAGUUGUUGUGUGUCGAUCGUCCCGACCCUUGACCUAGUCAAAGAUCUUCUUCGGGAAGCGCGUCGGGGCUGAAAUGGCUCCGAAAGAUGACCCUCGAAGUGUGUGCCCUUUUACUGAACAAGCGAUUCGGCUGAUGAGGGAUCCAAUUAGCCAGGUCUGAAGAACUCUAUUCUCUCUUUGGUUCGGCCGGAUGAGCCGAAUGUAUGGGAAAAGUCGGAAACUCAACCAGGAGAUGAGCCGAACGGCUAACACAACACAAGAUCUGGCCGGUCUGAAGAGCCGAAAAUGACUUUCUAUUGAAUGAACCAGUAGAGAGUACAGGAAGAAAGGUUUUAGUCUACAACGGAGUGAUGCCCCGGGGGCAGACAGACUCCAGGAUCCUAAAUUACCAAGCUACUCCUAGAAAAAGCAGUAAAUGCAGGAAAGAAAGAUGCGGUAAAAUAAGGGUGGUCUUUUGUUCGCAAGGAAAAAAUACCCGUUUUUAGGGUGUUAUUACCCUAUUUAUAGAUCGCCCCCUUGAUCAGUUAUUGCUCUUACAUGAUCGGUCAUUAUCUCCUCAUAUUCCGGAUCACCUCCAGCCGAUCGGAACCGCAUGUAACUGCUUGCGGUUACUGUAACUUCCUUCAAUUGGCGCGAUUUAGUUUCCUUUAAACUUUUUCGGUGCUCCGAUACCCCGGGGGCAGACAGACUCCAGGAUUCUAAAUUACCAAGCUACUCCUAAAAAAAACGAUAAAUGCAGGAAAGAAAGAUGCGGUAAAAUAAGGGUGGUCUUUUGUUCGCAAGGAAAAAAUACCCCUUUUUAGGGCAUUAUUACCCUAUUUAUAGAUCGCCCCCUUGAUUAGUUAUUGCUCUUACACGAUCGGCCAUUAUCUCCUCAUAUUCCGGACCACCUCCAGCCAAUCGGAACCGCAUGUAACUGCUUGCGAUUACUGUAACUUCCUUCAAUUGACGCGAUUUAGUUUCCUUUAAACUUUUCCGGUGCUCCUGGUGCACGACCGAAUAAAUGCUUUUGAAGGGAAUACCAGCAUCCCACCUGUCCGCGCCUAAUUGGCUCAACAACAGCCUUGACAGAGGCUAACCCGAGAGCAACUCUGCUCUCGGUUUCUGUAGUGUACCGAUGACACCCCUGGGCUGUCACCGGUUCACAACGCUCCAGAUUUGAUUCUCGCAUUGUUACGACUCCAAUUCACGCCGAGCAAUGCUAAAACCUCUCUAACUCUUUUGGAACUCAAUUUUAACCCUUCCAACAUAGUUGGAAUGUCAAAUGGAACAUGUCCAAGCAUCCGUCUCGCCACACUUUGGUCACUUUGACCAAAAGUGGAUUAUUACUAUGAGGAUUCGAUAUCUUACAGUUGGGGUAGUCGUGUACUCUAAUAUUAACCAAAAUGGUGAAUACCUUGCAAUAUACACGCAUUAAACAUCCUGAGAAAACAUUUGGUACACUUAUAAUUUCAUAUAUUACUGCCAUGCCAUAUUUUGCGUAAUACUGAAUUGCUACUUGUCUCUACAUUUGGAACACCUACAGGUCAAAAUUGUGUAAUCUAAAUAAAAAACUAAUAUCGUUAACGGCCAUAUAACUGUUGGGAUAAAUCAGAGCCUAUGUAAACAUAGAUGAUACAGCUAUUCUCUGGAUCUGCAAAUUGUCUUCACCUUCUUGAGGUGUAGAAGUAUAGCAAGUGUUAACCUGCAUGACCAGAUCUACCACUGGCUCACACCAUUAUGAUUGUCUCCGUUAUAGUGAAAUAUGAUUGUGUUGUCUGACUUUACACAUGCGCAAGAAUCCAUAUGUAGAUGUUCUUUUAUUAUAUAUAGAGGGAAUUAAGUAUGAUGCCAAAUACCAUCAAAAUCUAUGUAAUACCGCAUCAUUGUGCAUCCUUAGGUCAUUCUCUAGCACUGUUUGAGGCAUCAAACUGUGCGCAUAUGUUAAUCUGCAUAAUGAGACUGCCUACUGGCUCACACUACUAUUAUAAUUUUAGUCUAUAUUUAUAGUGAAAUGUGUACCAGGAACCACUAUUGUAAUGUACCAACUUCUUGAUAUAAAGAUCAGUGUAAAUAAAAAUAGUGUGAGAUACUAUUUUUAUUGAACUUAAAGAAGUAAAAUAUAAGUCGAAAAUGACUUGUGCUGAAAUUGGAGUGGAAACAGAAGAUUUAGAAUUUUCUGUAAAAAACGGGGAUGAUCUUUUAGCAGAAAAUUCACAGUGUCAGAAAAUUAUGAAAACUUGAGAAUAUGUCGGAAUUACUUUUAUGAGGCUAGAUUUAAUGUUUCAUGUCAUUCUAACAACUGGAAGGUGGAAAAUAAAAUCUGACUGUGAUCUACUAGAGAUUUUAGUCGGUAGAAUUUUUGGUGACAAAAAAUGGUCCAAACUGAAAAGUUAAGAUAUCUUUCUUCUUAUUAGUUUAAACCGAGUCUGACUGUCAAAUUUGAGUGCAAACGGACAUUCAAAAGGGCUCCGACGAAAAGUAUCAGAUUCUGAACUGCUAAACUGAAAUUGUAAUAGUGUUGGGGGACAUAUAUAUAAACCCACACAACUCUCUCUCUCAUUGGUUUUCAUCGAGCACGAGAGGAGCUUGGAGAGGGGUUUUCUUUCUCUUUAAAUCACUCUCCCUCUACUCUCUAACACUUUUCUCUCCAUUCCUCUUGUAAUUUCUCCAUUAAAGAGAGGUUUGGAGGAGCUUAAGGUUGCUUGGUGGUGAAGCAAGCCUUGGGGAGAAGAAGCUUCAUGAAAGCAAAGGAUUCAAGGUGAGACUUCCUUAAAGUUGAGUUAGGAUUUUAGUUAAAUCCUUUAAAAGUUGUUGUAUUUAGGAUCUAUAUAUGAUUUUAAGCUAGUUUAAUGAAGGGUUUAUCAUGAUUAAUGAGAUUCUCUUGAGGAAAUGGAAACCUAGGGUUGAAAUUGGGGUUUUUGUCCCUAUGAGGUUUUGAAUUAAAUUGACCCUCUAAAUAUCUAAUUAAAGGUUAGAAGAGCACGCCCAACAACUUUAAUUAGGAUGCGUAGCGGCCUCGGCGAUCGAUCGAAGGAAACAAAUUGAUUCAUGAAGAUUUGAGUUCGUUAGCCUUAAAGCGCGGCGAAUCGUCAUUGGGAGCCCGAUUGCAAGUGACUACAAGCAAUCGAAGAGCGUUACGAGGUGGGUUGUGCUUCACCGAAGUGAUUAGGUCAUUUCUAAGCCAAAGUGAAGUAUAAAUGUUGUUGAUGCAUGUAAAAUUGGUAGGUUGUAUAUGAUAAUAUAAAUGUAUAAAUCAUAUUAUGCUUGAUGUUGUUACCUACCAUGAGAUGCUAUAUGAAUGCAUGAAGUAGAAGCUAAUCAAGAACGCAUGAGAUAGAUGCUAGUAAUGAACAUAUGAGAUGUAUGCGAAGUGGAUGCAUGAGCUAGAUGCUAAAUGAAUGCAUAGAGUAUAUGCUAAGUGAAUACAUGAACUAGAUGCUAAGUAAAUGCAUGAGUUAGAUUCUAAUUGUAAAUGCAUAAGAUAUAUACUAAGUGAAUGUAUGAGCUAGAUGCUAAAUGAAUGCAUGAGUUAAAUGCUAAAUGAAUGCAUUAGGUAGAUGCUAAUUGUAAAUGCAUAAGAUAUAUGCUAAGUGAAUGUAUGAGCUAGAUGCUAAAGAACGCAUGUGAGAGUUGCUAAAGAAUACGUGGGACAUAUGCUAAUAAAGAAUGUAUGAGUUGUAUGCCAAAUGUAUAUUGAUUACUAUUGUGAUAAGAACAUAGGCAUGUGUAGGAAAUGUUAGAGAAUAUAUGCAUGUUGACAUAACGUGAGAAAAUGCUAGGUUCAUACGAGUGUGAACUUGGGUCGAUAACUCUAGGUUGUUAGAGAAUUCGACAAGUGUGGCAUGUCAAUUAUGAUUCCUAGGUAUGGACAACUAGGAAAAUAAGAACAUGAGUGGCAAUGAAACCUAGUGUUAUUAAACAUAGGUGAUUCAUGAGUGGCAUUGAACCUAAAGUCAAAUGAACCUAGGUAGCAAGGAGCAAGGAACCUAGUAUUGUAGAACCUAGGCUAUGAGUAUAGUGGCAUUAAGCCUAAUGUUAUUAAAUUUAGGUUGAGGAGUGACUUGAACCUAGAAAGGUUGUCAACAUACGGUAAGACCAACCUUGAGAUAUGAAAGUGGAUUCCGGAAUCUCAGGACUUGUGAACUCGACAGUUCUUGGCCGCGGGUGCGUAUGGCAUAUUCCCCUCCCAUCGGAAGAACUUCGAGUAUAGGCUUAUGGAUGAUUCUUGGCCGCGGGGGCUGUGUGGCAUAUUCCCUUCCCACCGGAAGAAUCUUGGAGCGCUAGGGUGUAUGUGGCAUGUUCCUCUCCCUAUCGGGGAUCUUGGGCCGCGGGUGUGUGUGGCAUAUUCCUCUCCCACCGGAAAGAUCCCUAACCACGGGUGUGCGCUGCUCUGAGCGACCCGUUGGGCGACGUGGUUUGUGGAAUGGUGGCUGAGGUGCAUGUGAGAGUUCCUUCACCUGGAGCUGGACAGAGCGCGGAUUAUUUGCAGUCGAUUGACUCAAGACCGAGUCGAGUGGCAUAGUUGGCUAAGGUAAAGGUAACCUUAGGAAAGAAUGACAAAUGAGUAUAAUAUGGCUAAGGUGGGAGUACCCUCAGUGAAGAAUAAAGAUUAGCUAAGAAUAAUAAAAAAAGUCAAAGAAUAAAGAAUUGCUAAUAAUAUAAAGAAUGGCAAAUGAUAGAGAGUAGAAUCAAUUGAUCUACUUGCAUAGUUGCAUGAUUUGCAUAGUUGCAUAUUGUGGGGCAUGAACAUGAUAAUUGCUAGUCGCAUAAAUUAUAUAUCUGUGAAUAUUUGUUGGACUAACAUAUUUGCAGUGCCUCCUUUGGACCUGGUGGGUCGAGCUCUUCCCUUGGGUGACCGUACCCACUGGGAACUAUGGACAAUAGUUCUCACCCCACAUUAUUUUGGGGGUUUCAGGUUCACACGCGAGUUGCGCGGCGGCGCGAGGAAAGGGCGCAGCUCCAUAGAUAGCGCCCUACCACUGAGACUAGAGAUAGCGGUACCCUGAGUCGACUACUUAGGGAUGUGAAAAAGGAAAAAAAAUCAAGUUGUAAUAAUUAUGUUAAAUGGGAUUGUAUUUGGAACUUAACAAGAGUUGAAAAUGUAAUAUGUAAAAUGUAUGUAUGUUGGAUGCUUGUAAUAGCAUAGCGUUUAUGUUUUUGAUACCUUCCUUAUGCAAUCUUUGUUUGAAUGCUGUUCCUGGUUGAAACCUCGCGCAUUGUAUGAUUGUGACGUCUUGGACGUACAGGGGAGACUCUGUCCGCGAUACAGGGGAAACCCUGUCCGUUCGGCGGUAUGUUGGCGUGCCCGAAUCCGACCAAAUAGGUGGGGCUCGGGGCGUGACAACUAUAGUCAAUCCAUUUCCAUAAGAAUAAGCCGUGAAGUAUCGUGUACCGUGCAGAGGUAUUCACCAUCCCAACAUCUUUUUGAGUGUUGAUAGUGUUAUAUCAAAUAUGACAAAUUCGUUUUGACCUGAAGGUGUAUUUAUACUAGUAUGCUACUUUUUGUAUACCCAUCUAGCAUAUAGGUACACUAAUACAGAAGUAAAGCACAAUAUUUAAGGACUUGCCCUGCAUGCCUAAAAGCGACAGCUAUAGAUUAACCGGUGCACACCUUUAAAAUUAUAGCAAGUACCUAAAUAAAUUAGUGACAUGUCUUCUCUUGCAAGUCAGUACAUACUUUGACUUGAUUCAUCCCGCAGGUGCUGACAGUGGGUGUCUCAUAUAUGUAGAUUCUACUAUUACAUGUCGGUAAUAUUACUUAAUGCCUGACUUAUGAAUAAUCUGCAUGAUAAGACAUGUCAAUUUCCUUUAGUAUUGUCUUUUGAGUUGGUAAAGGUGUACCUUAGUCCACCAGAGGUAUUCCAUUGGACAUUAAGAUAGGAAUGCACGGACAGACCUUCAUAAUUUAUUAAUAUAGCUAGCACUGUAUAAUGGGUAGGGGUGGAAACGAGCCGAGCUCGAGCGAGCUUACCUCAGCUCAAACUUGGCUUGAAGUUAUUUUCGAGCCUAAAUUUAGGCUCAAGCUUCGCUUGAAAUUAAUUCGAGCCGAGCUCGAGCGAGCCUAACUUCGAGUCGAGCGAGCUCGAGCCCUAAAUGAGCCGCUUAAAAUUCUUAACAUCAUGCAAUCUAUAAUUUAAUUUUUAUAAAACAUUAUGUAAAAUUUGAUACAAAAUGUCACGCCCCGGGACCGGCGGAGGCCCUCCCGGUANGACGAGUAGCUAUAAUUCUAAAGCUAAUACAAAAUAGUUGGGGAAGGGCUGGUUAAGUAGAGCUUCAGAGUAUUUUCAUCAUAAGCUGUAAGCUUUUACAACUAUGGGAGAUAGUCCUACGGGGGCGUUAUACAGGUAUUAAUCAACCACUGAUCACUUGCCAGAUCACGCUGUACCAGAGAAUAUGUUCCAUAAAACUUUGAGUUUCUGUGGAAGCAACUAUUUGUAUUGAACGUGGAGUAGGGUUAUUAGAAGGAGAAGUAGAUUCUUACGGUACUCUAAGCGGUGUCAACCUCUAGAUUUUUGAGCUGCUAACUAAUUGACUCAGUAGUGAUGUUAGGUUGUUUUUUUAUUUUUCGUUAAAAAUCUUUCUUACUUGUAAGAUUAUACGUACAAUUAAAUGUGUUAGAUUUUUACGACCUAAUACUUCACCGUUAAAGCUAAAGUCUACCGAGUCUACAUUUUUCCAAAUCUUAUUUUGACACCGACAUCACCCUAACCAGGUAAGAAGGGAUGGUAAAUGUAGAUGAUGGGAAAAUACGUAGUAACAGCUUUGUUUUUACACUAUACUUAUACGACGUAUUUCUCUUCGUUACCUGUUUUAUGAUGAUAAUCAAGGUUUACCAAUUCUUUAACAUUAAUAUUAUCCUUUUUUUACACGACGAUAGUCAAAGUAUACCAAUUCUUUUACGUUAGUAUUUUCAGGUAACUACAUUCGAUCGAAAGUUCACAUUCCCAAACGUUAUUUUACAAUAACCGUUGACGUCACCAGACAGGGACGGAGGUAUGGUAAAUAUUGUGGUAUAGUAACUGAUUUGAUGUUAAAUUAUGUUUUUUACGACGUAUUAAUCGUUAUCGUUACGAAUUUCUCGUUAUUGUAUCUAUGUAUUUCUCGUUCUUAUCACGGAGAACUAUACGACAGUAGUUAGUAAGAAUCAAAAGUUUCACGUUAUUAUAUCCACGUAUAUCACGUCCUUUUUUCUAAUAUACGACAGUAGUUAAGUAAUUUCUCUUUGACGUACUCAUAUCAAGGUAAAUUUCGUCUUGUAUUUUUUCUUUUUUAUACAACGGUAGUAAAGGUGUCUCUAUCUCUUGACCUUCAUAUUUCCAGUACAAUAAAUUCGUCCUAAUUCUCACUUUCCCAAAUUUUAUUUUACCACCGACGUUAUCAUCAGUAGGGAUGAAGGUUGGUAAAUGUAUUUUUCGUCCUUGUUACGGAGAACUAUAGCACGGUAGUUUAUAUCUAUCAAAUGUUUGACGUGUUUAUAUCUACGAAUUUAUCGUCCUUGUUUUUUAAUAUACGAUGGUAGUUAAGUUCUAAAAUUUAUAUUGAUAUAAUAUGUAAGUAUUCGUUUCAAUGUCUCCUUUUUAUACGACGGUAAUUAGGAAUUAGUCACGUUUUUGAUGUUAUAAUAUUCGGGGUAGCCAAGAUUAAUUAAAUUUUAUCGUUAUUAAUCAAAAAUUUGUCGUCCUAUAAUGAUAAAAUUUGUCACUUCAUUGUAGCAAGGUAUGUAAACUCAAAGGUUGAUGUAACUGGUAUUUAUCAUGCUAUUUCCUAUUGUAUUCGACGAUAGUUAAGAUGUAUCUAAUCUUUAUCGGUAUUAUAUCCUUUGAUUUUCUGGUAUUUAUAUCAUCAAAUCUAUGUUUUUUCCCGCUUUGUCAUCCUUGCAUUAAGUAUAUCCGGAACGAUUGGUGUAUCUUUUGGGUUUUAUAUAGUUCAAACACACGUUCCGGCGUUUUUGGUCCACCGUCUAAUUUCUAUAAAUAGAUCAAUCCUCCCUUCCUCCCACGCAGUCCGUACAAAGGUCACCGGUCGGCAACGUACUGGUGAACUGCCAGUUAGGUGUAUAUGUUUUAUAGAGGUGAGUAUCUGUACUUGUAACUGGAUAACGCGAGUAGGAACUUUCGCAGUGUACGUCUCUCCUAUCGAAGUUCUCUAUCUGGCCCUUACAAUAAAUCAGAAUGGUAUGUGAGGAGAUACCUCACUUCAAAACCUGUUCGCAGUUAGAGUGCGACAUCGUUAGCGAGUCGAUACAAGUUAGAAAAAAACGGUUCGAGUUGGUUGAGAACGUAUGUUAGUCUCAACAAAAGUUAAAAAGGAAAUGCCCAACUACAGCCACAUCAGAAUGCACUGCCUCCACUCCUUGCUGCAGAGAAUGGUCUUCUUCAUACUCGUCUUCGUGAUCAUUACACGCCUAAAGGUGAGAAUUGACCCCAACCUCACCCUCUUAUACUUCAACGUAGUAACUACGGUAGAAGUAAAACGCCGCUGUAACGGUACCCAUUAACCACCGAUGGUCUUCAAACGGGUACAGGACUUCCUGGCCGGUACCUAAAAGACUAAACGAGAUUUUACCGCCAACACGGGCCCCUACUACUACUGUACGAUGCUUGUAGGAGUGAAACGUAAGGUCAGCAUUUAGGUACGGAUGGGCAUCGUCACCAGAAAGGUCUAUUCUUGAGUUACAGGAAUAUACGUCCCUUGCCAAACAGGGAUGUGAAUCGUAUUCGACUUAAAAGAACAUUGUUAUAUUUUGUGUUACCAGUUGACUCUUUUGAUAUUAAUAUAUUUUUAAUUUUAAAGUUCUAUUAACCAAGUUGUUGUAUGGCGAUGGUGAUGUAAGGUUAGUGAAUCCAGCGGACGACAACCUUACAACGCUAGUAUUAGGGUUGGGGUAGGUGAGAAUAAUCGAUUACAAACUAUGUACUGCUUAACAGCGAAGUUGUGAAAAUCAGCUAAAACAUUUACCGAAAAUUGUUUCAAACGAAAACAAGCGUCCAACUUUAGUACUUAAUAAGAAGGGGUUCGUUCACCUCAUUUUGAAGGUAACUGCUUUAAAGGUUCUUGUACAAGAAGACAGUAGUUCAAGUUGUAACGGCUUAGGUACUGGAAACAGGUUAAAGGUCUCGCAUGAGACCCAAAGCUCUAAAGGACUGACACCGAAACCUCCGAAACCGAUAGUCAACUCCACUGUAGUUAUUGCAAAUACAAAACAGAAUGUUUUGCUACUUGAACAGAUAAAACUCCAUCGUAGACUUCAAUUAGUUGUAUAUUUAUUUAUUUAUUUAAUUGUUCAGCAGCACUUCAUGUCGAAUAUCAUUCAAUUGUACCGAAUCUUCUUUCCCCUAUUACUACUAGUGCCACCGACGUUACGCUUUUUGUACGGUGGGUUGGUACUUCAAGAUCAAAGAAUGGGUACGUAGUAGCAGAGUAAAAUACAGUUUAUUCCGUAGGUUGUUCCGUUGUCUCUUUCGUGGUGGUAAAGUGUUAUGGAGGUUCUAGUAUACGUAACUCAUGUACAAGUAGUCGUCUAUGACUAUUAAGGGUCACAAGUCGAUAUAUAUCUUGUACCAAUAAGGUCAAAAAAUUGACACAUCUUAACUACCGUCGUAUAGAAAUAAAAACAGGACGAUAAAUACUUGGAUAUAAUAACGUGAAACUUAUCUGGGUAUGUUUACUACCGGAUAGGUCUCUCGGAUUUAUUUUACGUUAUCCUUCUGUUUCUUUGUAUUAUAUUUAUCGUACGUUUUAAUAUAUUUUGUUGUUGGAACAGAAAGUUGUUAUAAUAAAUGAUAAUAAAUUUCAUCCGUGUAAUAUAAUGUCUUUAAUUCUUUUUAGACUACCAAAUGGAUUUUUAGAUUAAUAAAUUUUAGUUGAUAAUACUUGAAAAGUCGUAUUAUCAACAUUUUUUACUUAUUCUUUAUUUCAUUAUUCUGCUUAGAUCAUCUUUGGUUCUCUUUUCGUUCUGCAUUCUCAUCUACUUAAAAGCCGGUAUUAAUUAUGUGAGUUUGACUUCGAAAUGUUAACUUUAUUUUAUUAUUAUCCUUAGUUGUGUAUUUAUAUUUACCUCGUUAGUGAGUUGUACUUACUUAGCAGGAUACAUAACUUAACCAUCGACGUAUCCUGAUUAGGGUAUACGGAGGUUUAGUGUUAUGUAGACUUAAGUUUUUACGAAGUGACGAACAAUUAUCCUAUGUAGAGCAAGGGUAAGUUCCGGGUCGUAAUAGUUUCAAUCCGGUGUUCAAUGUAGUUUGAUCUAUUUUUUUUUGGGUGGAAACAUUCUAGUUCCUCGCGUUUAUGCUAAUUGAUAAGUCUACUCGUGUCACUUCCCAUCUCAAAGGAGUUGGUGUCUUAAAAACUCCCCAAACGUAGAGUGGGACCACGUAUGAUAAAUAUCCCUUCUUCAGUCCUGAAUGAUACAAUCCAUCCUCUUUUAUUCACAUCAAUUACCUCUGCUGAGCUGUUGAGCUUGAUUGUCGUUCUAGCCUCUUCUAUAGAAAGACAACACGUCGGUUCUCUCUAACGGAAUUAAUUACCGGCUAGAUGCGUCCCUUGGCUCGAAAACUUUUGUUAUCUACGCAUCCUCUGUAACGAAGUCCUCAUUUUCGUUUGGUGAGGUUAUUUAUCCCAAAACCCCGUCACUUCUUCUGCUAUUUAUCCCAGAAACCCCGCCACUUCUUCUACUGCGAUAGAAACCAUCCGCGCUCCGUCAUUUUUCCUUUUUUUUUCUUUACAAGCGGAUCCCUUCUCUUCUUCUCAUCCCUCUCCCCAUAUCUAUCCACGCUCCUUUUUCAUUUCUUCUUAGUGUUCUCCUUCUUCUGCUGCGUCGAAGAGCUCUUUUUCUACUUCUGCUUCUACCCCGUCCACGUUCUCAUUUCCCCGCUAUGCUUGCUCCGUUUCGUCGUUUUAUUUUAUCUUAAAGGGUAGGGACGGGGACCCUGUUUUAGAUUAAGGUCCCCACCCCCCCUUAAUUAGAAUUGCCCAAUAAGGUCAAAAAAGACCUUAUUGGGCGAAACUGGCCAUAUUCGAUAAGGACAGAAAAAAAAAACAAACCAUCUUAUAUAUCCUAUUUUAUGAAAUAGGAGACCAAUAAGAUAAUGGUUUGUAUCGGAAUACCAUAUUUUCACAAGAUUUGGGUUUUUGACUAUCGUCACAAGAUAAUUCGAAAUGCUUACAAGAUAAUUCAGUAUUCUCCCAUUCUAACGUUACGUAUAUACAAGCGUUGACGUUUGGACUAUUUUCACAAGAUAAUUCGAGAUUCUCAUAAGAUAAGAUGAUACUGUUUUCUCACAAGUGUUGGUGUUUUGAUAAUUCUCACAAGAUAAUUAGAAAUGUUGACAAGAUAAUACCGUGUUUUCACAAGAUAAGAUGAUACUGUUUUCUCACAAGUGUUGGUAUUUCGAUAAUUCUCACAAGAUAAUUAGAAAUGUUGACAAAAUAAUACCGUAUUUUCAUAAGAUAAGAUAUUACUGUUUUCUCACAGGUGUUCAUAUUUUGAUAAUUCUCACAAGAUAAUUGGAAAUGUUGACAAGAUAAUACCGUUAUUUCACAAGAUAAGAUGAUACUGUUUUCUCACAAGUGUUGGUAUUUCGAUAAUUGUCACAAGAUAAUUAGAAAUGUUAAUAAGAUAAUAGCGUAUUUUCACAAGAUUUGGGUUUUUGACUAUCGUCACAAGAUAAUUCGAAAUGCUUACAAGAUAAUUCAGUAUUCUCCCAUUCUAACGUUACGUAUAUACAAGCGUUGACGUUUGGACUAUUUUCACAAUAUAAUUCGAGAUUCUCACAAGAUAAGAUGAUACUGUUUUUCUAAUAAGUGUUGGUAUUUCGAUAAUUCUCACAAGAUAAUUGGAAAUGUUGACAAGAUAAUACUGUAUUUACACAAGAUAAGAUAAUACUAUUUUCUCACAAGUGUUGGUAUUUCGAUAAUUCUCACAAGAUAAUUGGAAAUGUUAAUAAGAUAAUACCGUAUUUUCGCAAGAUUUCGAAUUUUGACUAUCGUCACAAGAUAAUUCGAAAUUUUUAUAAGAUAAUUCAGUAUUCUCCCAUUCUAACGUUACGUAUAUACAAGCGUUGAUAUGUAGACUAUUUUCACAAGAUAAUUCGGGAUCUUUACAAGAUGAUACUGUUUACUCACAAGUGUUGGUAUUUCGAUUAUUCUCACAAGAUAAUUCGACAUUCAUACAAGAAAAUACCGUAUUCUCACAGUCUAACAGUUCGUAUGUACAAACGUUUGUGUUUAAAAUAUUCUCACAAGAUGAUUCUCACAAGAAUAUUCGAGAUUCUCAUUUGGGAAAUACCGUAUUCUCACUGUUUAACAUUGCGUAUGUACGAGUGUCGGUUGAUAUGUGCUUAUGUUUGUUUAAUUAAUAAUUAUGUUUAUAUGUUCAUACGUAUUCUCUUAUAUGAUCAUUGGGGUUUGUAUAAAAGAUAUGGAAAGACGUAUGAUCAUUGCGAUUUAUACAAAAGGUAGUAUUUGAUUCGUUUUAAAAUACUUUACGUACUUUAUAUACACACAAUGACACCUGCGUAGAAGAUUUGGGAUUUGGGAUUAAGAUUAGUAUUUAUGAAAUAAAAAUGUUUACGUUAUUUUUUAUAUUAUAUGGUCGUCACAGGAUUUUUAUUUUAAUUAGUCGAUCAGCCACUGCUUUAGGCCUCGUGCAUUUCUGUUUGGGUUGGACGUUGGGAUUUGGGAGUUUUAUAUCUUAAAUAUAAUUUAAAUUUUAAAAUUUAUUUUCUAAUAUCUUUAAGUUUUUAUUACGGGACAAACUCAACUUAGGAGACAAGCCAACAACGGCUUAAUCGAGGCUUUAGCAAAAGUUAAAACCUGCGUGUACUCACGUCCUUACUCACUGUCCAUGACCCUACUUAUCCCCUCGUUAACUCUCCGUUAGAGGAUGGUUACCUCUCUCCGCUCCCGCUCUCUGUGGAAGCUCUGCCGAAACCUGUGCUCUACACACCUUGCUCACGACGGAUUGAAAACGGGCUACCUCAACUCACGGGACGGUCACUCUCGCUCUCUUUCUCUCUCCCUUCUCGCGCUCUAGUUCUCUCUCCGCUCCCUCACUCUCUCUCUCGCUCUUUGCCUCUCUCGCUCUUAUUCCACACGCCCUCUCUCUCUCUCUCUACACAUGAUCUUCCCAUAUCGAAAUCCUUCUUUAUUUUUCCCCUCACUUCAAUCGACGAUGAUGACACGAUCACGGGAUUAUAGUCGGCAACCUAGUAUGCCCACAUCCUACAUGUGGAAAGAUUUCAUCAGACCGAUCUCAAAAGGAUAAAAUAUCAAUAUAUUAAAUAAAUUAAAUAUAAAAAUAUAUAUUUAUUUAUUAAUAUAUAUUAUAUAUAAAAAUAAUAAAUUAAAAAUCGUUUUAUUUUUAUAUUUACGCUCGAAUUAAUAAUUUUUUAUGUACAUUUCAAAGUUAAUAAUCUAGUUUCAGAUUACCUAUUCUAAAAUAUUUAAAUAAAAAAUAUAUAUAAAUUAGAUUAAAAAAAAUUAAAUAACAAGCAACCGGUCGAGCACUCGGUCGACCAUAAGCCGAGCAAUUAUUUGCUCAACUUGUGCUCGAUUUAAAAAGCCGAGCUAUGAAAUUGUUCGAUUAAGCACAAGAUGAGCAAAUUAUUUGCUCGGCUUGUUUUCGGUUGGGUCGGGCGAGCACAAGCAGAGCAAAUGUGGGGAUGGACGUUCCGACGUUGCGACGACCAGCAACCGAGCCCUGUAAUCUUGUUCGUCGUCAAAGGGGCUUCUGGUGAACGUUUCAGAUUUCGGGUGCAUUUUGGGGGGUGUUCAUUUGGGGAGCUAGGUCAGGAGGGAGCUAGAGAAGGUUACGGCGGGUGAGAGGGAGAAGUGGCGGCGGCGGAGGAGGAGGGCAGGGUGGUGAUGCCACUGGUUUAGGCGUGGAAGCAGCUGCGGGCGCACUUCACCCACGCCCUGGCGCGGGAGCUGGUGCGGCACCUCUUCCUUUUCGUGGAGGUUGGGAAGGUGCGGGAGUUUCUGGAGGAGGAGGAGAGGCGGCGUAGGAGGAGAGGAAGAGGAAGAGGCAGAGGCAGGGAGGGGGAGAGGAGGCAGCGGCGCGCGGCGAGGCUAGAGGCGGAGGGGAAGGCGCGGUAGGCGAAGUAGGCGGAGAAGGGGAGGCGGAAGGAGCUUCUGGAGGGGAGCAGCAGCAGCAGGAGGAGAGCAGGGGUGGGGCAGUAGGCGGUUUUAUAAAACAUUAUGUAAAAUUUGAUACAAAAUGUCACGCCCCGGGACCGGCGGAGGCCCUCCCGGUAGCGUGCCCAGACCCGCCAUAUGUCUACACAUAUAAGGCGUCUACAAUAAAAGCGGAAGUAAAAGCAAGUAAUAGAACAAAUAGAAGAAGUGAAAUAAUGAGCAGCUAAUGAUAUCAGAGCGAGUAAAGUUCUAACAUCUACACCAAGGUAAAAAAGAAUAAAGCUAGACAAUAAAAGAAAUCAUAAGUAGUACAAUAUCUGUCCCAAAAGUACAAAAACGGUGGUCUCUAAUACACUGGUAGAACUCUCAACCUCUCGCAAAAGGAACAAAAAAUCGAGAGGUAGACCACCUAGCAACUCGUCCUCGAAGGAAGCUAGCUCGAAGCAACUCCCUUCCCGCGAUUCCUGGCCUCACCCUGAGUGGAAGGCUCUGAAAAACAUCGAGAAAAAGAGGGCAUGAGAACUAUAAUUUAUAAUUCCCAGUGGGCAAUUACUGACCUCAGCUCAAUGCACCACUAGGCCCCAAAAGAAGAGGGUAAGUACAAUAAUAAUAGCAAUAAAUAGCGAACACGAAACUGCUGAAGGAAGCAUGAAUGAAAUGCUAUGCUACUAUGUCUCCAAUAAGCAUGAUGUUAUGGUAAUGUACAUCUACGCUAUCAUAAGGUAAUAUAUAUCCGAUGCAUACUAAUAUGUCUCAACAUAAAAAGCAAGUAAACCUCACGAUGCCAUAUGUCAAUGCAUAAGGGUAAACUUUAUCCAAACAACCGAGUAUGCUACGAUGCGAUAAUGAAACCGGCAAGUAUACUAAAUGUACCAAUGCUAUAUCAUAAGCGUGUCCAAGUAAUCCAACUACUAAUCCUAUCUAGUAGUGAUUGUUCAUAUUCAACACCGUGUCGAUUUCCAUUUCCAAUUAAGGACCUACCAAAGGUAGUCCAGCUUGUGCCGCCUAAGUGCCUGUGGUAGCCCGACAUUCCUACUCUUGGAAUGUGUCUGUCCCACUCGGCCCCGUAGGCUUCUCAAUACCGCACGAGCGAACGUAGUCGCGUAGGCUAACUCCGGAGUGCCGGCUUGUAGGGAGCGACCCUCACAAGCAUGUGCGAAUGAGCACAAAUGGCAAGCAAGCAUGGUCCAAGUCUCAAGUAUCCAAUUCUCAUGUCUCUAACAUGGUAUAGUCACUAGCAUCCCGAAGACCUAGUUUAAGUCACAAUGUGAAAUUUCAACAUUUGCUACGCCUAGUGCCCCUUGAUGACACUUAGGCAAUUUGAUGUUCGACAUGUUUUCCAAAUCCCUCAAUGGCCCUAUCCACUAAAUUCACACAAGUCCUGAGCUCAAUGCCGCUUGAUGACAUUAGCUCUCCAAUUCACAUGAUAUCAAGUUCGAUGCCUACAUAUGAAGCAAUUGUCAUCUUUCAUGUCUCAAUUAAACUUAUGUUUAAACGCAUGAAUCAUAGCUCAUUUACUCUCUAGAACCAUGAAAUCAAACCCCAUAUAGAAUGCUAAAUGCAACCCAAGAUCUCCCAAACAACUCUCUACUACAUAGAGGUCCAAAGAUACAUCAUAUAUAACAUAUGCAUUUUAAGCAUUCUAAAAAUCAUAAUAAAUACAUUUAAUAUGAAAAUGCAUGAAUUAAUUAGUAACAAAGCACUUAUCACCAAAUAUGAGAUUUUCUCAUAUCAAAGGCUAGGUCAAACCCACCGACGACAACGAAGCUUUUCGUUUGCUCCAACGGAGGUUUCCACAAGCUUUCUAGCACCCUAAGAACAUCAAAAAGGGUGUCAUCCAAUCGAUACGAAGAGUAAUAAGCUCGAUCUUUAACCUAGGAGCAAAAAGGGUCAAACUCACCUCAAGAGUAGAAAUCUUCUCUUAAGCUCCAAAAGAGAGCUAGGGUUCAACCAAUCCAAGCCCAAGGAAGGUUCUAAACCCACCAAUCUAGUCUCUAAAGCCCUAGAAUCAAAAUCCCCAAAAAUAAACCCUAAGUAUCAAAUCUAGGGUUCCAACUCAAAAUUUAGCAAAAACAUGGAUCAAAGGCUCAAAUCAUGUUGCUAACCUCUCUAGAAGCUUGAGUAUUCUAUAGUGUCACCUAAAUAGCUUGGNUAAUAGAGAUGCCACAAUUGCGAAAAACCCCCUGCAGUUCAAACUGCUCAGAUUCUGCCAAAGUGUACCGGUACACGGGAAAGUGUACCGGUACACAUCCUACGAAAACGCAAACCCGAGGCUCGGGUUCGUAAUUUGCCACAAGUGUACCGGUACAACCAUCAAGCGUGUACCGGUACAAAGUGUGUACCGGUACGGCCAUCAAGAGUGCACCGGUACAUCUUGUGCAGAAUGCAAUCCGAGGGUAGGCUAAGUCCAACUUUUUUUGUGACCUUAGCGCUACAUAAAAUACUACAAUUCUCGGGACACGAGCCAUAGGUUGGAACACUGUCAACGACCCACCAGGAAGUCUGGAAAGACUCGGGACACUGUCCAAACACUCGAACCCCGCAAUUUGCAAAAGUCCAGUGCGUCACACAAAAAAUGUCUAAUAGUUCAACAUACAAAGUAAAUGCAUGAAAUACGAUAUUAUAAUAUUAAAAAAAUUAAAAAAAGCGACUCUACGAGGAAGUGAAAAAGAUGUAGAGAAAUUAUAGUAGUAUUUUGCUGGUUUUGUUUUGUGGGCCCAAUAAUCUAAAUUUUAUAUACAUAUAAUUAAAAUACAUAAUAUAUAUUAUUUUAUAUAAUUAAAAUAUAUAUUAUAUAUAAUUAUACUUUUAUGAGUAUAGACUCCUUUAUACUCAUAAGUUUUCGACCAUUAGAUCUAUUCUUUUGACUAUUUUCAUCCGUUUAAUCAUACUAUUCAAUGAACCACCCACUCAAUCCUAGGGGACCACUAUCAUCCUAAUCGCACAUCCAACGGCUAAAAAUUUAAAAUAUAAAGGGGUCUAUACUUAUAAGAGUAUAGUAGCCCGAGCCUAUAUAUAUAUAGAAUAGGCUACUAUAGUAUUAAUAGUACAAACCGCCUGCUAUUAGGUUUUCGGCCCUUUGAUGAAGGGAUGUGCGGUCAGGAUGAUAGUAGCCCCCUAGGAUUGAGUACGUAGGUGGCUAGUUGAAUAGUAUGAUCUAACGAAUGAAAAUGGCUAAAGAGAUAGAUCUAACGGCAGAAAACUCGAUAGCACCAAAUGCUUGAUACUAUCGAUAAUGUAGUAGCCGGACUCUAUAUAUAUGUAGUCAGAUCUAACGAUAGAAAACUCAAUAGUACAAAGUGCUUAGUACUAUUGAUAGUAUGGAUAGUAUAGUAGCCGGACUAUAUAUAUAGAGAGAGAGAGUCUGGCUACUAUAUUAUCGAUAGUACCAAAUGCUUGGUGCUAUCGAAUUUUAUGCCAUUAGAUCUAUCUUUUUGGCCAUUUCCAUCCAUUAGAUCAUAUUAUUCAACUAAUCACCCACUCAACCCUAGGGGAUCACUGUCAUUCUAACCGUACAUCCCUUCAUCCAAGGGCCGAAAACCUAAAAGCAAGUGGUUAGUACUAUUAAUAGUAUAGUAGACUAAUUUUAUAUAUAUAUAUAUAUAUAGAACUAGGCUACUAUACUAUCGGUAGCACGGAGGCCUCCGUGCUACCAAGUUGUUUUCAAUGAUGUGGCUUCCAAAUCGACGAUCGGCUCCGUUAGACUUGAUCUACACUAUUAAAAGUAUUUAGAAACUAAAUUUCAUAAUUUUUCGAUAUCAUUUACCUAUCAAACAAGUAGUCUAAAAUUGAACGGCUGAAAAUAAAAAUCUCAUAAAAAAUAAAGAUAAAAGAUUUAAAUUCAAGAUCAGAUAUACUGAUCUUACUCUAAAUAGUGAAAAGAAUUUUCUAUAAAAUUUUCAUCGUAUUUGGAUUGUUUUACACUGUUAAACUCACAAACACACCACAUCGGCCAUUAAAAUUGUCAAUUUUUAGAUCUUUUGAUCACUAGUCAAAUGAUGUCGAAAAAAUCUAAAAUUUAGUUCCAAAUACUUUCAAUAGUGUAGAUCAAGUCUAACGGAGUCGAUCGUCGAUUUGGAAGCCACAUCAUCGAAAAUAACUUGGUAGUACGGAGCCUUCCGUGCUACCGAUAGAUAUAUAUAUAUAUAUAUAUAUAUAUAUAUAUAUAUAUAUAAAACUAGGCUGGAAUACUAUCAAUAGCACCAAGCUAUUGAUGCUAUUAAUUUUUUAGCCCUUGGAAUGAGAAAUGUGUGGUUAGGAUGAUGUGGGCCCUCUAGGGUUGAGUGAGUGGUUGGUUGAAUAGUAUAAUCUAACGGAUAAAAAUAAUCAAAUGGUUAAAUCUAACGGUGGAAAACUAUAAUAUCCGAGAUUUUGAUAGUGUAGCUAAACCCUUUGUUGACGAUAUUUUUGUGUGUAAUGUAGUUACAUAACCACUCGUCAAGUUUCAGGGAAAAACGAGUUAGAUGGAGAAGUUACGCAACCGAUACUAAUCACUUAAAGUGAAUAGUAACUCCGGUUUUCUAGAGAAGCCAAUGAGUGGAGAAGGCUUUUGGUGUGUAUUGGACUCCGUUCAUAGUGAUCCAAUAGCUCGUUUUCGAUGGUUUGACUAUCCUGGACCCAAUGGCACUGACAGAUUUGGAUUCUGAUGCACGAUUUUCGAGAAAAAGAGUUUUAUUGGAUCUAUUUGUAUAGGUAUGGUUUUUGGAGAUUGGAGAGGGUUGGUUAUGUCGCAAUCGGUGAUCGAAUCGGACGAAACGAAAUCGUAGAUUCGAUGCCCCAGUCAUGCUGAGCGCGCUGGCGUGAUUCGUUUGGAAAUCCGACGGACGGAUCUGCGAGGAACGUGAAAAGUUCAUUGAGGGGUCGAAUUGGUAAAAAUGAAAAAUUCGUGAAAAGUCUAAUAUUUUAUGCGCCGUUUUGCGUGAAUUCGAACGUCGAGGGGCUCGUGUGCAAAAUACACGUACUGGCAGGGGACUUAGCUGUAAACGAUCAGCCUUGGGUGGACUUUUCUGCAAUUAUGCACAUAGUAUAUAAAGUGCAUCUAGGGUUUCCUUGCAUGAAACCCUAGAUUGAUUCCACCCUGAUCCCCCAGCUAACCCUAGCCAUCGCAGCACCCACCCACCUUGCUCGUGUGCACGCCCCUACCGUCGGCGGGCACCCCCGGUCACUGGAAAAGCCACGCCGACCUCCCUCUUCGCUCCUCCCUCUACCGUGCCUCCACCACUUCGGCCGUGAAGCUCAGGAGAACACCCCCUUGAGUCAAGUCUGAGUUCUCUGGCCAAGUCUUCCCCUCCGGCGUCAUCCUCGCCGGCUCCCGCCCUCCGCGUGCGCCGCUGGCGCCGCUAGGACUCGCUGCGGCCGCCCAGACCCAGAGCAGGCCGAGCCGAGAUCACCCUGGCCUCGGUGCGUUGCCUCUACCUAUGAUCGGUGGGGCCGGCCUCCGACAAUCUCCGGCAACACUCUGCUCGCCGUCCCGUCGUCCCGAAGCGCCGCCGGCCGCCCUCAGUGCUCCCUGCGGCCGCCCAGACUCAGUGCGGGCCGAGGCUGAGUCACCUCGGCCACCGCGUGUCGCUGCCGCCCAACGUCGACCACACCGCACUCCCUCGGUCGCCUUCGCCCUGAAGCUCCUCCGGCCGCCACUGCCUUCCCGAACCCGAAUUGAGCUGUUCGAGCUCGUGCUUUGCCCCCGCGCCAUUGGCCGCCUCCCGCAACCGGCCAGCACGCGCCCAACUCCUCUCCGACUGGCCGCGACCUCCCCCUGCCGGAGCGCCCGCCGUCCGGCCACCGCCGGUCACCCUCGGGCUCCUGCUUGCUCCAGUAAGUCUUUAACAGUAUUCUGCACUUUAUUUCGGGUUCCGGUCGCCUUUCCGCCGAUCCGAAGGCACCCCGAUAAUUCUGGAACUGAGCACGACGAUCUCUGAUCCGUGCUGAACAUCGUGCUCACCUCCGUUGGGGUCAGCGAUAACCCGGUUUGCAAGUUAGAUGCGAUUUAGGCGUUGUGCGCGCUGUUUCGCUGAAGUUCGCGUCGCUCGUACGCUUGCCUCAAUGGCCGGCAGUGCUCCGAAGCAUGAGCAUGGCCUCCGGUACGCCGAGACCUAUUAGCGGAUGUCUUGGCCUGGCUGAAUGACCCUCAGUUUGCACUGUCGGGUCAUAAAAGCCCGAAAAUCACAUAAAGUAAUGUGAUAUUAUGGGAUCGGGAGGGUUUUUACGCAAUUGUGCUUUUUGUGGUCGCUGUUGGCAGUGUGUGCGGGCAGUGGGUGACCUUUGGACUGAUUGUCCAAGACUCUAGGCCUUUUUAGAGAUCGAAAAUUGAUUUCCGGUGCGUUCUUUGGUGAAAUCCGCCGACGGAAUACGUUUUCGGUUCGGAAUUCUUCCGACGGUGCCUCGUGAUAAUUUGUGUCGUCGCUGAGCCUUGUUGGCUGGUUACCCGCUUCGUUUCGAGGGUUCGAAAACGACGGGUGAGUGACGGUGGGUUCCGGUGUCGAAUUGGACAUUUCCGGGAACCCGGAUCGGAGCGAUUAUCCAAUGAUAAUCGUUUCGGGGUGAGUUAGUGUAUUUGCUGCCAAGUCACAUGAACAUAUGUGUUUAGUGGCAGCGGGUGACUCAUAACAUGAGUCGGUGAAUUCUGGGACAGUUCGUGGGUCCCGGCGGAGUCUCGGUGCGGUUUCGGGACUUCCGGCGUGUUCGGCAAUCGGUUUUGGGAAACCGAUUCCGUAGGUUCGUUGGUGGGAUUGGUUUCGAGCUAGCUCUUCAGCAAGGGACAAGUUGCUAGGUGGUCUACCUCUCGAUGUAUUUUAUUUUGGGAGAGGUUGAGAGCUGUACCAGUGUACUAGAGACCACCCUUUGUGUACUUUUGGGACAGAUAUUGUACUAUCUUAUGGUUUACUUUUAUUGUUUAGUUGUAUCCUUUUACUUUUGUUAUAGAAAGUAGAAUCUUACUGCUCUGAUAUCAUUAGUUUUUGCUCUUUCCUUUCGGCUAUGUUUCUUGCUUUAUUUUCGCUGUUGAUGUAGACGCCUUAUAUGUGUUGGCAUAUGGCGGGUUUGGGCACACUACCGGGAGGGCCUCUGCCGGUCCCGGGGCGUGACAGAUUAGUUUGGUAUUAGAGACUAGGGUUGAGUCUUAGUGGACCUAGCAAACCUUAGGCCGGUUGGACUAUAGGAAUUAGGCUCGUGAGAGACGAGGUCUAAUUGACUUGUGCGCGAAAGUAUUAUGAUUGGGUUUUAUGACAACUCUAAAAAGUUAGAGUUUGAUCGAAGUGUAUGGCUUCUAACUUCGCGGAGGGUUACGUUGGCGGCUGAUAACGUAACAUCGGGAGUUAGUAGUGGAGGACACUUCCUUACUUUCGCACGAUUUGGGUUUUAUCUAUUUGAGCGGGGAUGCGGUAGCGUGGGUUACUAACUUGCGCUUUUAUGUUUUGUAGUGACGAUGCCGAUUACACGCUCCCAGUCUGCCGGAGCGGAUGAUGCAGCACACCCCGAGGAGGCCGAGACCUCCGCUACUUCCGGAUCUAGUGAGGUCCGUGACUUAAGGUCCCAGCUUGCAGUCCUCACCGAUCUGUUGGCACAGCAGGCGGCAGCGACGCAGCGACAGGCUGAGGUGGCUCAGCGGCAGGAGGCGCGGAUGAAGCAUCUUGAGGACCUCCUACUUCAGCAGGCGGCAGCUUCGAGGGAGACCCAGGUUCCCACACCGCCAGCACCCGUGGUGGACGUCGCACCGAGGGCGCAGUCCCCCGCGCCCAGUUCUUCACGUGCGGCACCGGCGACCACACCUCUUGAGGAGGUGGCUGCGGCACCCCCAGUUCAGAGACCGGCCACGGGGGCAGCUUUUCCCGUGAGGGCUGAGGAAGCCGAGCGGGAUCAGCUCAUGGAUCGCCUCAGUGAGUUCAGGAGGUGCAGCCCGAGAACGUUUGAUGGCGAGAACGUCGACCACUGGAUUGUUGAGAAGUGGUUGAUACACAUGGAGAAGCUUUUUCGAGACACCUUUGUGGAGGAGCGGGACAGAGUUUUGCUUGCCACUCACUUUCUCGACGGCGAGGCCUACCGUUGGUGGUUGGAUAUCCAGGAUAACCCCAACACCGACUUAGCAGCGAUUACUUGGACGAGGUUCAAGGAGCUCCUUCUGGCGCACUACUUCCCGACCAGCGUCAAGAGGAAGAUGGAGCAGGACUUGCGCAGCUUGCUCCAGGACGAACGGUCGGUGGCCGAGUACGAGAGGGAGUUCUCUUGGCUACUUCAUUGUGUACCAUUUGUUGAGAGGGAUGACGAGGACAAGGCCCGCAUUUUUUAGCGCGGAUUGCGGCCUUCUAUUUUCCGGUUGGUGCAGUCUUCCAACCUCCAGACCUAUCGGGAGGUUGUGAAUCGAGCAUUGAUUGUAGAGGCUGGAGCGGUAGAUCUUCAGGAGCGUCGCGAGAGCUCGGAGAAGGGGAAGGGAAAGAGGCCCGCGGCUGAGGAUGCGAGUCAGACGCACUCACGGAGGCCGCCGAGGCACCCCAAGAGCCGGAGCCGGAGCCGGGGACGUGGCUCGUCUACUCAGCGAGGAGGACCCGAUCGUCGCCAGGCUUCCCGCUGCGUGAUCUGUGGUGGUCCUCAUUACUCGCUGCAGUGUUCACGCAGUCGGGGCAGGUGCUUCUUGUGUGGCCAAGAGGGCCACUUUCAGUCGGACUGCCCGAGGAGUCCAUCGCCAGCGCCAUCUUCGGCAUCUGCACCAGCAUCGCCAGGUCCCAGUUAGGGGAUAUCUUCUGCACAUCACCAGGCCGGGCGGCCGCCAGUUCUACGGCAGGCGGAGGGGUCACGACAGGCCCCGAGCGGGCGCAUGUAUGCAGCCCAGACUGAGGAGGCGGCGGCAGCCGAGAAUGUGGUCGCAGAUAUCAUUUUACUUUAUGGUAUUCGAGUUAGAGCAUUGUUUGAUACUGGUGCAUCGCAUUCAUUCAUAGACCGGCUGUUUGCCGAGUUGCAUGGCAUCCCACUUGUAUCUUUGUUGCACCCGGGCCGAGUUAUUGUACCUGACCAUUCCUUGGACAUUCGGGAGUUUUGCCCCAGUUGCCCUGUUCGGGUUGGAGAUUGGACCAUGCUCGCGGACUUGGAGUUUGAUGUUGUGUUGGGCAUGGAUUGGUUGACCAAGUACUUUGCCACCAUAGAUUGCAAAAAUCGAACGGUGACAUUUAGAGAGCCGGGGCAGGCGGAGGUUGUGUACCGAGGAUGCCAGAGUUCGCUGUUUGCGAUGACGAUUAGCUCUUCUCGAGCUCGACAGUUGAUUAGUAGAGGCUGCGUAGCCUACUUGGCUACUGUUGUGCUACGGGGUGAGGAUGACACCCCCAGGAUUGAGGACAUCCCCGUAGUACGGGAGUUUGGAGAUGUGUUCCCAGCUGAGCUUCUGGGCAUGCCACUGGAUAGGGAGAUUGAGUUUGUAAUGGAUCUCGUUCCCGGGACUACUCCAAUCUCAAAGGCACCCUAUAGGAUGGCACCAGCAGAAUUGAAGGAGCUGAAGGCACAGUUACAGGAUCUUCUAGACAAGGGUUUUGUGCGACCGAGUGUGUCACCUUGGGGAGCACCGGUUUUGUUUGUGAAGAAAAAGGACGGAUCACUUCGCUUAUGCGUGGACUAUCGUGAACUUAACAAAGUCACGAUUAAGAAUAAGUAUCCGUUGCCGAGAAUCGACGAUCUAUUUGAUCAGUUAAAGGGAUCCAGUGUGUAUUCCAAGAUUGACUUGCAGUCGGGAUAUCACCAGUUGAAGAUCAAGCCUGAGGAUGUGUCGAAGACGGCUUUUAGAACACGGUAUGGACAUUAUGAGUUUACUGUGAUGCCGUUCGGGCUUACUAAUGCCCCGGCAGCUUUUAUGGAUCUUAUGAACCAUGUGUUUAAGCCUUAUUUAGACAGGUUUGUCAUGGUGUUCAUCGACGACAUUUUGGUCUAUUCCCGAAGUGAUGCGGACCACGAGGAACACUUGAGACUUAUACUUCAAGUGCUUCGGGAAAAGAAGCUCUAUGCCAAGUUGAAAAAGUGUGAGUUUUGGCUUAGAGAGGUGGCGUUUCUAGGCCAUUUGAUUUCAGGAUCAGGGAUAGCUGUGGAUCCAAGAAAAAUUGAAGCUAUCAAGGAUUGGCCGAGGCCGACGUGUGUGACCGAGAUACGGAGCUUCAUUGGUUUGGCCGGCUACUACCGACGGUUUGUUGAGGGAGUUGCAAAGUUGUCUACUCCCCUCACGAGGCUCACGCAUAAAGGCACCAAGUUUAUUUGGAAUGAUGCGUAUGAAAGGAGCUUCCAAGAGUUGAAGCAAAGAUUGACGACCGCCCCGAUCCUAACCUUGCCGACUGCUGGAGCAGGGUAUGUGAUUUAUAGUGAUGCUUUAUUUAAUGGAUUAGGUUGUAUCUUGAUGCAGGACGGAAAAGUGAUUGCUUAUGCAUUCCGCCAAUUGAAGGAUUAUGAAAGGAAUUACCCCACUCACGACUUGGAGUUGGCGGUCGUGGUCUUUGCAUUGAAGCUAUGGUGCCACUACUUAUACGGCGAGCGAUGUGAAGUGUAUACGGAUCACAAAAGCUUAAAGUAUUUAUUCACUCAGAAGGAGUUGAACUUGAGGCAGCGCAGAUUGUUGGAGCUACUCAAGGAUUAUGAUCUCACGAUUCUCUACCACCUAGGCAAGGCUAACGUGGUGGCUGAUGCGCUAAGUAGGAAAUCGACGAAAAAUUUAGCUAUAUUUGUGGUGACUCAACUGCCGUUGAUCGAGCAGAUGAAGCGAUUGGAGUUGGAGGUGGUGGCUCCUGACACACCUUUGAGGCUGAUGAUUUUGGUGGUGCAACCUACACUUAUGGAAAGGAUUAAAGAAAAGCAAGCUUCCGAUGUGGAGUUGCAAAGGAUUCAAGCUAAGAUGGUUGAUGGUUGCACCGGUGACUUCACUUUGGACGGUGAUGGAUUGAUGCGAUUCCGCAGAUGGUUGUGUGUACCGGCGGACUUGAGCAUUAAAGAGGACAUUCUUCAUGAAGCACACCAAGCACCGUAUGCUAUACAUCCGGGAGGCACCAAGAUGUACAAGGACUUGAAGUUGCUUUACUGGUGGCCCGGGAUGAAAAAGAAAGUUGGUGAGUUUGUUGCUAGAUGCUUAACUUGCCAACAGGUGAAAGCUAAGCACCGAGUUCCUGCGGAAAAGUUGCAGAGCCUACCGAUUCGAGUGUGGAAGUGGGAGAAGAUCACCAUGGAUUUUGUGAUGGGAUUGCCUCGCUCACAGGCCGGGCAUAAUGCUAUUUGGGUGAUCGUGGAUAGGCUGACGAAAUCGGCCCAUUUCAUACUUAUCCACACUACUUGGACUGGUGAGAGACUCGCACAGGUUUAUCUGGAUGAGAUUGUGCGAUUGCAUGGGGUACCUACUUCUAUAGUAUCAGAUCGAGAUCCCCGUUUUGUAUCCCACUUUUGGAGGAGCUUACAGGAUGCUUUGGGUACGCGCUUGAAUUUCAGCACUGCUUUCCACCCCCAGAGUGACGGGCAUUCGGAGCGUACUAUACAGACUCUUGAGGACAUGCUUCGAGCCUGCGUGAUUGACUUCCAGGGAGGAUGGUCGCAGCAUCUACCGAUAGCAGAGUUUGCUUAUAACAAUAGUUAUCAAGCAAGCAUCAAAAUGGCACCGUUCGAGGCACUUUAUGGACGGAAGUGUAGAUCGUCACUUCAUUGGAGUGAAGUUGGCGAGAGAUUGGCCUUAUGCCCAGAUGUGCACCAGGAGGUCGAGAACAAGGUUCGCAUUGCUCGAGAGCGACUGUUGACAGCCCAGAGUAGGCAAAAGAGCUAUGCUGAUCGGCGUCGACGAGACUUGGAGUUUCAAGUUGGAGAUCACGUCUUCUUGAAAGUCUCGCCGACUCGAGGGAUUAGAAGAUUUGGAAUCCGGGGUAAGUUGAGCCCCCGAUACAUUGGACCGUAUGAGGUUCUGGAGCGUGUAGGCCCGGUAGCGUAUAGACUUGCUCUACCGCCAAACCUAUCGGGUGUACACAAUGUAUUCCAUAUAUCGGUCCUUCGGAAGUACAUCCACGACCCGGCUCAUGUUUUGGAUGCUACACCACAGUAGGCAAAAGAGCAACCCUUGAGAAUUUUGGCUCGCGAGGUAAAGAGAUUGCGGAACUGGGAAAUUCCCUACGUGAAGGUGCUUUGGAGCAACCACGACGAGCGCGAGGCUACUUGGGAAAUUCCCUACGUGUGAUGCUUAAGUGUCAUAAAGAGGCACUAAGCAAGUGAGUGUUGAUAUAUCACAUUGUGACAUAGAGCUAGACCGUUGGGUUACUAGUAGCUAUUGCCAUGUUUGAGACAUGAGGGUUGGAUACUUGAGCCUUUGACUACGCUUGCUUGCCAUUUGUGCUCAUUCGCACAUGCUUGUGAGGGUCACUCCCUACAAGUCGACACUCCGGAGUUAGCCUACGCGACUUAUGUUCGCUCGUGCGGUAUUGAGAAGCCUACGGGGUCGAGUGGGACAGACACAUUCCAAGAGUAGGAAUGUCGGGCUACCACAGGCACUUAGGCGGCACAAGCUGGACUACCUUGGGUAGGCCCUUAUUUGGAAAUAAAAAUCGACACAGUGUUGAGUGUGUUAUAAUCACUACUAGAUAGAGAUUAGUAGUUGGAUUACUUGGACUUACUUCUAGCAUAGUUUUGGACACUUGAGUACACAUACGUACAUGUAGUAUGCUAGGAGAUGUUGCUUAUUGCAUUCAUAUAUACAUUGUUGCCAUGAUAAAGCAUGAUCCUUAUAACUUCAUAAGUGAACUGUGACAUUUACUUGUAGCCAUGUAGAGACAUAUUGGUUAUGACAAAGUAAAGGUGCAUUAUUUUUUAACACCAUGCUUAAUUGCAAUAUAGUAGCUUAGCAUUUUAAUUAUGCUCUCAUAAAUACAGUUUAUUCGUUAUUAUUGCUGUUUGCCAUACUUACCCUUUUCUUUUGGGGCCUAGUGGUGCAUUGAGCUGAGGUCAGUAAUUGCCCACUGGGAACUAUAAUUUAUAGUUCUCACGCCCUCUAUUCUAUGUUUUCUUUCAGAGCCUUCCACGCCGGGAGAGUCUAGGGACCGUGGGAAGGGCAUUGCUUCGAGAUAGCUCUUUAGCGAGGGACGAGUUGCUAGGUGGUCUACCUCUCGAUAUAUUUUAUUUUGGGAGAGGUUGAGAGCUGUACCAGUGAACUAGAGACCACCCUUUGUGUACUUUUGGAACAGAUAUUGUACUACCUUAUGGUUUACUUUUAUUGUUUAGUUGUAUCAUUUUACUUUUGUUAUAGAAAGUAGAAUCUUACUGCUCUGAUAUCAUUAGUUUUUACUCUUUCCUUUCGGCUAUGUUUCUUGCUUUAUUUCCGCUGUUGAUGUAGACGUCUUAUAUGUGUUGGCAUAUGGCGGGUCUAGGCACACUUCCGGGAGGGCCUCUGCCGGUCCCGGGGCGUGACAGUCAUUUCCUUUUGUUGAUUUUAGAGCCAUCCCGAGGCGUGACAGUCAUUUCCUCUGACGAAUUAGAAGGAAAAGUCAUCUCAUACGUUUGAAGUGCACCUACUAAUUCUUCUACCUUAAGUUCAUCCGGAUGUUUUACCGUUUCAAUAGCCGCAACCUUUGGACGAAAUCGUUCGGGAAGAGUUCUCAAAAUUUUUCUCACAAUUUUAGAGUCCGAAAUUUUCUCGCCUAAGUUAGCACACGUGUUUACAAUGCCUUGCAAACGAGUAUAAUACUCGGUAAAAGAUUCAUGUUCUUCUAUACGAAUAGAGUCAAAUAUACUUGUAAGCAUUUGUAAUUUUUGAAUCUUUACCAAACUUGUACCCUCGUGUGUAACUUGUAAAGUGUUCCAAAUUUCUUUGCGGUUUCACACGCCGAGACACGAGAAAAUUCGGUUUUAUUUAAAGCAUUAAAUAAAGCAUUGAUACCCUUUCCGUUGAACGAAGAUAGUUCGUUUUCCUCUUUCGUCCACUUAUUUUUAGGUUUCGGACCGGUAACAUUCUCGACAACUUCGGUGGGAUGUUUCCAUCCGAAUUCAAUGGCUUGUCAUACCCGCUCGUCGAUGGCAAUAAGAAACGUCCUCAUACGGACUUUCCAAUAAGCGUAAUUUGUGCCAUCGAAGAGAGGGGGUCGAUUAAUGUUACCGCCCUCGGCCAUGAUUUACAACCUAUACCCGCUCUGAUACCACUUGUAAGAUAUGGAUCCCGAGGAUCUAAAAGGUAAAUAAUACCUAGAGAGGGGUGAAUAGGUGUAAAACGGCGAAAACAAAAAACUCUCGAUGCAAAUAAAAGAGAUAGCGGAAAAUAAAAACAGCACACCGAGAUUUUAACGUGGGAAAACUCCAAUCCGGAGUGAAAAACCCACGGGACCGAUCACGCGAAAAAAAUUCACUAAGAAAACUUGAGUACAAGUGAUUUAACCAAAAUACAUGACUCAAUUUACCGAAUUUUCGUUGUUGAUGGUCUUCGCUGGUCCUCGAUCGAUAGGAAUCCUCCAAUCGACCUCGCCGCAACUCCUUGCUGCAUCAACGCCUCAACUCCUCGAAGCGUCCACCGAAUCCUCGGCUUCACGCGAGAUCUACGCGCCGAACCUCCUUCCGGAGUUUGUAUAAUUGAUGAUUCGUGGUGAUUAAGACUUAAAAUCCCAUAAGCAAUGAGGGUUCACCUUCUAAUCAAACAUCUACUUGAUUCUCAAAGAAUAUUUCUAGUUAAAAUCGAAGAAUCAAGUCGAUCGUUGAUUAUAUGAAACUUGUUAUAUGAAUAAAAUCAUAAGAAUGUGAAAACAAGUUUCUAGGGUUUUAGAACAGUAGAAAUUCAAAACCUUAACCCAUAUGAUAACCCCCAUGGCUUAUUUAUAGGUUUAGAAGACUUAGAAGUAGACUAGGAUUGCAAAAAGUCUAUUUUAAAAACUGGUGUCGUCCUUAGGGACCGGUCCCCUCGAGGAGACCGGUCUUUGGGAGACCGGUCCCUCGCUGCGUGACAGAAAACACAACGUUCGGGAACCGGUCUCUCAUGCAAGAGACAGGUCCUUCGCUGCGUGACAGAAAAUCCCAUGUUCGGGAACCGGUCUCCCUUUCCAGAGACCGGUUGCCUCAAUAUCCCACGCAGUGAGGACCCUCGGGGACCGGUCUCUCAACUUUGGGACCGGUCCCAGAACACUGAAAAGUUCAGUUUAAGUGUUUUAAAGCAACCUAAGUCUUCUGAACUUAUUGUAAUUAGAUAAAUUCACGACAAAUGAUCUAUUCUUCAUACCUGAGAUGCCAAGCUUUCCAAAUGAGUCUUUGCUCUUCAAAUUGAAUCUUCUCUUCAAACUACCGCGAUCAACUCUUCAAGACUCCAUUUGACUUUACGAAAUCCGCCAACCUAGAAAAUCCUUAACAGUUCACCAAUGCAUUGUUUAGAAGAGUACAUAGAGCGGCGGCGUGAAGAGACGUCCUGAAUAGAGUAUCGAGGAGGCUCAGAGACGGGCUCUCUAAUCUCAAAACCACCUGACUUCCGUCGACCUCCUUUUGUCCGUUGCCUUACCUUUUCCUUUGUCAACACCUUUUUCUUUGCCCUUUCCUUUUCCUUUCUCGUUAUCCUUUUCUGCAGCUACGGGCGCUUUACCUUUUUUCUUUGAAAGCACUUCCGGUGUAAGUGCUUCCCAAUCAGGUUCCUUAGCUUUAGAUUCUUCGCCCUCUUCGCCCGGCACAUACUCACUACCCUCAUCGUCCGGUUGUUGCUCAACCGGUUGUUUAGCCAAUGAACGUUGACGUUUGCUUCUACAACCACUACCGGCCAUAAGAAAAAUAAUCACGAGUAGGCAGGAAUACAUGUUUAAAUGGCACCUGUUACACACAAUAAUGUACACAUAUUGAACAUAAGAACAAUUGAUUUUUGAUUUCAAAAACAUUAGCAAAUUGAUAUGCAAUAUGCUAGGUGAUCCGAGGGCCAUAUAAUCAUAAAAAUCAUGAACAAAUCAUGCAACAAAAAUCAGUAAAAUCACAUAUUUUCGAAACAAUUGAAAAACUAAGGUUUUGAUGGUGAAAACUAGCAAAAUCGGGCAAAUCCAUGAAAUAAAUCAUGCAAUAAUGUAUGAGAAUCCUAGAAAAACAUGUCUAGAGUUAAGAGUAUAACAAUAUGAAGAGAUUCAACAAGAUUUCUAGAUCAAACACCAAAAACACAUUUUUCGGAAUACAUUGUUAGAACGAAAUAAAAUCCGAAGAUCUUACCAAAAACAAGUGUAAAUUGAUGGAGAAAGGAAGCAAAAUCACCCUGGGGAAGUUGGAAGCUUGUGGGAGAAGUUUGAGAGUAUUUGAGAAAGUGUACAGGUUGAUCGAACCGAAACCCUUAAAUCGGGUUCGGGCGGAGGGACUGGUCUCUCCAGCCAGGGACCGGUCCCAGAGCCUGGAUUUUCAAAAGAAAUUCUAUUUUAAGUUUAAAUUUUUCAGAAAUUUUAUAUGUUAUUCCAAAAUGUCCAACAUAAAAAAUAAUCAAUUUCUAUUCCCCAAUGACCUCGAAUAAAAUUUCAUAAAUAAAUUUUGAAAAAUCAAUUUCCAGGAUAUUCAAUUUGUCAAAAAUUGUUGACUCGAAAAUCAAAUAAAAUUCUUGAUAAGUAUAAAAUAAAAUUCCACACAUCAUGUAAGACCUAAAUAUUAAUUGUAUUAUUUUAUCAUCAUAUUUGUUAAAAAAAAUGAAUAAAUAAAUCUCAUAAUCGUGAAAUUAAAAUAAUACCCUCAAAUUGAGUUAUGCACAUUAUUCGAGAUAGGAGUGGUUCUUUGAGCAUCUUUUGACAAACCACCUAAUAUCGCCUAGGAGAUGUAUUAAAAAUAUUAUUAGAAUUGUACCAUCUUCACAAAAUCUCAUAUUUAUUUAUUCUUUAUUUCCUUUCUAUCUCAAGGAUAUACUUUGAUCAUCAUGUGGUAGCUGCACACACUGACCGGACGACCGGGUGGGUAGCUCUUUCCUUCAUAUGGUGGUAGUUUUCACACUCCCAACAGGGAUGUAACUCUUUCCACAUCUUUUGAAUUUAAGAAAUUUCCAUAACCAUAAUCGGAAAGACUCCCCCUAAAUUAGUGCAACCCUCAAGUCAAAAAUAUUAUCGCAAUUUCAAAAACAGAGAAAUAGUUAUUCAUCUCAUAGCUAAUAAUCAAACAAAACAAUUGCAACGUUCAAAGUUCGAAGCAUGAGGUGUUGAAUUUAACUCAGUAUACUAAAACAGAAUUUCAAUAAUUUAAUCGUUCAAAAAUUAUGACAAAAGAGAAUAACAUUGACGGUGAUCAAUCAAAACAUAAUAUGAAACAAUUAAAGUCAUAUGAUAGAGCUCACAAAAACCAAUUUAUCUCCCAAAAACAUAACAUUAACAGUGACACCAUUCAUGAAACUCAAUCAUCUCUCAAGAAUAAUCAGGGAAAACCGAAAAACAUGCACAGAAGCAAAAUGCAGUAUGCACAUGAUUUAUGGCCCAUAGAAUGCAUCUAGAGAGAAGGAUUCAUACCAAUAGCCUUUCUUAAAUGUAGAAAAUGUUUUUGAUCCAAAGGCUUAGUAAAAAUAUCUGCAAGUUGAUUUUCAGUUGAAAUAUAUUCAAGUUGAAGAACUUUUGAUUCAAUCAAUUCUCUUAAAAAGUGAUAUCUUAGUUCAAUAUGCUUUGUUCGUGAAUGUAAAACAGGAUUUUUUGAAAUAUUAAUGGCACUCGUGUUGUAACAUAGAAUUGUAAAAGUGGUGGAGGAGAUUCGAUAAUCACUCAAUAAGCUUUUCAUCCAUAGUAAUUGUGUAGAGCAACUACGGCCGCAAUGUAUUCCGCCUCGGCAGUGGAGAGUGCAAUACAGUUUUUUUUUUUUUUUACUAUGCCAUGCAACUAGACAGUGGCCUAUAUAAAAGCAUGCUCCACUUGUGCUUUUUCGAUCAUCCCCAGAAUCGGCCCAAUCCGCAUCCGAGUAGCCAAUUAAAUCCAAAGACGUCCCCAUCGGAUACCAUAGACCAUAAUCGGUUGUACCUUUAAUAUAUCGUAUGAUUCUCUUAACCGCUUUCAAAUGAACUUCUUUUGGAUUAGCUUGAUAGCGAGCACAAAUUUCCACACUAAAAGCAAUGUCCGGUCUACUCGCGGUCAAAUACAGUAAACUGCCGAUCAUGCUCCUAUACUAUUUUUCAUCCACACUUUGUCCUUAACAUUCACUCCAAAUCCUUUGUUACUUGUUCCCAUCGGUGUAUCAAAGUUCUUUGCUCCAUCCAAACCGAAUUUCUUAACCAAUUCCUUUGCAUUCUUGGUUUGAGACAAAUGAAUUCUUCCUUUGAUUGUUUAACUUAAAGACCAAGGAAAUAUGAAAGCUCACCCAUCAUAGACAUCUCGAACUCACUAGUUAUCAACUUUGCAAAUUCGGCGGCAACGGUAUCUUUAGUUGCGCCAAAGACAAUGUCAUCCACAUAAAUUUGUGCCACAAUAAAGUCAUUUUUAGUGCGUUUUACAAAAAGAGUUCUAUCCGCUCCCCCUCGGUUGUAUCUCUUUUCUAAAAGAUAUUUUGUUAAUCGUUCAUACCAUGCUCGCGGUGCUUGUUUAAGUCCAUAAAGUGCUUUUUUAAGACGAAAAAUAUGAUUUGAAAAUUUAGAAUCUAUAAAACCUUUUGGUUGUUCCACAUAAACUUCCUCUUUUAAAAAAUCAUUCAAAAAUGCACUUUUAACAUCCAUUUGAAAAAGAGUAAUUUUAAAAUGACAAUCUAUCGCGAACAAAAUACGAAUAGAUUCAAGACGAGCAACCGGGGCGAAUGUUUCAUCAAAAUCAAUCCCCUCAAUUUGUGAAUACCUUUGAGCAACAAGUCUAGCUUUGUUUCGAACAAUUAUACAAUCCUCAUUUUUCUUAUUUUUCAAAAUCCAUUUAGUACCAAUAACAUUUUGUUGCUCAGGGCGUGGCACUAAUUCCCAUACAUCAUUGCGGGUAAAUUGACCAAGUUCUUCUUGCAUGGCAUUUAUCCAAUAUUCAUCACGAAGAGCUUCGUCAAUAUUCUUUGGCUCAAUUAGAGAUACAUAAUAUGCAAAUUCACAUUGAAGUUGACUUCUAGUUCGCACACCAACAUUAGGAUCCCCAAUGACAUUCGAUAAGGGGUGAUCUCUUGACUCUCUCAGGGGAGUAGUCUCAGAUGAUAUACUAGGUAUUUCAGAUGAGAUGCUUUGAGGCUCAGAUGAAUCAUUUGAUGCAACAAUUUCAGGAGAUGCAAUGAGAUUAUCAAAUACAGAAACAUUAUCAUUCAUAGGCAAUACAAACGGAGAAUCAUUAUCAUCAUCAUUCAUCAAAAAAUUAGAAGAACCAUUCACAGAAGUACUUACAGAAAAAGCUUCAUCUACUUUUAUGUUUAUAGAUUCUAUCACCGUCUUAGUUCGUAAAUUGUACGCACGAUAAGCACGACUUAUAGUAGAAUAACCAAGAAAGAGCCCCUCGUCACUUCGGGAGUCAAAUUUUUCAAGAUUUUCACGAUCCCGAAGGAUAAAACGCUUACUCCCGAAGACACGAAAGUAUUUAAUAUUAGGUUUCCUACCAAGCCAAAGUUCAUACGGAGUAUUCAAAGUACCCGGACGCACAUAAAUCUGAUUGAUAACAUAGACGGCCGUGUUAACCGCUUCGGCCCAAAAAUGUAAAGCAAUUUUCUUACUAUGAAGCAUAACACGUACCAUCUCUUGUACAACCCGAUUUUUGCGUUCUACCACUCCGUUUUGUUGCGGUGUAUAAGGAGCCGAGAAUUCAUGUUUAAUCCCAUUAGAAACACAAAAAUCAAUAAUUUUUGAAUUUAUGAAUUCUCCCCCUUGAUCACUUCGAAUACGUACAAUUUUAUCGUUACGCUCAUUCAUAAGACGAAGACAAAUCUCAAAAAAAGAGUAAAAAGUAUCGGCUUUUUCACGUAAGAAAGCAUUCCACGAAAAACGAGUAAAGUCAUCAACAAUAAGUAAUAUAUAGCGUUUGCCACCCAAACUUUGAAUCCUAGAAGGUCCCAUCAAGUCCUUGUGCAACAACUCUAAAGGUUUAGAUGUCCCUAAGUUGUUCAAAUUCUUAUGUGCGGAUCUAGUUUGCUUUCCCAGUUGACAACCCCCACACUUAGUGUUCUCUUUGAAAUCUAUCUUAGGUACACCUCUAACAAUUUUCUUCUUCGAUAAUUUUGAUAGUUCCUUGAAGUUUAUGUGGCCUAGUCGUUCAUGCCAUAAAGUUUCAGUCUCUAAUGUCGCUAUGUUACACUUUUACACUUUUCAGAUGAAGCACUAGGAACUACAUAACAAUUAUUCUGAGAUCUUACACCUUUUAAGAAAAGAUAAUCAUCGCGAGUUACAUUGCAUUCUUUAUCAGAAAAUUUCAUAGAAUACCCAUCAUCACACAAUUGGCUUAUACUUACGAGAUUUGAUUUAAGCCCCUUAACAUAAAAAAUAUCAUUCAAAGUAGGGCCAUCUGAGAUUGUAACUGUUCCUUUUCCGAUGAUUUUUGAUGACCGACCGUCUCCAAAAACAACAAGUCCUCCGGAGAUUUUAUUUAAAGAAGUAAACCAAUUUUUAUCACCGGUCAUGUGAGGGGAACAACAACUAUCCAGAUACCAAGAAGUAUUAUCGUAAGCAUGAAGCGAAGUGUGAAUGACAAGGCAUGGGAAGAGUUCACCUUUGCGCACCCAGACCUUACGUGUUUUGGGUUGCGACGACUGACUUGCUUUUGGUGAUCGUGGCUUGUCGACGAUUUGAGUUUACUUCUUCUUCAGAUCCUCCUUCUUUGGCUUCCAUGCUUAUUUUGCCUUUGAUUUCGGAGCAUUCUUCUUUGGUGUCCACGUUUGUUUCUUCUUAUGAUCAUCCUUUUUUGGAGUCCAAGUUGACUUCGAUUUUGGUUUAGGAUCAUUCUUCAUUGACUUUAAUAAUGUUCUUUGAUUCAAGGGUGUUGUAGAGCUCUUACCCUUUUGUUUGCAAAACCUUUUCACAUGUCCUAAAACACCACAAAGAUGACAAGUUUUGUUAGCCAAUGUAUUUUUAGGAGGGACAAACUUACCAUAAAGCUUAGGAACCGCUUUUGUCGAAUAUUCGUCAUCUUUCUUCAUUGCUUGAUCAAUAUACGUCCGUUCGUAUCCAAGUCCAAAUUUAUUUGUUUGACCAAGUCCGAGCAUCUUGUCAAAUUUGCUAGAGCUAGACAAAAAUUGAUUUAAAACCGAUUUGAGUUGGAUAAUAGUCUUGGUGAAUUCCAUAUUUGCUUCUCUAGCUUCCGAGUAUUGCUUGGUAAGAAAAUUGAUGUUUUCAACAUGAGACUCCUUUUUCUUUUCAAGUAAUGUACACUUCUCAAAUAAAGAAUCGUAAGCCUUAGUCAAACCAUAUCUUUCUUGUUCUAGAUCCUUUGUCAACGAGUCCAAUCUCGAAUUCUCUUGUUCCAAGUCAUGUAGUCUCCGCCGCAGCUUUUUGUUAUGUUUUGCCAUCUUCUUCGACUCGACAACCAAUUGAUGAUAUGCGGAAACCAUAUCAUCUUCAUCUGAUUCUUCAUCCGAUGAGUUCUCCGACGUAGAUUUCUCAUGCAAAGAGACAUAGAGAUAGAGUCAGUGGAUGCCAAACACAUAAAAUUAGAAUCAUGUGCAAUAAGCGCCGUAACGUUUACAUCCUCAUCACUUGAAGAUGACUUAUUCGAGGAUGAAUCAUCCUAAGUGAUGGCUUGCAUCACUUUCUUUUUCAAAGAUUUUUUAUUAGGGCAAUCCGAUGCAAUAUGACCAAAUCCUCUACACUUAUAGCAUUGGAUUUGACCUUCAUUACUUUUCUUCUCUUCAGAAAAAUCUUUUGAAGAGCUUUCGGAUUUUUUAUUCUUAGAAAAAGAAUAUGAAGACGAACUCCCUUUAGAUUUGCUUGACUUCGAGGAAGUAGACUGGAGGAAACUUCUUUCUAAAGUUUCGAUGGAACUUCUUCGUUAGAAGAGCCAAUUGUUUCUCAAACUCCUCCAAUGUUUGAUCCGAUUCCGAGUCCGAUGAAGUAGUCAUGUCAUCUCCUUUUGUUGAUUUUAAGGCCAUACUUGAAGUUUUAGAAGAAGACUUGGAAGAAGACGAAUUAGAAGGAAAAGUAAUCUCAUAAGUUUGAAGUGCACCAACUAAUUCCUCUACUUUUAAUUCAUCCGGAUGUUUUACCAUUUCAAUAGCCGCAACCUUUGGACGAAAUCGUUCGGGAAGGGUUCUCAAAAUUUUUCUAACAAUUUUAGAGUCCGGAAUUUUCUCGCCUAAGUUAGCACACGUGUUUACAAUAUCUUGCAAACGAGUAUAAUACUCGGUAAAGGAUUCAUGUUCUUCCAUACGAAUAGAAUCAAAUCUACUUGUAAGCAUUUGUAAUUUUUGAAUCUUUACCAAGCUUGUACCCUCGUGUGUAACUUGUAAAGUGUCCCAAAUUUUUUUGGCGGUUUGACACACCAAGACACGAGAAAAUUCGGUUUGAUUUAAAGCAUUAAAUAAAGUAUUGAUACCCUUUCCGUUGAACGAAGAUAGUUCGUUUUCCUAUUUCGUCCAUUUAUUUCUAGGUUUCGUACCAGUAACAUUCUUGACAACUUUGGUGGGAUGUUUCCACCCGAAUUCAAUGGCUUGCCAUACCCGUUCGUCGAUGGCAAUAAGAAGCGCCGUCAUACGGACUUUCCAAUAAGCGUAAUUAGUGCCAUCGAAGAGAGGGGAUCGAUUGAUGUUACCGCCCUCGGCCAUGAUUUACAAUAUAUACUCGCUCUGAUACCACUUGAAAGAUAUGGGUCCCAAGGAUCUAAAAGGUAAAUAACACCUAGAGGGGGGUGAAUAGGUGUAAAUGGCAAAAACCAAACCUCUCGAUGCGAAUAAAAGAGAUAGCGGAAAAUAAAAAAUAACACACCGAGAUUUAACGUGGGAAAACUCCAAUCCGGAGUGAAAAACCCACGGGACCGAUCACACAAAGAAAAUCCACUAAGAAAACUCGAGUACAAGUGAUUUAAUCAAAAUACAUGACUCAAUUUACCGAAUUCUAGUUGUCGAUUAUCUUCAUCCUCGAUCGAUAGGAAUCCUCCAAUCGACCCCGCCGUAAUUCCUUGCUGCGUCAACGCUUCAACUCCUCGAAACGUCCACCGAAUCAUCGGCUUCACGCGAGAUCCACGCGCCGAACCUCCUUCCGGAGCUCAUAGAAUUGAUGAUUUGUGGUGAUUAAGACUUAAAAUACCAUAAGCAAUGAGGGUUCAUCUUCUAAUCAAUCAUCUACUUAAUUCUCGAAGAAAAUCUCGAGUUAAAACUUAAGAAUCAAGUCGAUCAUUGAUUAUAUGAAACUCGUUAUAUGAAUAAAAUCAUAAGAACAUGAAAACAAGUUUCUAGUGUUUUUGAACAGUAGAAAUUCUAAGCCUCAACUCAUAUGAUGACCCCCAUGGCUUAUUUAUAGGUUUAGAAGACUUAGAAGUGGACUAGAAUUGCAAAAAGUCUAUUUUAAAAACUGGUGUCGUCCUUAGGGACCAGUCUUCUCGAGGAGACCGAUUUGUUAGAGACCGGUCCCUCGGGUGGGAGACCGGUCCCUCGCUGCGUGACAGAAAACACAACGUUCGGGAACCGAUCUUUCGUGCCAGAGACCGGUCUCUCCCUGCGAGUCAAAAAUUCCAACGUUGGGGAACCGGUCUCUUGUGCCAGAGACCGGUUGCCACGUCCUAGAGACCGGUCCCUCAGAUCAGGAGACCGGUUGCCUUGGACUUUCACGCAGAGAGGACUCUCGGGAAUCGGUCUCUCAUCUCAGAGGACCGGUCCCAGCACAUCGAAAACUUCAGUUUGUGUUUUCUAUAGCAAUCCAAGUCUUCUAAACUUAUAUUUAGGUAGUUUAAACACACUACAAAUAAUCUAACAUUCAUACCUGAGGUGUCGAGCUUUCCGAAUAGGUCUUUAAUUCUUCAAAGUGAAUCUUCUCUUCAAACCUCCACGAUCAACUCUUCAAGACUCCAUUCAACUUCACGAAAUCCGCCAACCUAGAAAAUCCUUAACAUAGUGACACCUAACAUAACCACAAUCCACCAGUGACACUUAGCAGUAUAUAGUGAAAAUCCAACAUAACCAAAUAACAGAAUCUAUAGGUACAGUUAGUAUGUGAUAUAAUCCUUCUAUUGUAAGUUCCAACACAGUGAAGAUUAUGGUAGUUCGUCAAAUCCCAUCACGGGUCAUAUGUAAAAUUUAUUUGACCUUAACUUAUAUGGUUUUUCCGAAAAUUUAUUUAUAUAUGAUAUACCAUUCUUACUCUAGCCAAAGAUUUCAUGAGCUAAGUCUCAUAAAUCAUAUAGGAUACUAAGGACAACAACUUCUUUUGAAUACUCUCCCACUACUACUAUAAACCUGCCAUAGCCAACAUGCACUACUAGAAAAUGAUAGCUAAUCUCCGGGAUAUUGUGCAGUCAGUCUACAACGACCCUAUCAGUGACUAGCCGAUUGAGGUGCUGCAAGUCGAAGAAUCAAACACAUAACUGCAUCACCAAGAACAUCACUGACGAGUAAGUAGAUUACCAUGUGACUUCUUGUGUUGGUCAAGUUCGGUAACAUUGUUCUUAACAACCACCUGCACUUUAGCUCUAGUGUCUCCACACUAUAGACUUGAGACUCUACCAAAAGAAAGCUUGUAGUGCACCAAUCUCAGUGGAUGCACCAUUGUCCCCGUAGUGAUCUAUCAAUCAGGAGCCUUUAGGAAUUAACCAUCAAUGACACAUGCCCCAGAUUCUCAGCUCCUGAGAAUAUGUACCAUAAUCUUGUUAAUCCUUGGAUGAUUCACGAAUAGAAUAAAAAACCUCAAUAUAUAUAUGUGUGUGUGUGUGUAGAGUCCCUGGUGUUCUGCAGCUCGUGGGUUUCAGCAUCGAAGGCUUGUUGACAUAUCUGGAGAGUGUCGAGACAAAUCGGAGUCGUUUUGGGCAAAAUGGACGCAAAACAGCCUCGACGCGAGGCGAGAGUGGAUUCUGAUGCUGAAAUCCGCAAAGUGCAGGAUUUCAGUGUUGAGUAUCGGUACCAAGCAGGGGAGUACCGAUACCCCAGUGUAAUUCCAGAACAAAAUGCUCUCGGGUUGCGCUAAUCUGAUGCUGAGUACCGGUACGGCAUCAGGCUGGUACCGGUACCUUGUGUGCAAGCUUGCGGGCUGAGAGGCCGAGUACCGGUAAACAAAUUGGGUACCGGUACUCCAGCUGGAUUUGUGAGUUCGUGAGGGGCCUUUUAGUCAUUUGAAGUGGCAUUAAUCUCAACCUUAUCCCACCUCUUUAUAUAUGUGUAGAGAGACAGAGAAUGAGCUUUUGGUUGCUGCUUCCUCUCUCUCUAGUUUGGAGACAUCGCUCGUGGUGAAGUCACGGCUCAAGCUCGGGUAGACUUCGACGUUGCACCGGGGAGCCGUUCGACCGUGCGAGCGUCGUGGUUGCAUCGUUGGGAGGCCGGGCGAGCGCGUGGUUUCCUCUCCUUUCGACUUCUCGCCGUAGUUGGACUAGCAUGUCGAGAUGGGUUAAUGUUUAUCGAAAUCGUCGGAGCUCCUCCUAAGUUUUAGCAUCGUCGACAUGUAUCAUUGGUUUAUUUCCUUAUUAGUACUCGAAUUCAUGGAUUAGAAUAUAAAAUCUGAAUUUGGAGUUAAGAUAGAAUUAUAAUUUUACAUGUUGGACUUGGAAUUGACUUAGGAGAAAACUAUUGAAUCAUACACUAUCAUUUCAAAAAAUUACCAGAUUUAGCUUUAUGAGCUGUGGUUCGUUUGUAUCGCCGCUGUUCAUAUGCGAUGGAUACCCAGAUGAGUGUAGGAUGAGUUUACGCUCGUGCUGGGAUGCCAGUUUAUUUUACAGUAGUGUGUAGACUGUUUUAGAUUGUCGGGUGCCGUCGCGGUUGAUGGUGGACCCAGAUUUCUGUGUUUUGCCUCAGAUUGUGCCAAGGGCACGUGAGCUUUGGUUGUUAGACCAGUUAGACUCAUUUGCAUUGACUAUAGCCUGUGAGAGUCUGAUUGAGCUCGACAGAGACACGCUUGCAUACUCGGUUGGGUCGCGCCCACGAGUGCCGCUCCAGAGUUUGGCUACGUGCUUUUGCGUUGAUGUCGUAGUGUCCAGUUAGGGCUUUGCUCUCCACCAGCAGCCCUCAGGGUGGUGUGCAGUGUAGCUUCAACAGGCGGGAUGGGUGCGUUCAUAGUCCCUAGUGAGUUUGGGUCAGAGAUUGCAUUUUUGUCAUAUCUACAGAUAGCCAGUGUUGGUUAGCGAUAGUAUAGUGGCAUCUAGCUGUAAGGUUUCCAGCUUUCCUUACUAUCUCUUACGCACUUUUCUGCAGACUUAGUGGGUGAGCCGUUGAGGUUGGUGACAGUACCCAUUGAGGACUACUUCUUUUUGCAGUAGUUCUUACACCCAGUUGUUUACCCUUUUUGCAGAGCCUUUAUCCGCGGCUGCUGCUGACGCUGUUUCUGAUCGUGGAAAGGGAGUCGGGAGCUAGAUCCUUUCCCUAGUUGCUGUGCUAGAGGGGUACCUUCCACAGGUAGUUUUGGGGCUUUUUGUACAUAUGGUCUUGUUGUCUGGGUACUUGCUGGAGCGAGUGGUGUAGUAGAUAUUUUGUAUGUACUGGAACCCCUCGAGGUUUUAUAUAUAUGUUUUCAGUUUAGUACCUCUUACCUCGUGGUUGUAGCUUGUUUGGUUUACAGGUACAACUAUCGUUUCGUAUACAGGGGAAAAUUCUAUGUAUGCGGCGGGUCUGUUGGCGUGCCCGGGGAAACAUGUAAUCCGGAGCAUGACAGUGUGUGUGUGUGUGUGUGUGUGUGUGUGUGUGCAGUACAAUCAUAUAACCAAUGGUAUAAUGUGCAUCGGCCUAUCGGCUACUAGGGCAUAGUACUAAAAAUCUCUCACUUGCACUAGAACCAAUCAGCCAAAUAUCUAAGAUCCACAUUCUCAAAGUGAGUAUCAAGCUUCUGCUGAUUAAGCAUUUUAGUUAGCAGGUCUACAACAUUAUCUGUAGAAGCUACUUUUUGCACCAUAAUAUACUUUUUGUCAUCAACUUAGUUGCGUAUGAUGUGUAAUAUAUACUAAACUUCAGUAUACCGUACUAAACUUUGGCCAAACUGUGCAAAAUAUAGUUAAAAAGUAAUUAUGGACAUGUUUGGAGAUGAGUUCCGAGAGUUUCGGAACAAUUGGAAGUGAGUUGGAGCUCUACGGAGCGAAACAGAAAUUUCAAGACAAAGCCCUUUUGGGCCAUCAAACUUUCAGGAUCCAAAGCUUGACUUAAGGAUUUAGACCUUGAUAUUUUUGUACAAAUGUAGUGUAUCAAAGUCUGGACCCAAAGGGAGGAUCCGAAUGUUUGCUGCGAAAAUGCUGAAAUCCAGCUUCAGGAUCCAAACCCUUGGAGCUGUCCGGACCUUGCCUGCACAGUCUGAGGACAAGGUUCAGGAUCUUGACCCUACCAGAGGAUACAUGUAAAGAAGUAAAUUCUCGAAAUCCGAGGAUUAGACUUCGUUUAGAAUCGACUAAUUGUCGAGGGAAUAAGCUUCGGAAAGUCCGGAGGUGAUUAAAAUGCAUGAAGUGCAUUAAGGAAGAGUCCGCGAGAGCAGCAGUGCAAAAUCUGCACUGGAGCAGAAUUGCUCUCGGGGACGGUCCCUGGCAGGGAAGGACCGAUCCCAUCAGGCUGGGCUGGCGGGGAUCCUUGAUGCAACCGGUCUCUGGCAGGGAAGGACCAAUCCCCGAACGUUAACCCAGCGAGAAAGGCCGAAAUUUGGCUAAGUCCCGAAAAUCCAACUCUCGGGAACCAGUCUCUCGGACAAGGACCGGUCUCCCGGGGGCUGGUCUCUCAGGCGGGGACCGGUUCCCGAACGCGAAACUCCCUCUGCCCGAGAUGGAAGGCUCUCGGGGACCGGUCUCCCCGACCUGGGACCGGUCCCCCGCUACGAAAUCAGCCCAGUGAAGGCUAUUUAAUAGAUGGAAAGUUGAGGGGCCUAUUUGUAAAAUGGCCUAUAUGAAGGUGGAGGACCUCUCUCUCUCUCUCAUUUGUCUCAUUUGCCCUCUUUUUCUCUCCCUUCCUCUCUCUAGAACAAAAGGACAAGACGAAGAGAAGAAGGAGAAGAGGGGAAAGAAGAAAGAGGAGAAAAAGGAGUUAAAGGGGAAGACUAAGAAGAGGAAAAGAUCACCUUUCUCUCUCUCUCCCUCAAGCUAGAACAAGCUUGGAGCUUGGUAUAGAGGUAAGCUCCAAACCCAUCCAUGGUGGAUUUCUUGAGAUUGGGUUUUAUUGCUUAGAGGUGGUUCGAAUGGAACCUAGAGGAGAUAAAUAGAUGGUUCUAGCAGCGGAUUCGAAGCUCGAACCAUAGAUUUCUCCCUCAUUGCCAUUUUAGGGCACGUUUUGGGAUUUUUAGAAAUGUGAGGUCUUGAUCUAUUUCGACGGGUUGUGAACCUAAUUGCUAGGUCUCGGAACGCGCCGGCGAAGACGGUUCGUCGAUACGACGAGCGGGUGCGAAGAUAUCGCCGAAUCAAGCGCUUAAGGGUUCGAAUCGACCCGAGAAGCCGAAGCAUCGACCAAGGACUAUGAAGUCGAGUUUCUACCAUCGCGGCAUCACCAAAAAGGUGGGUGGUGACCAUCCCGAAGCAACUGGAUUCCCCUUUAUGUCUUAGUACCUUAAGAUCUUACAUCUUGUGUUUACAUGCAUUGUAGGAUAAUUGUGCAUUGCCUUUCCUUAUGCUUUCCCAGAUGAUAUCAUAUUAUGCAUUAGUUACUUGAUAUAGUGGAUUGAUGAGGAUUGGGUCGAGGCUUGUAAUCCUAUAGUGCAGAGGGAAAAGAAUGACGCAAUGGUUGAAAUAAGAGAACGAGUGGCAUCUAGUUGAUAAUGAACCAGAGAACGAGUGGCAUAUGUGAAUCUUAGUGUAGCUGAAACACUAGAUUGAUGAGUAUAGAAACUCAUUGGUUCUAUGUUGAUACUAUCCUUAGCUGAUAGGGUAUCCUCGAGUUGAGAGGAUUGGAUCAUACUCACUGUCUGUUCUUGACUUGUGAUGGUCGCUCCACACAAGUAGUGCGCUCCGGAGUUGGUCACGUGGGAUAGCCUAUUUGGGGUCCCGUGGGAUAGGGAUAGCCUAGUUGGUGUCCCGAGGGAUAGCCUAUGUGGGGUCCCGCAGACGGUCUCGGAUUCGUAGUUUGAGUUGAGUCUCCCUACGCGUCGAGAUGGCUAUGUGAGUAGUAGGUGAACCCUCGAGUGAGCCACGAGAUUGAUGAACAAGGAAAUAGCUUUAAUUCUUGGACAUAUGACGAACUAGUUGAUUACCUACUUCAUUGUGCAUGCAUUUUACAUAUACAUGAUUCGAGCAUAGUAGUGUAGCUUUACUAUUCUGUCAUCACAGCUUUACAUAUUUAUCUAUCUGUUUAUCUACUUGUGCCCACUUGGACCUAGUGGGGAGACCGCCGAAGUCGGCGACCGAACCCACUGGGAACUAUGGAAGAUAGUUCUCACCCUACUCUUUAUAGGUCCGAGUUCGAGUGUCCCCGGCAAGCGUGAGGAUCGUGGCAAGGGCAUAGCGCCCUAGUGGUAUAUGUACAUAGCUAGCUUUACUUCCUUUUGCAUUAGCUCUACCCUGUACUUAUGUUUGAGAGUAGAUGUUGUAUAGGGUGAGGUUUGAAAGUGCUUGUACAGAUGUUCUGCAAGAAUGUAAAAGAUGAAAUUAAAUAUAUUAAGUUGAAUGAAUGUAAUAGAUAGAACCUUCUCUCUUUACUUACUGGUUUGUCUCAUACUCGUAUCUUGCUCUUAUCUGUUAGCACUGGUGGUGCUCCUUGUGAUCGUGUAUGUAUGAAUUGAUUCCUGGGUAAAUUCUUAUACAUGAUUAGUUUGCAUAGCCUUGGGCGGACAGGGGAGGUGCUGUCCGUUCGGCGUCUGUUUGACGCGCCCGAGCCGGACCGAAUUGGUUUUGGGGUCGCAGCGUGACAAUAUGGAUCCUUUAUGGGCUUAAAGUGCAAUUCAGGGGGUUUUAUACAAAUAUCGCUAAACCCUUUUAAAGGAGGACCAAGCCCUCUAGUCCCCAAUAUGAACACACACUCUUCUGACCCUCUCUCACUCUAUUCUCACUCUCUCUCUAGAAAUCUCUAAAAUAGUUGGAGAUUUGGAAACUUGAUCUUGGAGUUGGAAUGAAGUGCAAGCUUCCUAGAGCAAGAAGAAGGUUGGGGAGCUUUGAGUCAAGAUGAGUUUUUUAGGAUUAUAAGUUGGGGUUUUGGAUUUAGCCAUUAGAUUUGGGAUUUUAUCAAACCCUGGGCAAGUCUAGACCACAAGUGGUAAAGAUUUGCCAUGAGAUUUGGAUUCUGCUCUAAUUUUGAGGGAAUCCCUAGGGUAAUUGAAGUUUUGAAUUUUAAGGGUUUAAAAAUAUUUUGACCCUUUGGAACUCUAAUUGAAGGUUAGAGAAACACAUAGGAAACCUCAUUUCAAGGAACAAAAGGAUUUCGAUGAUCAAUUUGAAGUAACAAACAAAUUUUGGGCGUUUUUGGGCAAGAAAGCUUGGAAUCAAGCAAAUAGCCGACGAAAGCCUAAUUGCAAGUAUUUACAAGCAAUUAGGAGCAUGUUGAGGUGGGUCAUGCUCUACUGAAGUGAAUAAGUUACUUUCAUGUCUAGAGAGUAAAUAACUAAAUUAAGUUAUACAUGUUGCAUUAUAGUCUAAUUAUUAAAUAUGCAUGUAUGAGGCAUAUGUUACUUGGAAUGAUUUUACUAUUUAUGCAUGAGUAGAUGUGCAUGCAUGUGAUAUGUAUUAAGUUAGAAUAACUAAUUCUCUUUGAACAAGUAAAUGCAUGCAUUGUUAUAUUACAUUUUAUGUUAUGGACUAGAUGUAGGUUGGCAUUCUCUAGAGUUGGUAGAGAACUCAACACAUGAACAAUCAAAUACAUAGUGCCAUUGAACAAAGGCGGAAAACGUAGUGAUAGGAUGACCACUUGGACAUGAAUGACAUUAAAUCUAGAGAGGUUGACAACAUUGGGUGAAACAUAUGAAUCCUUGAUGAGACUAUGAAAGUGGUGAUUUUGCUACUUAUGUACUUGGGGCAAAAAAAAAAACAGGGACAACGAUUCCAUUUCCUAGCACCUAAUGAACGCGGCGAUUUUGUGGCUUAUGGACUUAUGGCUAAGUGGUGCCGCAAUUUCGUUACGUAAUGCAAAGAUGAAGGCGGCAAUUCUACAUGUCAUUGACUCAAGAUAGAGUUGGGUGACAUGAUUAGGAUAAUGAAGUUAGUGAGUAAAUGGUAGUUUACAUCACAUGAGUAGAUUUUAUUAUCAUGAGUGUAGGCAUAAGCAUGAUUACUUUUAAUUGCAUAUAGUAAAGAUUUAUAUACUUACGUGAUUAUCUAUUAUUUUCUAACUUAUGCUUAUGUUGCCUCCUUUAGACCUGAUGGGUUGAGCUUUUUCCUUGGGUGACUGUACCCACUAGCAACUAUGUUUAUAGUUCUCACCUUAUGUUUUUCAGGUCCAUUUACAGGCGACACGGCGGAGCGAAGGAAGGCCGUAGCACCAUAGAUAGUGGCCUUUCCACAUUUUGAGGUCUUUAUAGAUGUACCCUUUGUGGACAUGUAAUGAAAGAAAAAUAAAAAUUGUAAAGCUCAUUGUGAGAUUGUAUUGGGAAUUCAGAUGUAAACACAUGCAAUGAAACAUAUGAACGAAUAGAACCAUGUAAUAGAAAAUAGUUUACUUUCUGUUGUUAAUAUUCUCCUUAUGCAAUCCUUAUAUAUACUUCCUAGUUGGGAUGUGUGGUAAAUACAGAUUGUGACGCUUUGGGAGGCUAGGAGAAACUUUGUCUAUUCGAUAGGUCUAGUACUCGUGCUCGAUAGUGCUUCCAUUGCGGGCUCGGGGCGUGAAAGACUAAGGUGGUAUUAAAGAGUGGAAAUGAUCUAAAUGGACCAAGGAGACUGUAGUAUGGAUAACCUUUCGGACCUAGGCUCGUAAGAGAUGAGGACUUAUGAAACAUAGCAGAAGUUGAAUCAAUUGGUUCAAGUCGUUGUAUGACUCUAAUAGGAUGUUAGAGAUAGACUCAAGGUGUGGUUUAUUCUAAGCCAAGGAUGUUCAUGUUAGCGGCCAACAACAUAAAAUCAAAUGAUAGGAAUAAGCGCCUUUACAUAACUUUCAUAAAAUUUGAGUUUGUUAGUCGAACAUUAUUUUAUAUUUGGCCAUGAGAGUCAUGUUAUUGAUCAAGUUCACUGUGUUUCAGAAAGCGAUGAUGUAUGAAUGACCUACGACGAAGUCUAGGGCGAAAGAGCCAAGUAAGGACCCCGAGCAAUCUGAGGCAAGUGGCGAUAUGGAUCUCCGCGAACAAUUAGCUGUGCUCAUUAAGGUAUUGCAAUGGCAAGUGGAGACCGCACAACGUCAGAAGGAGUAGAUCAAAAGGUUCCAAGAGAUAGCGGCACAACAAAUGCCUAUCGCUAGGGUGAGCUAAGAGCAACAAGUGGCCCCAAUAUCAGUGUCUCGAAUAUAGUUGAGGGGGUAACUACGGCAGUCGUACUUGUAGCGGCACAUCCUACGCCAUCGGUAACCGCAAUAGAUUUGGGCACUUCUGUCCCCAAUCAUGUGGCGAUGGAGGCAUUGAGGGAGUGAGCAAUUUGGACUCUCAUGACCUUCAAAAAAUUCAAUUCGCCUAUCUUUGACGGAGAAACAAAGGAUCUAUGGGUCGUGAAGACGUGGAUCAACUCCAUGGAAAUCCUAUUUGAGGACCUAUACAGACAAAGUGCACUUAGCCGCACGUUACAUGGAAAAGUUGAUGGUGUAGCAGAAGGGUUCAAGCCAGACCGAUCUCCUAGUCUCCCUACGGUGUCAUGGGAGAAAUUCCGGAGGUUGGUAUUCUCUAUAUACUUCCCUGACAGUGAGAAGAGGAAGGUCCAAAAAAAUUUUCAAAAGUUGGAGCAAGAAAACCACACGAUAAAAAAGUAUGAGCAGGAAUUCUCUCACAUUGUCAACUAUAUCCCGUACGUAGUUCAGGAUGACAAAAGACAAGGCCUAUUGUUUCAAGUGCAUAUUUCGGCUUAAGGUUGUGUAUUACUCAAGUUGCAAACAUUUGCCAAAGUGUUGGAUUGGGCAUUGUGGGUGGAACAGGGCAAUGCUAUCAUGUAAGAGGAACGCAAAUCUUAGAUAAAGAGAAGGGGAAGAACCGACAGGCAAGUAGUUCGAGUGGUCAAUCGAGAUCUAAAUGACCACCGAAGCAUCUCCAAAUCACGAUCUCAAGCCCUAGAGUUGUUCACCACCCAAUCCUCGUUAAGGUGCGUCAUUUGUGAUGGCCCUUAUAAAUUGCAUCAAUAUGAACAGCGAGAGCGCAAGUUUUUUAAGUGUGGGCAGUCAGGACACAGGCAGUUUGAUUGCCUACAGGAUGAUGGUCGGUGUAACGUAUCAUUUCCUCAUAAAUCGUGCCGAGUUCCGUCGAAGCGAGCGGAGCGCGGAGUGGAUCGAGUUGAAACGGGUUCUGAGCGCAUUGGAACCUUGAUAUAGUGCAAAGGGACCCGAGAGAGUGAAACUGGAAAAUCUAGCCAAGUCCCAGAUUUUGGACUCUCGAGGACCAGUCCCUGAAGGAGAGACCGGUCCCCGUACACGUAGCCAGCCAAAAAGGGUAGAAAAUCGGCUAAGUCCCCUGCAGGGAGAGAUCGGUCCCUGUAAGCGAAAAUGGCCCCCAGUGGCUAAGUCCUGGAAAACCCACUCUCGGGGACCGGUCCCUGCGGGGAGAGACCGGUCCCCGUAUGCAAAAAAUGCCCAGUGAGGGCUGAUGUGAAAAAUGGAAUUAAGAGGGGCUUAAGUGCUAUUGUGACAUGGUGAAUGGUUAUAUGGGCUAGGGCUUGGGUGAGGGCUCAUUUGCUCUCACUCCAACACUAAAACCUUUCCCUCUCUCUCUCUAAAAAACCCUAUUUCUCUCCCUCCUUAUCUCUAGCGCUUGGAUCAAGGGAAGGAUUUGGAGGAGAAGAGCUUGGAGAAGAAGCUUCCUAAGGUGGUGGCUAGCUUGUGCAAGGCUUUUGAAGGAAAAGCUUGGACUCCAAGGUGAGUUUUCAAGGUUUUGAGUUAGGGUUUGAGUAAUAGCUUCUUGUAUGAGUAUCUAGGAGUUUCUAUGGUAGAUUUCCUCCAUGAAUAUGCAAGCUAGGGGCUUGUUUGGAGAAGAUGACAUUGUGGAGGGACCCAAAAUUAGGGUUUUGUAAUUUUAAGGUAAAAGCUUGGGCUUGAUCUCUUUUUAACCUAAUUAGUAGGUCAACGAAUGCGUUGGUGCGCUCGAUUUGGCGAUACGACGAGCGUAUGCGGAGAUAUUGAAGAAACAGGCUAAAUCGGUACAGAUCGUCGCAGCUUGCGGCGUAUAAGUCUAAAAAUCACGAAAAUUGAACUACGGCAUCCUAGUAUCACUAAGAGGUGGGGGGUGCUAUCCGAAAAUACGGAAUUUCCUUCUAUGUCUAUGUUACCAUUUUUGAGCAUAUUGAUGUUAGCAUUCAUGCAUAUAGGGUAACGUGAUGAAUAUGAUUGGUCGAGAUUCAAUUGUAUGCUAGAGAACAUAUGAAUUGAUAUAGAACCAUUUGAACUAAGAAUGUGAAAAACCCUAUGUGUAUGUGAAUGUAUGUAAAAAAGACUAUGACAGUAGUAAACAAUGGUAACAGUGACAUUAAUGACGAGAUUGGCACCGAGAAUGUAAAUGACUAAACAAGGUUUAGCUUAUUGUGGCAUCAGGACCGUUGUGGCUCAGGUAUAGUGGAAAUGUGAUAUGGUAAUAACCUAUCAUGGGCAUUGAGGCUUUGUGCAUUGAGACAGGUUUGGCUACGUCCUCACAUUGAGAAUUGGAUCGUACUCACAAAUUGGUUUCGGCUUGAGAGAGGUAGCUCCUCCUCAAGCGUUGUACUCCGAAGUGUAGACACCACGGGGAGAGUACCCCGGCGAAGAUCCCUCAGGUGGUUGAGCCUUGUGCCUCCCCCGGUAGACGGGAUGUGUGGAUUGUGAGUUUGGGGUGAACCAGGAGUACCCCGGGAUGAUUGGAUAAAGGCCAAGUAAAAUAAGAAAUGGACAUGCAUGCAUAAUUAUCAUGUACUUGAUUAUCUAUCUAUCGGUUGAUAUCUUUCUUGCAGGCAUUGUAUUAGUUGCAUUAGUGGGUUUGAUAUUCUCCUUUAUUGAAAUACAUAUGCUUGAAUAGACCUAGUGGGCGAGUCGGUGCGGUCGGCGGCCGAACCCACUGGGAACUUCGUUUUAGUUCUCACACCACCACUAACCCUGCAGAUCCAUGCGCGAGCGGGGCGGCGGAGGAUCGAGACAAGGGUAUCGCGCCGUAGAUAGCGGACUUCGGAGUAUAGGUAUACCCUAUAUAUUAUAGCUUCAACUUUUGUAUGUUGAACAGAAAAAUGAUGUAAACCUUUUAUUUUGGUUAAAGGAAAAUGUGAUGUAAAUGUGAAUGAAUGGAAAAAAUGAAUGUAAAUGUAAUAGAUUUACUUGUGUUUGAUUCAAAUGAAAUCAAAUGACUUGUAUGUGGAUAAAUGUUUAGUUUAGUAUCGAUGCUUUCACAUGUAAUGGUUGUUGUUUGCCCUCGUGCAAACCUUGUAUAAUUGCAUUCAUCUGUAUUGAAUUGCUUGUAUUAUACAUGUGGUGGAGCCUUGGGCAGACAGGGGAGGUGCUGUCCGUUCGGCGUCUGUUCGCGUGCCCGAACCGACCAAAUUGGCGGCUCCGGGGCGUGACAGAUAGUUUGGUAUCAGAGCAAAGUGAAAGCAAAAGUCUAGGACGGACUUAGGGACCUUAGGAUUGGAGACCAUCGGAACUUAGGAAACAUAUGAUGUGAACUUGGUUAACACGGAAGCUAAUUGAUUGGGUUAUGAUUAGAACUUCUCUAAAAGGACUUAGAGAUGGAUUCAAGGGAUUGUUUGUUUUCUUCCUAAGGGAUUAUGUGGGGUGGCCGACUACAUAAUACCAAGGGUAGAAAAUGAACACACUUGAUUACUUCGCUUAAUUGGGUAGUUAUUUGGAAUGUGUAAGUGUUACGCAUGUCGAGUAUUAAUGUGUGUGUCUCGUUUCAGGAACUAAUGUCCCCGAGACGUUACACGCGUAGGUCCGCUCCGGCAUUGCCUGAUGAAGUGCCCGAGCAAGCGGGAUCUGACGAAGUUUGAGAGUUGCGGGCCCAAGUAGCAGCUUUGGCUGGGGCUAUGCGACAGCAAGGGGAGCAGAUAGAACGGCUCCAUAAGUUGGUGGCUCGACAGGCAGCGGCGGCUGCACCUGUACCUCAGGACCCGCACGCACCUGUGUCACCUACUCCAGCGGUGGUAGUGGCACCGCCGACGGCUUCGGGAUCUUCGGCUCCUAUUCCGGAGACACUUGAAGCCGAGCAAGAGCGCUCAUUGGCGGUGUUGACGGCUUUCAAGCGGUUCAACCCUCCGACUUUCAACGGGGACGUGAAAGAUCCGUGGGCGAUGGAGAAUUGGUUGGCCGCGAUGGAGGCAUUGUUCGAGGAUAUCUACACCCUCAAGAAGGAUAAGGUUCACCUUGCGGCCCAUUGUUUCGAGGGGUCGGCUCGGUUAUAGUGGACGCAAGCGAAGAAAGGUCGAUCAUUGGAUCUUGCUUCCUUAACUUGGGAGGCAUUCCAGAAGAUGUUGCUCAUGAAGUAUUUUCCUGAAAGCGAUAAGCGGAAGAUCAAGGAGGACUUCCGCAAAUUGAGGUAAGGAAAUCGAUCGGUGCGGGAAUACGAAAGGGAGUUCUCGCAUAUGGUUAACUGUGUGCCGGGCUUGGUUCAUGGUGACCUAGACCGAGCGGAGGUCUUCGAGCGUGGGUUGCGGCCCGAGAUAUUCAAGGUCAUUCAUGCCUUUCGGUUAAAGACCUACGAGGAUGUACUCGAUCGCGCGCUAUGGGUGGAGCGCGGCAACUCCAUUGCGCGCGAGGAGCGCGAGGCUUUUGAGAAAGACAAGGAUAGGGAGAAGUCCAAGAAGCGAGUGGCUGGUGGGUCCGCGGGGCAGUCGAGUUCUAAGCGACCCCCUCGGUACCGAAGAUCGCAGUGGCGGGGAGGCAGAGGCCAGACGAGGAGUCAGAUGACUUCCUUCCCGUGCGUGAUCUGCGGCGGGAAUCAUAGGCCCAAUGAAUGUUCUCAGCGUGACAGGAGGUGUUUUCGAUGCGGCCAAGCGAGACACUUGAGUUGGGAUUGCCCGGGCUGCACAUCACCUGUUCCGUCAGCUGCUUCGGCUCAGUAUGCUCCACGACAGCUUGCAGGACUACCAACUGCUAUGUCGGCUGGGCGCGCUUCAGCACCGCGUCAGCCGGAGGGAUCAUGUGCACCGAGUGGAUGAUUUUUCGCCACUCAGGUGGAGGAGCAGCCUGCUGUACACGACAACGUCAUGGCAAGUAUUAUUCUGAUUAAUGGCAUUAGAGCAAGGGCAUUGUUCGAUACGGGUGCAUCACAUUCAUUUAUUGGUGUAUCAUUUGCUAAGACUCAUGGCAUGGAGAUAGUGCAUAAUCAUGAUUAUUGGUGGGUUAAUGCGCUCGAGCACUCGUUUAGAGUUCAUGAGUGCUUAGUUUGUCCUGUUCAGAUCGGCGAGUGGAUCAUGCCGGCGAACUUGCUAGUGUUAAAGCAGAUGUGGGGAUUCGAUGUCAUCUUGGGAGUUAAUUGGCUCUCCAAGUACUAUGCUAGUAUUGACUGUGACAGCAAAGUGAUCACUUUUCGUGAGCCUGGUCAAGAGGAGUUGGUGUAUCAAGCGUGCAAGAGCUCGCGUUUCACGACGACUGUGUCGGCGGCGAGGGCGAGAAAGAUGAUCAAAGGCGGAUGUGUGGGCUAUUUGGCGACCAUGAUAGAGGCUCAAAAGGAGCAUCCGAAACUUGGAAAUAUCCGAGUAGCAUGUGAGUUCUCGGAUGUGUUUCCGGCGGAGUUACCGGGAUUGCCACCUGAUCGAGAGAUCGAGUUCGUUAUUGACUUGAUUCCCGGAGCGGCGCCAAUUUCGAAGGCUCCGUAUAGAAUGGCACCGGGGGAACUUAAAGAGUUAAAGGCCCAAUUAUAGGACUUGCUCGAUAAAGGCUUUGUGAGGCCGAGCAUGUCACCGUAGGGAGCUCCGGUGCUGUUUGUGAAGAAAAAAGACUGUACACUUCGACUCUUCAUUGAUUAUCGAUUCACGUAAGUAGUAAACUGUUUAAAGUUUUCUACUUUAUGUAAUGAUACUAUUGAAUAGUCUAGGACUGGCAAGUAUAGGAAUAGGACAACGAGGAAGGUAUAAGGAGAAAUUAUGAAAAGCUAGAUAUGAAUAGAGAUAAAACAUUAAGGUAAAAGAUAUGCCAUAACUAAGAGAAUAAAAGCAAACUGGCUUCUCAAUAAUUACGGAAAAAAUUUCUUACUGGAUUUAAUAGAAGUUCUGGACUUGUCCUAUGAGAAUGGAAAUAGGAAAAAGAAAAAAAUAAUUAGAUCCUUCAAAAUGAAGAACAAGAACUUCAAUUCAAAACCUACGUAAAGGUAAAGAUGUGAACGAAUCAUGCUUAUGAUAAAUACUAUGAACCAAGGGAAAAUAAAAAACAAUCACCGCAUGAAAGCUCAAUGAGAUUGAACUAAAAAGCAGCAUGUGGUAGACCAAAUGGAUCCACAUUAUAAUAUAUAAUCAGACCUAUCUAUAUUCAUGCUCAAUACUUCCAAAUGCAUAAAUAAAUCCAUAAAGCAUGGCAGAACUAUCAAACUUUCAUGCACACCACAAAAUCAGUGGUAUCUACAGGAAAUAUAGCAAUGAACAGAUAGAGGUCAAUGAAAUAGAACAUAAGCUACAAGCCUCAUCGCAUAAAUAUAAUUGGUUUUAGCAGAAAAGAAUAACAAAUAAUGCGCUAAACAGUUAUGUAAGUUGCAUGGCUCGAUGCCAGCAAAUAAUCAUACUAGAGAUAGGAAAGAAAUAUUUUAGACACACACAAAAUUUGCUGAUUUUCUGGGCCAAUUUAAACUAUUCUCAGUACAAAUCACGAAUUUCAGCAUUCACGGACUUUGUAACCCAAACCACAUAUUAUCUACUCCCUCUUACGCUACACUAUAGAUUCUUCCAUUAACAAUAUGGACCAAUAAACAAUAAGAGAAGGGCAAAAUGCUAAAAAUGUGCAGAAGACUAAAAGAAUUUAGAGUAAUUAGAACUUCAGUUUAACCUCUGGCUUGUUAUGACUUUCUACUUCUUGACAAGAAAAAUUCUACAAAUGUAAUUAACCAUACAAAAGAUUCGUAAUGAUUGAAUGCAGUGCAGGGAAAAAGGAGACAUGGAAGAUGUGGAGUGCAGCCAUUAUCCCGUUAUGAUGCCACCGUAAUAAGGUCCCAGAAUGGAGUAUACGUAGACAGUCCUAAACUUCAACAAUGUAGCAUGAAGUAACUGCUUUAAGGAAGCAUGCAACAUAAGGUUACAAGCCCAAGACUUUUAACAUUGCACCAAGGAAUGGUUAUUAAAUAGAAAAACUGUGAUCAUUUCAUAAGUACUCUUUUAUACACUUCGCUCAAGAAACCAACGGAAUGCUAAACAAGUAAACAAAGUUAAUCUUCUUGACAAUAUAAUAGUUAUUGGACACCUUACAGGCAUUCCAAACCAAAGGGCGGCAUGGAAAAACUGACAGGGUACAUGAAAUAGACAGCCUGAGCUAUUAUAUCCUAAACAAUUUUUGAAGUAUCUAUCCUGUGUAUUGCCUGCCUAUGGUAAAAAGCACUUUCACUUGUUGUUGAUGAAUGAUGAUGCAGUAAUGGUUGGUCAUUUAGAAAUAUUUUACUAAAUCAAAAUGGUAGUAGAGAUAUUACUUUCAUGAUUAGUGGCACAGUUGACAUGGUUAACUAGACUAAUAUAGUUAAAUUUGUUAUAAUUGCAUAAAGAAACUCUAAUGCCAUAUACAUGCAGUGACAAAUAAUAUCUUCAAUUUGUUCCUCUAAAACGUUAAUCAAAUGGUUAAUUAUAUCCAACUUAAGAUAGUUUUACAAUGUCAAAAAAGAUACACAGUACUUGCAGCAUAAAAAACUUACUACAAUUUUUUUCGUAAAGACGAUGGGAGAUGUUAAGAUUGGGUACCUGUAGGCACAUUGCAGCCUCCAGAGUGUUCCGAAUGCAUGUUAGAUACAAUGUAGAGUAUUAGCCUACUAAGAUCAAAACAAACAGAAUAUAAAAACCAUGUAACUUAACUGAAAAAACUAUUAAAAGAAGCAAUUGUAGUAUAAAGUUUCUCUAAAAUUCAAAAAUUCCGCCCAUUGGGGUGGAACUAGUGUAUCAAAUCCACAAAAAAAUGGUAAAUUUAGCUUUUCUAAAAUGGCAAGGACAGAGACAAGAACUACAAAACCAACUGAUUUCAAUCACAAGAACAAAACUUCCAAUUCAGCAAUUCCAAGUCAUGGGUAUGCUAUAGGUGGAUCGAAAGCGAAAAGGCGGUAAAGUUGAGAUAAUUUGGCUUUACAUAAAAAGACCAAAAACAGAUAAGAAUAAUAAACAAGGAGAGAAUUGAAUAUAAAACUACAUGGACGUGCUAUCGGUGGAUCCAAUGACAGGACUGAGAGAGAAAGUUGGGCUAUUUUUGUUGAGCUGUUGUCCAGUGUGGCCUAUGUGCAGUCGCACGACGGCAGAGACUAGGUGAUCCAUGCUAUGCACACUAACAGAAAAGUUAAAUGUUGGAUAUAGGAACUAGACCCAGAACCUCUUGAACCUUAUAACUGACUCUAAUCCCAUGCGACCCGAAAGACCAAUUCGCCUAAUAGCUCUAACAUUCAGAAGCGCAAGAACAGAAAGAAGCUACACUACCAUUACAGCGGCUCCAAGACAUAGGUAUGCUAAAGGUGGAUCUAGAAUAUGGAAUAAGACAAUAAAGUUGGGAUCGAUCUUUGACUUCCCACGAGUGCAUAGAACAGGUAAUAACAACGAAGAUGACUGAUUUGAGGCCUACAAACUACAUUCACACAAUUGGGCAAUUUCACACGAUAUUGAUGCAUCCAAACUAGAAAAUGAGACCCUCGGAAUGGCAAAAUUGUAGAUGAGUACUGACUCGAUUACAAAAACUAGAGCACCAAAUCGAGAAUUCGGAGACAGGGAUUUGAUUAGGGCAUCUCCAUAUGCGGUGCAGAGAGAGAGAGAGAGAGAGAGAGAGAUACCAUCCGUGUGGGAGCUGCGGCGAUGGGUCAAGGAAUCAGGAGAAUAUAUAACUACUCACUAUUUCUCUUAUUCUAUAUUAUCUAUCCAAACGCUAUUUUUUUUAUCCGAAAACAAUCCAAUUUUCACCCAAACGCUAUUUUCCUUAUCUCCACACUUGUACCUAUUUCUGAAAUAGCUAAUUCUCGUUUAUUCCCGAACCAAACGGUGCCUACAUAUACAAUACACGAAUAGAUCCAAUCCGCCAAAUCGUUGCUUUACAUGUGACAUUCAAGUGAAUAAAUAAAUAAAUAAAAAGAUAUGACAACACUUGGUUUGAUAACACAAAUCACACACAACAAAUCUCAACAGAGAAGUAAGAUUCCAUCUAAAUAGUGAGAUCCAUCCAUGGUGCUUUGAAAAUAAAAUAGGAGCUUAAACAACAUUUGAUUUCGAGUGCCCAUAAUAAUAAACAUUCACAAACAAAAUGACUUUACAAAGUUGCAAAACUUUUAGCUUGUAGGUCCCCCACUUCGUAAAGUUUCCCCCUCCACCUCCUCAAGCCUUUGCAGGAAUGGACUGACGACAUUGGAAUAGUUGUGAAACUGAAUUUUGAGAGAAAAAAAAUAAAGGAGAUUUAACCUUCGUUAUAAUGUCCAGAAAAAGCUUCAUUUUGGUGGAAAGAAAAAAUUAUUUGAGCUGCUGCAUUGAGCAUACCGAAUUAACAAUCUCUUCCAUUUUGGCUUGCAGUUCUUGCUGUUUUGCUCUUCCGGCUUCUCUCACUGUAUCCGCUUCUGAACAAAAACUAUCGCCCUGUGGAGAAACAAGCACGGCAAGUGGUUAGAAUAUGAACUGCUCACUCUAUCAAAUUCCGUUUUAAUUUGCCAGGAGUGAUCAUGUAGCAGCUCAUUUAUUUGCCACAUCAUCUCUAGGCAUUGACAUGAUGUGGCAGCUAAACCUGAUGCCAUGUCAUCGCUCUCCUAGGAAAAUAAAUGGAAUUAAGCAGAAUGGCCAAUUGAUGUAGAAAAUGAGGCUACAGUUGCGUCACCACGAUGAGUUUCGUGACUAAUGGUGAAAAGUUUACCCUAAAUAGAAUGAGCAUCAAACUGAUAGCAGUAAUUUCUGUGCAAAAGAGAGAACAGAAGAUUCUCACCUUAGCAACCAUGGCUUCAACUUUCCUUUCCCGAGGCUCAAGACACUGCAGCUUCCACUCCAUCUCAGCCCGUAGAGUGUUAAGCUUUUGUGCUUCCUCCGAUAAUCUCAAUUCUUUAUCUUUCUCAGUUGCCUUGAGCAAUUCUUCAGCUUCUUUUGCUGAUAGACAGAAUUUGUAGAAUAUGAGACAACGAAAAAGAAGAAUGUUUCUCAACCACAAAUGGCAUUAUACAUAAGAACCUUUUCCUUGCUGUUCAACUAGUUUUGCUUCGAGGGCCAUAAUCGAAACACUUUCAUCACUGAGCUUAGCUUUCAAGCCCUUCACUUCCUUCUCCACAGUUUUGGCUGAAACUACCUGGCAAAUACCAGUAACAGAAGAUGCAUUGUUAAACGGCCAUUAUAGUAAAAAGCACAUCUUCCAAGGCCAUAACAGACGGUAGGAUGCUGUCCCUAUGAAUCCAAUAUCAUUUAGUUCAUGACAUUGGCAACUGACUGUUGUGAUUACUUUCAGGAGCAAUUUCGCAAAACAACAGAAAAAUAUGAAAAUAUCAAACAAAUGAAGCUACCAUACUUGUUCUUGUAUAGCCUGCAUCUUUGACAAGUGCUUGGACAUUUUGUCAUAAGCCUACAAGAAAUAGAGUAUUUGUCAGCAUGGGCUAAGUAAUAUUAAUAGCAAAUACGGAAAUUCCAACUAAAUGCAUCUGAAGUAGGUAUAACGUGCAAAAGACAAAUCAACUAUUCUUAGAAUACCGUUACAAUAUAGCGGUCUAAAAAGUGAAGGAUAUUUAGUUUUGUUCAUGAAUGCCAGCAUAACGAUAUUUAACUGCAAUGUUAUAUAAAGCUAUAUUCCCCUGUUUUUGCCAUUAUACCAUUAAUAGCUUGGCUCAGCAUCCAGAGAACUAGAAAUAUGCACAGAAAAUUAUUGUAAGUUCAUAAUGGCGGCCCAAUCAGUUUUAUAAAUAAAUUUAAAACAAAAGGAUAAUCAAAGACCAACAUUUGAAAUUUCACUUGUUCACACUUUUGACAAUUGAAUAGCUAACCAAAAUUAUAACUGAAAAGUCAACAAGGUGACUGUAUGCACUUAAUUAGUGACAAAGGAUAUCUCAUAGACCAAUCAAAAGGUACACAUGAUGUCUGUCAUCAGUUAAGCUGCAUUAAAGGUGUCAAUGUAGUAACUUAUCACUGCUAGUAAGCAUUAGAAAGCAUGUUUCUGCAUUUUAAGUAUCAAAAGCAAAACUAUUCAAGCAUUCAUACCUUAGAGUACAUCUCCAAUGUGGCAGUUUUCUCUUGAACACUCUGCAUUGCCAACUUUUCAGAGUUCUUAGCCUCAGUGCGAGUUGUUUUCUUCUCCUCAAGGGCUCGCUUUUUACAUACCCCACAAAAGAUAACAGAGAAAGCUUCUCAGAUCGUUGGUGUCAUCUCAUCAAACUUGACUUUCAAGUACAGAAAAGUCACCCGUUGCAUUGCUUGUCCAUUAAUGGUCUUUAUUAAAAUUGCAUUAAGCACGAGAAGCUAAGAUGUAAAAGCUAGGGCAUGAAUGAAUAAAGGAAAUGCAAUCAGUUGCAUGAACAAAUAUAUAUAUACUGAAAAACUUUAAGAAAAUCAUGGCAAUUGUACUAAUCCUCUAUAUUCAUUAAGCUGAAAAACCCAGCCAGCUGGAGGCCAACUCAAUAAAAAGCACAGCUGGAGAAGAAAGAAAAUUUGACAACACAUUUGCCAUCUAAGUCAAAACCAAAAAAAAAAAAAGACAACGCUACCCAAGCAAGUGAGAAUGAUGCCAUGAUCAUGUUAUCAUGAUCUUGUAGUACAACCAUUGUAAUUGCUAUACAGAAGGCACUUAAGUAACAGGAAAGGGUAUGCAGUAAUCAUCUAAACCGAAUACGCCAUCCGAACCAAGUCAAUUAAGUUAAUUUCAUUUGAUAAUCAAUAAUUCGGUUCUGCUAAGUUACGCAUGUCUCAAGAUUUUCAGAGAUCUCACCUGUAGCUUGUCUGGGGACUGCACAAUUUUAGACAAUAGUUUGGAAUUUUCUUGGGCAUUUUUCACUAACUCGAAAUCAGCUUGAGAUAUCUGCAAGAAAGCCAAGUGCAACAACAGGCAAAUUUCAUGAUUGAAAGCAUAACAAAAUCUUCUUCAUAACGAUAGGCCACAAACAUUUACAUCGGAAUCUUUUCUAGCAACAGGUCACUACCUUGUUGUUGACAGCAUCUGUCUUCUCCUUGAGCUCUUUGGCCCGUGCCUUCAAUGACAUCUGCUGCUUGUUAUAGUUUUGGAUGGUCUGACGCAACUCCUUAACCUCUGCCUCCACUUGCUGAACUAACGGCUCCUCCAUCUGUGCUGAAACCUCAUGUUCCAUAAUCCUCUUCUUAAGCUGAAUAAAACACGGACAAGGUAUAUCUAUUACCACAUCUUUAUGUCUACUCAAUCACUUGCCCAGCUUAACACAGAGGUAUAAGUAGCAGCCAAACCUCGGCGAUCUUUUCUUUAAGCUCGGCCUGCCAUUCCUCGGAGUUUGGAAACUCAUUCACAAUGGGCUUCAGCAUAGCCAGCUUAUCCUCUCUAAUCAAUUCAAACACAAACACUGAUCCUUCAAUCAAUAUCCAAAUACCCCACAACAUUCACACGCUCUGUAUACAUUAAACACGCAUCCUUUUCCAAAAGAUCUAGGGCAUGUUUGGCUGUCGCCCUACUCUACUUUGGCAAUAAGAAAUGUCAACAAGUUCUGCUGUAGCAAGAGGCAAAAAUGUGGUUUUGAGACUCAAAAGCAAAAGCUUUAAUCUCGUGCUUUUAAUCCUACAGCAGAGAACCGUUGGGAGGAAUUUGGCGCCCUUUUGGCCCUGCUUCUGCUUUUAAUUUUAAUCAUUUUGUAAAUAAAAGAGUAUAAUGCUUUUGCAAUAGCAGAAAUCAAAAAUGAGUUUACGAGGUUGAAAAGCAGAAGCUUGCUCCAAUUUGGGUGCUUCUGCUCCAACAUCUACUUCUACUAAAAAAAGAAUCUUUAUAAGGUAUCUUAGCAAACAUAAUACUUCUUUCAGAACCAUUAAUCAAAUAGCACCUAAGUAGAGCCCAAAACUAGCACUUCUCUAAGCAGUACUUUUUCUAAUAACAUCACACUCACUACACAGCACCCAGAUGGGGUUAGGGCAGAGCAUUGAACCUGUAAUAGAGGAAAUUGACGAGGGCGCUGAGGAUCUGCGAAGCGCGCCUGGGGUCGGGCUUGAGGAGGUCACGGAGGGUGAGUUCAGGGAAGCGGAUGGAGGCGAGGAAGUCCUUGGCCUUGCGGUAGAGGCUGAGGAUCCUAAUGGAGUCGGCGUGGUGGUCAGGGUUGUCGAGGUGCUUCAACGCCGCGAACCCGAUCUGGUCAUCGGCGCCAUCACUAUGAAGCACGAAGAAGAGGAAGAAGUUGCUAGGGUUAGGGUUAGGGUUCAGAGGAUUAGGGUUUUCAGUGGUAGGGUUUUAGUCGUACCUGAGAGGGUCGAUGCAGGCGAAGAAGUUGAAGAAGAUGGAGAGGAGGAGGUCGGGGGAGGGCGAGGCGAGAUCGUCGGGUUUGAGGGAAGGAGAGACGAUGCCCUCUGACGCGAGCACGGACGCGAUCUCCGAUGCUGACACCUCCGGCACCGAGAAGCUUGACAUCUCUAUCUCUCUCUCUCCUCCUCUAAUUUCUCACUCUAAAGUUGGAAUAAUUUGGUUUUGCAUAAAAUGACCAAAAACAGAUAAGAACAAUAAACAAGAACAGAUUUGAAUCUAAACUACAUGGAUGCGCUAUCUGUGGAUCCAAUGACAGGAUUGAGGCAGAUAGUUGGGUCUCUUUUCAUUGAUCUUUUCUCUUUUCUUUUUUCUUUUUUUCUUUUUUUCUAAAGUUGGGUUCUUCAGCUUUUCAGUGUGCCCCAAAAGAACAAUCUCAUAGAAAACAGCGCGUGCGUGCUGCCGCAUGACGGUGGAGGCUGCGGGGAACCAUGCUAUGCACACUAACAGAAAAGUUAAAUGGUGGAUGUAGGAACUGGACCCAGAACCUCUUGGACCUUGGGACCCACUCUAAUAGCUGUAACAUUCAGAAGCGCUAUCUUUGAAAAUUCGGAUCCAAUGCGAAACUAAUUAACCAUUGGCUACACUAUAUAUAUAUAUAUAUAUAUAUAUAUAGUAUAUAUUAUUUUUAACUAAUAAACGGACUGGUAGGUUCUUCAAGAAACUUGACAUAUCAAGGGUUAAUAUCUGAAUGGCAAGCAUGCAUUUGUUUCACUGCAUUAUUAUUUCCUAGAAAUAGUGAGAAAAAAGGAUUUCCAAUCAUUUAAAGAUGAGAUUUCUAGUUCUUGAUUAAUAAAAAGUGUUUACUAAGAAGUAAGAACUUAAUAGGAAUGUACAGGUUCCCUAUACUGAUCCCACUUGGGAGCUUGACACAAUAUAAGACAAAUGUUAGGAGCAGGAAAUCUUAAAGUUAAACAUCUUCAAACUCUUAUUCCUCAGGUCUUCUCAUUUUAUAGUGAGGUACAUAUAUAGUAACAUAUAAAUGUAAGAUGAUUUCUCUUUUUUUAGAUAUGUUUUGAAGAUUCUUUUUCUGUAAUCAUUUUAUCAACAAUGUUUGUAUAUUCUUAUUGAAGAAUGAAAACUCAAAUCUGUAUCUCCAUAUUGCAAUUUCUCCAAAAUCAUCGGAAAUUCACAGUAUUGCCAGUUAACACCAAUGUUUUUUAGCCUUUGUUAAGUUUGCUAGAUCUCCCUUGGUUUUUAAUCAAUGCAUGCUUGUGACUUUCAAACCUUACUCUCAACCUGCUGGGCACAUCAACCUUUUGAGGUCUUAAAACCUUAUUUGCUGACUAUUCUUUUUAAAGAAUAUCUAUGGUACCUUAGAACACUCAUGUAUGCUGUAGAGAUUAAAGAUAAAAAAGAAGUAAUGAAUCUUAAUAAAUGCAUGUUCACAAUGAUGCUACAUUUUGUAGUCAUGGUCUUGUUACUCAAAACCAUACAGUCAGCAAUUAAGAGGAGAUGAAAUAAAGGAAAGAGAGAGAGAAACUAAAGCAUAAAAGUUCAGACGAUUCGUACCUGGGUUGUAAAGAACCACCCGAUUACUGAUCCAUCGUUGGAGAGCGGAAGCGGAAGCGGAAGCGGAAGAGGCGACGAGGAGGAUUCUGAUUUCUGAAGAGUGAAGAACCCGAUCUUCGAUGUGGCCUCGCGGGGGCUUCCGAUGGCGUUUGGCAAGCGGCCGGAAGGGAAGAGGGGAAGGGGAAAGGAUGGGGGCUGGGGUCGGUGGCAGGCCGCAGGGGUGAGAAAGUUAGGGCAAAAUCUUUUUGAUCGAGUUUUGGGGGCGCUCUUGCUUGACUCUUCCAGUAAAAAAGUGGAGGACGACUCGGACCGAAUGUUUUUUUUCUUUUUUUUCUGUCCCUAGCGGGGAGGGACUGGACCAUCAGGCUAGCUGCGGGGUCUUUGAUGAGACCGGUCCCUGACGGUGAAGGAUCGGUCUCCGAACGUCAGCUCAGCGAGAUUAGCCGAAAUUUGGAUAAGUCCCGAAAACCCAAUUCUCGGUAACCAGUCUCUCGGACAAGAACCGGUCUUCCCAACCAUUUUUUUUUUUGGGGGCUAAUUAUUCGAGGCUUUUGAAUUAUUCAGGAAUAAUUAUUUUUAAUCAAAAAAAUAUUUUUUUCUGUAUUUUUUGGAAAUUUACGGAUACGUGUUUUAUUUUUUCUUCAAAAAUUUGUGAAUAAUUUGUGAAUUAUUCGCAAAUUAACUAACAAAGUUUUGAAUCGGAUCCCCCGCGUUUUUUCGUGCCGCCCAUCCUAUCACAGUAAGAUCAACACACACACAUUUAAAAAAAAAAGAAAAAAAGUAAUGAGAUGGAAAUUGAUAUCAGGAUUUUCAAUUAAGUAUCUUGUAGAGAUUGAUCUUGGAAAUCUGGUAGGAGACGUCCCUCUAAUACGUCUUCGCUACCUUAUAGCCAAUCCCCCAGUCGGAAAGGAAAUUCACCAUGUCAAACAGGUUCUUCUUCUUCUUUCUCGGAUUAAGGUUUUGAGGAGUUUCCGACUCACUCAAAGGAAAGAAGGAGGGAAAGAGAUAAGAAGAUUAAGUGGUUAGAGUUAGAGUUACGAAAUCAAAGGGUCAGCGGAGAAGGAAGCUGAACGUUUUAUGUGCCAGGCAAUCUCGAUUCUUCUCUCUUCCUAUGCGGAGAACAAGCGACAGGAGCAAACAAACUUAUAGGUCGGAAAACACUAUAUAUUCACCUCAAAAGAGUUGUAUGAUGCACACCUCAUAUAUAAAAAAUGAGCUGAUUUUUAUUAGUUACAUUUAUAAGACUACUGAAAAAUCUUCAAAGAAAAAUACUUCUUAUAGACCUAAAAAAGAUGUAUAGAUCUUACGCUCGUAAUUUUAGGAUUGAUAAAAACCGAAUUAGUUUUUAGUAAAAAUUAAAAAAAAUUAAUAUGAUAAGAAUGACUUUAAAAUAGAAUAGGUGUAAGAUGUACACCCCACUUUAGGAUGUUCCUGAAGCAUUUCUCAUCUUCAAAUAGAUAAAAUUGCAUAGAGCUCCAUAAACGAUCGUACAUUUUGAAACGGGUUCCUCAGUGUUUUUUAAAAAAAUUUUAAAAUUUAUCAUUCCUCGUCUUUUUAAUUUUGGAUAAUCUUCAAUCGGCCACAAAUUACGCCUGUUUGGCCACAAGUUUACACGCAAUAAAAGUAUACAACCGCAUAAAAAGGCUUUUUUUAAAAGCUGCGUGGUGGGGCCCGCUCGAUCAAAUAGGAAUUAUGGCCAUUGUUUUUAUUUAGUGCAUUAUGAUUAAAAAAUUUAAGUGGUUUGAAAAGUUUUUAUUUAUAAUUUAUGAUUUUAUUCUUUAUUUUAUAAAAAAAUAUUAUUAAAUAAGGUAAUAAAGUAUUGUAUUUUUACUUUAUUUAAAGUUUAUGUAUAUGGAACUUGACACGAUGAACAUCAUUUGAUACAUGGAGCUUAACACAAUGAAUAGCAUUUGAUUGGGUCCCUAUGGCAAAUCUUCUAUCCAGGCAAUUUUAUUUUUGGCCAGUCCUACAUUAGCAACAAUUGGGCCAAGAGACACUACAUCGAUGGCGCUGAGCUCGUAGACUUCGUCCUCGCUGCCAUGCUGAGAAAGUCAAGAAUUGUGAUUGUUUGUAGGAUAUGUGCACAUUGUAUGCUCGACUAAUUACUUCAAAAAAAGUUCGUGUUAAUGACCCGAAUAUUGCAUCCCUAUAUUUUUAUUGUGGGGUAUUUUAGUUCAUCCUGACCAUUAAAGAAGGGUCUAAUUUUUUUAUAAAAAUAAUUAUUUUACCCUUAUGUCGUGAAUGGUUCAUUUAUUUAGACAUACUUUAAACAUGCCUAAAUAUUGUUUUUAUACAAAAAAAAAAAUGUAAUAUAUGUGAAAGUGCAAGAGAUCGAGUUGUCGCAUACAAGUAUUCAAAUUAGCGAGACCAUCUUUACAUUUUACAUAUACCUUUUUAUAUGUGCAUACCAUGUUAUCAUGCUUCAGGCUAUAUAUCAGAUGUAAUAUAAUGAGCUUUUGUUUAGUAUACUGAACUUUAUCCAAAUAUGGAUGAAUAUGGCACAAAAUAAUUUGGAUGUGUUUGAAUGGCUGAAAGAUAGCUCGGGGCUAAAUUUAGAUAAAAAUAUAUUGAUAAUAAAAUUUUGAGAGUAAAUCCUUACAGCUAAAAUUUUAGAGUCUGAAUCUUAAUAUGGAAGUCAAGACUUUGAAGUUUGUGAAACUUCAGAGUUCACACCUUGUAAAGAAAGUCCAGACCUUUAGCAGUUUUUGUAUAUGAUAGCAUUUCGAAUUCGAACAUUGAAGGAAAGUCCAAAUUCGGACAUUGGAAAGAAAGUCUGACCCUCGAGGGGUGGAAGUCCGAACCUUGUCUAAUGCCAUGGAAACCUUAAGGAUCCGGACUUCCUAGGGAAGUCUAGAUUCUCCGCUGCGGGGAGUAGAGUAUGAGAUGGGGAUGUUUCAUGUAAAAUGCUAGAACUCUUGUAGUAAAUUGUAAUUGUUACAACGCUUUUAUAUAAAGGACCCGCUUAUGAGAGAAUUAGCCCUAAACCCCUCUCCCUUUCACUUUUUUGCCCUUUUCUCUCUCUCUAAUCCUCUCUCUCUCUCGUCACUAGCUCCCUCUCCUUUUUGUUCGAAGAAAAUGGAGGCCAGAUUCUCGCUCCUUAGGAUGCAUAGGUAAGAGUAGAAGCUUCGGGAGAAAGAAACAAUAACUUCGAUCUAGGCAAGCUUUGCAUGAAAAAAAAGAAAACGCUAGUGAAUCACGGUGAGUUGCUCUUGAACUCUCAAAUCCUUAGGUUAGUCAUCGUUAAUUUCAUGUUCUGAGGGUUGUGGAGUUUUUUUGGGAUUUCUUUGUGUUGAAUAUAUGAUGUUGGCAUUAUGUUGAAAAAUUUAGGGUUUUCUUGGUUGUAUUGGAGACUCCCCCAAAUUGGUGAGAGCUUGAGCUAAGGUGGGAACUCCAAAUCCUUUGUAUGGUAACUGUAUAUCUUUGUAUUUUUGAGUUAGGGUUCAAGCUUUGAAGUCUUAAGGCCUCAUAGUUGAAGAUGGUAAGUUGUAUGUUGAGUUUUGGAAUCUUAGAGUAGCUUGUGGUAUUUUUGUAUUUCUCCUUAGGACCAAGUGGGGGUCAAGGAGUUGGCGGCACGGGAUACACAUCGAGUUUCUGGUUACAGGUGCGUAAUCAGUCUAGAAUGAUCUCACUACACCAUUUAAAUCGCCUAUUCCUAUCAUCUAUAAACUCUAUUAAUCCCCGUUCCUAUUUGCCACGUGUCCAAUUUAUCUUAAUCCAAGCCACGUCAGCAUGCCACUUCAGAUCCCAUUCGUUCCUUCGCCCCCGCCUCUUCGAUCGCUCCCCGAUUCCCACCGCUUCGAUCCUCCCAGCCUCUUCGAACCCUCCCCAAACCGCCGCUUCGAUCCCUCCUCUGCCUCUUCAAUCCUUCCUCCACCUUUUCGAUCUCUCUCUACGCUUCAUAUCCCUCAUUCUCUCGCGUCCCCGCCUCCUUCCCCUGUCGCCCCGCAGGGCACGGAGGUCCGGCAGAUUCGCACUGAACUCUCUCAGAUCUCUUUCCGAUCUGAAAGGAUCUUCUUCUCCUCCUCCCCCUCGCCAUCAUGCGAUCGAUCGGAGGAGCUCGCAGGCCCCUGCGCCCUCACCCCAACGCUCGCGUCCUGUUCGACGAAAUGCCGAGGCGAUUGCUGGGCGCUUCGCAGGCAUCAGAGAGGUGGGGCUCGGCGCUGGGAUGGUGGUAAAUGUUAUUCCUCCGCCUCUUCGAUCUCUCUCUACGCCUCAUAUCCCUCAUUCUCUCGCAUCCCCGCCUCCUUCCCCUGUCGCCCCGCGGGCCGCGGAGGUCCUGCAGAUCCGCGCCGAACUCUCUCAGAUCUCUUUCUGAUCUGAAAGGAUCUUCUUCUCCUCCUCCCCCUCGCCAUCACGCAAUCGAUCGGAGGAGCUCGCAGGCCCCUGCGCCCUCUCCCCAACGCUCGCGCCCUGUUCGACGAAAUGCCGAGGUGACUGCAGGGCGCUUCGCAGGCAUCGGAGAGGUGGGGCUCGGCGCUGGGAUGGUGGUAAAUGUUAUUCCUUUACAUAUAUAUGUCUGAUCAUGUAAAUAGAGGUAUAAAUUAGCAACUCUAGGUAAAACUCUUUCCUUUCCCCUUUUCUGCAGCAUGGUUUAGUUCAUACCAUUUGAUGAUAUUAUAAGCUAAAAAUCAGAAGUAAUUGACAGUAAUCAACAUUAUGUAUUGAAUUCAUUCUAUAAGGUAUCCGAACACUCCUGGGAUUUGGACGAAGGAGCAAGUGGAAGCGUGGAAGCCCAUUGUAGAUGCGGAAAGAAGAGAUAGAAGGGAGAAACCAUCACCGAGCGCACCUGUACACUGUACAACGUCGGAAUGAAAAUACGUCACCUGUACAACUAUCGGCCGCACUGUCUCCUGACUUGCAAAAGAACGUCCAACCACAAGAUCCAGCCCAAUUAGGACCUAAGGCAGUUCAACUGGUUAUGUUAACCCAUCUUAGGUAAGAAACCCUAAAAACAUAACCCACAAACAACCUCACGGAGAUCAGGUUUCCCAAUAUCCGAUUAUCGUAACUUCGGCCGAGCAGUCCCGAAAACGCUACAACCGGACGUCCAGUUGGGGACUAUAAAGUUCCCGAAACUCAACACGACUCGGGUCACGAGUCAUCCUGCUGCCGACCAAACACCCAAUUUAUGUUUUGGCAAGCAAACACAAGAUAGCGACAACUUACAGCAUUAUUGCCGGUAUAAUAUGUACGAUACCGGUUCCCGAAGUUCAAAAUUACACCGAUACCCACCGCCGCCCACUGGCUGCCGUCAUCCGACCCACAAUGUGCAGAUGGUACUAAGCCUAAACUAAGGCUAGCUCACUACUCACUCGAGCAACCAAACACGCGCGGAAGAAUACAAUCGAACUGGGGAGCGUUCUUUAUGGCCGAGCGAAUUUCGUGGCCGAAAAUAGAGGAACGGCGCCAGAAACGACUUUUCGAUUUAGCGAAAGCACAAGAUAUGGACAACACAGCCAUGAGGUCAACACACACCUUGGGCGAUUACACCGACAGCCCGUCCACAGGCCCAAGGCACAUUUGCACAAAAGCCUCCUAUGUAAUAAAUCCAUCAUUUUAUGUAAUCGUGCGACUUAUAGGCUGAUCUCGCCAAAACGAGGACUCCAAGGUCCGCCGAGAACAACGUACUGACUAGUUCCGACGUACUGGAAGUGCCGUGCUCAUGAUUUGGAGCACAAUAGACUCUAUUAUGAAGCGCGGAGCAACUCGAAGUUUAGCGACAGUGCGGUCACAAGGGAGAUCGCGCCGAACAGCGAUCAACCGGAGACUGCUUGAUGCCCAAAAUAAGGUAACACCGAUCUACACUGACCAGCGGUCACCGUGUCCACUCCGAGCCAUCGGAACAGCCUCGAUCACCGAGAAAACAGAACAGCCACGGUCCACCCGCUACAAACAGCGGAACGGCGCUUCCGCAGACGAAACUCAGGUAGCACGAUGACCAGUAACCUUCCAGGCAUCACGUGCUCCCUUCGUAGAGGUUCGGAAGUGGCUACCGGAAGCUCGGACGAAACCAACCUACAUGAACAGCCUAAUUAUCGCUUAGCCGAGCAAGCUUACCUCGGCCGCUUCCGCGACCACGGUGGCGUGCGCGUGUUAGGAUGGGUGCGGAAGAGGAACGGGGUGCUACCUCAGGUGGCGAACGAGGCACGCUCGCGGCCGACGGUGAAACCAACCCCCAAGUCCCUCACCAGGUCGAACAUCGUCCAGUGGCACGACAGCUACUCUGGCGUGGCCGCCGAGCACCUAGGGUCGUUCGAGCCGGGGAGCCGAGGAUAAAGGGGAGGCAGCCGCGAGGCCGCGGCAAACCGCGGUACGGCGCGCCAACCCGAGAUUGGCUCGGUCAGAGACCGGGCGGCGGCACCCACAGGCGCGCGGCGGCGGUGGCGACCCUCCGACUGGGGUGGGUGCCGCAGGUCGAGACGGAUGGCUGCCGCACAGGGUGAAAAGGGAUGCGGCGCGAGGGUGGAGGCUACCAGUAUUCUGCUCGCCUAGCAUACCAUGGGCACUGCAGGAUGGCCGCACGCGCACGCGAAUUUCUGGUUAUCAGCCCGCAGGGCGCGCGCAGUGCGCAGAGGAGGAUGCCUGGCGCUCCGGGGAGUCAGCCGCGGGGUGGUCACGAUGGCGCGGUCGCAGAGAAAAAGGCUCCGCAGGCUUGCCUCGCCCUGGGCUCCGGCGGGGCGCGCUGCGGGCUGCGAAGCGCUAAACGGCGGUGCUAUCCCGGCGCUCGUGGCGCGGCGGCUGCAUGCCUGCGUCGAGGGAGGGUGGAGGCAGGCUGGAGGGGCAGGAGGUUUGAGUCCUCCCUGCUCGGUCCAAGUGCUGAGAAGGUAUGAGGUGAAACAAAAGAGGCAGAGGGAAAAGAAAAGGUAUUGGGGUGGGCCAUGCCGAGCAUAAGUCGGCGGUGCGGCCGGAGUGGUGCGGUGCUAGGUCAUAGUGAGGCAAGAAACGUGCUGGUGGCCGGUUUAAGGUUAAACUAGGGAUGAUCCUAGCUCUGGAUCUCAAGAAAAACCCUAGAAAACAAUAUAAGUACGGCAAACAAAAUUGCAAUACAGUCCACCUAGACUUACUAUUCAAGCUAAAAUCCAUGCCCAGCCUAUAAGAAAUGCCGUAAUACCUCCUACACGCUCGAUCCUCACACAAAACGUACAAAAAAUCGCGACUUUCGCAAAAAUACCAAUUUGCCCUCACACGACCACGGUCCUCGAUCAACAGUGCGAUCAUCCGGCAGAUCGUCCAGUCGAUUGCGAACGAUCGUAACUAGUGGCGAUCAAGCACCUCAGAGACACAAAGGCUACGAUUUCGUUUCACGUCAAAACGUCGCGGAUCUCUGCGACGAAAUCCACAUCUAGUCCAAGGCCAAAUACUGCUAACGCACAAUUACAUAUAGAGACACUUUUAUUGGAUUUCUCGAAAUCCGUGCGUCAAAAACUCAAAAUCCGUCAGAGCAAGUAGUCUAGAAAGCAGCUAAACCGGUCGAAACACGAGCUAUUGGACUGGCUAUGAACGUAGUCGAUACCACCAGAAGGUCCAAACCUCUGCUCCAGGCUUUCCCNNNNNNNNNNNNNNNNNNNNNNNNNCCGGAAAACCGGAGUUACUAUUCACUUAAGUGAAAACUAAAAAUCGCGUAUCUUCUCCGUUUUAGCUCAGUUUCUCCUGAAACUUGAUGAGUGCUUAUGUAAUUAAAUUACACACAUAAACAUCAUCAACAGAGAGUUUAGUAGCACUGUAAAAAUCUCCGUCCUUACAAUUUUGCUACUAAUAGUAGCCCAGUCCAUAUAUAUAUAUAUAUAUAUAUAUAUAUAGCUAGUGCUACUAUACUUUUAUGAGUAUAGACACCCUUAUACUCAUAAAUUUUUAACCGUUGAUUGAUGGGAUGUGUGGUUAGGAUGAUAGUGGUCCUCAUUUAAAAUAAUAGUGGUCCCCUAGGGUUGAGUGGGUAAUUGGUUGAAUAGUAUGAUCUAACGGGUGAAAAUGAUCAAUGGAAUAAAUCUAAGAGCCGAAAACUUAUGAGUAUAAGAAAGCCAAUACUCAUAAAAGUAUAAUAGCCGGACUCAUAUAUAUAUAUAUAUAUAUAUAUUCGAACUUUUCGAGCUUUUCGAGCCUAAUUCGAACGAGCCGAGUAAUACUCAAACUUGGCUUGAAAUGAAUUUCGAGCCUUUUAUUUUGUUCAAGCUCGGCUCAUUUAAUUUCGAGUCGAGCUCGAGCGAGCCGAAUAUCGAGCCGAACAUGAGCCGAACGCGAGCCGGCUCGCUCGUUUGCCAGCCCUAGUUGUAUGUUGAGUUUUGGAAUCUUAGAGUAGCUUGGGGUAUUUUUGUAUUUCUCCUUAGGACCAAGUGGGGGUCAAGGAGUUGGCGGCACGGGAUACACAUUGAGUUUCUGGUUACAGGUGCGUAAUCAGUCUGGAAUGAUCUCACUACACCAUUUGAAUCGCCCAUUCCUAUCAUUCUAUCUUAUUUGCUAUUGGUAUAACCAUAGUGCCCUUGAUAUAUAUUUAUAUGUGGAUAGGAUAGAUGUUGUAUUUCAAAUGUUGAUUAGCAUACUAUAAUUAACAAGCCAUUUUAUCCUUCUCAACUCAAUUCUACCAAAUUAAAACAUGAAAAGAAAAGAAAAUUCAAAUUUGACAAAUCUAGAAACCAAAACAACCAUGAACGAACAUAGAAUAGAAGAAAUCCACCAAGAAUUACCAAAAAAACUAUUCGAAAUUAUUGGGAGAAAAACGAAAAGCUACAGAAAAUUCAAAAUUUAAAAUUAAAUACCCACACCAUUUUUGCAGCAACCAAAAUAAAAGCUAAAAUUUGGGACCAUUAAUAAAACAAUCAUCAAUACAUGCAAAAAUAGAAGCACCCACCAAUAACUCUUCACAGAAACUAGUUAAAUUUAAUCCCCCCACACACCUCCCCCCAAAAAACAACGAAACCCAUAAACCCAAUCCGCGAACAAAAGCCCAAUUAAAAAUGACCCACAAUUCAUAAUCAGAAAAAACAAACCAAAAAACAACAACAUAUCGCAGAGAUUCAGCGAUCGAAGGAUCUUAAGUCCCGAAACCCCAAGUUAUCAUAGAAGAAGAAGAAACAAAGGACAUACCCACAAUAAGCACAGCUCCUCUCUCUCUCCUUCAUAGCACUCUCCCUCCCUCUCUCUUUAGAGAGGGGGAAGAAUGGAGCACGGGCACACACAAAAGAGCGAGAGAGAGUGAGAGGAAAAAGGGGCGAAAAUGAAAACGAAAACGAAAAUGAGAACAAAAACGAAGAUCUUGUAGAAUAGCUUCUCCACCCUGUAGAUCUUGUUUGUGUUAUAGAAUGAAACAAGUAAGAGCCCACGCAAUGCCGCAGAGAGAUAAUAUUUCAGUUAUUUUUCAGAAUAAUUUUUUUUAGACACGUAUAAUUUUUUUAAUAUAUUAAAAUAUAUAGCGAUAUACGAAAUAGAAAAUACACUCUCACAAAUUAGAUACAAUAUGUCACACUAACUUUAUAUGAAGCACACUUAUUUCAAAAAUUUUAUAAUAUUAAAUAAAAUUAAAAUUAUAGAAAAAUUUCUAAAUUAAAAUAGCAAGAGAACACAAAAUAGCGCACUACCAAAAAUAAAAUGUCCGCAACAACUGCCUAUUUAUAAAAAAAUAAGUCAACCAAAUAUAAAACUAUUUUUUUACACUGUAUUUAUAAAAUUUUAUUAUAAAAGUAGAAAUUCAGUAAUUUUUGUAUCUAGACUUUUUAUACAUUACUAGUUAUAGUGUACAUGCGAUGCACGUCAUAUUUAAUUAAAUUAAAUAUAAAUUUAUAUUUUAAUUUUAAAUAAUUAUUGGUGGUAUGAGUCUAUAUAUCAAUUGAUUUUUUUUUGUAACUUCAAUUUGCCUUCAAAUAAGUUUUAUAUAUUUUUAGUUUAGUUACAUUGUAAAUACUUUUCAUAUGUGUUUCAUAAUAUAUAAUUUUUUUUAAUUGUAUACAAAUUUUAAAAAUUUUAAAUUAAUUUAAAAUUUUGAAUUAAAAUAUGGAUUCACGUUCCAAUUAUGAAGCAAACUUAGAAUAUAAAAUUGAUUUGAUAGGCUUAUUUUUUUAAUCAUUCUAUUUUUGAAACCUAAUUAGUUUUUAGUUAGUUAAUUGAGAGAUAGUGAAUAGUGUGAAUAUUUUCAAGGUGUGCUUCGCAGAGAUUUUUUGUUUCGAUAAAUAAGGAAUACUCUUUUAUAAUAUUUUUUGAUUGACAAAAAUUUGUAUAAAUAUGAAUUGUUUUCUAUUUUCGCAAAUAGAAUGUAAUAUUAAAAUAAUUCUAUCAACAACCAGUUUAAUAGCUAUCUCAAAUCAACAUAAAUUUGUGAAUUAUAUUUAUCCAAAAAUUUAAAAUUUUAAAAAGUAAAUUCAUCUAUUAUUAUUUGAAAAUAUCUCAUGAUAUCCUAUUUCAAAUUCAAAUUGUUGCCCACAAUAAUUAUAAAGUUCUAUUUUUUAUAUACAUUGAAUAUAUAUAUAUAUUUUUUGAAUUCUGACAAAUCUAAAAUUCAAGUAUAUAUUUUAAACUAAAAAUAUCAAAAUUUUAAUUCAUAUUUAAUUCAAAAUAUCAUAUUCAUUUUCAAUUAAAUUUAUAUUUAUAUUUUAAAUUUAACGUUAUUAGUAGAAUAUAUCUAUUUAUUAUUUAAUUUUUUUAACUUUAAUUUAUCUCCAAAUAAAUUUUAUAUAUUUCUAAUUUAGUUGUAGUGUAAAUAUUUUUUAUAGGUGUUUAACAACAUACGAUAUUUUUAAUGUAUAUUCAAAUUUAAAAUUCAAAAUAAUUUAAACUUUUAAAUUAACAAAUUUACAUUUAAAUUUAUGAACAAAACUCAAAAUUUAAAGUGUAUUUUGAAUCCGUAAUUUUGUCAUGCUACGAGGUCCUUUUUGUAAGUCAUUUUGAAAUUUGGCUAUCUUUUAUAAAUCAAAGUAUGCAGAAAAGCGUCAUUUUUUUUAAACCUUGACCUCCAAGGGUGCUACAGAUCUACCACAAAUACAGAGAAUUUCGAAACAAACGGACAGAAUCUCUCCUUUAUUUGCCCGGCGUAGCACAUGUACAAUUAACAACUAGACCUUCCCUCACACACACAACUAUACAGGAUGUACAAGGACCAUUCAAAUAUAUCCUAUUAGUUAAAAGCGCCUCCCACCCGAAGGCUUCACUUGGAAACUCUAGUUUUCCGAAAGUUCAUGAAAAGCUGAAAGGUCACUUUGAAAACCACUUUCCACAUGAAACCUUUGUUUUGAAAACACUACCACGUAGGGUAAAAAAUCACAUUCCGAAAGCAAUUGAUGAUAUAUGCUCAAUGGCCAGCAAUGGCGAAAAGCCGGAAGAAUAAUCUACAACCAUAUCUGACCAAAUCAGGCCUAAUAUUUCCGAAGGAAAGUCACAAUGUCACUGACCUAUCAAGCCUAUAAAGCCGUAUCACCAAGUACUAAAUACUAUCAAUGAAUAGGUCAUACAAUGAUAAUCAAUCGCUGGAAUGCUACUUUACUACUAGAUCAAACAUGAUACUACAAGACGAAAUAACCGUAUAGAGUAGACCAACGGGUGCCAAGUAGUGUGCAAGAAACUCAACAUGUAAUCAUGAGAUUAUCAGACAAGGUAACUGUAGAGUAGAUCGAUGAAUACUCAAUGUCAUGCAAAAUAUUCAAUAUCUUGCAUGAUAAAGUAGCCUAUAACACACUGGAUGUCACGCCCCGAGCCCGCCUCUUUUGUCACGCCCCGAGCCCGAUCCUUUUGGCCGGUUCGAGAGUGUGAAACAGACGCCGAACGGACAGAGCCUCCCCCGUCCGCCCAAGGCUCAACAACAGGUACUGAUAGAGUAUAGAAAUUUGCAUAAGCGGAAGCAUACACAAAGGCUUGCACGAGGGCAAGCAACAGCCAAGAGUGAAAGUAAACAACUACACUUAUAGAAUCUAUUACAACUUUGCAUCAUUUCUUUUACAUCUCAAUUCACCCAAAAUAUAACUUCUGACAUUUAAAGUAAAUAUCCCUUACAUCAAUCAUUAAAGUAAGUUCUUGAUACUAAAUCGUCAAAUACAAAAGAUGAUAGUAAGGGUAUGUGACUAUAAAAUGAAAACCAUCUCGGGUGGUCUCUACCUAGGGCGCGAUGCCCUUACCGAGAUCGUCUGCAGGCUCGCUCGGUCCCGGCUCUGUGGAAAUAGUGGGGUGAGAACUACAACAAAGUUCCCAGUGGGUUCGGCAACCAACCACGCCGACUAUCCCACUAGGUCUAAUCAGGCAUAAUAGAAUAAAGGAAAGUAAGUAACCAACUAGCAAAUGCACUAAUAUGCCUGAACAAUAUAAAUGAUAUGCACAAUAUAAUGCUCAUGAUGAAUGCAAGGUCUUAGUGUCAAUACCCAAUCUCUUGGCUAACCCGUAGGUUUCGCCCUCAACAAACUCACUAACUCAAAAUCCCAAUAAUCGGGGAGAUACUCGCUACAACCCGAUGGGACCGCCCUCUGGGGAGAUACUCGCUACAACCCAGUGAUGUCGACUCCGGAGCACAUCGCCCGAGGGGGAGCUACCACAACCUCGAGCAAGGAAUAAUGUGAGUACGAUCAAUCCUACAUUCGAGGAUUCCAAGUUCAAUCCAUUCCUUAACUUUAAGGAAGACUAUGCUCAAAUGACUCUUAACACUAAGGUUGAAUGUCAUAAUGUCUCUGUUGUUCUUGUUCUUGCAUUCUUUUCUAUCACCAAUGUCAUAUACGCUAUCAAGUUCUUGUACUCAUGCCACACUUGUUUACUAAGUGUUCUAUAUUCUUGUUCUCACGUCAAAUGCCACACUUGUUUACUAAGUGUUCUAGACUCGUCGAUGUCACUGGCUAAAUCUAUGUCAAAGUGUCACUUUUCGUUCACUAACCCUUCUAGGCUCUUGUCACAAUCAUGCAUACAUAGGGAUCAUCAUUCUUACAAAUAUUUAACAUGCAUUUGAAUUUACAUUAGACUAUAUAAAAGAACUCACAAUUAACCCUAUUAUGCAAGAUGCUCAAAAUGCAUAAAUGCUCAAAGUAUGACACUUAGACAUAGAGAGAUUUCCGAUGUCCUUGGAAUGCACCACCCACCUCGAGGGGUAGUAGAAGCAAGGUGUGAAGUCUCGUGCGCCACACGGACGUCGAACUCGUGGCCUACAACCAAAAUAGUGCCAAUUAGGCCCUAUGUACAUGAACUAUUUUUCCAACAUAUUCGAAUGCUUAAACGGAGUUGUCCAACGCGUUUAGGACACCCCCAAUUAGGUUUCUACGGGUUCAAUUUGUCCCCGAAAAAUCCUAGGGCAAAAGCCCCAAUUUUCAAACCCUAACAAUGUCAUUUUGGCAUAUCCCCUAGAUUGAUCUCUUUGCUAAGCAAAAGAUACCUUAGAAGCAACCUAGAAGCUUUCUAAUACCCUCCUUAACCCAUUUGAACCGUCCCUAGGGCAUCUAUUUUGAGCCCUAGUGAUCCACCAUGAGAGGGCUUCAUGAAAACCAUGGAUUUCAUGGUUUCAUAGGUCCCCAAGGUUUCUAAAUCUAGAAACAAGCUCAAAACCCUAAAACUUUGGGUUAAAAUCCAAACCCUAGACUCAAAUAAGUGAUUAAACUCACCUUUGUCCAAGCCCUAGCAAGCUCCUUCUUGUUGGAGAGCUUCUUGACCCUCCAAAGCUCCAAAAUCUCCUUCUCCUAGCUCCUCUCCACCUUCUCCUUAGCUCUAGGGUUUGGUUCUAGAGAGAGAAAGAGAGAAAUGAGAGGAAUGAGAGAGGGGGAGAUGAGUGGUUGUAGGAGGGAGAAAGAGAGGGGUUGGGGUGUCAACAUGUUGCUACAAUUGCAACUAAACCCUCAAUUUCUUCUUAUUUGCAACAAGUCUCACUGGGCUGUCUGGAGCCUCUUGUACCGGUACACGGGGUCUUGUACCGGUACAAGGCCAAUUAGCAGGCCAAACCCGAGAGCUCGGUUCUCGGUUUCGUCGGGCUUGUACCGGUACAAGGUCCCUUGUACCGGUACAGCGCCUGAAGCCCAGCCAAACCCGAGAGCUCGGUUUCUCGGUUUCGUCGGGCUUGUACCGGUACAAGGAGACCUUGUACCGGUACAGCAACCAGAGCACUGUUCCGUGAUGGUUGUACCGGUACAGCCAUCACCUUGUACCGGUACAAAAGCUCCAGAAUGCUGUUUUUCGCUUUUCUUCGGCUCUAUUUCGCGCCGGUCGAUGCUAAAAGCAUUCUAAGUCUUUCCAAACUCAUUUUUCCCCCUUCCAACUCGUUGGAAUGCAAGAGGAACUGGUUCAUCGCUUUCCUUCGACGCUUUAACCAAUUUGGUCAAAGUUCGAAUAUCGUUUUCGGGUUUUGAUACGUUACAUCUUUGGUAUGAUUCGGGCACGCCAACAGACCGCCGAACGGAUAGGGUUUUUCUUGUACCGCGGACAGAGUCUCCCCUGUACGUCCAAGGCAUCACAAUCCAAACAAUGCGCGAGGUUCCAACCAGGAACAGCAUACAACAUAGAUUGCAUAAGGAAGGUAUCGAAAACAUAAAUACAACUAAGUUAUUACAAUCAUUCAUCUCACAUAUUACAUUACAUUUUCAUUGCUCAAUUUAGCUUCCAAAUACAAUCUGAUUUAACAUAGUUAUUACAACUUGGUUCCUUUCAUCACUAAACCCCUAAGUAGCCGACUCAGGGUACUGUUAUCUCUGGUCUCGGUGGUAGGGCGCUAACUACGGAGCUACACCAUUUCCUCGCGCCGCCGCGCCGCUCACGUAUGAACCUGUACCCCAAAAAAUAAUACGGGGGUGAGAACUAUUGUCCAUAGUUCCGAGUAGGUACGGCCAUCUAAGGGAAAAGCUCGACCUACCAGGUCCAAAGGAGGCACUGCAAACAUGUUAGUCCAACAGAUAUAUAUAUAUAUAUAUAUAUAUAUAUAUAUAUCAUAUAAUUCAUAUUCAUGCCUCGCAAAUGCAACUAUGCAAAUUCAUGCAACUUAUGCAAGUAGAUUAAUUAAUUCUACCUUCACUCACUUGCCUUUAUUUAAUUCUUAGCCGUUCUUUAUUAUUUGCUAUUCCUUAGCAUUAACCGUUCUUUAUUCGUUGCCAUUCUUUACUAUUUGCUAUUCUUUAGCACUAACCAAUCUUUCCUAAGGUUACUUUACCUUAGCCAACUAUGCCACUCGACUCGGUCUUGAGUCAAUCAACUGCGGAUAAUCUGCGCUCUGUCAGACUCGAGGUGAAGGACGUCUCGCAUACACCUCAACCUUAAAUCCUCAAACCACAUCGCCCAAUGGGCGAGGAGAACCAACAUACAUACUGCUCAUAGUGCAUGGCAUUUGCCACAAUCAAUACCCAAUCCUCUCGGCUAACCCGUAGGUUUCGCCUUUAAACUCACCAACUCAAAUCCCUACUAUCGGGGAGAAACUCCUACGACCUGACGGGACCGUCCCCUGGGGAGAAACUACUAUGACCCAAUGAUGCCUACUCCGGAGCUCAUCAAUCGGGGAGAAACUCCUAUGACCCGACAGGCUCAACCUUUGGGGAAACUCCAACCCAGUGAUGAUCACUACGGAGCUCAUCGCUCGAGGGGGAGCGACCGUUCUCAAGUAUUGGAUGUAUAGGUGAGUAUGAUCCAAUCCACAACCUUGAGCAUACCAUGUUCACUAAGGCCACAAGACCUGGGAUUCCGGAAUCCACUUUCAACAUUUCAAGGGUUAGUCUUAUACCCUAUACUAACAACCUUUCUAGGUCUAAACCAUUUCUCAACUUAAGUUUAAUAACAUUAGGUCCAAUGCCACUAUACUCAUAGCGUAGGUUCUAUAACACUAGGUUCCAUGUUCUUUACUAUCUAGGUUCAUUUGACUCUAGGUUCAAUGUCACUAUAUUCAUAACCUAGGUUUACUUGACUCUAGGUUUGAUUCUUAACCUGUAGCACACUGGACCUUUGCAAAGUGCGAGGUUCGAGUGUUCGAUUUGUAUUCCGAACUUUUCCACACUUGGUGGAGGGCCGUCGAUGGUAUACCGGUCUAAAAGUUCGAUCUCGAGAGUUUUGGACAAGUCCUGAGAGUUUUUACUCUCGGGGACCGGUCCCUGGAAGGAGAGACCGGUUCCCCCAGUGAGCAGUGCUGCGGCAGCUCUGAGGCAACCGGUCCCUGGCAGGCGAGACCGGUUCCCGAGCGCAUUCUCGCAGUGAGAGACCGGUCCCGCGUAGGGAGAGACCGGUUCCCGAACGCUAGAUUUUCGGGUUCGCAACGAGAGACCGGUCCCGGCUGGGGAGAGACCGGUCCCUCUGGCGAAACUGCCCAGUCCGGGCUGAUGUAAAUUUGACUUUUUGAGGGCUAGCUGGAUUUUGUUAACAGAGAAGGCUUAUAUGCACUCCUCCUUCUCCUCUUCUCACUUCACCAUUUUUUUGCUUCUAGAGAGAGAAAGGAAGGAGAAGAAGGAGAAGAAGAGGAGAAGAGCUUGCAUAGAGGCCUUGGAGCAUCACCCUCUUCCUCAUUUUCUCACCUUUGGUGACUUUGCACUUGGUUGGAGCUUUGUGAAGGAUCAAACCUCAACCCUACUUGGUUUUGAGCUUGAUUGGGCUUCUCUUGAGGUUGGUAGCUUAUAAUCCCCAUUUAAUACAUGUAUUUCUAGGUUUUACUAGAUAUGAAACCUAGAUUUUGGGAUUUAGGGUUUAUUUUGGGGGUUUUUGGAUUUGAGGCUUCUUGAUCUCAUUGAAUGGUUUGGAACUUUAAAUAGUUAGAUUGGGAGACCUCUACUUCCAUUUGAGGAUUUGGAGGGGUUUUCCACUUGAGGUGAGUUUUUGCCCAACCCUAGCUUGAGUUGGUUAAUGAUUGAGCUAUUCGCUCUCGUUUCGUUUGGGUGACCCUAUUUUGAUGUUUCUAGGGUACUAGGGAGCUUGUGGAUAUCUUCGUUCGGCGAAACAAGAAGUCGAUUCUUUCGGUGGUUUGACUCAUGAAAAUGGGGCAAAAGGCCCUAUGCCUUCUAAUCCUUUUGUAAAGUAUUUGUGAAUGCAAAUUCAUGCUAAACAUGAUUAUAUGAAUUUAGAACACUUAACAUGAUGCUCAUGUAUCGUAAAAUUUGUACUCCAUAUAGUAGAGCUAUAUGUGUAGAUUGCAUGCAUUGGAUAGUGCUUUGUUUUGCGAGUUGAGAACUUGUCUCCAUGCUAGAAUGUAGUGAACUAUGCAUCGUGAACAUAUCAAUGCCAUGCUUGGAUUUGUAGCACAAAAGUGUAUAAAGAGGCGCAUUGGAAUUAUAAACAUAAAAUGCAACUUAGAGACAUGAUGGUGGGCAUUGUACGUAUGCUAUAUAUUCCAUGUUAGAGACAUGAUGACAUAGAGAUAGCCUUUGGGACUUUCGAUGCACAUUCCAUGUUAUUAGACUUGAGGACUUGUACUUGCGACAGAUGUUUGACUACUUGCCAUUGUGCUCAUUCGCACAUGCUUGUGAGGGUCGCUCCCUACAAGCCGGCACUCCGGAGAUAGCCAUCGCGAUCAUAUUCGCCGUGCGGGAUGGGCGCCGAAGUGGAUUGCGUGGACAGGCUCAUUCCUAGGGUGGGGAUGAUGACUACCACGGGGCCAUUAGGCCGGCACCGCCGACAGUUACGGGUGGGUCUCGAGGGCCAUAGACAGCCUUCGGUGUGGUUCUUCAGAUUUGACUUUGUGUAUCCAUUAUGAAUAUGGACAGAUGAUGAUUAGUAUACUACUUAGACAUUGACUAGAAUAGUAAACAACGGGAUUUACUAUUUCACAUUGUGAACAUCAUGAUAGUUGGAGACAUUUACUUCAUGCAUAGUUGCUUUCAAACUUAUGCUAUUUAUGCUAAGUAGAGAUAUCAUGUCGUAGUGGGUUACAUUUUACUUACCUUUCGCUUUUCUACUUUUAUAGUCACUGACAUCUUUUGUAGCUUUGGGCCUUGUGGUGCAUUCACUGAAGUCAGUAAUUGCCCACUGGGAACUAUUUUUAAUAGUUCUCAUGCCCCUCGUUUGUGGUUUACUUUUCAGAGCCUUCGGCACCGGCGGAGGCACGGGAUCGCGCAAGGGAUCGCUUUAGCUAGCUAGCGAGGGCGGUACUUUGCCUAGGUGGUUUACUCUUUCUUUUGUAGUUGAGAGAGUGAGAGUUUUUGUAUCCAUGUAUAGGACCACUUGUGUAUCUACUUUUAGUACUUGUAUGGGAUUCCUAUUGUAUUUACUUUAUGUUUUACUUAGUGGAUUUAUAGUUUCAUCCUUAUUCUUGUUGUAGCAUUUAGACAUUCUUUUAUGCUCUGAUACUCCUAGAUGUCUUUUAUUAUUGCUUUUAUUAUUGUUGUUGUUAGACGCCUUAUGCGUUUUAGACGCAUGGCGGGUCUGGGCACGUGCCGGGCGGGCUUCCCCUGGGCCCCGGGGCGUGACAGAUUAAAUUGGUAUCAGAGCCUAGGGUUGAGUCUUAGUGGACCUAGCGAACCUUAGGCCGGUUGGACUAUAGGAAAUAGGCUCGUGAGAGACCAGGUCUAUUCAACUUGUGAGCGAAAGUAUCAUGAUUGGGUAUUAUGAUAACUCUAAAAAGUUAGAGUUGAUUGGAGUGUUUGGCUUCUAACUUCGCGGAGGGUUACGUUGGCGUCCGACAACGUAACAUCGGGAGUUAGUUGUGGAUAACACUUCCUUACUUUCGCCUGAUUUGGGUUUUACCUUGAGCGGGGAUGCGGUAGCGUGAGUAUUUCUAACUUGCGCCUUUAUGAUGUUGUAGUGACGAUGCCGAUUACUCGCUCCCAAUCUGCCCGGGCGGACAAUGCGGCAAACCUUGAGGAGGUCGAGACCUCCGCUACCACCGAAUCCAGCGAGGUCCGUGAGUUGAGGGGCCAGCUUGCGGCCCUCACCGAUUUGGUCACUCAGCAGGCAGAGGCGGCCCGACAGCAGACUGAGGAGGCACGCCGACAGGAGGCGCGGAUGAAGCGCCUGGAGGAUCUACUUUUGCAGCAGGCGGCAGCUUCCAGGGAGACCCAGGCCCCUACAUCGCCAGCACCAGUUGUGGACGUUGCACCGAGAGCGCCGUCCCCCGCGCCCAGUUCUUCGCGUGCGGCGCCUGCGGCCGUACCCCAGGAGGAGGUUUUGGCGGCACCACCUGUGCAGAGGCCCCCGGUUGGAGCAGCAUUCCCUACUUUGGUUGAGGGGGCGGAGCGAGAUAGACUGAUGGAGCGCCUCAAUGAGUUCAGGAGGUGCAGUCCCCGAGUUUUUGACGGCGAGAAGGUCGACCACUGGAUCGUGGAGAAGUGGUUGAUGCAUAUGGAGAAGCUCUUCCGCGACACCUUCGUGGAGGAGAGGGAUCGGGUUUGGCUCGCCACCCACCACUUGGACGGCGAGGCCUACCGCUGGUGGUUGGACUUUCAGGAGCACCCCAACACUGACUUGACAUCUAUCACUUGGACGAGGUUCAAGGAGCUUCUUCUGGCGCACUACUUUCCGACCAGCGUUAAGAGGAAGAUGGAGCAGGAUUUGCGCAACUUGCGCCAGGGCGAUCGGACCGUAGCCGAGUACGAGAGGGAGUUUUCUCGGCUUCUGCAUUGCGUGCCUUUCGUCAUGCGGGACGACGAGGACAAGGCCCGCAUCUUUGAGCGAGGAUUGAGACCGUCUAUUUUCCGGUUUGUGCAAUCCUCUAACCUCCAAACCUACCGGGAGGUGGUGGAUCGCGCGCUCAUCGUGGAGAGCGGCGCGGCAGAGGUCCAGGAGCAGCGAGAGGCUAGGGACAAGGGUAAGGCCAAGAGGCCUGCGGCUGAGGGUGCGAGCCAGAUGCACUCUAGGAGGCCCCCGAAGCAUCCGAGGAGCCAGCAGAGUGGACGCGGCUCAGUAGCGCAUCGAGGAGGAUCCGAUCGGCGCCGGCCUUCCCCGUGUGUGAUCUGCGGUGGUCCCCAUUACCCACCGCAGUGCCCACAGCGGGCGGGCAGGUGUUUCCAGUGUGGCCAGGAGGGCCACGUGCGUACCGAGUGCCCGAGGGGUUCGUCACCGGCACCGUCGACUGCAUCGGCACCGGCUCUACCAGCCGUCAACCACGGGACUCCGUCGACACAGUACCAGCCUGGGCGGCCACCCGUCCAGCGCCAGAGCGAGGGAGCUCGACAGGCCCCGAGUGGGCGCAUGUACGCCGCUCAGACCGAGGAGGCGGCAGCAGCCGAGGAUGUGGUUGCAGGUAUCAUUUUACUUGAUGGCAUUAGAGUUCGUGCUUUAUUUGAUACCGGUGCAUCGCAUUCAUUUAUAGAUCGGCUGUUUGCCGAGUUGCAUGGCAUCCCAUUGGUUNNNNNNNNNNNNNNNNNNNNNNNNNNNNNNNNNNNNNNNNNNNNNNNNNNNNNNNNNNNNNNNNNNNNNNNNNNNNNNNNNNNNNNNNNNNNNNNNNNNNNNNNNNNNNNNNNNNNNNNNNNNNNNNNNNNNNNNNNNNNNNNNNNNNNNNNNNNNNNNNNNNNNNNNNNNNNNNNNNNNNNNNNNNNNNNNNNNNNNNNNNNNNNNNNNNNNNNNNNNNNNNNNNNNNNNNNNNNNNNNNNNNNNNNNNNNNNNNNNNNNNNNNNNNNNNNNNNNNNNNNNNNNNNNNNNNNNNNNNNNNNNNNNNNNNNNNNNNNNNNNNNNNNNNNNNNNNNNNNNNNNNNNNNNNNNNNNNNNNNNNNNNNNNNNNNNNNNNNNNNNNNNNNNNNNNNNNNNNNNNNNNNNNNNNNNNNNNNNNNNNNNNNNNNNNNNNNNNNNNNNNNNNNNNNNNNNNNNNNNNNNNNNNNNNNNNNNNNNNNNNNNNNNNNNNNNNNNNNNNNNNNNNNNNNNNNNNNNNNNNNNNNNNNNNNNNNNNNNNNNNNNNNNNNNNNNNNNNNNNNNNNNNNNNNNNNNNNNNNNNNNNNNNNNNNNNNNNNNNNNNNNNNNNNNNNNNNNNNNNNNNNNNNNNNNNNNNNNNNNNNNNNNNNNNNNNNNNNNNNNNNNNNNNNNNNNNNNNNNNNNNNNNNNNNNNNNNNNNNNNNNNNNNNNNNNNNNNNNNNNNNNNNNNNNNNNNNNNNNNNNNNNNNNNNNNNNNNNNNNNNNNNNNNNNNNNNNNNNNNNNNNNNNNNNNNNNNNNNNNNNNNNNNNNNNNNNNNNNNNNNNNNNNNNNNNNNNNNNNNNNNNNNNNNNNNNNNNNNNNNNNNNNNNNNNNNNNNNNNNNNNNNNNNNNNNNNNNNNNNNNNNNNNNNNNNNNNNNNNNNNNNNNNNNNNNNNNNNNNNNNNNNNNNNNNNNNNNNNNNNNNNNNNNNNNNNNNNNNNNNNNNNNNNNNNNNNNNNNNNNNNNNNNNNNNNNNNNNNNNNNNNNNNNNNNNNNNNNNNNNNNNNNNNNNNNNNNNNNNNNNNNNNNNNNNNNNNNNNNNNNNNNNNNNNNNNNNNNNNNNNNNNNNNNNNNNNNNNNNNNNNNNNNNNNNNNNNNNNNNNNNNNNNNNNNNNNNNNNNNNNNNNNNNNNNNNNNNNNNNNNNNNNNNNNNNNNNNNNNNNNNNNNNNNNNNNNNNNNNNNNNNNNNNNNNNNNNNNNNNNNNNNNNNNNNNNNNNNNNNNNNNNNNNNNNNNNNNNNNNNNNNNNNNNNNNNNNNNNNNNNNNNNNNNNNNNNNNNNNNNNNNNNNNNNNNNNNNNNNNNNNNNNNNNNNNNNNNNNNNNNNNNNNNNNNNNNNNNNNNNNNNNNNNNNNNNNNNNNNNNNNNNNNNNNNNNNNNNNNNNNNNNNNNNNNNNNNNNNNNNNNNNNNNNNNNNNNNNNNNNNNNNNNNNNNNNNNNNNNNNNNNNNNNNNNNNNNNNNNNNNNNNNNNNNNNNNNNNNNNNNNNNNNNNNNNNNNNNNNNNNNNNNNNNNNNNNNNNNNNNNNNNNNNNNNNNNNNNNNNNNNNNNNNNNNNNNNNNNNNNNNNNNNNNNNNNNNNNNNNNNNNNNNNNNNNNNNNNNNNNNNNNNNNNNNNNNNNNNNNNNNNNNNNNNNNNNNNNNNNNNNNNNNNNNNNNNNNNNNNNNNNNNNNNNNNNNNNNNNNNNNNNNNNNNNNNNNNNNNNNNNNNNNNNNNNNNNNNNNNNNNNNNNNNNNNNNNNNNNNNNNNNNNNNNNNNNNNNNNNNNNNNNNNNNNNNNNNNNNNNNNNNNNNNNNNNNNNNNNNNNNNNNNNNNNNNNNNNNNNNNNNNNNNNNNNNNCAAUCCACAACCUUGAGCAUACCAUGUUCACUAAGGCCACAAGACCUGGGAUUCCGGAAUCCACUUUCAACAUUUCAAGGGUUAGUCUUAUACCCUAUACUAACAACCUUUCUAGGUCUAAACCAUUUCCCAACUUAAGUUUAAUAACAUUAGGUCCAAUGCCACUAUACUCAUAGCGUAGGUUCUAUAACACUAGGUUCCAUGUUCUUUACUAUCUAGGUUCAUUUGACUCUAGGUUCAAUGUCACUAUAUUCAUAACCUAGGUUUACUUGACUCUAGGUUUGAUUCUUAACCUGUAGCACACUGGACCUUUGCAAAGUGCGAGGUUCGAGUGUUCGAUUUGUAUUCCGAACUUUUCCACACUUGGUGGAGGGCCGUCGAUGGUAUACCGGUCUAAAAGUUCGAUCUCGAGAGUUUUGGACAAGUCCUGAGAGUUUUUACUCUCGGGGACCGGUCCCUGGAAGGAGAGACCGGUUCCCCCAGUGAGCAGUGCUGCGGCAGCUCUGAGGCAACCGGUCCCUGGCAGGCGAGACCGGUUCCCGAGCGCAUUCUCGCAGUGAGAGACCGGUCCCGCGCAGGGAGAGACCGGUUCCCGAACGCUAGAUUUUCGGGUUCGCAACGAGAGACCGGUCCCGGCUGGGGAGAGACCGGUCCCUCUGGGCGGAAACUGCCCAGUCCGGGCUGAUGUAAAUUUGACUUUUUGAGGGGCCUAGCUGGAUUUUGUUACAAGAGAAGGCUUAUAUGGCCACUCCUCCUUCUCCUCUUCUCACUUCACCAUUUCUUUUGCUUCUAGAGAGAGAAAGGGAAGGAGAAGAAGGAGAAGAAGAGGAGAAGAGCUUGCAUAGAGGCCUUGGAGCAUCACCCUCUUCCUCAUUUCUCACCUUUGGUGACUUUGCACUUGCGGUUGGAGCUUUGUGAAGGAUCAAACCUCAACUCUACUUGGUUUUGAGCUUGGAUUGGGGCUUCUCUUGAGGUUGGUAGCUUAUAAUCCCCAUUUAAUACAUGUAUUUCUAGGUUUUACUAGAUGAAACCCUAGAUUUUGGGAUUUAGGGUUUAUUUUGGGGGUUUUUGGAUUUGAGGCUUCUUGAUCUCAUUUGAAUGGUUUGGAACCUUUAAAUAGGUUAGAUUGGGAGACCUCUACCUUCCAUUUGAGGAUUUGGAGAGGGUUUUCCACUUGAGGUGAGUUUUUGCCCAACCCUAGCUUGAGUUGGUUAAUGAUUGAGCUAUUCGCUCUUCGUUUCGUUUGGGUGACCCUAUUUUUGAUGUUUCUAGGGUACUAGGGAGCUUGUGGAUAUCUUCGUUCGGCGAAACAAAGAAGUCGAUUCUUUCGGUGGGUUUGACUUCAUGAAAAUGGGGCAAAAUGACCCCUAUGCCUUCUAAUCCUUUUGUAAAGUAUUUGUGAAUGCAAAUUCAUGCUAAACAUGAUUUAUAUGAAUUUUAGAACACUUAACAUGCAUGCCUCAUGUAUCGUAAAAUUUGUACUCCAUAUAGUAGAGCUAUAUGUGUAGAUUGCAUGCAUUGUGGAUAGUGCUUUGUUUUGCGAGUUGAGAACUUGUCUCCAUGCUAGAAUUGAGUGAACUAUGCAUCGUGAACAUAUCAAUGCCAUGCUUGGGACUUGUAGCACAAAAGUGUCAUAAAGAGGCACUUGGAAUUAGUAAACUAUAAAAUGCAACUUAGAGACAUGAUGGUGGGCCAUUGUACGUAUGCUAUAUAUUCCAUGUUAGAGACAUGAUGACAUAGAGAUAGGCCUUUGGGACUUUCGAUGCACAUUCCAUGUUAUUAGACUUGAGGACUUGGUACUUGCGACAGAUCGUUUGACUACUUGCCAUUGUGCUCAUUCGCACAUGCUUGUGAGGGUCGCUCCCUACAAGCCGGCACUCCGGAGAUAGCCAUCGCGAUUCAUAUUCGCCGUGCGGGAUUGGGCGCCGAAGUGGAUUGCCGUGGGACAGGCUCAUUCCUAGGGUGGGGAUGAUGACUACCACGGGGCCAUUAGGCUCGGCACCGGCCGGACAGCCUACGGGUGGGUCUCAGGGCCAUAGACAGCCUUCGGGUGGGUCUCUUCAGAUUUGACUUUGUGUAUCCAUUAUGACAUGUGGACAGAUGAUGACUUAGUAUACUACUUGGACAUUGACUAGAAUAGUAAACAACGGGACUUUACUAUUUCACAUUGUGAACAUCAUGAUAGUUGGAGACAUUUACUUCAUGCAUAGUUGCUUUCAUACUUAUGCUAUUUAUGCUAAGUAGAGAUAUCAUGUCGUAGUGGGUUACAUUUUACUUACCUUUCGCUUUUCUACUUUUAUAGUCACUGACAUCUUUUGUAGCUUUGGGCCUUGUGGUGCAUUCACUGAAGUCAGUAAUUGCCCACUGGGAACUAUUUUUAAUAGUCUCAUGCCCCCGUUUUGUGGUUUACUUUUCAGAGCCUUCGGCACCGGCGGAGGCACGGGAUCGCGGCAAGGGGAUCGCUUAGCUAGCUAGCGAGGGGCGGUACUUUGCCUAGGUGGUUUACUCUUUCUUUUGUAGUUGAGAGAGUGAGAGAUUUUUGUAUCCAUGUAUAGAGACCACCUGUGUAUCUACUUUUAGUACUUGUUAUGGGAUUCCUAUUGUAUUUACUUUAUGUUUUACUUAGUGGAUUUAUAGUUUCAUCCUUAUUUCUUGUUGUAGCAUUUAGACAUUCUUUAUGCUCUGAUACUCCUAGAUGUCUUUUAUUAUUGCUUUUAUUAUUGUUGUUGUUAGACGCCUUAUGCGUUUUAGACGCAUGGCGGGUCUGGGCACGUGCCGGGCGGGCUUCCGCUGGGCCCCGGUGCGUGACAUAACCUAUGUUCAAUGACACUAGGUUUCAUGCCACUCACCUAGGUUUAUUUAACUCUAGGUUCAUUGCCAUUCGUGAUUCACCUAUGUUCAACAACACUAGGUUCAAUGCCAUUCACAAUACUUGUCAUCCUAAUUAUUCACACUUAGGAUUCUUAAUUGACAUGCCACCCAAUGUUCACAUUUUUCUAGUUGUCCAUACCUAGGAUUCUUAGUUGACAUUUACAUUUAGGCAUACAUAUCUUUAAUGCUUACUCGUGCCUAUGUCUUUAUCAUUCAAUGGUAAUCAACAUGUCUCAUGCACUCUUUAUUAGCAUGUAUGUAUCAUGCAUUCAUCAUUCGUAUAUAUCCCAUGCAUUUCUUAGCAUACAUCUUAUACAUUCAUUUAGCAUACAUUCUAUGAUGCAUUCUUUAUUAGCCUCUACUAUGCAUUUACAAUUAGCAUCUAACUACCAUUUCAUGCUUCAUUUAGCAUUUUUACAUUAUGUCAAUAUGCAUUCUUCUAGCAUAUCCGACAACAUAUACAUCAUGCAUUCAUCUAGCGUGUUUCUACAUUAUGUUUAUCAUGCUUUCAUCUCAAGGGUAGGUAAUAAACAUUAAGCAUAAUAGGAUUCAUACAUCCACAUUAUCAUAGGCCACCUACCAAUUACAUAUAUAUACAUUUCAUCUAGUAUCUCUUCUUUAUGUCUUCUUGCAUCCAAUGGUAGUUUAACAUAGCAUUCAUAUGUUUUAUCACUAACUACCAUACAUGCAUCAAUAACAAUUCUCGCUUCGCUUCGACAUGGAAGCGAGCUAAUAACUUCGGUAAGCACAACCCACCUCAAAUCGCUUUCCGAUUGCUUGUAGUCACUUGCAAUCAGCCUCCCGCCGCACCCGUUGCCCGGUUCGGCCCGAACUCGCACUCGACCACCAAACGGCCACCAAUCCGCAAUCCGGAAAUUAAAGGUCUAUAACUUGAUGCCACAAUACUCCGGAUCCGUUCUCAUGAUUUUUGGACGUCGCCUCGGCCGUCCAGGCGGAAACGAAGCCUAAACGUCUGUUUCUUCAAUAUCUCCGCAUAGGCUCGACGAAUCACCGAACCGACUUCGCCAACGCGUUUUUAUACCUAGCAAUUAGGUUUACGUAUGAUUAAUUUAGAUCAAACCCAAACAUUUUACAAAAACUCCAUUUAGAACCCUAGAUGUUUAUUAUUACAAUAAUACUCCAAAUCGGAACUUGAUUCAUGCAAUUUGCAUUCAUUUAGCAUCCUAGGAUUCAAUUAAACCCAUAUCUAGAGCUUAAAAUCUAAACCCUAGAAAUCUACCAUUAAAGUGUUUGAAUCUUACCUCAAAAGCUCUCCUCAAAGUUAAGGAAGAAGAUGAAGAUCCACCUUCGAGCUUCCUUCUCUACCAAAUCCUUCAAAUUUUGGGAUAGAUUUAGAGAGAAAAAGGGAGGUUUUGUCUCUCCCUCUCCAUGCGUGUGUGUGUUGUGUGUGUGUGCUCUGUUCGGUUGAGGAGGGAGGAGAAGAAAGGGAUUAAUCCCUUNCUUUUGUCUUCUAAACUUUAAAAGACGCUCUUUGUCCUGAUUAUAAAAUCGUCUUUUACGUGUCACAAUCUUUUAAUACUUUUAACCUCUUAUACAGUCUUAAUAAAAAUACUCCGAUCUAAAUUUCAAAGUACGGUAAGACUGUGGGCUUUUCACCUUUUAUUUUAGGCUGACGAUAGACGAUCUCUAAUGUCAAGCCAUCUCGAAAGCCACUGGUUUACACCAGCUUUGACUUUCUAAUUUUAAAGAAAGCAGUUCAAUUCAUUUUGGCUCCGACUGACGGUUUAAACUCGAGUUUGCUUGUAAGUCUUCCCGUCCGCUUUUUAUAGACAUGAACUCGACGAUUUGACAUACAUAAACACAAUUACAACUCCCCGAUUAAACAUUUUUCCCUAAUUAGGGAAAGAAGAGGAGGGAGGAGUUGGCUUGUCUCGUGUGUGUGUGUUGUGUGUGUGCGUACCUCUCCCUCUCUGUUUUGGAGGGAAAAAGAGAGAUUUAGAUAGGGUUUUAAACUUCCUAAACCAUCUCUUCCUUCGAGCUUCCACCUAGAAGUAGAAGAAGUAGAAGAAGGAAUUGAAACUCCUCUCGAAAACUCCAUUCUAAGUUUGUGAAAUUACCAUCUAAAGAUCCCAAAUCUAAAAUUCGAGAUCUAUACCCAAAUUAACUUAGGAUCCUACGAUUUACUUACGUUUAACGUACUUAGUUCAAGGCUAAACCUCAUAAUAACAUUAUUAUUUGUAGAUCCCAAGAUUUACCUCAAAAACAUUUUACAAACCCAAACUAGAUUUAAUUAGUAUGCAUUUGGAUUAACGAUCCAUAUUUUUGCGCAACCGCUUCAGCCAAGCCACUAAGCAGCUCGGAUACGCCUCUAUAACUUCUUUGUCUGCAAAUCCGAAGCAAAGGCGGACCUGCCGGCUCCGCUGCAGGUUUUUAGUACUCUUGCCUAGGCCUCAUAACACCGUAGUUCAAUAUCUGGAAAUUAAAGGCCUAACGCCUAACCACCGGCAAACCACCAGCUCACGCUCAAGCCCGGCUUGGCCCGUUGCCCACGCCGCCCUCCGACUAACGUUCACUGAUGUUCGUUAGCCUUUCGCUAAACUCCACCCAACACGAAUGGCUUCAAUAAUCGAGCGAAGGUACAGCUUCGCUUCGCUCUUAACAAUAACUACGUACAUACCAUCAAUCACUAUUUUGUAUACUUACGAUACAAUUUGAUGGUAACCUACGUUCUUCUGUAUUUCUUCUCUAUGAUCUACUUUACAUAUAUAUACAUUAACCAUCCACCGGAUACUAUUACACCUACAUACUUAGGAUAAUACGAAUUACAAAUAAUGGAUGGGAACUCUACUUUCGUACUAUUUGUAUUACAUCUUUGUGCGAUCUACUUACGUACUACAUAUACAACAGCCUAUACGAUCUUCUUACGUAUAACUGUAUUACAUUUUUACGAUUUACUUCGUACUUUACCAUCAAUCUACGAUUAACAUUUACGUAUCAUCUCCGAUUAUUUCUUACGUAGUAUCUUACAUACGAUUUACUUACAUAUUCUACAUACGAUUCUUUACGUACCCUAUAUAUGCUUACUACUUACGUACUAUGUAUGUACGAUUAUUUCUCACGUACUCUGUACAACUAAUGGUAACUUACUGUUCCGAUUUCAGUACAAGUCAUUUUCGACUUAUAUUUUACUUCUCUAAAUCCAAAAAAAAUAGUAUCUCACACUAUUUUUAUUUAUUUUUACUUUUAUAUCAAAAUUUGGUAUGUUACACUGGACCUUUGCAAAUUGCGAGGUUCGAGUGUUUGAUUUGUAUUUCGAGCUUUUCCACAUUUUCUGGAGGGUCGUUGACAGUGUUCCGACCUAUGACUCGCAUCCCGAGAAUCGAGAUUUAAAAGCUCAGCACUAAGGUCUCCAAGUGAAGGACUUAGGCUGCUCUCGGGUUGAAUUCUGCAGAGUUGUGUACCGGUACAACAUUGAGUUUGUACCGGAACAGAGUGUUGUACCGGUACAACAUAGGGUCUGUACCGGUACCCAGUGAGUUUUCCUGUGAACCUGAGGCUCGGGUUUGCUGUAUGGCAGAUUUUGUACCGGUACACUUUCCCGUGUACCGGUACACAGUGCAGUCCGCAGACUGCUUAUUCUUGGAGGGUGUUUUUGCAAUUAUAACAUCUCUACAAAUAUCCCCACGACCCCCUGGUGUUCCCUGAGCUUGGAAACAGUGGAGAAGAAGGUAAGGGACCUCUCCCCUUCCCCUCUUUCAUUUUCUUUCAUUUUAGUUGGGAUUUUGAAAAUUAAACUCUUCUUUUUUGCUUCUUUUUGCUUCUUGGUGCUAUUUCCACCAUGGGAGAAGCCUUGGCCUGGUGUUUGGAGCUUAUUUGAGGGACGGUUUUCAAUCCUAGCUGGUUUUUAGGGUGGUUUGAAGCUUCUAAAGAGGUUAGAAACUUGUUUUCCCCUUUUUAUCCAUGUUUUGGAGGAUUUCUUGAGAUGAAAUCCUAGAAAUGAAAAUUUAGGGUUUAAAAUGAGAAUUUUUGACUGGAGGCUUUUGGAACUCAAUUGAUUGGGUUAGAAUCUUUAUUUAGGUUGGAUUUGAAGGGAUCUUGCUUCCAUUUGGAGACCGAGAGAGGAUUUCACCUCAUAAGGUGAGUUUUUGCCCUUGCACCUUGGGUUGAUUAAAAAUUGAUCUUAGGAUUGUUCGUUUCGUUUAUUUAACUCUCCAAAUAUUACAUUGAGGGUACUAGGAGGGUAGUGGAUACUUUCGUCGGCGCAAACGAAGGGUUUCGAAAAGUCUCGGUGGGUUUGGCUUCUUCAAAAUGGGAAAAUCUCCACUUAUGACUCUUUUUAAUUAUCGUAAAAUAGAAAUGUAUGCAUAUUCAUGCUAGAUAGAGCAUAUGAGAUGUUUAGAAUGCUUAAAGUACAUAUGUCACAUUUUAUGAAAAUUUUCUCUAUAUAGUAGAGAUGGAUAUAUGCAUUGUUAGCAUACAUGAGAAUAGCAUUCUACAUAUGGUUUGGAAUUAUGUUUCUUGCAAAGAAAGUGACUUGUUUAAUAUGCUCUUGGACUUGGAACUCAUAUUUGACAAGUGGACAAAAGUGCUAUAAAGGGGCACUCAACCUAGUAAACGGUUAAACUGCAACAUGAUGACACAGAAAUGGACCAUGGGAUCACUAGCUUUUAUACCAUGUUUUAGACAUGAUGAUAUAGUGAUAGGCCAUUGAGACACUGACUUUAUACCAUGUUUUAGACAUGAUGACGUUGGACUUGAGACAGAGGUUUACGCUUGUUUGCCAUUAUGCUCAUUCGCACAUGCUUGUGAGGGUCGCUCCCUACAAGCCGGCACUCUGGAGAUGGCCAUCGCGACAUAAGCUCGCCCGUGCGGGAUUCGGCGCCGAAAUGGGAUGCCGUAGGGGAGGCUCAUUCCUAGGGUGGGGAUGUUCACUACCACGGGGCCAUUAGGCACGGCGCAAGCCGGACUACCUACGGGUAGGUCUACAUAAUUGGAAUAUUAUUGAACGAAAAUGCAAGGUAAAUAUUGGACAAGUUAGUCAACAAUGACAUUUUUACUAGUUGUGCUUGUGGAUAGUAUGUUGUUUAUACAUGCACAUAUUCAUGUUAGAAUGGCACUUGCACUUAUGCAUAAUCAUGCUAAGUAGAGGCAUAGUAGUUUUACAAGCUUUGUUCAUGAUUAAUAUACAUGUUACUCAUUCUAUUUACACAUUAGAAUUUACUACUUUUGCUCUUAGCCUAGUGGUGCAUUUCACUGAAGUCAGUAAUUGCCCACUAAGAACUAUUGUUUAAUAGUUCUCACGCCCUGUUUUAUGUUUUUCUUUCAGAACCCUCUACAUCGGUGGAGGCACAGGAUCGCUUACUAGCUUGCGAGGAGUAUAGUUUUUGUUGCUUCUAGGUGGUUUUCUCUCUAUUUUUGUAUUUUAGUAGAGAGUGAGAGAUCUUGAAUCCGUGUAUAGAGACCACCAUGUUCUUAUGUUUAGCACUUGUACUUGGGUUUCCUUUUUGUACUACUUCAUAGAUUUAUGUUAGUGCAUUAGCCCUUUUAUCUUCAUUGUUAUUCUAGAAACUAGUUGUUGCAUGCUUUGAUACUCCUAGAUGUUUAUAUAUUACUCUUUAUUUAUCGUAUUUUUGGUAGACGCCUUAUAUGUUGCAGACGUAUGGUGGGUCUGGACACGCACCGGGUAGGCUUCCGCUGGAUCCCGAGGCGUGACAGAUUAAUUUGGUAUCAAAGUCUAGGGUUGAGUCUUAGUGGACCUAGCAAACCUUAGGCCGGUUGGACUAUAGGAAAUAGGCUCGUGAGAGACGAGGUCUAUUUGACUUGUAAGCGAAAGUAUUAUGAUUGGGUUUAUGAUAACUCUAAAAAUGUUAGAGUUGAAUCGGAGUGUAUAGCUUCUAACUUCGCGGAGGGUUACAUUGGCGGCCGACAACAUAACAUCGGAAGUUAGUAGUAAAGGACACUUCAUAACUUUCGCAUGAUUUGGGUAUUAUUUACUUGAGCGGGGUUGCGAUAGCGUGGGUUUUACUAACUUGCGCUUUUAUGUUGUUAUAGUGACGAUGCUGACUACUCGUUCCAAAUCUGUCGGGGCAGAGGACACGACAAACCUCGAGGAGGUGGAGACCUCUGCCACUUCCGGAUCUAGUGAGGUCCGUGACUUGAGGUCCCAGCUUGCGGUCCUCACCGACCUAGUGGCACAGCAGGCGGCGGCAGCUCAGCGACAGGCCGAUGUGGCAGAUCGGCAGGAGACGCAGAUGAAGUGGCUCAAGGAUCUGCUUUUGCAGCAGGCGGCUGCUAGGGAGGUUCAGAUUCCCCCACCACCUACGCCAGUUGACGACGUAGCACCAAGGGCGCCGUCUCCCACACCCGGUUCUUCGCGGGCAGCACCCGUGGUCGCGCCUCGGGAGGAGGAUGUUGUGGCACUACCUGUUCAUGUGUCUCCGGCGGGGCCAGUUUUUCCCGUGAUGGCUGCUGUAGAGGAGCGGGACCGGCUUAUGGAUCGCCUCAAUGAGUUUAAGAGGUAUAGUCCCCGGAUCUUCAAACUUCGAACUAACUCACCUAAUCUCCGAAGGUAAUCCAACCUAACCUACUCGGGAUCGAAGUAAAACCUCGAAAUCUCCUCUAAAAACGUGAUCUCCACUCAAAAGGAGCGGAUACAAACUAAUCGAAUUACUAACUCGUUUCAAAACAAGCAAACCGGGCAUACUGUGUACAAAGAUAUGGAGAUCCCAUGAUCCUCUGAUCUCCUGUGGGAGCACCCUCGCGUGCUCCUCAAAGCAACAGUAGCCACCCAAACCGAAGCACCUUUACCCCGCUUUACCGGGGAUACGAGAAAGAUGAAUAACAUUUAAUAAAAAUUCAAGUAAAGAUAUGAUUUACCCUAAAUAUACCUAAAAUCUCGUGAAUUUUACGUACGGAACACAUAAUACUUUUAAAGUGAUAUAUCAUCUCGAUAUACUCAUCUUACGUACGUAUGCCUUUUUCACAAAUAAAACGCUCACCUUUUAUGUAGAGAAUACUCCUAGUACUGAACCUUAUACAUGAAACCUUGUAUCAACGGUACGAAACUGUAUCUCUUGUUCUCACAGUAUUUCCCCGUGAACCUUGAUCAUUUGAUACUUUGACGUUGUAUCUCUAUAUAACUAUCCGGUGAUGUAUAGACGAUAUAAGGUACAAUCUCUGUACUACUGUAUCCCUAUCCGGUAACUCUAUGAACUGUGUAAGGUACAAUAAUCUGCACUCCUGAACCAUGAACGCUGUCUAGCAAACUGAUAGAACCCUAACACGGAGUAAGCGUGUACGAACACUCCCAGCGAGGGAUGNGACACCUUUGUGGAGGAGAGAGACCGGGUUUGGCUCGCCACUCACCACUUGGACGGCGAGGCCUAUCGUUGGUGGUUGGAUAUCCAAGACAACCCCAGCAUGGAUUUGGAGGCUAUCACAUGGAAGAGGUUCAAGGAGCUUCUUUUGGCGCACUACUUUUCUGAGAGCGUCAAGAGAAAGAUGGAGCAGGACUUGCGCGGCUUGCGCCAGGGGGAUAGGACAGUGGCCGAGUACGAGAGAGAGUUUUCUCGGCUUCUACACUGCGUGCCUUUCGUCGUACGGGACGACGAGGACAAAGCCCGCAUUUUCGAGCGUGGAUUGCAACCGUCGAUUUUUGGUUUGUGCAAUCUUCCAACCUCCAAACCUACUGGGAGGUGGUGGACCGCGCACUCAUCGUGGAGAGCGGCGCGGUGGAUCUUCAGGAGCGAAGAGAGGGCUUGGACAAAGGUAAGGGCAAGAGGCCCACGGCUGAGGGUGCGAGUCAAACGCACUCUAGGAGGCCGCCGAAGCACCCUAGGAGCCUGCAGCAUGGACGCGGCUCGUCGGUACAGCGUGGAGAUUCAGAUCGUCGGUGACCUCCCCGGUGUGUGAUCUGUGGUGGCCCUCACUUUCCACCGCAGUGUCCGCAGCGGGGAGGUAGGUGUUUCCAGUGUGGCCAGGAGGGCCACUUCCAAACCGAGUGCCCGAGGGGUUCGUCACCGGCACCGUCAUCAGCAUCGGCACCGGCUCUACCGGCAGCUAGUCAGGGGACUCCAGCGGCGCACUACCAGCCUGGGCGGCUACCCAUCCAGCGCCAGACUGAGGGGUCACGACAGGCCCCGAGUUGGCGUAUGUAUGCUGCACAGACCGGGGAGGCGGCAGCAGCCGAGGAUGUAGUCGCAGGUAUCAUUUUAUUAAAUGGCAUUCGAGUUCGUGCAUUAUUUGAUACCGGUGCAUCACAUUCAUUCAUAGAUCGGCUGUUUGCCGAGUUGCAUGGUAUCCCGUUGGUUUUUUUGUUGCAUCCGGGACGUGUUGUUGUCUCCAAUCACUCUUUGGAUACUCGAGAGUAUGCCCCAGUUGCCCUGUUUGGGUAGGAGAUUGGAUUAUGCCCGUAGAUCUCUUAGCUUUGCGCAAACUUGGAGAGUUUGAUGUGGUUUUGGGCAUGGAUUGGUUAACCAGCUAUUUCGCUACUAUUGAUUGCAAGAAUCGAAUGGUUACUUUUAGAGAACCGGGGCAGACAGAGUUGUAUUUAGAGGAUGCAAGAGUUCCCUAUUCGCGAUGACGAUCAGCUCGUCUCGAGCUAGGCAGCUGAUCAGCAGGGGUUGCUUAGCCUAUUUGGCUAGUGUUGUGCUGAGGGGUGAGGAUGACACCCCUAGGAUUGAGGAUAUCCCGGUAGUACGAGAGUUUUGUGAUGUGUUUCCAGCGGAGCUACCAGGCAUGCCACCUGAUAGAGAGAUUGAGUUUGUUGUAGAUCUCCUCCCUGGGACUACCCCAAUCUCAAAAGCACCCUAUAGGAUGGCACCAGCAGAGUUGAAAGAGCUGAGGGCACAGCUGCAGGAUCUCUUGGACAAAGGCUUUAUUCGACCGAGCGUCUCGCCUUGGGGAGCGCCAGUUUUGUUCGUCAAGAAGAAGGACGGAUCACUUCGCUUGUGCGUGGAUUAUCGUGAACUCAAUAAGGUCACGAUUAAGAAUAAGUACCCGUUGCCGAGGGUCGAUGAUCUAUUCGAUCAGCUUCAUGGAUCGAGUGUGUAUUCCAAGAUCGACUUGCAGUCGGGAUACCACCAGUUAAAGAUCGCACCCGAGGAUGUAUCAAAGACGGCUUUUAGAACACGGUAUGGACACUAUGAGUUCACUGUUAUGCCGUUUGGGCUUACUAAUGCUGUCACGCCCCGCCCCGAAACCACUACCAAUUUGGCACGAUUCGGGCGCGCCGGGUGGACCGCCGAACGGACAGCACCUCCCAUGUCUGCCCAAGGCUCAACGACAGGAAUGUGUACAAGAAUUUACCCAGAAAGUUUAAAUUCUAAGCAUACACACUCAACGGGGCACAAACAGUGCCAACAACCAAGAGCAAGAGAUCCACAUGCUAUACGAGUGAAAAAAAGAGAGUACUGUACUAACUAUUACAAUAGUUUGCAUCUUUUUACAUCAUUUCUCAAAAUAAAUACAUUUGAUCAUCCAAAAUACAUAGCUCUUCAAAUCCUCACCUACAUGAAUCUCUCUCAAUACAUAGGUAUGCUAAUGCAAAAAGAAAAGCUACUGUACUACCACGGUCUCACUGAUCGGGCGCGAUGCCCUUGCCGCGGUCCUCGCUGGAUAAACCUGUACCUACCACUGAAAAUAGAGUGGGGUGAAAACUAUCUUCCAUAGUUCCUAGUGGGUUCGGCCGCCGACUUCGCCGGUCUCCCCACUAGGUCCAAGUGGGCACAACUAACAACAAGUAGAUAGAUAGAUAGAUAUCUCAAAGCUGUAAAUGACAUAAUAGGAAAUCUAUACUAAUAUGCCCAUAAUCAUGUGUAAUGAAUGCAUGCAUCAUAUAGUAAAGGUUUACUACCAUGCUAACAAGUUCGAACCAUGUUCAAAUAAUAAUGUUCAAUGACAAUACUUGUUUUCCAUUUACCCAAUCUAUGGCGAGACCCUUGGGUUCGCCUGCAACUCACAUUUCCAUCCCGUAUUUGGCAAGGGAGCUCCAUGUGCCCCCAAACCCGGGACUGUCUGCGGACCUCUAUGUGGUCCCUAUCGCCCGACACUUCGAAGUACUCGACGACAAUCCUCGCCUGACACUUCGAAGUACUCGACGAGAAGAUUUCUACUCUUGAGGUGAGUUUUGGCCCUUUUGCUUUUAGGUUAAAGAUUGAGCUUAUUGCUCUUCGUAUCGAUUGGAUGACACCAUUUUUGAUGUUCCUAGGGUGCUAGGAAGCUUGUGGAAAUCUCCGUUUGGCGAAACGAAAAUUUCGAUUUUGGUGGGUUUGACCUAGCCUUUGAUAUGAGAAAAUCUCAUAUUUGGUGAUAAGUGCUUCGUGUACUAAUAAUUCAUGCAUUUUCAUACUAAAUGUAUUUAUUAUGAAUUUUAGAAUGCUUAAAAUGCCCAUGUCAUAUGUAAUGAAAUUUUUGGACCUCCAUGUAGUAGAGAGUUGCUUGAGAGAGAGAGUUGGUUGCAUUUAGCAUUCUAUAUGAGUUUUGGUUUCAUGUUUCUAUAGAGUAAAUGAGCUAUGAUCCAUGCAUUUAAACAUAAGUUUAAUUGAGACAUGAAAGAUAACAAUUGCUAUAUAUAUAGGCAUCGAACUUGAUAUCAUGUGAAUUAGAGAGCUAAUGUCAUCAAGCGGCAUUGAGCUCAGGACAUGUGUGAACCUAGUGGAUAGGGCCAUUGAGGGAUUUGGAAAAUAUGUUGAACAUCAAAUUGCCUAAGUGUCAUCAAGGGGCACUAGGCGUAGCAAAUGUUGAAACUUCANNNNNNNNNNNNNNNNNNNNNNNNNNNNNNNNNNNNNNNNNNNNNNNNNNNNNNNNNNNNNNNNNNNNNNNNNNNNNNNNNNNNNNNNNNNNNNNNNNNNNNNNNNNNNNNNNNNNNNNNNNNNNNNNNNNNNNNNNNNNNNNNNNNNNNNNNNNNNNNNNNNNNNNNNNNNNNNNNNNNNNNNNNNNNNNNNNNNNNNNNNNNNNNNNNNNNNNNNNNNNNNNNNNNNNNNNNNNNNNNNNNNNNNNNNNNNNNNNNNNNNNNNNNNNNNNNNNNNNNNNNNNNNNNNNNNNNNNNNNNNNNNNNNNNNNNNNNNNNNNNNNNNNNNNNNNNNNNNNNNNNNNNNNNNNNNNNNNNNNNNNNNNNNNNNNNNNNNNNNNNNNNNNNNNNNNNNNNNNNNNNNNNNNNNNNNNNNNNNNNNNNNNNNNNNNNNNNNNNNNNNNNNNNNNNNNNNNNNNNNNNNNNNNNNNNNNNNNNNNNNNNNNNNNNNNNNNNNNNNNNNNNNNNNNNNNNNNNNNNNNNNNNNNNNNNNNNNNNNNNNNNNNNNNNNNNNNNNNNNNNNNNNNNNNNNNNNNNNNNNNNNNNNNNNNNNNNNNNNNNNNNNNNNNNNNNNNNNNNNNNNNNNNNNNNNNNNNNNNNNNNNNNNNNNNNNNNNNNNNNNNNNNNNNNNNNNNNNNNNNNNNNNNNNNNNNNNNNNNNNNNNNNNNNNNNNNNNNNNNNNNNNNNNNNNNNNNNNNNNNNNNNNNNNNNNNNNNNNNNNNNNNNNNNNNNNNNNNNNNNNNNNNNNNNNNNNNNNNNNNNNNNNNNNNNNNNNNNNNNNNNNNNNNNNNNNNNNNNNNNNNNNNNNNNNNNNNNNNNNNNNNNNNNNNNNNNNNNNNNNNNNNNNNNNNNNNNNNNNNNNNNNNNNNNNNNNNNNNNNNNNNNNNNNNNNNNNNNNNNNNNNNNNNNNNNNNNNNNNNNNNNNNNNNNNNNNNNNNNNNNNNNNNNNNNNNNNNNNNNNNNNNNNNNNNNNNNNNNNNNNNNNNNNNNNNNNNNNNNNNNNNNNNNNNNNNNNNNNNNNNNNNNNNNNNNNNNNNNNNNNNNNNNNNNNNNNNNNNNNNNNNNNNNNNNNNNNNNNNNNNNNNNNNNNNNNNNNNNNNNNNNNNNNNNNNNNNNNNNNNNNNNNNNNNNNNNNNNNNNNNNNNNNNNNNNNNNNNNNNNNNNNNNNNNNNNNNNNNNNNNNNNNNNNNNNNNNNNNNNNNNNNNNNNNNNNNNNNNNNNNNNNNNNNNNNNNNNNNNNNNNNNNNNNNNNNNNNNNNNNNNNNNNNNNNNNNNNNNNNNNNNNNNNNNNNNNNNNNNNNNNNNNNNNNNNNNNNNNNNNNNNNNNNNNNNNNNNNNNNNNNNNNNNNNNNNNNNNNNNNNNNNNNNNNNNNNNNNNNNNNNNNNNNNNNNNNNNNNNNNNNNNNNNNNNNNNNNNNNNNNNNNNNNNNNNNNNNNNNNNNNNNNNNNNNNNNNNNNNNNNNNNNNNNNNNNNNNNNNNNNNNNNNNNNNNNNNNNNNNNNNNNNNNNNNNNNNNNNNNNNNNNNNNNNNNNNNNNNNNNNNNNNNNNNNNNNNNNNNNNNNNNNNNNNNNNNNNNNNNNNNNNNNNNNNNNNNNNNNNNNNNNNNNNNNNNNNNNNNNNNNNNNNNNNNNNNNNNNNNNNNNNNNNNNNNNNNNNNNNNNNNNNNNNNNNNNNNNNNNNNNNNNNNNNNNNNNNNNNNNNNNNNNNNNNNNNNNNNNNNNNNNNNNNNNNNNNNNNNNNNNNNNNNNNNNNNNNNNNNNNNNNNNNNNNNNNNNNNNNNNNNNNNNNNNNNNNNNNNNNNNNNNNNNNNNNNNNNNNNNNNNNNNNNNNNNNNNNNNNNNNNNNNNNNNNNNNNNNNNNNNNNNNNNNNNNNNNNNNNNNNNNNNNNNNNNNNNNNNNNNNNNNNNNNNNNNNNNNNNNNNNNNNNNNNNNNNNNNNNNNNNNNNNNNNNNNNNNNNNNNNNNNNNNNNNNNNNNNNNNNNNNNNNNNNNNNNNNNNNNNNNNNNNNNNNNNNNNNNNNNNNNNNNNNNNNNNNNNNNNNNNNNNNNNNNNNNNNNNNNNNNNNNNNNNNNNNNNNNNNNNNNNNNNNNNNNNNNNNNNNNNNNNNNNNNNNNNNNNNNNNNNNNNNNNNNNNNNNNNNNNNNNNNNNNNNNNNNNNNNNNNNNNNNNNNNNNNNNNNNNNNNNNNNNNNNNNNNNNNNNNNNNNNNNNNNNNNNNNNNNNNNNNNNNNNNNNNNNNNNNNNNNNNNNNNNNNNNNNNNNNNNNNNNNNNNNNNNNNNNNNNNNNNNNNNNNNNNNNNNNNNNNNNNNNNNNNNNNNNNNNNNNNNNNNNNNNNNNNNNNNNNNNNNNNNNNNNNNNNNNNNNNNNNNNNNNNNNNNNNNNNNNNNNNNNNNNNNNNNNNNNNNNNNNNNNNNNNNNNNNNNNNNNNNNNNNNNNNNNNNNNNNNNNNNNNNNNNNNNNNNNNNNNNNNNNNUAUUAUUCGUGGGUUGAAUUUUUGGGGCUUUUGAUCUAGGGCUUUUGGGGCUAGAUGAUUGAUUUAGAACCUUUCUUGGGCUUGGAUUGAAGGAUUCUAGCUCUCUUCUGGAGCUUUGGAAGAGAUUUCUUCUCUUGAGGUGAGUUUGCCCUUUUUGCUCCUAGUUAAUGUUUGAGUUAUAGGAUGGUCGUAAUGCCCUCGUAUCUCUUCGCCUGAUUACUUUUAGGGUAUUUUGAGACUCGGGACAACUUGGUUCGGCGAGACGAGGCUCUACGCGACGGUUUCGGUGGGUUUGACUAGCCACACUAUGAGAAAUUCUCAUUUGUGCUUAUUAAGUAUCGAUAAAUGAAAAAAGCAUGCGUAUUCUUGUUAUAUGUAUUUAUUAAUUUUAGAAUGCUUAACAUGCAUAGAUUAUGUGUAGUAAAUUUGGGACCUCUAUAUAGUAGAGAGUAUGCAUGUGUGGCCUAGCAUUCUAGUUGAGACUUGAAAUUAUAAUCCCUAUUAUGAAAACGAACCUUGCUUUCAUGCAUUCAAACUAUAUACCAGAUGUGACAUUAGGGUUUUUGGAAGCCUAGAGAGGCUUAGGGACUUAGAUGAUAUGUGAGAUUGGGCCAAUGUCAUGAAGAGGCAUGGGGCCCGGGGUUAGUGAGCAUUUAAUUGUUAAGGUCUUAAUUGCGAACAUGUUAGUUAUGGAGCUUAAGUGUCAUAAAGAGGCACUAAGCAAGUGUGUGUUGGGACUUCACAUUAUGACUUUGAACUAGACCUUCGGGAUGCUAGCGACUAUACCAUGUUAGAGACAUGAGGAUUGGGUACUUGAGACAGUGACCUUGCUUGUUUGCCAUUUGUGCUCAUUCGCACAUGCUUGUGAGGGUCGCUCCCCACAAGCUGGCACUCCGGAGUUAGCCUAUGCGACUUUUGUUCGCUCGUGCGAUAUUGAGACGCCUACGGGGUCGAGUGGGACAGACACAUUCCAUGGGUAGGAAUGUCGGGCUACCACAGGCACUUAGGCGGCACAAGCCGGACUACCUUGGGUAGAUCCUUAAUUGGAAAUGAAAAUCGACACGGUUUGAGAAUGAAUGAUCACUACUAGAUAGGCUUAGUAGAUGGAUUACAUUUACAUGCUUUUGGCACAGUGUGAGACAUGUAGUAUACUUGGUUGCCAUGAUAGAACUUUUACAUCAUGCAUUGACAAAGGUUAACAAUAUUAAACUAGUGCCAUUGGACUUAAUUCUAAUGAUAGAUAGAUGUACAUUUUGGUCGACAUCAUGCUUACUUGAGACACAGUAGACUAGCAUUUCAAUUAUGCUUUCUUUCAGCAGUUUAUUUACAUGCUCCUUAUUGUUUAUUAUUAUUAUCGUUACUUACACUUGUUUUUGGGGCCUAGUGGAGCAGGAGCUGAGGUCAGUAAUUGCCCACUGGGAACUAUGAAUUAUAGUGCUCACGCCCUCUUUUUCUCGAUGUUUUUCAGAGCCUUCCACGCAGGGAGAGGCCGGGGAUCGCGGAAAGGGUAUCGCCUCGGGCUAGCGUGCUUACCGAGGGAUCGUUCGAUAGGUGGUCUACCUCUCGUGUUUUCUUUUUGUGAGAGGUUGAGAGUGUACCCGCAUAUGUAUAGAGACCACCAUUUUUGUACUAGAAGCAGAUAUUGUACUACUUAUGUUCCACUUUUAUGGUUUAGUUAUGUUCUAUUACUAUUGGUGUAGAUAUUAGAACUUUACUCGCUCUGAUAUCAUUAGUUGCCAGUUAUUUCACUUCCUUUAUUUGUUCCAUUUCUUGCUUUUACUUCCGCUUUUCUUGUAGACGCCUUAUACGUGUAGACAUAUGGCGGGUCUGGACACGCUACCGGGAGGGCCUCUGCCGGUCCCGGGGCGUGACAGGUGUAGAUGAUAGAACUUUACUCGCUCUGAUAUCAUUAGUUGCUUGUUAUUUUACUUCUUUUAUCUGUUCUAUCUCUUGCUUUACUUCCGCUUUUAUUGUAGACGCCUUAUAUGUGUAGAUAUAUGGCGGGUCUGGGCACGCUACCGGGAGGGCCUCCGCCGGUCCUGGGGCGUGACAGAACUCAUGUUUGACAAGUGGACAAAAGUGCCAUAAAGGGGCACUCAAUCUAGUAAACGGUUAAACUGCAACAUGAUGACACAGAAUGGACCAUAGGAUCACUAGCGUUUAUACCAUGUUUUAGACAUGAUGAUAUAGUGAUAGGCCAUUGAGACACCGACUUUAUACCAUGUUUUAGACAUGAUGACGUUGGACUUGAGACAGAGGUUUACGCUUGCUUGCCAUUGUGCUCAUUCGCACAUGCUUGUGAGGGUCGCUCGCUUCAAGUCGGCACUCCGGAGAUGGCCAUCGCGAUAUAAGCUCGCCUGUGCGGGAUUGGGCACCGUAAUGGGAUGUCGUGGGGGAGGCUCAUUCCUAGGGUGGGGAUGUUCACUACCACGGGUCCAUUAGGCACAGCGCAAGCCGAACUAACUAUGGGUAGGUCCUACAUGAUUGGAAUAUUAUUGAACGAAAAUGCAAGGUAAAUAUUUGACAAGUUAGUCAACAAUGACAUUUUUACUAGUUGUGCUUGUGGAUAGUAUGUUGUUUAUGCAUGCACAUAUUCAUGUUAGAAUGGCACUUGCACUUAUGCAUAAUCAUGCUAAGUAGAGGCAUAGUAGUUUACAUGCUUUGUUCAUGAUUAAUAUACAUGUUACUCAUUCUAUUUACACAUUAGAAUUUACUACUUUUGCUCUUAGCCUAGUGGUGCAUUUCACUGAAGUCAGUAAUUGCCCACUGGGAACUAUUGUUUAAUAGUUCUCACGCCCUUGUUUUAUGUUUUUCUUUCAGAGCCCUCUACACCGGUGGAGGUACGGGAUCGUGGCAAAGGGAUCGCUUAGCUAGCUUUGGAGGAGCAUAGUUUUUGUUGCUUCUAGGUGGUUCUCUCUCUACUUUGGAGGAGCAUAGUUUUUGGCAAAGGGAUCGCUUAGUUUCGAUCACACGGAGGCUUCAGAAACUAGACAACAAGUCCAAAGGGUCACAAACAGUGACCGCACGCUACUCGAGGCAAUCCAUAGUGCCUUAUUUGCAAAAUGGCCCCUAAAGACCAACUAAAUACAAUAUACAUAAAACAGUGCGAUAUUUAGGGUCAUUACCGAAACCGCACACCUUUUGGAUGGAGCAAGGUCACGUGCUGAUAGAUCUCAACAUGUCAGACACUCACUUCCAGAGUGCAAACAGUAGCAGAGGAGUGCGACGAGCUUCUCCAAAUUCAGCAACAUAGUGGCUCCGAGAGCGGGGGAGCUAAACCUCUGCGAUGGACGGUCACCGGCAGCAACGAAGGUGAGCACGGUGUUUAGCGGGUGACGAGGAUCACCGUGCUCACUUCCAGGAAGAUCGAAAAGCUUUGGAUUGACAAAAAAUAUGAACGGAGCAAAAUCAUGCCCUAGGCAGCCAAAAAGGGAGCACAGGGGGCUCCGGCCGGCUUCCGACGGCCUGCCGGCAUGCGCUCCUCCUGCGAAGCAUCAGCCUAGGCAUGAUCUCUCUCUCUCUAUCUCUCUCCCUCUCUCUCAAUAUAUAUAUAUUGGGAUAAUUGCCCAUUUACCCCUCAAAACUUUGAAAAUAUCUCAUUUACCCCUACUUUUUCCAAUAUAUCCCUUAUAUGUUCCUUCGUUAUUCCAAACUACCCCUGCAGUUACCACCCAUUAAGUUAACUUGGGUUAAACGUGAGUUAAAUAUCUAUCACAGUUAAAAAAAAUUAAAAUGCUACUUUUGCUCUUAACUUAAGGGCAAAUAAGAAAUGUUGGUGAUGGUAGAAGAGCAUAAUUGAAAAGACCAAAAAGCAAAAUACUUUUUGUGCCCCUAACUUAAGAGCAAAUAAUAAAAGUCAGUGAUGAUAGAAGGGUAUAUUUGAAAGGAAAAAAUAGUAAUUUCAUAGAGAUAAUAGAGUUUAUUAACAGAUUUUAACUCUAGAGGUAUAUUUGAAACAGGUUGGAACGUAAAAGAGCUAUUUUUAAUAUUAGCCUUCUAAGAGGGAUAAAUCAAAAAGUCGAAAAUUUUUUAGGGGCAUAUAAGCAAUUGCCCCUAUAUAUAUAUAUAGAGGUGGUCUCCUCUGGUGGAGGCCAGGGACGGUGCUGCCUGCGCCACCACUCCACCGGUGUCAUACCCACGUCGUUGAUCUCCCAACCUGAGGCUCCUCCACCUGUGGGGCCGCUAUCCCGAGUCGUCGACCGAUCUCCAUCUUAUUCGCUAUCCUCUUGUGCUUGAGUCGCCACCGCCGCCACUGCCGUCACCCCACACGGCUUUAGCGACUCCUCUAGGCCAGCCAGUGGCCCUCCCGAGGUGGCUCGGCCCUCUGGACAGCUCCACGGCUUCCCAAACUAUCGCACUUAUGUUGCUGGUGUAGUUGGCUGCCCUAGUGCUGUUGGCCCCUCCGAUUGUUGCUGCUGUCACUGCGGUCGGCUAGAGCACAUCCUCGGUGACCCUCAGUCGCUAACUAAAGUCAUUUGGCCCUUCUUUGAUUGGUGGGGAGGCUUCCCUAGGCCUUGCUCUUGCUAAUACUGCUUGAGGAUUGGUGGUGGCCAAGACUGCUUCCUAGGCUGUCGUCGUCGCCGCCGCUGGCCUGAGAGCGCGUAUCGGUGCCUCUCCUGUCACGCCCCGAGACCACCAAUUUGGUCGGUUCGGGCUCGUACUGUUAAGGAUUUUAUAGGUUAGCGAAUUUCGUAAUGUUGAAUGGAGUCUUGAAGAGUUGAUUGCGGAAGAUUGAAGAAAAGGUCUAAAUUGAAAAACAAAGACUCACUCGUAAAGUUCGGUACCUAAGGUAUGAGGAAAAGAUCAUUUGUGAUGAAGAUACUUAAUUAGAAUAAGUUCAGAAGGCUUAGAUUGCUUUAAAAAUAUUUUACUGAACUUUUCUGUGUUCAGGGACCGGUCCCUGAGUUCAAGAGACCGGUUCCCCUAAGGUCCUCACUGCGUGAGCUUUGAUGCAACCGGUCCCCUGAGAUGAGAGACCGGUUCCCGAACCUUGGUAUUUCUGUCGCGCAGCGAGGGACCGGUCUCAAGCUUGAGAGACCGGUUCCCGAACGUUGUGAUUUUGGUCACGCAGCGAGGGACCGGUUCCUCACUUGAGAGACCGGUCUCUCACAGACCGGUCUCCUCGAGAAGACCGGUCUCUGAGGACGACACAGGUUUUUAAAAAAGACUUUUUGCAAUCCUAGUCUACUUCUAAGUCUUCUAAACAUAUAAAUAAGCUAUGUGGGUCAUCUUAAAGUUUAAGGCUUUAAAUAUUUACUGAUUCUAAACCCUAGAAACUUGUUUUUCCGUUUCGAUGAUUCUAUUCACAUAACAAGUUUCGGAAAAAUCAACAAUCGACGUGAUUCUUCGAUUUUACUCGAGAUCUUCUUUGAGAAUCAAGUUGAUAUUUGAUUAGAAGAUGAACCCUCAUAGCUUAUGGUAUUCAAAGAUUAAAUCACCACAGAUCUUCUAUUCUACAAGCUCCGGAAGGAGGUUCGGCGCGUGGAUCUCGCGUGAAGCCGAGGAUUCGGUGGACGCUUCGAGGAGUUGAGGCGUUGACGCUGCGAGGAGUUGCAGCAAGGUCGAUUGGUGGAUUCCUAUCGAUCGAGGACCGGCGAAGAUCAUCAUCAACAAGAAAUCGAUAAAUUGAGUCGUGUAUUUUUGUCAAAAUCACUUGUACUCAAGUUUUCUUAGUGGAUUUUCUUCGCGUGAUCGGUCCCGUGGGUUUUUCACUCCGAAUUGGAGUUUUCCUACGUUAAAUUCUCGGUGUCCUGUUUUAUUUUCCGCUACUUUAUUUUAUUUGCAUCAAGAUUUUCAAAUUUACCGUUUUUACACCUAUUCACCCCCCUCUAGGUGUUACUUACCUUUUAGAUCCUCGGGAUCCAUAUCUUUCACGUAUAUAGAUGCCGAAUGAACAGAACCUCCUCUGUUCUCUUAAGGCUCAACAAUAACAACUAAACAUGUAUAAUGAAAUGCCCAGGAAAAAAAUUUUAAUAUACAUGGCUUACAUGAGGGUAAGCAACACAAGCAGGUGAAAAUAAACUAACUAAACCAUUCAUACAUCGUAUCUUGAUUACUUUAAAUCAAAUACAAAGCUUACCAUUUGUUACAUACAUUCUUUAACAUUUACAUUGCCAUCUCUCAAAAGAAUAAUUUACAUUUCUUUUCAUCAACUAUAAACAGAUGAAAUAUACAAGGUACAACUAUACUCAAUGGAUGUCGCUAUCUAUGGCGAGCUAUCCCUGUCACGAUCCUCAACCACCCCGCACGAGUUAAAACCUGCAUGGUUAGUGGGGUGAGAACUACUGAAAGUUCCCAGUGGGUUCGGCUGUCGACCACACCGACUCACCCACUAGGUUUAUUUAGGCAUAUGUAGGCAAGAAAAGAGAACAGAUAGUAACCAACUAUAUCAUGUAACUAUUACAAUGCCUGUACAAAGCUGGAAAGAACAAUAUAUAACUUAUGGAGUUUAUGCAUGCAUGCUAUCAUAUAUCAUUACCCAAUCAAUUUAGUUAACCCCAUAAUUAACUGCAACUCACUAAUUAAAUCUCUUUUUGUUGGGGAGACUUUUCCUUUCGCCCGACGGGACCGUCUACUGGGGAGCCCAAACCUGCUUCCCACCCAGUUGAUGACCACUCCGGAGCUCAUCGCCCAAGGAGGAGCGACCUUUACCUCGAGCAUUAGAUUACUUGUGAGUAUGAUCCAGUCCUCGUCUUCGAGGAUAUACUGACAAUGCCACACUUUAACUAGCUCUUUAUGCUAGGUUUACAUAUCCAACUCUAGAUGCUAAUCAAUUUAUCUAGUUCUAAUGCUACACAUUUUACAAGUUCAUUUUCCUUGUUUGACAUUCACAAUACUGGGUGCUAUUUAUGCAAUCUAUUCAUAAUGUCACUUUGUCACUAUUUAAUAGUUCAAUACAAGUUCAAACAUCUAUAGGGUUCUAUGUUUAUUAGUCAUUGUCCAACUGUACUUUGCUUCCAAAGCACACAAAUAGACCACAUGUCAAUCUAAUCACAUAUUAAGCUCAACCCUAGAAUGCAUGAAUAUAAACUAAAUAUAUACAAUCCAUAUAUGCUCAAGAAAAGUGAUAUAAACAUAAUAGGUCAUUCGAUGACUUCGGAAAGCACCACCCACCUUUAAAUGAUGCCGGAAUGCGAGAAAUACACUUCCCGCGAUUUAUGAACAACCACAAUCCUCGCUCGUGACAAACGAAGCUAAAAUGAGGUUUUUCUCACUAGCUUGCCGUAGGCUCAUUGGAACGCCGAUCCGAGCUUUCGAACGCAUCGGUUUUAUCUUCAAUUAGGAUUCCACGCGACCAAUUUCAAGCUAAAGCUUCAAUCCUACAAAGUAGCACUUUUAAACUUUAGCUCUACAUAGCCUCUAUACAACCUGUUACUAUACAAUUAUCACAAGAUUAUAUAUAAACGACCCAACUCUUACAACCCAAGAGCCUCAAAACUCCUUAAUUCAGGGGACUUACAUCACUUCCCUAAUCAUGGAUUACAAAAUACUGCCCUUAUUCCCAGCUGCCAAGCUAACACACAACUCAUAUAUCUCUUUCUAUGCUUCUAUACUAAAAACAAGCUAUAACCAAGAAAACUCAACUCAACCCUUUCUAAGGUAACUAGAACAACCUUAUCAUAGCAAUAUCAUCACUUUACUUCAGGUUUUAACUAUAUCGGUCACGCCCUAGGACCGGCCCAUUUGGUCGGUUCAGGCACGUCGAACAGACGCCGAACGGACAGUAUCUCUCCUGUCCGCCCAAGGCUCAACACAAGUACAAAUCGAGUAUGAAGUUUGCACAUGCGGAAACAUAAACAUAUAUGACUUGCACGAGGGCAAGCAAUAGCCAAAAGUGAAAGAUUCUAACUAAACAUCCAUACAAGUACAAUGAUUAACUUUUAACCACAUACAUGCAUUCAACAUUUAAAUUCUUUUACAUUCUUUUUAUCAUUUCUUUUACAUCACAUGAUCUCAAAAUGUACAUUUCUUCCAAGAUAUAAGCUUUUUACUUUCAUACAUCAUUUACUUGCAUUCUUUAACUCUCGUUAGUGUUACAUACACUAAAUGUUCUUUAUACUCAUUCUCAUGCAUUUAUUGUUCUCAUUAAUGCCACACCACUAAGUGUUCAACUUUAGCAUUCAUGACUCACUAAUGCCACACAACUAAGUGUUCAACUCUAGCAUUUUCUUGUAUUCAUGUCAUAAUGUCAGUCACUAUAUUCUUUGCCUCAUCUAGGUUCUUGUCCAAUCAUACAUUCAUAGAGUUCAUAAGUUUUUAUUAGUUUACAACCAUCUCAUAUGCAUUUGUACUCACAACAUGCAACAUUAUACUCUCAAAUCAACCCUACAAUGCAUGAUGCUCAUAUAUACACAUAUGCUCAAGAGUGACACUUUAGACAUAAAAGAAAAUUCAAGGAUUUCGGAUAGCGCCACCCACCUCGUAGGGUUGCUAAGGUAUUACGGUUCGAAUUCCGUGAUUUUUAGACGUCUAUUCUCUUGCCUGCGGCAAAACGAAGCCAAAAUAGGCUUUUUCCCCAAUAUCCUUGCGUAGACUCGUCGGAUCCUCGAACUGAGUCACCAACGCGUCGGAAAUACCUUCAAUUAGGUUUCUACAAGGUCAAUUUACAUUUAAACCCAUCCAUGACAAAAGCUCCAAUUUUGGUGCCCUAAUAUUGCACUAUAGCAACAUAUACCUUGUGGAUUUGGGAGAUAAGCAAAAUCAAGCUUAAAUUAUCUAGAGAUCCAACAAAAAUCAUUUCUACGUCAUUUGAACCAAACCCUAGAAAUCUACCGCGAGUGCUUAUGAAGCUUACCUCAAGAAGCUUCCUUUUCUUGAGCUAAGGAAGAAGAAGAAGAAGUUGCUUCACUCCUUUGCCUUCUUCUCCACCAAAUCCUCCUUCAAAUCUCCCCUUCAAACUCCUCCAAAAGCUCCUAGAGAGAAAGGGAGAAGAAUGAGAGACGAGGAUGGGUUCACUACUGUGAACAAGAGAGAAGGGGUUGUGGUAUUUUUAUAAGCUGCCACAAUAGCAAAUAAACCCUUCAACCAUUUCUAUUUGUAGCAGACUCACCCUGCUGUUCGCAGCACUACGUACCGGUAUGCGGGAUGGCAUCACCGGUACGCCCCUAUUCAACUGCCCAAACCCGAGAGCUGCUGUUCUCGGGUUGCUGCGGGGUACCGGUACACAUCGAGGUUGUCACCGGUACGUCGCACCGCAGAGGCCAAACCCGAGAGUUUCUAUCCUCGGGUUGCCUGCCUGGUACCGGUACGCAUCAAUGUUGUCACCGGUACACAGGGCCUAUACUGCAGUUUUGGCAGUACUUCACCUCUAUUUCGCGCCGAGCACUGCUAAAACUCUUCCAUCACACUUGGAACUCAACAUCAACCUUUCCAACAUUAUGGGAAUGUCAAUUGGAUUUUGUCCAACUAUCUCUCUCUACACACUUUAGUCAUUUUGACUAAAAUUCGAUAUAACCUACCGAGUUUCGGUAUAUUACACAGUACUUGACGGCUCACCUUUGGUGUGCGAUCUACUAGAUGAAGAAGUAUUACUUGUUGAGGAUAAACAACCAUACUGGGAUAUGUAUUUCGACGGAGCAUCUUCUAUCCAACCUGCAUAUAGCUCGAAUAUUUCGCAAGUAAGGGCAGGUGUUAGUCUAAUUUUUGUGACACCAGAGAGAGGAAUCUUGCGAUAUUCUCUAGUGCUUUCUGAGCCUCGUACAAAUAACGAAGCUGAAUAUGAAGCCAUAAUUGCGGGAUUAGAAAUAUCCAUCUUCAUGAAUAUACAAUGGCUACACAUCUAUGGAGACUCUCAACUAAUCAUUAAUCAAGUGAUGGGUGAAUAUAGAGUUCAUAAGCCAGAAUUGACAAAAUAUCAGAAAAAGGUGCAAGAACUCAUGAAAGAAAUGCUAAGCGUCACGCUGGAAAGGGUCUCCCGAACUGUAAAUGGGAAGGCUGAUGCUCUGGCUAGACUAGCUAAAGAAUUAGCUGAUCCUGAUCUUGAUGAAGUCCACGUAACCAUUAAAAAUAGGAAGAUCCUAUCACCAGCAAAUUUGAAUCCUGAAGAAGAAUCAAAAGAAAUUCAGAAGGCGAAUACGCUAAAUAUUGAAGUGGAAGAUGAUUGGAGGGAACCUUUCAUUAAUUAUUUCAAAUACAACGAACUCCCUAAAGAAAAGCCAAAACAAGUUUAGUUGAAAAAGAGGGCGAUGCGGUUCGCUUUCGUGAAUAAUACUGUCACGCCCCGAUCCCGAUCCUUUUGGGAGGUUCGAGAGCGUCAAACAGACGCCGAAUGGACAGAGCCUCCCCUAUUCGCCUAAGGCUCAACAACAGGUACUGAUAGAGUAUAAAGUUUGUAUAAGCGGAAGCAUACACAAUGGCUUGCACGAGGGAAAGCAAUAGCCAAUAGUGAAAGAAGUAAACUACGCUUAGAAAUCAUUUACAAUUUUGCAUCAUUUCUUCUCUUUUACAUCACAUGAUCACAAGUAUAAAUUCAUGCAUUUAAAUAUAAAGUCUUUAACAACAUUCAUGUUCUGUUUUUUCUUUAACAUCUAUAAUCAUCAAAUACAAAAGAUGAUAGUAAAGGGGAUGCAACUACAAAAUAUGAAACCAUCUCGGGAGGUCUCUAACUAGGGCGCGAUGCCCUUACCGCGAUCGUCAGCCGGCUCGCUUGGUCCCGGCUCUAUGGAAAUAGGGGUGUGAGAACUACAACAAAGUUCCCAGUGGGUUCGACAACCAACCACGCUGACUAUCCCACUAGGUCUAAUCAGGCAUAAUAGAAUAGAGGAAAGAAAGUAACCAACUAACAAAUGCAACUAAUAUGCCUGAACAAUAUAAAAUACGAUGCUCGAUAUAAUGCUCAUGAUGAAUGCAGGAUCACAAUUCCUUUACCCAAUCUCUUGGCUAACCCGUAGGUUUCGCCCUCAACAAACUCACCAACCCAAAAUCCUGAUAACCGGGGAGAUACCUGCUACAACCCGAUAGGACCGUCCUCUGUGGAGAUACCUGCUACAACCCAGUGAUGUCGACUCCGGAGCACAUCGCCCGAGGAUGAGCUACCACCCUCGAGCAAGGACUAUAGGUGAGUACGAUCAAUUCUACAUUGAGGAUUUCAAGUUCAAUCCGUUCCUUAACUUUAAGAAAGACCAUGCUCAAAUGACCUUUAACUCUAAGGUUGAAAUGUCACAAUAUCUCAAUCAUUCUUUUCUUUGCAUUCUUUACUAUCACUAGUGUUAUAUACACUACUAAGUUCUUGUACUCAUGCCACACUUGUUUUCUAAGUGCUAUGUUCUUAUUCUCAUGCCAAAUGCCACACUUGUUUUCUAACUGUUCUAGACUCAUCAAUGCCACUCGUUAGAUCUAUGUUAUGGUGUCCCUUUUGUUUACUAACCCUUCUAGGUUCUUGUCAUAUUCAUGCAUACAUAGGGAUUAUCAUUCUCUCAUUCCUACAAGUAUUUAACAUGCAUUUGAAUUUACAUCAUGCUAUAAAAGUUCACAAUUCAACCCUAUUAUGCAAAAUGCUCAAAUAUGUACAUAUGCUCAAAACAUGACACUUAGACAUAAAGGGAUUUUCGAGAUCCUUGGAAUGCACCACCCACCUUAGAAAGUUGAGAGGAUGUUAUGGUGAAUUUCUUGGGAUUUUUUAAGCUUUACUUUUUCGCCUGCGGCAAAACGAAACCGAAUUAGGCUUUUUAUCAAUAACUCCUUCUAAACCUUUUCGUAACGUUAAACGGAGUUGUCCCACGCAUCGAGGACACCCCCAAUUAGGUUUCUACGGAGUCAAUUUGCCUUAGAAACACUCGGAGGCAAAAGCCCAAAUUUGGUGCCCUAACCAAACCCAUUACUAAACCCUAGGUUUUGAUCUCUAAAACAAGCAAAAGAGAGCUUGUCUAACCUCUAGGAGCUCAUUUAGAACAAUCCCAACCAUCUCUAGGGCUUAGAAUGCAAACCCUAGAAAUCCCCUAUUAGAGCACCAUGAAGAAAACUAGGGUUUCAUGGUGUUCAUGGCUCUAACAUGCUUCUAAAACCUCUAAGAAGCUCAAAACUCCAAAACUUAGGGUUUAAAUCCUAACCCUAGAAGAUAUCUUGCAAAACCUUACCUCUAGUCCCAAGCUCUACCAAGGCCUUCUUGUAGGAGAGCUUCUAGUUCUUCAAAUUCUUCCAAAAUCCCUUCUCCAAGCUCCUUCUCUUUCUUCUCCUUGCUCUAGGGCAACCUUCUAGAGAGAGAAAGAGGAAGAAAUGAGAGAGAGAUGUGUGUGUGUUUGCUGUGAAGAGGGGAGAGGAUUGGUAUAAUACAUGUUGCUACAAUAGCAACUAGGCCCCUCAACUUUAUUUCCAGUGCACUGCCCAAACUGGGCAUUUUUCAUAGUAAGGGACCGGUCUCCCCGACCUGGGACUGGUCCCCGAGAGCUUCUCCCGCGGACUGCGCAGGCUGCGCGCGAUGUAACCGGUCUCCCUCAAUGGGACCGGUCUCUGGGGACCGGUCUCUCUUCGUAGGGACCGGUUCCCGAGAGCUGGUUUUCUAGGACUUAGCCGAUUUCUCAGCCUCCCUCGCUGCCUACGCGUUCGAGGACCGGUCUCUCCCACCAAGGACCGGUCCCCGAGAGCACAAAACCUGCAGUUUGCAAAUUUUGAUUUCCAAAAGCUCUCGAAGAUCCCCAGUAAUGCAUUUUUGCAUUAUUUGACGCCUUCGGCCUUUGCGAAGUGUACCAACCUCGCACUUUGGUCAAUUUAACCAAGGUUCAAAUUUAAUUACCGAGGUUUCGGUAUGUUACAAAUACACUCUAUAGGAGGUCCUAUGAUCAGUUAUGGCUGAAGUGUAUAUCGCCAGAAGAAAUCAAACAGGUCAUGCAUGAAGUCCAUUCGGGUGUAUGCGGUGCACACCAAUCUGGCCCCAAAAUGCGCCUCAAUAUUAAACGCCUAGGCUAUUACUGGCCUACAAUGGUUCAAGACUGUAUAGAAUAUGCUAGAAAAUGUCAUCAAUGCCAAAUCCAUAGCGAUUUUAUUCAUCAACAUCCAAAUCCUCUACACCCAACGGUUGCUUCUUGGCCGUUCGACAUGUGGGGAACAGAUGUCAUAGGGCCAAUUAACCCUCCUUCAUCCCGAUGGCACAAAUUUAUUCUUGCCGCAACAGAUUACUUCUCAAGAUGGGCCGAGGCUAUUCCUUUGAGAGACGUGAAAGCGGAUAAUGUCAUGAGAUUUUUUAGAGAAAAUAUUUUGAACCGAUUUAGGGUUCCUCGUCGAAUUAUUUCUGACAAUGGCUCGGCCUUCAAAAGUUUUAAGGUCAGCAGAUUCGCCUCCCACCACAAGAUCGACUGGCGAUAUUCAUCAAUUUAUAAUCCAAGAGCUAAUGGUUUGGCCGAAACCUUCAAUAAGACUCUAGUUAAACUUAUGAAGAAAAUUAUUGGUAAAAAUAAGAGGGAAUGAGAUGACAAGAUUUCAGAUGCACUUUGGGCUUACCGAACAACUUUUAAAACCCCUACUCAAGCCACACCUUAUUCUUUGGUUUUCGGAACGGAAGCUGUCCUUCCUCUGGAAAUAGAGCUACCAUCACUAAGGAUGGCGGUUCAACACGAAAUGACGAAUGAAGAAAUAUCUUCUUGAGACUUGAUGAACUAGAUUCUCUAGACGAGAUGCGACUGGCUGCGCAACAGAACCUAGAACUUUAUCAGUCUCAAAUGUCAAGGGCUUACAACAAACUGGCACGUGUCCGAACUUUUCAGGCAGGAGAUCUGGUACUAGUUCACCGAUGGCCUAUAAUUAUAAACAGACAUGCUGCGGGCAAAUUCGAUCCAAAUUGGGAAGGUCCCUACAUUAUAGAAAAAGUAUACGAGGAGGGAGAUUAUCAACUAAUUGAUGCAAAAGGAGAAAGGCCAAUGCCGCCGAUCAACGGCCGAUUUUUGAAGAAAUACUAUCCGUAAAAAAAAAAAAAAACGAAAAAGAAAAAGAAGAAGAGAAAUUCGGCUGUGAAUAAAUCUCACAAGCAAAAAUGGAAUCCCCGCUGUGAGAAAACCUGCAUUUGGCUCACAGGCAAAAGUUAGGGGAAAGGUCUCUAGCGAAAACCCUCACAGGCGCUAGCUUCCAAUAAACCUAAUAUGUCUGCCAAUUUGGAUAUUCUCCGCCGACGAUGGAAUGCUAACUCACCCUUUGGGGUCGGUUAAGCACAGCAAUCUCAAUAUACCGAGUUACUUCCGGAGGCCAAAUAAACUCAAUAAUAUUCUUUGUUUCCUUUGCCAACGAUGGAAUGCUAACUCACCCUUUGGGGUCGGUUAUGCGCAGCAAUCUCGAUAUACCGAGUUGCUUCCGGAGGUUAAAUAAACUCAACAAUAUUCUUUGUUUUCCCUGCCGACGAUGGAACGCCAACUUUUAUCUUCCGCACCAAUAAAGAAAUAUUGAUCCACCAUGUGAGGUUAAAUGUGCAACAAGAUAUCGGCAAAUUGACUUUCCUCCAAGAAUAAAAGACUUGUCCAAAAAAAAAAGAAAAAGAAGAAGAAGAGAGGGCUUGUAAAAAGAAGAAAUAAUAAUAAUAAAAAAUUUCACCUUUUUUCUGCUCGUAUAAACACACACAGCGAAAGGUGGGGGGCACUUUGUUCGAAUUUAAAAAAAAAAGAAUAAAAUUACAUUCAACUUUUCUUCCUUUCUUCAAAAAAAAAAAAAAAUCCCUCUUGUUUCCAAAAAAAAGGGAAAGAAAAAAAGAAUUACCAAAAAAAAAGGGAACGAAAAACAAAGGAAAGAAAAAAAAAGAAAAGAAUAAAAAAUAAAAAAAAAAGAAGAGAGAAAGGAAAAGAAGAGAGAAAAGGAAAGAAAGCAAAAAAUAAAAGAAGGACAGGAAAAAAAAUUUCUUUAUUAUUUCAAAAUAAAUAAAAAAAGGAAGAUAUCUAAAAGUAGUAUUAAAUACUUAAAUUCCUUAUUAGAUGUAAGGAAUAAUAAAAUUCCCUUUUUAGAGAUAUAUUGUCACGCCCCGGGAUCGCCAAUUUGGUUGGUUCGGGUACGUCAACAGACGCCGAACAGACAUCACCUCCCCUGUCCGCCCAAGGCUCCAACAACAAGUAUAAUACAAGCAAUUAUACAAGAUUUGCUCGAGGGCAAACAACAACCACAAUAGUGAAAGCUCUAAGCUACUACUAUAAACAUACAACCACAUACAUGUCAUUUGAUUACAUUUCAAUUAAAUACAAGUAAACUAUACAAUUACAUUCAUUAUUUUCCAUUCAUUUACAUCAUAUAGACAUUCAACCAAAAUAUAAGGUUUACAUCUUUUUACAUUUCUAGUUCGACAUACAAAAGUUGAAUAUAUACACAGGGAAUGCCUAUAACUCUGGUGGCCGCUAACUACGGCGCUAAUCCCUUGUCUCGAUCCUCCGCCGCCCCGCUCGCGCAUGGAUCUGCAGGCUUAGUGGUGGUGUGAGAACAAAAAGAAGUUCCCAGUGGGUUCGGCCGCUGACCUCACUGACUCGCCCACUAGGUCUAUUCAAGCAUAUAUAUUUCAAGAAAAGUAGAUAGCAAUCCAAGUAAUGCUACUAAUACAAUGCCUACAAGAAAGCUGUCAACAGAUAGAUAAUUAUGUAUAUGCUAAUUAUGUAUGCAUGCUUGUCCUCAUUCUCUUUGGCCUUUACUUAAUCAUUCCGGGGUGCUCCUGGUUUACCCCAAACUCACAAUUCUAAAUUCCCAUCUACUGGAGGAGGCACAUAGCACUACUACCCGAGGGAACAAUGACGGGGCACUCUUCCUGUGGUGUCUACACUCCAGAGUACACCGCUUGAGGAGGAGCCACCUCCCACAAGCCAAAUCCACUGUGAGUACGAUCCGAUCCUCGAAUUGAGGACGUAUUGCCACAUUUGCCACAAUCCACGAUGCCAACAAUAGGUUGCUACCUUAUCAUUCAUACCAUUCACUAGUGCCACAAUAGGUUAAAACCUUGUUUAGCCAUUCUCAUUCACGGUGCCAAUCUCAUCACUAAUGUCAAUGUCACUUUUGUUUACUAUUGUCAUAGUCUCUUUCAUACAUUCACACACAUAUAGGGUUUUUACAUUCAUAGUUCUUAUGGUUCUAUGUCAAUUCAUAUGUUCUCUAUGCAUACAAUUGAAUCUCAACCAACAAUAUACAUCCCACUACCCUAUAUGCAUGAAUGCUACAAUACCAAUAUGCUCAAAUAAGGAAACACAGACAUAGAAGAAAAUUCAGUGAUUUCGGGUAGCACCCCCCACCUUGUAGGAAUGCUAGAAUGCCACGAUCCCAAUUUCGUGAUUUUUAGACACCUACGCCGCGAGUUGCGGCAAUUUGUACCAAAACAACCUUUUUCCUCAAUUUCUUCGCGCACACUCGUCGGAUUGCCGAAGCGAGCGCACCAAUGCGUUAGAACACCUACCAACUCGUCCGACACCGCGCUCCGCUCAUUUCGACGGAACUCGGCACAAUUCACGGGGAUGCGAUAUGUUAUAUUUUUCACCCCUUAAAAAUAGUUUCAUCCAUGAAACUCGACACAUACCAUAGCUGACUUGCUCGAACAAGUGAGGAUAAGUCUCGUGCAUCUUUUUCUCGAGUUCCCACGUGGAUUCACGCCUCGAGUGAUUACUCCAUUGCACUUUCACAUACGGAAUAGUCCGAUUCUGUAGCUUCCGCUCCUCUCGAGCAAGAACACUCACCGGGAAUUCUUCAUAAGUGACAUCUUCGUGCAACUCUACCGGCUUAUACUCCAACACAUGUGAGGAGUUGCAAAAAUACUUGCGGAGAUUCGAUAUGUGGAACACAUUGUGCACUCCCGCAAGUUUCGGCGGUAACGCUAACUUGUAUGCCACUGGCCCGAUCCGCUCGAGAAUCUCAUACGGUCCAAUAUAUCGGGGACUAAGUGUCACGCCCCGGGACCCGGCAUAGGCCCGCCUGGUGCGUGCCCAGACCUGCCAUAUGCCUGCACAUAUAAGCCGUCUACAACAACAGAGAUAAGAAAGUGAGGAGAAAUAGAGUCACUAAAGAUAUCAGAGCAACUAACAGCUAAAGUCUAAUAACAAGUAGAGUAAAAGAGCGUAAUUCACUAAAGUAAACAUGAAGAAGUACAAUAAUCAUCUCAAAGUACUACAAAAAUGGGGUGGUCUCUAUACAUGGAUACAACUCUCAACCUCUCAAAAAAAAAUAAAACAAAAGAGAGGUAGACCACCUAUCGAUCGUCCCUCGGCAACAAGCUAGCUCGAGGCGAUACCCUUACCGCGGUCCCUAGCCUUGCCCGGAGUGGAAGGCUCUGAAAUAAAAGCAUGAAACAGAGGUGUCACGCCCCGGGAUCCAGUGGAAGCCCGCCCGGCACGUGCCCAGACCCGCCAUACGUCUAAAACGCAUAAGGCGUCUAACAACAACAAUAAUAAAAACAAUAAUAAAAGACAUAUAGGAGUAUCAGAGCAUAAAAAAUGUCUAAAUGCUACAACAAGGAAUAAGGAUAAAACUGUAAAUUCACUAAAUAAAACAUAAAGUGAGUACAAGGAAAACCCAGAUACAAGUGCUAAGGUAGAUACAUAGGUGGUCUCUAUACAUGGUACAAAACUCUCACUCUCUCAACUACAAAAGAAAGAGUAAACCACCUAGGCAAGUACGCUCCUAACUAGCUGGCUAAGCGAUCCCCUUGCCGCGAUCCCGUGCCUCGGCCGGUGCCGAAGGCUCUGAAUAGUAAACCAUAAAACAGGGGCGUGAGAACUAUUAAAAAUAGUUCCCAGUGGGCAAUUACUGACUUCAGUGAAUGCACCACAAGGCCCAAAGCUACAAAAUAUGUCAGUGACUAUAAAAGUAGAAAGGCGAAAGGUACGUAAAAAUGUAACUUACUACAACAUGAUAUCUCUACUUAGCAUAAAUAGCAUAAGUAUGAAAGCAACUAUGCAUGAAGUAAAAGUCUCCCACUAUCAUAAUGUUCACGAUGCGAAAUAGUAAAGUUCCGUUGUUUACUAUUCUAGUCAAUGUCCAAGUAGUACACUAAGUCAUCAUCUGUCCACAUAUCAUAAUGGAUACACAAAGUAAAAUCUGAAGAGACCCACCCGAAGGCUGUCUAUGGCCCUGAGACCCACCCGUCUGCUGUCUGGCCGGUUCGGAGCCUGUUGAGUCACCAAGUGAGUGAGUGCCUCAAGCUGGCCCCUCCACUCACGGACUUCGCUUGAUCCGGAGGUAGCGGAGGUCUCGACCUCCUCGAAGUUUGCCGCAUUGUCCGCCCCGGCGGAUUUGGAUCGCGUAAUCGGCAUCGUCACUACAAAACAUAAAAGCGCAAGUUAGCCGGACUUACGCUAUGGCAUCGCCGCUCACAAGACAUGUGCGAAAUGAUGCGCAAUGUCAAGUAGUGUUAUCCACAACUAUCUGUCGCAUGUUACGUUGUCGUCACGUCUACGUAACCCUCCGCGAAUUUAGUAACCAAGUAUCUCCAAUGGACUCUAUCUUUUUAGAGUUAUCAUGUCUCUCAAUCAUGGUACUUUCGCUGAUAAGUCGAAUAGACCUGGUCUCUCACUAGCCUAUUUCUUAUGUUGCAGUUUGCCUAAGGUUUGCUAGUUCCCCUAAGUGUCAACCCUUGGCUCUGAUACUCAAUUGUUCUGUCAUGUCCCGGGACCCAGUGGCAGCUCUGUUCGGCACGUGCCCAUAUUCGCCAUACGUUAUGAUCCUCAUAAGGGGUGUAUUUUCCACAAUAAUAAAAGCAAUAAUAAACGACUUUUCGGAGUAUGCAUAGCAUUCUACAUGUCUAUAUGCUACUACUAUGAAUAGUGAUAAUUUUCAUAAAUUCACUAAGUCAUGCAUUUAGUGAGUGCUCUGAAAAUCCAUAUACAAGUGCUAUUUAGCAUAGAAAUGAACUUAAAAAUAAUUUACAACAAGUAGAAAGAGCAUAGGGGCCAUUUCGCCCCAUUUCCACGAAGCCAAACCCACCGAUGACAACGAAACUCCUCGUGCGCUCCCACGAGGGUGUCCUCUAGUCUCCUAGUACCCUAGAGGUAUAGAAACAUGUGUCAUACGGGCCAAACGAACAAAACUUUGCUCAAUCAUUAAGCUAAUCAAACAUAGGCGAGGAAAACUCACCUCUAGUGCAAAAAUCUCCUCUAAAGCUCCAAAAUGAAGCUAGGGCUCAUCCAAUCCAACCUAAUGGAAGCCUCUAAUCCACUCAAUCAAGCUUCAAAAGCCCUAGAUUCAAAAUGCCCAAUUAAACCCUAAAUUUCCAUUUCUAGGGCUUGAUCUCACAAAAACCUCAAAUUAAGGAUCAAAGGGAGAAAUCAAGUCUCUAACCUCUCAAGAAGCUCCAAACUUAGCUCCAAUCCAAGUGGGGUGGGAGAUCUCCUCAGCCACAAGUUCCUCUCCAAGCUCUAAGCCAUCAACAAUGGUGGAGAAGCCACCAAGAUGCAAAAAGAGGAGAGAAAACCCAAUAAAAACCAAGCAAAAGGAGUAAAAAUGCAAAGGAAGGGAGAGGGAGCUCCUCCUACCUCAACUCCUGCUGGUCUCUGCACAGGGGAGGCCCCAAGGGGCGUGGGGUGCACUUAUAGAAGUGCUACAAUAGCAAAAACACCCCUGCAGACCAAACUGCACGAAAUCUGCCUCCUUGUACCGGUACACGGGUUCUUGUACCGGUACAAGGCCGACGAAAUUGUGACCCGAGGCUCGGGUCGUGCGGUCUGCGGCUCUGUACCGGUACAAGCCCGAUGGCUGUACCGGUACAACCAUCAAUCCUUGUACCGGUACAAGACCAGUCUUGUUCCGGUACAAGCCCUGCUGUAGGCUAUCCGAGGGCUGACCAAAAAUUUCAAUUUUGGGAUUUUGGUGCCAAGUCUCAAACCAACACCCUCGGGGUGCGUGCUAGGGGUCGGAACACUGUCAACGACCCUCCAAAAACUGUGGAAAGGCUCCACACACAGAUCAAACACUCGAAUCUUGCAAUUUGCUAAGAUCCAGUGUAUUACAAGAGGGCAUGAAAACUAUAACUUAUAGUUCCUAGUGGGCAAUUACUGACCUCAGCACCAUGCACCACUAGGCCCGAAAGAAAGAGGGUAAGUGAAAAGCAACAAUAUUAAUAAUAAUAAUAAACAAUAGUAAACCGCUGAAUUGAAAGCAUGUAUGAAAUGCUAUACUACUAUACCACGAGUAAAUACGAUGAAUAUCAAUGCUAUCAAGGUUAAGUCUGCCAAUGCAAGGUGAAUAUGCUCCUUCACGGCUACAAGUAUACUAUGAUGCAACAAGUAAAUAUAUCAAGUCUACUACAUGUCCCAAUACCUCGAAGCCAAACCAUGAGUAUGUCAAGUAAUCCAACUACCAUAAUCUAUCUAGUAGUGAUUCACAUUUAAGAUUUGAUGUCAAAGUUAAACCUUGUUUUAGGAUCUACACGAGUGUAGUCCAGCUUGUGCCGCCUAAGUGUCGGUGGUAGCCCCAGCAUUCCCACUCUGGGAAUGAGUCUAUCCCUCCCGACCCCGUAGGUUUCUCGAUACCUCACGAGCGAGCUUAAGUCGUGUAGGCUAACUUCGGAGUGCCGGCUUGUAGGGAGCGACCCUCACAUGCAUGUGCGAAUGAGAACAAAUGGCAAGCAAACAAGUCAUCGUAUCAAGUAUCCAAUCCUCAUGUCUCUAACAUGGUAAUAGUCACUAGUAACCCAACGGUCUAGUUCCAUGUCUCAAUGUGAUGUUCCAACACUCACUAGGCUUAGUGCCUCUUUAUGACACUUAAGCCUUGCUAUAAGUUAAGCACAUUUCAUAUUCUAUGUUCCAUUUAUGACAUUAAUACUAGGUUCAUUUAUAGCCCGAGCUCAGUGUCCCUUUAUGACAUUAGCCCAAUAAUUCUCAAAUAGUAUAAGUCCCCAAGCCUCUUUAUGGCUUACUAAAAUCCCUUGUGUCUCAAUUGGGCAUAGAUUUAAAUGCAUGCAAGCAAUGCUCAUUUUCACUAUAAGAAUCAUGGUCCCAAGUCCCGCACAAGAAUGCUAAAUGCAACAUAAGCCCCAUAUGCAAACUCUCUACUACAUAGAGGUCCGAAAGUUCAUUACACAUAACAUAGGCAUGUUAAGCAUUCUAAAGUUCACAAUAAAUAUAUCUAACAUGAAAAUGCAUGAAUUUCCACCGUACGACACAUAAAUCAUCAAAUAUGAGAAUUUUUCAUAUUUUAGGCUAGGUCAAACCCACCGAAUUUUGCGCAACCCUUCGUUUGCUCCAACGAAGAUAUCCGCCAAGCUCCUAGCACCCUAGAAGCAUCAAAAAGUGAGCUACAAGAAGUAAACGAAUAACUACUAGUUCAAUCAUUAACCAACUAGGCAUAGAGGGCUAAACUCUCACCUAUAGUGUAGAAAUCCCUCUCCAAAGCUCAAAUGGAAGUUAAACCCCUUCCAAAGCAACCUAAACCAAGGUUCUAAUCAAAUUAGAUUAGCUCCAAAAGCUCCAAAUUAAAAAGCGCCCAAAUAAACCCUAGAUUUCCCAUUCUAGGGUUUCAUCUCCCAACAACCAACAAAACUAGGUCUAGAGGGGAGAAAUGAGCAACUAACCUUCUUAGAAGCUCCUAACCAAGCUCCAAGAGUGAUGAUCUCCUCUCUAGCAAGCUCCAAGUCCAAGCCCUCAAGCACCAAUGGGAAGAAGAGAGAGAGAGGAAGAUGCUCCAAGUCCUCUAUUUGAUCUUAUCCUUCUCCUACCUUCCUUCUUCUCCUUCUCCUCUUUCUUCUCCUUCUCCUUCUCUAACAAGGGUGUGAGGAAGAGAAAUGAGGGAGAGAGAGAGAGAGAGAAAUGGCCAUAUAGGCCCUUUAAUGCAACAAAAUCCAGAAAAGCCCCUCAACUUUGCAACCAUUGCAAAGCCCGGUCUGGGCUGUUUUCGGGCAGAGGGACCGGUCUUUCCCACCAGGGACCGGUCCCUCAGGACCCUCCCGCAAACACGCGCUUGGGAACCGAUCUCUCUGACCAGGGGGAUCGGUUGCCUCGCAGUCUGCCGUAACCACAGCCGAUGGGACUGGUCUCUCCCAUCAGGGACCGGUCCUCGAGAGUAAAACUCUCAGGACUUAGCCAAAAAUCCACAAAUUUGAACCGUGGGUCAGAUCGCCGUCUACGACCCUCUACAAAGUGUGAAAAAGUUCGGAACCGACAUCAAACACUCGAACCUCGCAAUUUGCAAAGGUCCAGUGUGCUACACUAAGUUUCCCCCGAAUGCCAAACCGCUUCACCCCGCGCAUAGGCGAUACCUUGAGAAACACACAGUCACCAACUGCGAAUUCCAAAUCCUUUCGGCGCUUAUUCGCAUAGCUUCGUUGCCGCGAUUGUGCCGUCAACAACCUUUGGCGAGCAAGACGAACUUUCUCCUCCGCCUCUCGCAACACAUCCGGACCAAGGGUGACUCUUUCACCCACCUCGCUCCAAUGAAUAGGGGAGCGACACUUUUGUCCAUAUAGUGCCUCAAAUGGCGCCAUCGCUAUGCUCUCUUGAUAACUGUUAUUGUAAGCGAACUCCGCCAUCGACAAAUACUCGUGCCACCCUUCUUUAUAGUCAAGUACACAUGCUCGCAACAUAUCCUCGAGUAUUUGAAUUGUCCUCUCCGAUUGACCAUCACUCUGAGGAUGAAACGCUGUAUUGAAGUCGAGUCGCGUGCCAAGAGCGUCUUGCAAACUCUUCCAAAAAUGAGAAGUUAACCGGGGGUCUCGAUCUGACACAAUCGAUAAUGGAACCCCAUGCAAUCUCACUACCUUGUCCAAGUAGACUCGUGCUAACUUGUCUCCAGACCACGUGGUGUGGAUCGGCAAGAAAUGAGCCGACUUUGUCAAACGGUCCACCACCACCCAUAUAGCAUCAUGUCCGGCUUGCGAUCGGGGUAGACUGACCACAAAAUCCAUCGCAAUAUCCUCCCACUUCCACACGGGUAUUGAUAAGCUUUGCAACUUCCCUGCGGAAAACCGACGUUCCGCCUUUACUUGUUGGCACGUAAAGCACUGCGCCACAAACUCCCCAAUAUCUUUCUUCAUGCCCGGGUACCAAUAAUAUAGUUUCAGGUUCUUGUACAUCUUAGUGCCACCCAGGUGUAUACUAUACGGGGAAUGAUGCACUUCUUGUAAUACCGCCUUGCGGAUCUCAUCAUCCUUGGGGACACACAACCGUUUUCUGAACUGAAGUGCACCGUCGGAUCCCACGCCGAAGUCACCGGCGCGUCCGCCCUCAACAUCAAUCCACACCUUUUGGAGAUAUGGAUCGUCAAUUUGCCACUCAUUAAUCCGCUCCAACAAGGUCGGUCGAACCACUAGCGCCGCCAAAAUGGUCGGAACCUACGGCGCCACUACUUCUAAUCCUGUCACGCCCUGGGGUCCCUUUUAGUUUAAAAGUACAGCGGAAGUGACUAGAAAUUUUUUUUAAAAAAAAAUCUGACCCCAGGGUAUGCCAGAUCCGCCACAAAUACAGAGAAUCCACUGUUCAUACGGACAGAGUCUCCUCUAUAUUUGCAUGGCGUCGCACAAGUACAAGAGUACAGACGGGAUACAACCACUAUCACUGAACAUACAAAUAUCCAUUCAUUUAUACAUCCGUACAUCAUUCACCACAGGUUCAUAUACAGAUUUUGAAUAUAAAUCCACAACUAUCAGUUGAAAUAUUUUCUACUCGAAAACCUGUUUUGAAAUACUAAGUCAAGAAAAAUCAUGAGAAACUCUUUUGAAAGCUGUUUCCCACACGAAAACCUUUUCCUUUUAAAACACGCUACCACAAGGGGUAGAAAACCUUUCUAUUUUACAAACUUUCAAAAAUCCUUUCAUUACAUUCAUGAAAAUCCACAUAUUCAAAUAUAAUAAAAAUACUGAACCAUAUAAACUGUCUAAGCUAUAUCAACAGAAAUAGAGAGGGUAGUAACUAAACCAAUCAUACCGGGUCGGAAGCUCUAUCGACCACUACGAACGCAUCUUAUGUCUCGUCUCAACCCUCACCGCCCGCAAUACCUGAAAAAUGGUGGGGAGGUGAGAACAUGUAAAUAUGUCUCCCCUCCCAGUGGGUACUGGAAGCCGACGAAGGCGAGGAGUACUCACCGAAUCUGUAAGUAAUAAACAAGGUCAUGAGCAGAUAUAACAAAUACAGUAGCUAUAACCUGGAAGGAAAUAGAACAAUAACUGAAUAUACAACUACCGCUACUGUAAAAAGAACUGAAUGCAUACAUGGAUAUCAAAACUAUAGUAGCAAGACAACUGUAAAGAAAAAACUGUAAGUAUGCAUGCAACAAUUGCUACUAUAGACAUAUGCGUCAACCAGACGUAUAAACCAAAUAUACCCAAUCUAAAACGGCCGUAUUGGUACCCAACACCUUAGGCCCAUGCCAUAACUGCUCUAAACAGAAACAAGCCAUAUUGGUACCCAACACCUCAAGCUGAAAGUAUAUAACUCCUCUUGGGCUCACGGGUUGACACUAGCAACCACUUUUCCGGAAAAGAACACCCUCUUGCGGUGGCCAAACCGCUGGUGUUCGUGAAAUGCGUACGAGCAGUGGCGAUCGAUGCUGAAUGCUCAAUAGCCAACCGUCGGCAACCAGCCGACAAUCCUGCCCCUCAGGGCUCACCGACCGUAUAGGUUAUCAACUGUAAGGAAGCACAAGAAUCGACCACUCAGGUCAACUAGGAUGGAACAACUCAACAUCCUCCCAAAAGUAUGCAAGAUCAACUAACUGUAUACUCAAGAACCGACCAAUCGGUCACACGAAUGUCACAUCAUGUAUCACUAAAAUUCAGAACUACCGUCAGCCACUAGCCGACAAUCCAACCCCUCAGGGUACACUGACCUCAACGGUCAUCGAACGACAGAAAUCAAGGAACCGAACAAAUAGGUCACAGAUACGAGAUACAAGAACCGACCAACUAGGUCACUGAUCUCACAUUAAAACACGAAACCGCUCUACUCUAAACAAGAUACAGGAUAUGCAGAACAGCUAAGUAGAGCAACAAGGAAAUAUGAUAUAACUUCUCUACUCCUACUCAUGAUACUAGAUAUGAAAAACAACCGAGUAGAGUAUAACCAAAACAACAUGGAUGCUAGGCUCAACACUAUAUAUAAAGAUAUAUAUGCCAGAUAACAACGGGAGAGCAAGGAUAAGAAACCAUCAACGAGCGUGCACCACUGUACCGACUUCGGAUCGAAGUACCCACUUGUACAAUGUCGCGUUUGUCUCCUGACUGCAAAAGAUCGUAAACCGGACCUACGGAGGGUCCACCGGGUUAGUAUCUAACCCACAAAUAUAAAACACUAACACAUAACCCCACAAUUAUAUCCACGGGAAUCGGUUUCCCAAAACCGAUUGCCGAACUCACCGGAAGUCCCGAAAAUCGCACCGGGACUCCGCCGGAAUCCACAAACCAUUCCGGAAAACACCGACUCAUACUACGAGUCACCCGCUGCCACUAAACACUUAUUUUAGUGUGACAUGGCAGCAAACACAAACCCUCGCCUCCAAACAAUUAUCAUCGGAUAAUCGUCGGGUCCGAGUUUCCGGAAGUGUCUAAUUCGACAUCGGAACCCACCGUCGCUCACCCGUCGUUCCCGAGCCCUCGAAACAAUGCGGGUGAUCAGCCAACAAGGCUCAGUGACAUAACAACAGCUCACAAGGCAUCGUCGGAAGAAUUCUGAAUUGAAAACGCGUUCCGUCAGUGGAUUUUGUCGACAAACGCACCGAAAAUCACUUUUCAAUUUCCGCCAGGGCCUGGGGCCUUGGACAACUAGUUCAGAGGCCGCAGCCCACACACGCUGCCAAUAGCGAUCAUAAGGUGUACAAUUGCAUAAAAACCCACCCGACUACAUGAAAUCGCAUUAUUUCAUGCGAUUUCCUGGGUUUUAUGGCCCGACAGCGCAAACCGAUGUUCAUUCAACCAAACCGAGACACCCGUUGACAGGUCUCAAUGUUUCGGAGGCUGUGCUCACCUUUCGAAGCACUGCCGACCACUGUGGAGAGCGCGGGAGCGACACGAAAGUCUGCGAACUGCGCGCACAGCAUGAAAAACAUGCUUAUCUCGCAAACCAGGGGCUCGCUGACCCUAAAUGAGGUGAGUACUAUGAUCAGCACUGAUAGACGAUCACCGUGCUCACCUCCGGAGGCAUCGGAACAACCUCGGGCCGUCGGACCAAUGCAAACAACCCCGCAACAGUGCACAAACAGCAGUAAUACACUCACCGGAGCUUGGUGGAGUAUAGGGUGGCCGGCAGCGGUCGGACGGCGGGCGCGCCGGCAGAGGGAGGUUGCUGGCGACGGAGGAAGGCCGGGGCGCUCGUCGGCCGGCAACGGAAGCUGGCGGAGGCGACGGGCAAUGAUGCCCUAGCCGCAAUAUGGUAGAGGAGCUUGGCUCCAAGUCCGGCCGGCGGGGCCUCCGGCGGAGGGAGUGCCGAUGGCACUCGAGUGCGGCAACCAGGGGAAGCUGAUGCUCACUCCGACCGGCAAUGGAAGGCAGUGAAGGCGGCGCGGGGAGAGGCUCAGCCCGCACAGCCCGAUCUCAAGCUCGACAAGCCCCUCCGGCCACGGCGACGGUCGGAGCAACUUCGGGACGAUGGAAAAGAGAUUUCGGAGGCCGAGGGAGUGUGACUCGGCCGGCGGUGGGCAGCGACGAUGCGCAGAGACCGAAAAGUCCUCGGCUCCGCCCGCACUGGACCUAGGCGGCCGCAGUUAGCAUUAGCAGCGGCGCCGGACUGCGGUGGCGGCGGGGACGGCGCGCCAGAGGGUUGCUGGAGGUCAAAGAGGGUGGCGCGGUCGACUGGGGGCGGCGGCAGAGUGAGGGCCUCGAGCUCAGUUGGGCUAGGCCCGAGGUGACCCUGGGUGGCCGUGGAUCACCCAGGCGGCGCCGGCAGCACACGCAGACGGUGAGGGCCAGCGGCGACAAUGCCGGAAGUCGAGCCUCGGCCGAGGAUGAAGGCUCCCAGGUUUGAUACUCCCUGGGUUUAAGGGCUGAGGGUGGAGGUUGGUUAGAUGAAGGAGAAAGUGGGAGAGAGGCCAAACCAGGAAUUUCCGGCGGCCGGGGCACUUGCCGGCGGCCAGUGCGCGGGUGCGACAAGGGCAUGGUGAUGAAGGUGACGGCUAGGGCUAGCUGAGGGAGCUAAGUCGGCCAGAUCUAGGGUUUCCUCGGAUGAAACCCUAGGUAUACAAUAUAUAUAACGGCCACUUUGCACCAAAGUCCUUCAAAACUAAAAAUUUGCACCCGAGCUCUUCACAGCGCGAGUAAAUCGCGUACCCGCACCUCCACGUUCGAUCUCGCGCGAUUCGGUACAUAAAAUAUAGGGUGUUUCACACGAAAUACAAAAAUGCCACUUUGACCUCACCUCGGAACACGCAUGAUAUCUAGUGAUCUGUUCGUCGGAUUUUCGAACGGAUCACACCAGUGCGAUCAGCACGACAGAGACAUCCAAUCCACGAUUUUGUUUCGCCGAGUUUGGUCACGGAUUCGCGACGAAAUCCAUCCUUUCUCCAACUAAUCAAAAAAUCGCACAAAGACCUAUGUGUAAACCCAAAAACCUCAAAUUCGCAUUGAAUUUGAAUUCCCUACCACAAGUAGGGACCCAAAACAUCUCUCACCCAACCCCAAGUCACAAGCACUAGGCACGAGGAGCUUUAAAGUGCAAGAAAAGCAAAGAACGAAAACCCUUUUUUCGAUAAAACUCCUUUUUCUCGAAAAUCGUGCAUCAAAACCCAAUUCUGUUAGUGCCAUUGUUUUCAGAAUAGCUGAACCAAUCAAAAUGAGCUAUUGGAGCGCUAUGAACGAAAUCCGAUACGCGCCAAAAGCCACCUCUACUUCGUGGCAUCUCCGGAAAAUCGGAGUUACUAUUCACUUUAAGUGAUUAGUAAUGAUCACGUAACUUCUCCAUUCUAGCUCAUUUUCUCCUGAAACUUGACGAGUGCUUUUGUAAUUAAAUUACACACAGGAACAUCAUCAACAGAGAGUUUAGUUGCACUGCUAAAAUCUCAGUCCUUACAAAUCCAAACCGUUGCAUCUCCAUUUGGAACAACGGUUGACUAGUAAUUGCCGUCACCAAGUUUUCAACUGAUUUUCUGCUCAAAGCAUCGGCGACAACAUUAGCCUUUCCUGGGUGGUAUAGGAUAGUAAUGUCAUAAUCUUUCAAUAACUCCAACCAUCGUCGCUGCCGCAUAUUCAACUCUUUCUGGGUGAACAAGUACUUGAUGUUAGGUCCUAUGUGUUGGCAAGUUUCGUGGGUCGAGUCGGAGUCUUGAAGAAGUUCGGAGCGGAGUAUUGAAGAUCGAAGAAUCCAAGACUUCGAAGAAUCGGAAAGGACGGAAAACACGCAAAACUUGAAUCACGAUGCGUAGGUAAGUUUUAAAUCUUGUUUAUGGUGAUUCAUACUUAUUUAUAGUUCUUAGAAUCAUAUUUUCGAUCUAAUAUAAGUUUAAGCUUCCAAUAUUAUCAAAAUCGUAGUAGUUAUCCUUUUGUCAUGGCUGGACCCUUAUGUUCGUAAAUUUGUGGUAGAUUCUAUAAGAACAUGCAACAUGCAAAGGUACAUUAAUAUAGUAUCGAAGAAUACAUUCUACUUGAUAAUCAAGGUUAUGGUACAUAUGAUGUACAUUUGAACGUGUUAAAGUGAAGUGCAUACAGUAAGAGAACAACAGAUUAUCUUGGUUUAUUAAGUAAGUUUGUUAGAUAUAAGGAUAUUUAUACGUUGGUCUACAGGUUCUACCGUAUCUCCCUUAAGUGGGAAAAGCCUUUCCAGUUUGGGUGGAUCAUAAUUCGCGCUAGGUCGAGUUUCUCCAGAGCUUAAAGUCGAAUUGACCAAGUGUUAGGACGACUUUUUAUUCAUAGUUAUAGCGUAACUUUGAUAAUGGUUUGUCAGGUUAAAGCUGCUUUUAGAGUUAAUAUGAUUCAACAUUGAACUCAGCAACAAAAUCAAGUCAAGUUAUGGAGUUUAUUUUGGAGGUUUUCGAGAGUGUAUAAUCGGCUGUUAUUAGGUUUCCAGUUAGCGUUAGAGCGACGCUUGUUAGCCGUUUUGUCGUAGUUUUGUGUUCAUAUGAUCUAUCAUAUUAGCCUUUGAGUAAAUUAGGCUAAAGAUUGAUUUUAAAGUCGAAUGGUGAUCGUAUUUGUGGAAAAUUUGGUCGAGGGUUUCAGAGAUUAGAUCGAGUUGCACUAAGUCUUUGGACGACGCUUCUUUGGUAAAGCUUGACGUAAUUAAGCGAGUUAAUUUGGCGCAAAUCAAGGCUUAAUCUUACUAUUAAUUGUUUAAUGGAAAUAGUUCGAAGUUUCGUUGAAAAGGGAUUCGAUCUCACCCACUUAGUGUCGAUUUAUUGAGGAGAGAUCGACGAUCUUUAGGGAAGAUUAUGUCGACCUUCGUUGCUAUGGUUUUGCGCAGUUUUAAGCUGUGAUUUGGCGUUUGCUCUCUCUUCAACUCGAUGAAUGGAAAGAUUUCGACUUUAAGUCGAAAGGGAUCAAAAUUGUAGUGUCUUUUGAGUCAUUUUGAGGAGAAGCGGUGCAGGGUUUCUAAAGGAAACUCAGAGGUUUGGUCGCUUGUAGCUCGCCUUACACUUUAACCGCGCUUAGCCGCUGAAAAUGAAUCUCUCUCUCUUUGGGAUCUCUCUCUUUCACUCUCUCCACGUUACUGGAAAGGAGUCUCGAGAUCGUAGUAGGUGUUUGAGGUCCUCAGCACGACCCCCUCUAUUCUAUCCAUAUUCUACACUUGAAUGGUUUAAUCGGAACAACGGUGCAUAGACGGUGAAACAUGGCCAUGUACUACUACCGACAUGGCCAUGUGUUACGUCUUUUUCGACUUAAAGCGGUCUUGUUACGUGAAAGAAAGAAAGUCGAAAAGUUAGUGGGAAAUUGAAUAGGUUUUUGAACCGAUUUGGUAAAUCUUCUACAUCACACCAAAGUAAAUAGUAAGGGGUAUAAGCUUGAAGCGUUAAACGAUUUCAAAUCACAUAAUAUAAGUGGGGAGGAUUUUUUUUCAAAGCAGGCGCUUUGAUAUUUGUUAAUAGAUUGUCAAGGUAGCUCUUUUCCACCCCAUUACGAGGUCAUAACGUGAGAGGUCAAAGAUGCACCGAAGAGCAAGCAGUAUCGACGAGGUUUUUAUGAAAGUGCAUCCCAUAGCGCGCCAAAACCUCGACAAAGUGAAGAGCUCGAUUCUAAGAAUGAUCAAUAAGAAGCUUUGCUUUUGGUUUAAGAACUAGUUUUGGUAAAACUUUACUACCCUUUACGAAAAGUGGACGUGUAUGAAGUAAGGAGUUUUCUAAACUUACUCAGUUUAGUGAGUUCUGUAGGGUAGGCUCCUUAAGAUACUAAAAUCUCCAAGUUGUUAAACCCAAAGGUGUUAGUAGGACAUGAGAGUUUAAAUUCUACUUUAAGUAGAAAGUAUAAAGGGAGAUUGUACAACUCCGACAAACGAUACUAACCUCAAAUUAGUAAGGAAUCGUCCCAAGUAUCGAGUGUAGUCUAUGUAUAGAACGUGAAGUGUUCUACUAGUAUGGUUAUUAAUCAAAGUGUAAUAAGUUAGUAGUGAAAUGUAGGUUCUUAAGUUUUGAAAAGGCUUAAACAUGACAACCACCUAAAAAGUGAAAUCUCAGUCUAUACCCUUCUUAAAGGUGUAAGAAACGGAAGUGAUACAAGCUGUUAAUAUUGAUUAAACUAUUACUUGGUCAAUAAGGGCCAUCAUGAAGAUUAGUUAGGUGAACUCCACCUAAGACCUAAGUAAUAAGUCGUAACAUAAUGUUACGGAACCAUGGUAUCAAACAAAACGCAGUGAAACGCUAUUAGAAGCUUAAGUACCUAAGAACCUACAAGUUAUAAGGCGAGGCUUGAACAAGUACUGAAGCUGAGCUAGGUGCUUUGAACGGUAAUGUAUCCAGGAAUGUUAGAGGGCGAAACGACAAAAGAAGCACUGGUUACUAUCUCAUCUGAGUUAGUAUAAGGAGAAAGUUGAUAUUUAAAUCAAGUUACAAUAGUAAAGUUCUAGCUUAGGGAGCGCAAAUUAAGAUUAUGUUAUACAUUGAGUUAUAAUGUAAUCUUGAGGAUUUCUGUCCCAGAUAUCUUCAAAGGGUAAUCUGGUGUUAAUCCUCAGAACUUCAGAACUAAACGAAGAGCGGGAAACAUACUCUAAAGAGGGAAAUAAGAACUGGAAUAGUAAGAGCUACGAAGUUACAGUUCUCAAACGAAGAGGUACAACAGACAGAAGUAGAUACGAAUUAAGGUGAAAACCAGUAUUUAACGGUUUUCUUUCGUUUAUCUUUCUCUAUUCUAUGAUCCUUUUGUACUCUCAUCAGAACAGUAGCAAUGUAAGGGAUUUUAUGAGCUAGGUUAAUCCCCUCAGAGAAUGUAGUGAGGAUUUGCUAAUAGAGGACGUCAAACACAUCGUUUUAGCCGCGAACUUAAGUGUUUAAACUACGGAUUCAGAAUGUUUAGCUCCCUCCUUUUUCAUACAUCUUGCUUACUUCCACUAAGAGAACUCGAGUGAUAAGAGACUAUGAAUCAGGUUAAAACCUUUAGCUAACUCAAAACUUAGAAUAGCUAAGCAAGAUGGACCAAUAGAAAGCGAGCAGACGUCUGGAACAUGGCCAUGUGCCCAAGAACAAGGCCAUGUUCCUGGAUUUACACUACUAAAAAAAAAAAGCUUUUUACAUGAAAUUUUUAGGUCGUAUAAAUGUAAUCCAAGGAGUAUCAAUUCCGAAAAUGAGGUUUUUAGUAAUAGUACUUUUAUUCGAUAAUAGUUGACGAAGUUCCGACUAAUUUUCUAGUUGUAAAGGGUUAGUUUUUAUUAAAUUACUAAGUUUUUGAAGUUCUACACUCAAAUACUUAUUACUAAAAAGCUAUAAGCUGUAUAUAAGCUUGUUGGGUAAACAGCAUUGUGUAAGUUCUAUCUCUAACGCAGUGAUUAUACUUCGUGGCCCCCACCGAGAAACUCGUAGAAAAAGUUUGAUCGAGGAAUAAUCAGGCUUUCAAGAUUUUAUAAAUAUAAAAAGGUUGGAAAAACCCUGAAAAAGUCAAUUUAUGGUACACCAUCGAAGAGUGUGAACGGCCUGCUGGCCCCACCAUCGAGAAAGGAUGUAAACCACCAUCAAAAGUGUGAGGAAACAUACAUUGAGAAAGGUGUAGAAAAUCCUCAAAAGAGGAAAAAUAAAUAAAAAAAUAUUAAAGUUUGAGGGGGAUUAAAUCCGUUAGAGUGUUAACUUUUAUAAAACUGGUUAAAAGCAGAUAAUCGCUUAGAGGUGAAGUACUACAGAAUGUGACGCGAUGGUUCUGCUUAAUUAGUGGUUUCGCUUAGUCAAAACAAAAGUGUUUAAAACCAUACUUAAAUACGUUAGUGUUCAAUAUAUUAUUUAAGUAGCAGUUUGAUGAGAUAGCACCUCAUUCCGGCUAGUUAAACAAACAUAAAUGGAAUGGGAGACUAAUCCAUCCCGUAGUUUGGGCAAAUCUGGUAGAACGAUUUAUGAAAGAGAGGAUUUUUUUGCUAAGUAGUUAGUAGAGGAAAGAGUUUCUAAACCACGAUGAAUUAAGCCGUUUGUCGAGAAGGAGUUUUACUAAAAAUUUAUUUGAUUUUAAGUUACGUAGUAUUUAGUAAAUUAGUACACUAUCCUUACUUAUAGUAAUUUGUAUGAUCGUGGUUAGUUUCGUAAUGAGAUUUCUAGGGGUGACGGAUGCAGAUCCGAGGUCGUUUCUAUAGAGGAAAGAUCUACGUUUGAACAGCCUAGAAACCAAAAAAGCUGAACCAGCUACAAUCCACGGCAAAAUAAAUCUGAAAACUAGUAAGCAACCACAAAAGAAGCCAACUUUUACCGAGAGCCAACUAAAACAUCAACUCCGUGAACACGUGGACAAAGCGUACUCCCGUGAAACCCCCAAGCACGCCUGAAGGCGUUUAACCAAGCGAACACCGAAUCCAUCCUAGGCUAAGAAAACUUCGUAAGCUGAACGAAUCUAAAACUGAAAACGAAGGCUCCAACUACAGCUCAACAUCUACUUCGGCUACCUAAAAAACUACUAAAAGGCUAUACACUGAACAGUAAAAAUCAAACCAGUUAAGGAAAACUGCACAGAAAGCUACGGUGUAGCUACUGUGUGAAACGGAAAAAUGCAUCAACUCUGAAAUCUACAACCAAAACUUAGAAAGACUUGCAUACAAGCAACUAUAGACUCCAGACUAAACGAGUUGUUCAAACUGGAUUAGGUUCGCAAAUAAAGGGAGAAGAAACUAGGGCUGCCUUUCGAAGACGAACUUCUAGCUUAACCGUCUAACUGCUUGAACUAGCGAGGUGAUGAAGUUAACCUACACACGAUAGACGAGAAAAUUAACAACGAGGUUUUGAGCGGUCUAAAACAGCAACCUUCGAAACGACCAACUAAGGCGGAGUAAGUCGAAGAGAACCUUCCUAGACUUAACUGUAGAAGUUCGAACUUAGAGAAAGGAGGAGUUAUCCGAAUCAAAUUUGAGAAAUACAACAACAACAGGAGGAGUUCAAGGUUAUCUGCUGCAGAGUUGAAGAACAACUUAAAUACGGUACUGAAGAAUGACUAAGGGUUUAUACUGCAACUAACAUGCGAAGGCGAUACAGCACCAGCAAACUAAGGACCAGUGAAAGCGCCAACAACGAGAAACCAAGUACACUGCGGUCUCUGAAUAACCUCAAUAAUCAUUAUCGCCUAGUUGUAUUGAAAGCGACUCCCUCAUAAGCGUUUAUCUCGGGAAAAGAGUGCAAGAAUAAGGAUUAGCAGGUUGAACGGAUACCAAAUGAACCACAGGACUCUGAGUAGGGAGCAGAAACGAACGUAUCGUGAAAACAGACAGUGCAGAAGAAACUUCCUGAUAGGCAGCCUUGCACCGGAAUCGGAAACGUGAACGUCGUAACCUAGAGCGGAACUUUAUGUAGGAAAAGGAAGCUUCUCAAACGUGCUAAAAAGAGGAAAAAGAAACUUCGGUUUCUAACAGAGAACCUGCUACUUCAGAACAGGUUAGACAAGAACAAAGCCUUUAAAGCUGCUUUGAAGAAGCACUCUUCGCGAUUAACUACAAGCUUCAGACGUUAACUAUUCUAGUGGCAGCCUUGAGCUCAAAAGCACGAAGAGGAAACAUCUAAAGUUACGUUGUGGACACGAAAAUCUACAUAUCUGAACAUUCUUCCAAAUAGAUAAACCUUUGCAGUAGAGUAUUCAAACGUUUCGAGGAUCGAUCAACGAAGCUGGAAGUAGAGCAGACCUACGAAUUGGCAAAGCAAACGACGACAAAUUCCGAGACAUUCGCAAGGCCGUUUCUCAAGCACUCUUAGAAAACGUGUUGAAAUCAUAGGAUCACCUAAAAGAGAGGCUUCAACCGCGUACAUAACUGGUGAUCCAGAUGACAUCUGCGCAUACUCAUGAGCCAUUAUCCAUUCGAGCAAAAACAUGGUCCAUAAUUUAACUUAGUUAAAACGAUCAAUGACCAUAAACGUGAAAAACCUAGAAAUGAUAAACGAGCAAGGAAGUACGCAUUGGUGGUCAACAUCUCAUAAGGUUCAAAUAGAAACAGCAAAGAUAUCGGCUAAGUGCAACUAAUUUGAGGCAAACUCUGAUAAGUAAUCCAGUUCACAAAUACGGGAACGGCAAUUUGCUUCUACAGAGCAAAAGAAGAAAGCUAGAUAAACAAGGCACCAAAACCGAAAAGUUGUAAUAACUGGAAAAGAUCAGCCAUACAAAGAUCGAUUUAAGUUAACUACAGUCGAAGAUCGAACAAGUAGCUAUUCAAGUGAAUCUGGUUACGAGAAUACCAUAAGAACAAGGAUAUACGUAUUAAGCACGGCAGCUUCUCAACUCCAGCUAAAAACAAUGGGGGAAGCCGGUAAUCUGAAUGUGUUAAAUAGAUCUAGGGCGAGACUAUCGGUAACAUUCAAAACUCCUCGGGUUCCUAGAUAGAUCUAACAUAGAUAGUGGAUCUCCCCCCCACUUAUCCACUUGCCGGUUUUUGGUGUUUAGAGCUACGUUAUUUUUAUUUACGCCUUUUAUUUUUCGUGUGGCUCUAAAUACACCCUUUUGAGGUUGAACCUCUUUUUGGGUGCCCUGGUUGUGCGCUUUUUUAUUAAGUGAAUCUCUUUUCUAAUGUUCCACUAAUGGCUGAGGUGCCUGAGUUGGAGAGAAUUGGAGGAUACUUAGAAGCGCGAUGGGAGGCCCAACAGGUGCGGGAGUGCAAGCUCAGGUGCUUGCGGAAGUGAAGCUUAGGUGCUUCGAAGUGAGUACGGCUUAGGUGCUACGGUGAGCUUAGGUGCUCGGGUGCUAGGCUUAGGUGCUUGGCGGAAACAAAUGCGGCUUAAGUGCUGCGGCAAGUACUUCUCAUAGUACUUAUACCACUAGGAAGCGAAACCUCAUAACAUCUUUUGGUCCCUUAUCUUGAGGUUCGCUUCGCCUCUAGUUUAGCUGUAUAUCUCUUACGCUUUGCUAUAGAGCUAAACUAGAUUUCUCCGAUUAAACAUCUUUUAUCCAAAUCUUACUUUAGGCUCGGAGAUCCCAAAGAGUUUGUACAUAAAAGCACUACGAAUUAUACAAUCUCUUCGGGUUAUCGAAUAAAUAUCUGAAAUCUUAGUUUUGUCUCAUCUUAAUCUUUCAAAGAAAGGUUUUUGUCGUGGAACAUGGCCUUGUUCCUUUCGACAGGUCCCAUGUCGUACUGCCUUCUAAAAAGACGCUUCGAGGACAUGGGACCUAUCGAAGUCGAACAAGGCCUUGUCCCGAACAUGGCCAUGUCGCACCUCCAACAUGGCCUUGUUGGUAGUUUGAGGAGACGCGUUUGCGACUACCGACAUGGGACCUGUCUUUUGAGAACAUGGCCAUGUUGUUACGUUAAAAGCGACUUUUACGUAACAAAGCCCAAAAUGUUCGAGAAUCUUUGAAAGAUUAGUUAAUGUUGAANCCAAGUUGGAGUUUUUCCACGUAAAUCUCGGUGUGCUUUUUAUUUUCCGCAUUUAUUUUUAUUGCAUCGAGAUUUGUGGUUUUUGGCCUUUCCCCUAUUCACCCCCCCUCUAGGUGAUAGAUACAAUCUAGAUAGAUCCUUGGGCUCCUCAAAACUUUCACUUUAGGCUCUUGUGAUCGGUAUAUACCUCACAAUGCUCACCGUAGAGAUAGUGCCUCCAUAGCUUUAGCGCAAAAAUAACCGCCGCUAACUCAAGAUCAUGUGUUGGGUAGUUCUUCUCAUAACUCUUUAAUUGGCGCGAAGCAUAUAUAAUGACUCGCCCAUUUUACAUAAGAACACACCCGAGACCACUAUAGGAAGCAUCACUAUACACCACGAAACUCUCUCCUGGCGUAGGCAAAGCAAGUACCGGGGUCGGUGUCAACUUCUCUUUUAGCUCUUGGAAGUUUCGGUCGCAACCGUCGCUCCACACAAACUUUACUCCCUUGUGCGUAAGGCGUGUGAGAGGAGUAGUUAACUUUGCAAACCCCUCCACAAAACGCCGAUAAUAGCCCGCCAAUCCAAGAAAACUGCAAACUUUCGCCACACUCGUCGAGCGAGGCCAAUCUUUAAUCGCCUCAAUCUUUCUCGGAUCUACCGAGACUCCACUCCUGGAUAUCACAUAGCCUAAGAAGGUUACCUCCGAAAGCCAAAAAUCGCACUUCUUCAGCUUGCUGUGAAGCUUCUCCUUUUGGAGUAUUUGCAACACGGUUCUCAAAUGUUCCUCGUGUUCUUCAUUACUCCGUGAAUAAAUUAACACGUCGUCGAUGAAUAUCACGACGCACUUAUCCAAUAACGGUCGAAAGACCUGAUUCAUCAAGUCUAUAAACGCUGCCGGGACAUUAGUAAGCCCAAACGACAUCACCGUAAACUCAUAGUGGCCAUACCGCGUACGAUAUGUUGUUUUGUGCACAUCCUUCGGCCAGUCUUCAAUUGGUGAUAUCCCGACUGAAGGUCUAUCUUCGAAUAUACCCGCGACCCUUGUAACUGAUCAAAUAGGUCAUCUAUUCUCGGCAACGGGUAUUUGUUCUUGAUCGUCAUCUUAUUCAACUCGCGAUAAUCCACGAAGAGUCGAAGCAUACCGUCCUUUUUCUUCACAAACAUCACCGGGGCUCCCCACGGUGACACGCUCGGCCUCACAAAGCCUUUAUCGAGCAAAUCCUGCAACUGAGCCUUUAAGUCCUUAAGCUCCGCCGGUGCCAUUCUAUACGGAGCCUUCGAACUGGCGCUGCUCCGGGAAUCAAGUCAAUAACGAACUCGAUCUCCCGAUCCGAACUCUGUCGGAAACACGUUCGGAAACUCACAUGCUACUCGGAUAUUCCCAAGCUCCGGGUGCUUCCCUUGAGUCUCUACCAUGGUCGCCAAAUAGGCCACACAUCCGCCUUUGAUCAUCUUUCUCGCCCUUGCCGCCGAUACGGUCGUCGUGAAGCGCGAGCUCUUGCACGCACGAUACACCAACUCCUGAUUAGGCUCUUGCUCUCACAAUCGAUACUAGCAUAGUACUUGGAGAGCCAAUCGACUCCUAAGAUAACAUCAAAGCCCCACAUCUGUUUUAGCACUAGCAAAUCUGCCGGCAUGACCCAGUCGCCAAUCUGAACCGGACAAGCUAGGCACUCCUCGUGAACACUAAACGAAUGCUCAGGCGCAUUAACCCACUAGUAGUUCGGGUUAUGCACCACUUCCAUACCAUGAGACUUUGCAAAUGAUGCACUGAUGAAUGAAUGCGAUGCACCCGUAUCAAACAAAGCUCUAGCUCUAGUGCCAUUAAUCAAAAUAAUACCUGUCACGACGUCAUCUGGUACGGUAGGCUUGUAAGGAAGUGAAUUCUCGAAAUCUGAGGAUUAGACUUCGCUUAGAAUCGACUGAUUGUCGAGUGUGUAGGCUUCGGAAAGUCCGAAGGUGAUUAUAAUGCAUGAAGUGCAUUAAGGAAAGGUCCGCAAGAGCAGCAGUGCAAAAUCUGCACUGGAGCAGAAUUGCUCUCGGGGACGGGUCCCUGGCAGGAAGGGACCGGUCCCAUCACGCUGGGCUGCGGGGAUCCUUGUGGUGACCGGUCCCUGGUAGGGGAAGACCGGUCCCCGAACGUUAGCUGAGCGAGAACAGCCAAAAUUUGGCUAAGUCCCGAAAAUCCAACUCUCGGGAACCGGUCUCUUGGACAAGGACCGGUCUCCCGGGGAUCGGUCUCUCAGGCAGGGACCGGUUCCCGAACGCGAAAUCCCUUCUGCCCGAGAUGGAAGGCUCUCGGGGACCGGUCUCCCCGAGCUGGGACCGGUCCCUCACUGCGAAAACAGCCCAGUGAAGGCUGUUUAAUAGAUGGAAAGUUGGGGGGCCUAUUUGUAAAAUGGCCUAUAUGAGAGGUGGGGGGGACCUCUCUCUUUCUCUCAUUUGCUCUCUAACCCUCUAACACUCUUUCCCCCUCUCUCUCUAGAAAGAAAAGAAGGAGAAGAAGAAGGAGAGGAAGAAGAGGAAGGAAAAGAAGAAGAAGAGGAAGGAGAAGAUCAAGAAGAAGAAGAAGAUCAUCUUCUUCCCUCUCUCCUUCAAGCUAGAGCAAGCUUGGAGCUUGGUUUAGAGGUAAACCUUAAACCCAUCCAUGGUGGAUUUCUUGAGAUUGGGUUUUAUUGCUUAGAAAUGGUUUGAAUGGAACCUAUGGAAGCUAGGGUGAUGGUUCGAGCUCGCAUUUGAAGCUCGCACCACGGAUUUCUCCCUCGUUGCCAUUCUAGGGCACGAAUUUAGGAUUUUUGGAAAUCUAGGGUUUUGAUCUAUUUUAAUAGGUCGUAAACCUAAUUGCUAGGCCUCGGAACGCGUCGGCGAAGACGGUUCGUCGAUAAGACGAGCGGGUGCGAAGAUAUCGCCGAAUCAAGCGCUUAAGGGUUCGGAUCGACCCGAGAAGUCGAGGCGUCGACCAAGGACUACGAAAUCGAGUUUUCUACUAGCGCGGCAUCACCAAGAGGUGGGUGGUGACCAUCUCGAAGCAAUCGAGCUCCCUUUUAUGUCUUAGUAUUUUGAGAACCUACAUCCUGUGUUCACAUGCAUUGUAGGAUAAUUGUGCAUUGCCUUUCCUUAUGAUUUCCUAGCUGAUAUCAUAUUAUGCAUUAGUUGCUGGAUAUAGGGGAUUGAUGAGGAUUGGGUCGAGACUUGUAAUCCUAUAGUGUAGCGGUGAAAGAAUGAUGCAAUGGUUGAAAUAAAAGAACGAGUGGCAUCUAGUUGUUAAUGAAACAAAGAACGAGUGGCAUAUGUGAGUCGUAGUGUAUAUGAAACCCAUUGACUAUGGAUAGUAACCCUAGUGAACAGGGUACCCUUGAGAUGGGAGAAUUGGAUCAUACUCAUUGUCUGUUCCCGGUGGUCGCUCCACACAAGUAGUGCGCUCCGGAGUCAGUCACGAGGGAUGGCCUAUUUGGGGUCCCGUGGGAUAGGGAUGGCCUAUUUGGGGUCCCGAGGGAUGGCCUAUGUGGGGUCCCGCAGACGGUCUCGGAUUCGUAGUAUCGAGAUGGCUAUGUGAGUAGUAGACAGAUCCUUGAAUGAACCACGAGAUUAAUGAAUAAGUAAAUAGCCUUACUUCUUGGACAUAUGAAGAGCUAGUUGAUUAUCUAUUUCAUUGUGCAUGCAUUUUUCAUAUACAUGAUUCGGGCACCGUAGCGUAGUUUUACUAUCUGUUUCCAUAGCUUUCUAUAUUUAUCUAUCUGUUUAUCUACUCGUGCCCACUUGGACCUAGUGGGGAGACCGGCGGAGUCGGGGGCCGAACCCACUGGGAACUAUGGAAGAUAGUUCUCACCCCAUUCUUUUCAGGUUCGAGCUCGGGUGUCCCUGGCGAGCGCGAGCAUCGUGGUAAGGACAUAGCGCCCUAGUUGCAUUAGCUAUCCACCCAUUUUGCAUUAGCUCUACCCUGUAUUUAUGUUUGAGAGUAGAUGUUGUAUAGGGUGAGGUUUGAGAGUGCUUGUACACAUGUUUUGGAAGAAUGUAAAAGAUGGAAUUAAAUGUAUUAAGUUGAAUGAAUGUAAUAGAUAGAACUUUCUCUCUUUACUUACUUGUAUGUCCCAUACUCGUAUCUUGCUCUUGUUUUGGUUGGCACUGGUGGUGGUUCCUGCGAUCGUGUAUUCAUGAAUUGAUUCCUCGGUAAAUUCUUAUACAUGAUCAGUUGGUUAGCCUUGGGCGGACAGGGGAGGUCCUGUCCGUUCGGCGUCUGUUCGACGCGCCCGGACCGGACCAAAUUGGUAGCAGUCUCGGGGCGUCACAAGGCUGCUCCUCCACCUGAGUGGCGAAAACCCGUCCACUUGGUGCUCGAGAUCCCUUCGGCUGACGCGCGCCCAGCCAACAUAGCAGGUGGCAAUCCUGCGAGCUGUCGUAGAGCAUACUGAGCUGAAGCAGCUCACGGGGCAGGUGACGCCCCGCCCGGGCAAUCCCAACUCAUGUGUCCCGCUUGGCCGCAUCGGAAACACCUCCCGUCAUGCUGAGAACAAUCACUGGGCUUAUGAUUACUGCCACAAAUCACACGUGGGAAGGAAGUCGUCUGACUCCUCGACUGCCUCUUGCCUCCCCACCACUGUGACCUUGGGUAUCGAGGGGGUCGCUUGGAACUCGACUGUCCCGCAGAUCCACUAGCCGCAUGCUUCUUGGACUUCUCCUUGUCCUUGUCCUUUUCAAAUGCCUCGCGCUCCUCGCGCGCAAUGGCAUUACCGCGCUCCACCCAUAGCGCGCGAUCCAACACAUCCUCAUAGGUCUUCAACCGAAAUGCAUGAAUAACUUUGAAUAUUUCCGGCCGCAACCCGCACUCGAAGACCUCCGCGCGGUCCCGAUCGCCAUGAACCAAGCCCGGCACACAAUUCACCAUAUGCGAGAAUUCCUUUUCGUACUCUCGCACCGACCAACUUCCUUGCCUUAAUUUGCGAAAGUCCUCCUUGAUCUUCCGCUUGUCACUUUCGGGAAAGUACUCCAUUAGUAGCAGCUCCUGAAACACCUCCCAAGUCAUGGAUGAAGCUCCAAUGACCGGCUUUUCUUCACCCGCGUCCACCACAACCGAGCCGACCCCUCGAAACAAUGAGCCGCCAGGUGAACUUUAUCCUUCUCGAGGGUGUAGAUAUCCUCGAUUAACGCCCCCAUAGUGGUCAACCACGCCUCCAUCAACCACGGGUCCUUAUCAUCGCCAUUGAAAGUCGGAAGGUUGAACCGCUUAAAGGGCGUCAACACCACCAACGACCGCUCCUGUUCGGCCUCAAGCACAUCGGGAUCAAGAGCCGAGGAACCCGAAGCCAUCGGAGGAAUAGCCGUCACCGGUGCUGCCGCCACUGCAGGAGUAGGUGCCACAGGUGCGGGCGGGUCCUGAGGUACAGGUGUAGCUGCCGCCGCCUGUCGAGCCACCAACUCGUGGAGCCUCCCUAUUUGCUCCCCCUGCUGUCGCAUAGCCCCGGCCAAAGCCGCUACUUGGGCUCACAACUCGCGCAUUUCAUCAGAUCCAGAUUGCUCGGGCACCCCACCAAGCUUUGCCGGAGCGGAUCUUUCCGAACGCCGAGGUGGUGCCAUCACAUCCUGAAAUGUAGCACACAAAUUAGUACUCGAUACACUUGACCAUCACACGUUCCAAUUAACUACCCAAUCAAGCGAAAGCAAUCAAGUGUACUCAUCUUCGACUCUCGGCAUUUUGUAGUCGACCGCCCAUAUAUACUUCAAGGAGAAAAACAAAUAAGCACUUGAAUCCAUCUCUAACUCCUUUUAGAGAAGUACUAAUCAACAACCCAAUCGAUUAGCUUCCGCAUUACCCGAGUUCACGUUACUCGUUUCUUAAGUCCCUAAGGUCUCUAGUCCUAUGGUCCCUAAGUCCAUCCUAGACUUUUACUUUCACCACGCUCUGAUACCACUAUAUCUGUCACGCCCUGGGAUCGCCAAUUUGGUCAGUUCGGGUACGUCAACAGACGCUGAAUGGACAACACCUCCCCUGUACGCCCAAGGCUCUAACAACAAGUAUAAUACAAGCAAUUAUACGAGGUUUGCUCGAGGGCAAACAACAACCACAAUAGUGAAAGCUCUAAGCUACUACUAUAAACAUAGGGUAAAUUGCAUUGUUACCCCCUGAACUUUUGGCGAAGUUUCACCUUAUCCCUCGAACUCCUAAAAUGGACAUCUAACACCCUAAACUCUAAUAUUUCGUUCAUGUUACUUCUUCCGUCAGUUUUCCGUCAAACUCCGUUAACCGAAAACUGACAGAAGGGGUAAAACGAAUGAAAUAUUAGAGUUUAGGGUGUUAGAUGUCUAUUUUAGUAGUUUGGGGGGUUAACUGAAACUUGCCAAAAGUUCAGGGGGUAACAAUGCAAUUUACCCCAACUAUAAAUUAUUUUAUUAUAAUAUGUUACUUAUGGAUUGACUACUAAACCUCUAGUUAGUGAUCAUUCUUGAUUUUGAAUUUAUAUAUAUUUUUUAUCCUAAAAUAAAUCAUACCAUAAUUUAUCAUACUUUAGAAGCAUUGUUCUAAAGUAUUAUAAAAUAUUAUUUUAUAUUUUUAUAUUAAAAAUUUUUAAUUGGCUAAAAUGAAGUACAAAAAUUUUAUUUUAUGCUACAAUUGCAUAAAGCCCCCUCACAUUUCACCAAAAUUGCAUAAAGCCCUCUCACAUUUCACUAAUUCACAACAGCCCAAAUUGGGCAAAAUUCGCAUACGGGGACCGGUCUCUCCCUACAGGGACCGGACCCCGAGAGCACGAUUUUUGGUACUUAAUUAGUUGGGCAAUUUUCGCUUACGAGGACCGGUCUCUCCUCACAGGGACCGGACCCCGAGAGCCCAAAUUCCAGGACUUAGCCAAUUUCUCACGAGUUUGCUCUCUUGGGUCCUUAUACCCUAUACUAUGGUUCCAAAACACAUAGAAUCCAUUGUGGACCAUUCCAACUCGUCCGACACCGCGCUCCGCUCGUUUCGACGGAACUCGGCACGAUUCACGGGGAUGCGAUAUGUUGCAUUUAUUUUGAAUUUUUCUAAAAAUAAUGACGAUUCUUGGAUCUCUAUAAAUUGGAUCCAAGAUGUAAGUAACAAAAAAUUUUUGAGUUUUGGCUAGAAGAAAAAAAAAAAGAGAGCUUGAGAGAAACAAUAAAAAAAAAAAACAUUUUUUUUUCUUCUCUUUUCUCCACGCGUGCACCACCCCUCCUCUGUAGGCUGGCGGCAACAAAAGGGAGGGGUGUGCUGUGAGCACACCCCCUCUCACCCGUAGACACAAGAAAGAAAGAAAGAAGAAAGAAAGACUUGGCUAUUUCAUUUUGCGGCGGCGCGACGAUGACGACUUCGAUAACGGCGCGACAACUAUGACUUCGAUGACGCGCAAAGAGGCCAUAUGGCCUCUUCUCUUUUCUUUUUUUUUUCUUUCUUUCUACGAUGGUGAUGGGUUGAUGUAUACGUGCAAACGGUGUAAUCGUGAUUUUUAUGUCGGUUUGAUCAACAUGACCGUUUUCGUGAUAGGUUGACCCGAUCAAAUUCGGCAUUGAAUUGUUAUUACAUCAUACGCGCGUAUUCAUUAAGCCCGUCUCCCUCAACAUCAAAAGAAAAAUUGUGUGCACAAGCGAUGGUGAUAAUCCUUGUGUCGGAUUGAUUGAGCAGCCAUCUUCGCGAUAGGCUCGACACUUUCAAUCUCGACGUUCGAUCGUUACCCUCAUUGGACUUAUGAUCAUACCGAGCGGCCGUCUUCGUGAUUGGCUCGACACAGUUGAACCCCGAUUCGGACCAAAAUAAUAAUAAAAAUAAUAAAUAAUAAAAAAUGAUGAUAGGCAUUUUCCUCGGGUCACCGUCUUCGUGAUAGGUUUGACCCGAGUUCGGUUAAUUAAAUCGGGUCGCCGUCUUCGUGAUAGGCUUGAUCCGAGUUUGGCUAAUUAAACCGGGUCGCCGUCUUCGUGAUAGGCUUGACCUGAGUUCGGUUCAAUUAAAUCGGGUCGCCGUCCUCGUGAUAGGCUUGAUCCAAGUUCGGCUCAUUUAAACCGGGUCGCCGUUUUCGUGAUAGGCUUGACCUGAGUUCGGCUAAUUAAACCAGGUCGCCGUCUUCAUGAUAGGCUUGACCCGAGUUCGGUUCAUUUAAACCGGGUCGCCGUCUUCGUGAUAGGCUUGACCCGAGUUCGGUUCAAUUAAACAGGGUUGCCGUCUUCGUGAUAGGCUUGACCCGAGUUCGACUAAUUAAACCGGAUCGUCGUCUUCAUGAUAGACUUGAUCCGAGUUCGGUUCAUUUAAACCUGGUCGCCGUCUUCGUGAUAGGCUUGACCCGAGUUCGACUAAUUAAACCGGGUCGCCGUCUUCGUGAUAGGCUUGACCCGAGGGAGCCAAACCAUAAUGAUAAAUCAAACUGGACGAUAAGUCGACCUAGUCUAAUCGAUGGGUCUAAUUUAAAUCAAAUCUUAUACCGAUCAAUCUAAAUUGAACCAACUGAACCAAACUGAACUACAAGCUGGUUUGACUUGAACCGGAUAACGAAGGAUUCGAGUUGAACCAAAGUGAAUCCGAUCCGAACUAAACCGAACCGGAUCCUGUCUAAACUGAACAAUUAAGGAUUCGACUUGAACCAAAGUGAAUCCGAUCUCAACUGAAUCGAACGGGAUCCAAACCGAACCGGAUCCUGUCUGAACCGAACCAUAAAGGAUUCGAGUUGAACCAAAGUGGGCCCGAUCCAAACUGAACCUAACCGGAUCCCGUCUGAACCAAAUCAUAAGGGAUUGGACUCGAGCCGAAUAUGGUCCAAUCGAACCGAACCAUAAAGGAUCCGACUCAAACCGAAGUGGGUCCGAUCCGAACUGAACCACAAAGGAUUCAACUCGAAUCGAAGUAGGUCCAAUCCGAACCGAAUAGUAUUCGACUUGAACCAAAGUGGAUCCGAUCCGAAUUGAACCAAACCGGAUCCCAUCUGAACCAAGCAGUAAAGGAUUCAACUUGAGCCGAAGUGGAUCCAAAUUGAACCGUAAAGGAUCAGACUCGAACCGAAGUGGGUCCGAUUCGAACCUAACAGUAAAGGAUCCGACUCGAACUGAAGUGGGUCCGAUCCGAACCAAACCGUGAAGGAUCCGACUUGAACCGAAGUGGGUCCGAUCCAGAUCAGAACCGAAGUGGAUCCGAUCUGAACCGAACCAUAAAGGAUUCAGCUCAAACCGAAGUGGGUCCGAUCUAAACUGAACUACAUGAAGAUCGAGCUAAACCGAACCAAACUAUAAGUCGGUUCGACUUAAAUUAGAAACUGGUUCAGCUCAAACUCAAACCCAAUAGGUUUUCAGUUGAGCCGGAAUGUAAGAGCUCAAUUUGAAUCAAACUCAAACAUAUCUUGAACCAAAUCAUGUGGGUUCGAUCCAAACUACAUUGAACUAUAAGAAGGUUAAAGUUGAGCUAAGAUAUAAGGGCUCAACCCAUCCCAAAAUUAAGGGGGACUUGAACUAAGUCACAAAAGUUCGACUUAAACCAAGUCUUUAUGGUUCCGAAGCAAAGCAUAAUGGUUCAACCCAAACCAAAUCCAAAGCGACCAAACAAACCUAAGGUCGCCCAACUCAAAUCAAACACGAAAGUUUCAAGUCAAUUCAACUUGAACCCAACUGUAAUGAUUUAGUAAACCAGCUCUAUCCGAAUCGAAGCAAAUCAACGGUUCAAACUGAGCUAAAUUCAACUUGACCGGCUAAGUCAACGUAAUCGACUCAUAAGCCGGAAACAAAUGACCAUCAAGUCGUUAAACUGAACAACCAAAUCAAACUCAAUUUGACCACCAAGUAAUUAAACUGAGUAAUCAAAUCAAACUCAAUUCGACCACCAACUCGUUAAACUGGAUAAUCAAAUCUGAUCCCAAUCGACCACCAAGUUGCUAAACUGAGUAUUCUUGUAACAUACCACAUCCCUCGUAAAUCGUACCGAGUUCCAUCAAAACGAGCGGAACGCGAAAUGGAACGAGUUAAAGUGGACCCAAAGUGUAUUGGAGUUCAUAAACGGAGUAAAAAGGGGCCCGGAGAGCAAAUUUAGAAAUCUGGCUAAGUCCCAGAUUUUGAGCUCUCGGGGACCGGUCCCUGAAGGAGAGACCGGUCCCCGUGCGCGUAGCCUGCCAGGAAAUCCUGAGGCAUCCGGUCCCUGAUGGUGAGACCGGUCCUCGGGAGACCGGUCCCUGAUGGGCAGACCGGUCCCUCACUGCGCAACAGCUGAGAGGCUCAAAAAUUUGGCUAAGUCCUAGAAAAUCCCCGUUCGGGAACCGGUCCCUGGUCGGAGAGACCGGUCCCCGAAGGCGAAAAAUGCCCAGUCUGGGCAGUUCAAGAGGAAACAAGAGGAGGGGCUUAAGUGCAAUUGUUACAACACUAUAUAUGGCCCAACCCCUCUCUCCCACAGCCAUUCUCCUCCUCCUCUCUUAUUUCCUCAUUUUCUCUCUCUAGAAUCCCUCUAGGGCUUGGAGAAGAAGAAGAAGAACUUGGGGAAGAAGGUGGAUUUGAUGCUUUGGAGUUUAGCGAGUCCUCCAAGAGAUCAUUGGUGGAGCUUGGGAUAGAGGUAAAGUUGUUACAGUUUUUUCUUACGGGUUGUGCAUUUUGGCCUUAGGAUUUUGGAGCUUGCGCUCCUAAGGCGGUUUAGCGGGCUCUUUUGAGCCAUGUAUACAUAGACCCAUGAGAGUCAAGGUGUACUCAAUGGUUGAUCCUUGAAGUGAGGUGUCUUGGAGCCUAGAGGUUGCUACAAAGUCUAGAAAUUUACUAGGCUGCUUCUUAGAUAAUUCUAAGUUAUAGUUUGCUUUAGGAUUGGGAUCGUAUUCAUGAAAAACCCUUAAUGCGAUAUUAGGGCUUGGAUUUGGGCUUUUUGCCUAGGUUUCUUCGCCGGGACAAAUUGACCUUCGUGAAAACUAAUUGGGACCCAUCCACGGUUGUCCACACACGUGUGGUGACAACUUGGUUUACAAAAUUGCGAAAUGAUAGGUAUUCCUAUAGUUGUGUACAAAAAGGUCUAAUAUGCACUAGUUUUGAUUAUAUGGGCGGAAUCGGAUUUGUAAAAGUGCGGCGAGCUUUAUAACUUACCCCCACAAUUCAAUACGAGGUGGGGGGUGCACGCCGGAAUGGUUUGGAUGCGAUUCCCUUCUAUUGUCUUUUUCUUCAUUCUUGCAGCAUAUAUGCUUUAUAUAUACCAGAUUCUGACAAGUAGGGUAGUUAACAUGUGGACACUUGUUUGACCCUUUCACUUUAUACUGCUUUAGUAGUUGAACAUAUGAGAAUGAUAGACCAAAUGGACAUUAUUGCAUUGCGACCUCGAGUUGCUGUGGAAUGUGAGAAUGGAUCUUGGACCAUAGAAAACAAGAUGGUGGACAUUGACACAAACAAGUUUGCAUUGAGAGAUGAACGUUGAAUAUGUUUAAACCCAUUUUGCAUCGUCGAAGGUAACAGCCUUUGAGAGUGGCAAGAUGAAUAGGGUAAGACCCAUAUAGUGGCAUUGACAUCUGAUGUGUUAUGAGUCUCAAGUGAGACUUAGGAUCGUGCUCUCAAUUUCGUUCCGGUGAGGGAGGGUCGCUCCUCUCGACGUGCGAUCGAUUUGGUCACAUUGCGGCUGGUAAGUCGACCCAGUGUACCUCCUAGCGGGGUUCAGCUGCCCGUAUUAGGAUUUUGGGUUGGUGAUGUUAUUGGGGUUAACAGAAGAUUAACGGGUUCAAAAUUUGGGUAAGAGCCACAAUUUAUUUAUGAUUGGAGCAUGCAAUACAUUUCAGUUAUCGUUGAAUUUAUGUUACUGACUUCUUUCUUGCAGAAUGAAUUUAAGUGCUUGUAUGGUACCUUUCCUUUCUUUGAAAUACUUCUAUGCCUGGUAUGACCUUGUGUGUCAGUCCAGGUGAGGCUCGAUGCGGCACGGAAACUUCGUUGUAGUUCUACACACCCUACCUACAGUCUAGCCGAGCGCUCCGGCGGCGGGCACGAUGGCAAGGUUUGGGCAGCAUACGCGGUAAGCGGCCACGGACUUUAUACAUUUUGUAGUCAUUCCCUUUCCGGUUAUACAUGUAUAACUUUAUUUUUUGAUUUAGGACAUGAAAAGUGUAAACAAUCAUAUCUGUAUUGUGUGGAUGACCUAAAUGUUAAAGAUAGGAUGCUUGAAUGAAUGAUAUUAGCUUCUACUUGAAUUUGGUUUAAAUGAAAUAACAUAUUACCUGUGUAUGCAGUAUUUAGCUUGAGCUUUGCUUCGUUUUGCUUGCCUCGUGCGAUGCCUCGCUAUUAUAUAUGCAAUUUCUCUUGAUUGAUUGCCUAUUUAUACAUAUUGAAUUGAGCCUUGGCGGACAGGGGGCUCUGUCCGUUCGGCGUCUGUUGACGUGACCCGAACCCGACCAAAUUGGCGGGGAUUAGGGCGUGACAGAUAUAAUGGUAUCAGAGAGAAGUUGAAAGAAAAAGUCUAGGAGUGACCUAGCAACCAUAGGUUUAGAGACCCUAUGGACUUAGGAAAACGCUUGACGUGGACUUGGUUUAUGCGAAAGCGAGUGAUUGGGUUGAUGGUAACACUUCUCUAGAAGGAAGUAGAGAUGGACUAGGAGGCUUGAUUGUUGUCUACUUGAGGGACUUUGUGGGGCGGCCGACCACAUAACAUCGAAAGUGGAAAUAAUUAGGCUUGUGCUUUCGCUUAAUUGGGUAGCUACUUGGAACGUGUAGGAGUCACGUGUGACGAGUGCUAAUGUGUGUGCGUUGCGCUGCAGGACGCGAUGGCACCACCAAGGAGAGUUACGAUGUCCACACCGGCGGAGUCUCGGGAGGAGCCCGGGCAGUCGGGGUCGGACGAAGUACGCGAGUUGCGAGCCCAGGUAGCGGCUUUGGCCGGGGCUAUGUGACAACAAGGGGAGCAGAUUGGACAGCUCCACGACAUGAUGGCGCAACAGGCGGUGGCGACAUCUGUGCCGAGGGAUCCACCCCCACCGGCUGCCCCUGUAGCACCACCUCCGGCGAUGGCGGCAGCGCCAGUGACGGCCGUUUCUCCGGCGGCAUCGGGUUCAUCGGUUCCCAUUUCCGAUGUGCUUGAGGCUGAGCAGGAGCGUACGUCAGCGGCGUUGACGGCGUUCAAGCGGUUCAACCCUCCAACCUUCAAUGGCGAUGUGAAGGAUCCGUGGGUGACGAAGAAUUGGUUGGCCGCGAUGGAGGCGUUGUUCGAGGAUAUCUAUACCCUCGAGAAGGAUAAGGUUCACCUGGCGGCUCACUGUUUGGAUGGGUCGGCUCGGUUGUGGUGGAAUCAAACGAAGAAGAAUCGCUCGCUAGGGCACACUCUUCUCACUUGGGAGGCGUUCUGGGAGGUGCNNNNNNNNNNNNNNNNNNNNNNNNNNNNNNNNNNNNNNNNNNNNNNNNNNNNNNNNNNNNNNNNNNNNNNNNNNNNNNNNNNNNNNNNNNNNNNNNNNNNUAGAUUGUAGAAUAUAUAUAAUGGAAGCUAAAAAGAAUGUAUUAUAAAAAAAAAGAUAUGUAAAAUGAUCUAAAUGCUGAAUGAAUGUAAUAUAUCAGGAUUGUUAUGAUGUUUGAUACCUUCCCAUUAUGACAAUCUUGAUUGAAAUGUGGUUCCUGGUUGGAACUUGCACCAUUGUAUUGAUUGCUAUGCCUUGAACGUACAGGGGAGACCUCUGUCGCAAGUACAGGGGAAACCUUUUCCUUGUCCCCGUUCGGACGAUCUGUUGGCGGCUGCCGCACAACGGCCAAUAUAGGGGGCGGUCGCGGGGCGUGACAAUAUGUCAUCAUUCUUGAUUAAUUCCUUGGACCGAUUCAUGGACACAUACACAAACAUGAAUGGAAAUAAACCAAAAGUUAUUCAUAAUAUUUUUAAAAAUCAAAUACAAAAUUAUGUCCUAGAAAAGAAUACAUGUGUCGCCUGGUGGCUUCGCAGGGGCAUAUCAUCUAACAAAGGAAGAAGAGAGGGUGAGGAAGAUGCUCCAAGUCCACUAGUUGCUCUCAAUCAUCAUCUUCUUCCUUCCUUCUUCUCCUUCUCCUUCUUCUUCUUCUUCUCUAUAAAGGGUGUAGAGAGGGUUAAGAGGAGAGAAAUGAGGAGAAGAGAGAGUGGAUCGGUCAUAUAGGCCCUCUAUUGCAACAAAAUCCAGUUAGGUCCCUCAAAAAUCCAAUAUACAACAGCCCGGUCUGAGCAGUUUUCGCCUAGAGGGACCGGUCUCUCCCUGCAAAGCACCGGUCUCUCCCUGCAAGGGACCGGUCUCUCGCUGCGAACCCGAGAAACCAUCGUUCGGGAACCGGUCUCUCCCCGCGCGGGACCGGUCUCUCACUGCGAGAACGCGCUCGGGGACCGGUCUCGCCCGCCAGGGACCGGUUGCCUCAGGGCUGCCGCAACACUGCUCACUGGGGGACCGAUCUCUCCUUUCAUCGACCGUUCCCAGAGAGUGAAAACUCUCAGGACUCGCCCAGAAUUCAGGUUUUCGAACUUCUUAGGUCGGAAAAUAUUCUACGACCCUCCACCAAGUGUGGAAAAGCUCGAAACAUAUCCAAUCACUCGAACCUCGCAAUUUGCAAAGGUCCAGUGUGUCACAUUCACCCCUCCUAAAAAGGAGUUUCGUCCGCGAAACUCGAAAUGACAAGUACCUCAAGCCUACAUCUGAAAAAGAUGGGGAUAGCGCUUUCGCAGUGCGCUCUCCAACUCCCAAGUGGCCUCGCGCUCGUCGUGGUUGCUCCAAAGCACCUUCACGUAGGGAAUCUCAUGGUUCCGCAAUCUUUUUACUUCGCGAACCAGAAUCCUCAAAGGUUGCUCCUCAAAGCUCAAAUCAUCCCUCAGCUCCGUAGGUGUAGCAUCCAACACGUGAGCCUGGUCGUGGAUGUACUUCCGAAGGACCGAUACAUGGAAUACGUUGUGUACACCCGAUAAGUUCGGCGGUAGAGCAAGUCUAUACGCUACCGGGCCUACACGCUCCAAAACCUCAUACGGUCCAAUGUAUCGGGGGCUCAACUUACCCCGGAUUCCAAAUCUUCUAAUUUCUUGAGUCGGCGAGACUUUCAAGAAGACGUGGUCUCCGAUCUGAAACUCCAAGUCUCGUCGCCGCCUGUCAGCGUAACUCCUCUGCCUACUCUAGGCCGUCAACAAUCGCUCCCGAGCAAUGCGAACCUUGUUCUCUGCUUCCUGGAGCACAUCAGGGCCUAAAGCCAAUCUCUCGCCAACUUCACUCCAAUGAAGUGGCGAUCUACACUUCCGUCCAUAGAGUGCCUCGAACGGUGCCAUCUUGAUGCUUGCUUGAUAACUGUUGUUAUAAGCAAACUCUGCCAUCGGUAGAUGCUGCGACCAUCCUCCCUGGAAGUCAAUCACGCAGGCUCGAAGCAUGUCCUCGAGAGUCUGUAUAGUACGCUCCGACUGCCCGUCACUCUGAGGGUGGAAAGCUGUACUGAAGUCCAAACGCGUACCCAGAGCGUCCUGUAAGCUCCUCCAAAAGUGGGAUACAAAACGGGGAUCUCGAUCUGAAACGAUAGAAGUAGGUACCCCGUGCAAUCGCACAAUCUCAUCCAAGUAUACCUGUGCGAGUCUCUCACCAGUCCAAGUAGUGUGGAUAGGUAUGAAAUGUGCCGAUUUCGUCAAUCUAUCCACAAUCACCCAAAUAGCGUCAUGCCCGGCCUGUGAGCGAGGCAAUCCCAUCACGAAAUCCAUGGUGAUCUUUUCCCAUUUCCACACUGGAAUCGGUAGGCUCUGCAACUUCCCCGCAGGAACUCGGUGCUCAGCCUUCACCUGUUGGCAAGUUAAACAUCUAGCAACAAACUCACCAACAUCCUUUUUCAUCCCGGGCCACCAAUAAAGCAACUUCAAGUCCUUGUACAUCUUGGUGCCUCCCGGAUGUAUAGCAUACGGUGCUCGGUGUGCUUCUUGAAGAAUAUCCUCUUUAAUGCCCAAGUCCGCCGGUACACAAAGUCGUCCGCGGAAACGCAUCAAUCCAUCACCGUCUAAAGUGAAGUCACCGGUGCAACCAUCAACCAUCUUAGCUCGAAUCUUUUGCAACUCCGAGUCGGAAGCUUGCUUUUCUUUAAUCCUUUCCAAAAGUGUAGGUUGCACCACCAAAGUCAUCAGUCUCAAAGGUGUAUCAGGAGCCACCACCUCCAACUCCAACCGCUUCAUCUGCUCGAUCAACGGCGGUUGAGUAACCACAAGCAUCGCUAAGUUUUCCGUCGAUUUCCUACUUAGCGCAUCAGCCACCACGUUAGCCAUGCCCGGGUACUAAAGUAUAGUCAAAUCAUAAUCCUUGAGUAGCUCCAACCAUCUGCGCUGCCUCAAGUUCAACUCCUUCUGAGUGAAUAGAUACUUUAAGCUUUUGUGAUCCGUAUAUACUUCGCAUCGCUCGCCGUAUAAGUAGUGGCGCCAUAGCUUUAAUGCAAAGACCACGGCCGCCAACUCCAAGUCGUGAGUAGGGUAAUUCCUUUCAUAAUCCUUCAACUGGCGAGAUGCAUAUGCGAUCACUUUCCCGUCCUGCAUCAAAACACAGCCCAAUCCAUUAAAAGAAGCGUCACUAUAAAUCACAUACCCUGCUCCAGCAGUUGGCAAAGUUAGGAUCGGGGCGGUCGUCAAUCGCUGCUUCAACUCUUGGAAGCUCUUUUCACACGCAUCAUUCCAAAUAAACUUUGUGCCCUUAUGCGUGAGUCUCAUGAGGGGAGUAGAUAACUUCGCAAAUCCUUUGACGAACCGUCGGUAAUAGCCGACCAAACCAAUGAAGCUCCGUAUCUUGGUCACACUCGUCGGCCUCGGCCAAUCCUUGAUAGCUUCAAUUUUUCUCGGGUCCACGGCUAUGCCUGAUCCAGAAAUCAAAUGGCCUAAAAACGCCACCUCUCUAAGCCAAAACUCACACUUCUUCAACUUGGCGUAGAGCUUCUUUUCCCGAAGUACUUGAAGUACAAGUCUCAAGUGUUCCUCGUGAUCCGCAUCACUUCGGGAAUAGACCAAAAUGUCGUCGAUGAACACCACGACAAACCUGUCUAAAUAAGGCUUGAAAACACGGUUCAUUAAAUCCAUAAAAGCUGCCGGGGAAUUAGUAAGCCCAAACGGCAUAACAGUAAACUCAUAAUGUCCAUACCGUGUUCUAAAAUCCGUCUUCGAUACAUACUCAGGUCUGAUCCUUAACUGGUGAUAUCCCGACUGCAAGUCGAUCUUGGAAUAUACACAAGAUCCCUGGAGCUGGUCAAAUAGAUCAUCAAUCCUCGGUAAUGGAUACUUGUUCUUAAUCGUGACUUUAUUAAGUUCACAAUAGUCCACGCACAAGCGAAGUGAUCCAUCCUUCUUCUUAACAAACAAGACCGGUGCUCCCCAAGGUGACACACUCGGUUGCACAAAACCUUUGUUCAGAAGAUCCUGCAACUGUGCCUUCAGCUCUCUUAAUUCAGCUGGUGCCAUCCUAUAGGGUGCCUUUGAGAUUGGAGUAGUCCCGGGAAUGAGAUCUACCACAAACUCAAUAUCCCUAUCAGGUGGCAUGCUUGGAAGUUCUGCUGGGAACACGUCUCCAAACUCCCGUACUACGGGGAUAUCCUCAAUCCUAGGGGCGUCGUCAUCACCCCUCAACACCACAGUAGCCAAAUAGGCUACGCAGCCUCUACUAAUCAACUGCCUAGCUCGAGAAGAGCUAAUCGUCAUCGCAAAAAGCGAACUCUGGCAUCCUCGGUACACAACCUCCGCCUGCCCCGGCUCUCUAAAAGUCAUCGUUUGAUCCUUGCAAUCGAUAGUGGCAAAAUACUUGGUCAACGAAUCCAUGCCCAACACAACAUCAAACUCUCCAAGUUUAUGCAAAGCUAGCAAGUCCACGGGCAUGAUCCAAUCUCCAACCAGAACAGGGCAACUGGGGCAAAACUUCCGAAUGUCCAAAGAAUGAUCGGGUACAACGACUCAUCCCGGAUGCAACAAGGAUACAAGUGGGAUACCAUGCAACUCGGCAAACAGCAGGUCUAUGAAUGAAUGCGAUGCACUGGUAUCAAAUAAAGCUCUAACUCGAAUACCAUAAAGUAAAAUGAUACAUGCGACCACAUUCUCGGCUGCCACCGCCUCCUUAGUCUGGGCCGCAUACAUGCGCCCACUCGGGGCCUGUCGUGACCCCUCCGCCUAUCGCUGAACAGGUGGCCGUCCUGCCUGAUGAUGCGUAGAAGAUGUCCCCUGACUGGGACCUGGCGAUGCUGGCGCAGAUGCCGAAGAUAGCGCUGGCAAUGGACUCCUAGGGCAGUCCGACUGGAAGUGGCCCUCCUGGCCACAUAAGAAGAACCUGCCCCGGCUGCGUGAAUACUGUCGAGGGUAAUGGGGACCACCACAGAUCACGCAGCGGGGAGCCUGACGAUGAUCGGGUCCUCCUCGCUGAGUAGACUGGCCACGUCCUCGUGACUGGCUCCGACUCCUGGGAUGCCUCGGUGGCCUCCGUGAGUGCGUCUGGCUCGCACCCUCAGCCGCGGGCCUCUUGCCCUUCCCUUUCUCCAAGCUCUCGCGACGCUCCUGCAAAUCCGCCGCUCCUGCUUCCACUAUUAAAGCUCGAUCCACAACCUCCCGAUAGGUCUGAAGGUUGGAAGACUGCACCAACCGGAAGAUAGAAGGCCGCAAACCGCGCUAAAAAAUACGGGCCUUGUCCUCGUCAUCCCUUACAACAAACGGUACAC
rnacentral:lncRNA from 1 species